AAAUCUUGAGACACGGUCACCCACCAAACAUUAUCACAAAUAUCUGGUCUUUGUAGAAGCUCAUUAUGGAUAUGUUGCAGUAUUGUGGAUUUACCAACUCCCCCCAUCCCAUAAAUGCCAAUGGUUGAGACUUUCCCAUCCAUUAACAAAGACCAUAUCACCUUCGUAUUCUCUUCGAAUGCUUGACCCACCGGCUUUGUAGAGCUAGUAGGUAAUGGAACUCCUCUAGUCUUGUUGUAUUUCAGACUUUCAGAAGAUCUAGCUCCAGCACCAACCUGCACUGAUCUUUGACUAUUCUCCACAUCCUCCUCCACUGGUUCUGUCCUCGCUCUAACCCGAUUAAUUCUCUCUUCCCCGGCACCUUGUUCCAGCACCCCCUGAACUCCAACUUGUAUCCUUCCAGCACCCCCCGCCAAAUUGCCAAGUACUGCAUUGCUUUGUUCCAACGAUCGAUCCACUGGUUCUGUCCUCGGUCUGCUCUCGAGUGCCCCUUCGGAAACUCCAUCUUCUUGUGCUCUCAUUCCGGUCAUGCUUACUGCGUCGUUUCCCGCUAUUGCAUGUGAAGUAAUCCUCUCUUCCCCUACUCCAGGUUCUACAACCUGAACUUCUCUUUGUACCCUUCCAAUUCCUCCUACCAUUCUUGAAAUUCCACAAUCAUUAACAUUGAUUGAACCUGCUGUGAUUUUAUGUCUUUUGUUGCCACCACACAUAGCUUUCCAGGCUGCUUCUUGAACUUCUUUAGGCACCCCAUGACAAAUGGCAACAUUAUGCCCUUCCUCUCCUGAUAAAUGCCAUUUGAUCCUUGAAAUGGAGGUUUUAUUGGCAAAUGUGUGUUGACAAAACUUACACUUCAUGCUACCAUCAGUCCUAUCUUCAAUAUAAUUCCAAAAUGAAUCCUUUGAUCGAACCAUUUCAACCUAUAUAAAAAAUGUAGAAAUGUAAAGAACUAUAAAGAGCUGCCCUGCAUUUACUGAUGAAGGAAAAGAACAGUGAACUUAGUUCACGAUUGAGAAGAACAAAUGCUUAAGUAAAACACAGAGCUUUGAUUAUCAAAUGUAAAGAACAAAGAGCAGAAUUGAGUUAGUUGGUUACUGCCAUCCCAAGUCUUUAUUUAUAAAGGGAAAGAAACAGAAUUUGAAUGGAAAACAAUAACUAGAAACGUGCCUGCCUUCUUCUCCUUUAUUUAAGGAGAUGAUUACAAGUUAAUUCAAUCCUAGAUAAUCUUAACAAAGAAAUCAAAAACAUAUCCUACACUAGAUAAUAGUCUCAGCUAAAAUAAAGAAAUAAUGCAGCAGUGAAUUACUGCUAAGUCUUCUGCUUCUGCUAGCUUAGGUACCAAGCUUCAACACUCCUCCUUGGUUCCAAAGCUAGUCAUUCCAAUUCUUGCCCUUAGAUCUUCAAACCUGGUUUUACCCAACGGUUUGGUGAAAAGAUCUGCUAGUUGAUCUUCAGAAGUGCAGUAGCACAGUUCCAGUUCUCCUUCUUGUUGAAACUGCCUGAGUGCAUGAAACUUGAUCUUCAUGUGCUUGGUUUUAUCAUGGAAGACAGAGUUUUUAGAAAUGGCUAUAGCUGAUGUAUUGUCACAAAACAAUGUUGUGGGAUUGUGUUGAUUGCAGUCUAAGUCACUUAGCAUCUUCCUCAGCCAUAUCAGUUGUUUUGCUGCUACAUAAGCAGCUAUAUAUUCGGCUUCUGCAGUAGAAUGUGCCACCACCGAUUGUUUCUUUGAAUUCCAGCAAAACAUACUCUUUCCCACAGCAAAACAGUAGCCUGAUGUGCUCAUCAUUCCUUCAUCACUUCCUCCCCAAUCACUGUCUGAAAAACCAACAAGAUUAAUUGAGCCGGACUUCACAAAGUGUAUGCCAAAACCUGCAGUCCCUCUUAGAUAUCUUAAUACUCUCUUAGCUGCCACAAAGUGAUUUUGACUUGGCUCUUGCAUGAACCUGGAAAGAUAAUUCACAGCAAAUUGAAUGUCAGGACGUGUGGCUGCUAAAUACAGCAAACUCCCAAUUAGACUCCUGUAGAUUUUCCCAUCAGCUUUUGGUGAGCCAUCCUCUUUCAUUAGCUUCUGCCCCUGUAUCAUAGGAGUGCUUACUGGCUUGCAAUUGUUCAUUGCAAAACUGUCCAGUAUUUUCAAAGAAAAACGUUGUUGACAAAGAAAAUAACCUUGAUCAGUUUGAGUUACUUCCAUUCCUAAAAAAUAAGUCAACAAACCAAGUUCAUUCAUCUCAAACAUGUCUUUCAUAUUGGUUUUGAAUUCCUCUACAAGCUGCUCCUUAUCCCCUGUGAUUAGUAAAUCAUCAACAUAAACUGAUACAAUUAGUUUAUGUCCAGCAGCAUGCUUCACAUAUAAAGUUACCUCAUUCAUGCUCCUGUUAAAUCCCAAGCUUAAGAGAUGAUUAUCCAACCUGCUAUACCAAGCUCUAGGAGCUUGUUUCAAUCCAUACAAUGCUUUCUUCAGUAAAUAAACCUUGUUUGUUGAAUUAGAUUUUUCAAAACCAGCAGGCUGCUCAACAUAAAUCUCUUCAUCUAGCACCCCAUUCAAAAAUGCAGAUUUAACAUCCAAUUGAAAUAUAUACCAACCGUUUUGUGCUGCUAGAGCAAGCAGGAGUUUCAUUGUUUCAUGUCUGGAAACUGGAGCAAAAGUUUCUGUGAAGUCGAUCCCUGCCUCUUGUGAAUAUCCUUUCACUACAAGUCUGGCCUUAUGCUUGUUGAUCUUUCCAUCUGCAUUUACUUUUGUUUUGAAAAUCCAUUUCACUCCAAUCACCUUCUUAUGAGCUGGUCUGUCAACUAGCAUCCAUGUUUGAUUCUUGUCUAUCAUUGCAAGCUCCUCCUUCAUUGCUGCUAUCCAAACUUGAGAGUUCAUGCUUCUUCAACAUUUACUGGUUCUGCCUCGCUACAUUGCACCUGCUAUAGAUAUCUGAUAGAGAUCUUGUCCCUCUUACUGGUUGAUCAUCACUGUUUUCUGCAGCAUCCAAGUCAGUUUGUUGCUCAAUAUUCCCAGCAACAUCUGUUUGUUGAUUAAUCAUGUUUGCAUCAUCCAACUCAUCUUGUUGCAUCGGUUUUGAUUCUUCAUUUGAUGAAUUUUUCCAGUUCCAAGCUGCAUUUUCUACAACUUUGACAUCUCUAGCAACCACCACUUUGUUAACAUUCAAAUCAUAGAUUUUAUAAGCUUAGAAUUUGUACUAUAGCCUAUAAGAAUCCCUAUAUCAGCCUUUUGAUCAAGUUUCCUUCUUCUGACUUCAGGUUUCAGAACAUAACAAAUACUUCCAAACACCUUUAAAUGAUCAAUACUGGGUUUAAAACCAUACCAGAGUUCAUAAGGAGUUUUAUCUGCCAAAACUCUUGAAGCCAUUCGGUUUAUAAGGUAUGCUGCUGUGUUUACUGCUUCUGCCCAGAAAUUCAAUGGCAACUUCUUCUCAUAGAGCAAGCAUCUAGCCAUCUCCAUCAAUGUUCGGUUUCUUCUUUCACUUACACCAUUCUGCUGUGGUGUGUAGGGAACAGUCAGCUGGUGUUUAAUCCCUUCUUUAGCAAGGUAUGCUUCAAAUUGUCGAGAGGUAUACUCUCCUCCAUUGUCAGAUCUCAAAGUCUUCAAUUUGUUUCCUGUUUCUAGUUCAACUGCUGCCUUGAACUUAACAAACUCAGCAAACACAUCAGCUUUGGAUUUUAGAAAAUAAACCCAGCAAUACCUGCUAAAAUCAUCAAUAAACAGAAGAAAGUACUUUGAACCAUUUAAUGAUUCAUUGUGCAUAGGUCCACACACAUCUGUGUGUACAAGCUGAAGUUUAGAUACUGCCCUGUAUGCAUUUUCUGGAAAAACAGUUCUGGUUUGUUUUCCCAGCUGACAAGCCUCACAUAUAGUUUGCUGCUCCUGAAUAUUUGGCAACCCGUGAGCCAUCUGCUGGUCAGCCAUUCUUUUUAAAGUAGCAUAAUUGAAGUGUCCCAGCCGUUUGUGCCAAAGAACAGAUUCCUUGCACUCAUAAGUAUUAGCACUUAAACACACUUCAUUCCAAUUAACAUUAAAGCUUCGGUUCAUCAUUUUUGCAGACAGUAAAAGCAUUCCAUUUCUAUCUUUAAUGUCACACACUCCAUCAUUAAAAACUAUUGAAUAUCCAGAUUCAAUCAAUUGACCCACACUAACUAGAUUUGGUUGAUCUUAGGCACAUAAAGAACAUUUUUAAGAAUUUUUGUACCUGACAGUGUUUCUACUGCAAUUGCUCCUUUUCCUUCAACUUUCACAAGUCUCCAUUGCCAAUUCUGACUUUAGACAGGUAGCUUCUAUCCAAGUCUCUGAAUAAGCUUAAGUCUGCUGUCAUAUGAUUAGUGCAGCCGCUAUCAAUGAGCCAUGAUGAGUCCUUUGUCUCUGCUGAAUUACAUAUGUCCUGAACUGUGACCAUGAAUAGAAGUUCUUCUUUGACUUCUGAACAAUCGGCUACUUGUGCUUGUUGUUCAGUUUCUGUUUUAUUUUUGCAGAAUCUUUGAUGUGACCAAAUUGCUUGCAUUUUCGGCAUUGAGCAUUCUUGAGCCAACACCAGGCUUCAAGAUGAUUGUUUUCUGACAGUAUUUGCAAGCAGGAAAAUGUUCUUUCUUCUCUUUCCCCCUCAUGAAACUGUUAUUGUUGUUCUGUUGCCAGUUAGCAGAUUUCCAGUCUCUCCCUUUUUCUCUUUUUCCUUCUUGAUUAUUUCUGAAGAUGUUCUUAGCCCGACCCUUAUCCUUGUAAACUGCAACAAGAGCUCCUUCACUUGAUCCUUCUUGUCUAUAUGCUUGCCUUUGCUCCACAGCUUGCAAUGCAUUCACCAAUUCUUGCAGCUUAUCUCAGAAAAAUCUUUAGAAUCUUCUAAAGAACAGAUUUUAUGUUCAAAUUUUCUGGCAAACUCACCAGGACUUUCUCUACAAUUCUAGAGUCUGGAAAAUCUUCUCCCAAGAGUCUUACUUGAUUCACAAGUUUUGAAAUUUGAGAAGAGAAAUCUUUGAUGCUCUCAUUUUCUUUCAUCUUCAGACCUUCGAAUUGUCUUCUCAGAUUCAGAAUCUGCAUCCUUCUUGAUUUCUCAUCACCAUGGAACUCUGCUUUUAAUUUAUCCCAUGUUUCCUUGGCAGAUUUGCAUGCCAUGAUCCUCGUGAAGAUGUCUUCACUUACAGCAUUAUGAAGACAAGAAAGAGCUUUGAAUCUCUUUGCCUUUUCUUCAUUAAAGAACUUCAUCUGUGCAAUUGUGGGAUUGUUACCUAGAGGAGUAGGUUGCCUAUCACUUUCCACUAUCUCCCAUAAAUCAAGAGCUUUGAGAUAGGUUUCCAUUUUUACAGCCCACACACCAAAAUUCUGCCCUGCAAACAAUGGUGUUUUUGCUGGAAAAUUUGCAGAAUCCAUUGCUUAAAAAAAAACUCACUCAAUCUCUCGUGUAUCACUCACCAGCCCUCAAAGUAAAACUUUGAUUUAUCCUCACAGUACUCUCGUGUUUCUCACUCACAAAGAAUCCCUUCAAAGAUCAAAAAAAGCUCUGAUACCAAUUGUAGAAAUGUAAAGAACUAUAAAGAACUGCCCUGCAUUUACUGAUGAAGGAAAAGAACAGUACUUAGUUCACGAUUGAGAAGAACAAAGGCUUAAGAAAACACAGAGCUUUGAUUAUUAAAUAUAAAGAACAAAGAGCAGAAUUGAGUUAUUGGUUACUGCCAUCCCAAGUCUUUAUUUAUAAAGGAAAGAAACAGAAUUUGAAUGGAAAACAAUAACUAGAAACGUGCCUGCCUUCUUCUCCUUUAUUUAAGGAGAUGAUUACAAGUUAAUUCAAUCCUAGAUAAUCUUAACAAAGAAAUCAAAAACAUAUCCUACACUAGAUAAUAGUCUCAGCUAAAAUAAAGAAAUAAUGCAGCAGUGAAUUACUGCUAAGUCUUCUGCUUCUGCUAGCUUAGGUACCAAGCUUCAACAAAAAAAAGGUAAGUCAAAAUAAAGAAUAAAAAUUGAUGCAAGUUACACCAUAUCCAGAUGGAUGAGAAACUACUUCUUCAGUGUUGUUACCCUUAUUUUGCUAUUAAAAUUGAUAGUUAGUUUAUUGCACAAUCAUAGGAGGGAAAAAGACGACGAUAAUUCAGUUAUACUUCUUACUUGUUGAGUAUUUAAACCCCUAUUUUGACUUUGCAGGGAAGUGCCAAGGCCAGGAUUUGAGGCAUUUGGCGUAGCAGUUUGAUUUUGCAAUCCUCGAACUUGGAGGUUAUCCAUCUGUGACCUAUAUAUAAAUGAAGUGAUCAUAUUAUAAAACCUUUCCAUAAUUGGUAGUCUCUCUUAAGCAGUAAAAGUUAAUGGUGUUAAAACACAACAGCUAGAAGUCAAUCAGUACCUAGGCACGAAGUUCUCUUGUUGGACAUUGUCUAUGUUAGGAAUUACAGGUCGAUCGACUUGUCCUUGAUUACAAAAAUAUUGACUCCUGAAUCCAAAACCAUUUGCAAACAAUAUGUUUAGCUUGUUGGGUUCAUGUUCAAGCCAUGAUGUUUCUUUCCUGAUUGAAAAACUAAUUUUUUUUUUAUAUAGAAAAUACUAAACGUGAAAAAUUGGAUACCAGGGAGCAGGAAAAGAAGGUCCAGGUUGAAUGAAGCCACCAUGUUCUGAAGUGGUUGCGUUCGGUGUCAUAUAGGCAUGUCCCGGCUGAGGUUGAUGAAUAUUGGAGUUCUGAUGCCUGAAGAAUAUUCAAAUAGUUAAACUUAGAACUGUUAUGCUGACUUGGUUGAUUUUCUAGUUCCAUUAUGUGCACAAAAAAAGAGAGAUAGAGAGCUCAAAAAGACUUGAAAGAUCCUCGUCAAUUUUGGUCAAGUUUAUUGUUUUCAUGAUUAAAAAAGCUUAAAUUCAUUCAUUGAUUUAAUCAUUGAUUCAUUGGAGGUUGAGGUCCAGGUAGCAUCACAGGCACUUCAUUCAUUGGAGGUUGAGGUCCAGGCACUUGAUUGCUCAUUAGUAACUGAUAAUCAGUCCAUUGUUGGUCCCUAAAUUAGCAACAUUUGUUAGUAAUUUCUUUAUACAUAUAGCAUGGGAUUGGCACAUCGAGGAUCAGAUAAAUUAGGAUGAGGCAGAUACCUAUAUUCAAAUAUAAUGAAUUCAUUUAGUGUAAUACAUUGGCAUCACUGAUAAGAAUAUUAGGCAGAUAAGUAGAACAACAACAAGAAGUUAAAUAAUUAUGAAUAUUAUGUACAAGAAGAAUUUAAAUAAUGAUUAUUCUCACUUAGUUGAUUUUCUAGUUUCAUUAUGUGAAGCAAAUCAGGAGACAGGGGAAACAUGGGGAAGGCAAGGACUCUUGAAAGCUGAUUAAAGCUUAUUAGCUGUAGUUAUUAUUUCCUAUUUAGCUGAUAGGUUCCUAGUCAGAUUAGUAUUAGAUUUCAAUUACGUAUUAGAUCGUAAUUCCUUAGCUGUAGGGUAUUUAAGAGGGGAACAGAACAAAAGAUGGGACAUUAUUUGUAUUCUUGGCAAUUACUUUCUUUAAAUACAAAUUGGAGUGAUUCAUCUACAUAGAUAUUCUGUAUUAAAUUAUUUAUUGUUCUUACUGGGAGCAACGAGAGGUUGUACCGGAGGGCAUUUACAUUAAUAUGUGCAUAAAAAAAAAACAGAGAGAGAGAGAAAGAGAUAGAGAGCUCAAAAGAAGUUAAAUAAUGAUGAAUACCUUGAUGGAGUUUGAGGCCAAUUUGGUUCAUUUUGGUUGAUCCGUGAUGAUAUCGAGCUUUGGUUGUCUGGAACCUCCGGUGGCAGCCUGCUUCCAUGGACAGUGACAUUAUUAGGAUAAACGGAAGAAUAACUAAAUUGCAAGCAAUCAUCUUCUGAUAAAAUAUGCUUAAGAAUGACGUACGAGAGAAACUCAGAAAUAUUGAAUGUAUCUUCAAUGGUGUAUCUAAUUAUAAAAAUGAAGUGAUCAUUGUUAAAUAAUAUUUAUGUAGUCUUAUUUAUUAAGGGUAGAAUAGUACUUUCAGUUUAACCUAUAUAUACUUUAUUUGUAUUUAGGUUAAGACUAUGCAUUCAUAAUAAACAGAUUAUUCAGAAUUGUAGCCUCCUUUUUGUGUUUGAUCUCAAUAAGUUUAACAUGGUAUCAGAGCUGGUUUUAUGAAACGAGGCUUAAUCCCAAAUACAGCUUCGCGGAUCCAAUUUUUUUUUGAAGUGAUAUUUUGUCUUCCGCUUCUACAAAAUUGGGUAUUUCGACAGUUUCUAUAAUUAUUUUGGUAUUUCGACAGUUUCUGCAAUUAUUUUGGUAUUUGCAUUCAGUUUUUGCAAAUUUAUUUUGUGUUUUGGAGUAAUCGUAUAAUUUCGAGAAGAUAUUUGUUUAGUUUUUUGCAAUCUCUAUUCAGUUUCUACAAAUUGGUAUUUAGUUUUCCGCUGCUUUUGCAUUCUGGUUCUUUGUGACUGUUGGUUAUGGCUACUGAAAGAGAUGAUUCGCUUCAAUUUGUGAGUGUGAGGUUGGAUGGGAAGAACUAUUCGUAUUGGAGUUAUGUAAUGCGAAAUUUCCUUAAGGGUAAGAAGAUGUGGGGGUAUGUUAGUGGAACUUAUAUAAUACCUAAGAAUAUUGAAGAGGGGGAUGUUGUUUUGAUAGAUACAUGGGAAGCAAAUAAUGCAAAGAUUAUUACUUGGAUCAACAAUUCUGUUGAGCAUUCGAUAGGUAUGCAGUUGGCGAAGUAUGAGACAACAAAAGAGGUUUGGGAUCAUCUGCAAAGGUUAUUCACACAAUCAAAUUUUACAAAACAAUAUCAAUUAGAGAAUGACAUACGAGCUCCUCAUCAAAAGAAUAUGAGUAUUCAAGAGUUUUAUUCUGCUAUGACAGAUCUUUGGGAUCAAUUAGCUCUUACAGAAUCGGCAAAAUUAAAGGCAUGUGGUGCCUAUAUUGAGCGUAGAGAGCAGCAGCAAUUGGUACAGUUUUUAACAGCACUUCACAGUGAUUUUGAAGGACUUAGAGGUUCAAUUCUGCAUCGUUCUCCACUGCCUUGUGUUGACUUUGUUGUUAGUGAGUUAUUGGCUGAAGAAAUACGUCUUUAGUUUUAUUCUGAAAAGGGAAUUCUUUCUGCUUCAAAUCCUUCAUUAUUAGCAGUGUCUUCUAAGCCAUUCUCUAAUCAUCAGAAUAAGUCUUACACAAGGGUUGGCUUUGAUGAGUGCAAUUUCUGUAAGCAGAAAGGUCAUUGGAAAGCUCAGUGUCCUAAGUUGAGACAGCAUAAUCAAGCUUGGAAGUCUGGCAAUCAAUCACAAUCUAAUGCUCAUAGACCACCUCAGGGUUAUAAACCACCACACCACAAUACUGCAGCAGUAGCUUCCUCAAGCUCUAUUACCGAUCCUAAUAUUUUGGUUGAGCAAUUUCAGAAGUUUCUCUCCUUGCAGCCACAAGCAAUGUCCGCUUCUUCUUCCAUAGGUCAGUUGCCUCAUAGUUCCUCAGGUAUGUCACACUCUAAAUGGGCCUUGGAUUCUGGUACUUCUCAUCAUAUGUCUCCAGAUUCCUCAUCUUUUACCUCUGUGCCCCUUUUGUCCUCCAUUCCUGUUAUGACUACUGAUGGCACUCCUAUGCCCUUAGCAGGUGUUGGUUCUGUUGUCACACCUCACUUGUCUCUCACUAAUAUUUAUCUUAUUCCAAAACUCAAAUUAAAUCUUGCGUCUGUUGGUCAAAUAUGUGAUUCUGGUGAUUAUUUAGUCAUGUUUUAUGGUUCGUUUUGUUGUAUACAGGAUAUGCAGUCUCAGAAGCUGAUUGGGACAGGCCGUAGAGAGAAUGGACUAUAUAUUUUGGAUGAGUUAAAAGUGCCAGUUGCUGCUGCCGCCGCUGCUACUACUACCGUUGAUUUGUCUUCCUUUCGUUUGAGUCUUUCAUCUUCUAGUUUUUAUUUAUGGCAUUCCUGUCUAAGUCAUGUUUCAUCCUCUUGUUUGAGAUUUUUGGCAUCCACAGGAGCUUUAGGAAAUUUGAAAACUUGUGACAUUUCUGAUUGUAGUGGAUGUAAAUUGGCAAAAUUUUCCGCCUUACCUUUUAAUCGAAGUAUUUCUGUUUCUUCUUCACCAUUUGAUUUGAUUCAUUCUGAUGUAUGGGGACCUUCUCUUGUUGCCACAAAAGGAGGGUCUCGAUAUUAUGUCUCUUUUAUUGAUGAUCAUACUCGUUAUUGUUGGGUUUAUUUAAUGAAACAUCAUUCUGAAUUCUUUGAGAUAUAUGUAGCUUUUCGAGCUCUUAUCAAAACUCAAUAUUCUACUAUGAUUAAAUGUUUUAGGUGUGAUUUGGGUGGGGAAUACACCUCUAAUAAAUUUUGCCAAUUGCUUGCCUUAGAUGGAACCACCCACCAAACUUCUUAUUGCUGAAAAAAAAACAUAGGCACAUUGUUGAAACUGCUCGUUCUCUCUUGUUGUCUGCCUUUAUUUCUAGUGAGUUUUCGGGAGAAGUUGUUCUUACUGUUGUAAGUUUAAUUAAUACAAUUUCAUCUUCUCAAGUUCGGGUCUGUCUCCUUUUGAAAAGUUAUAUGGGUAUGUUCCUGAUUAUUCCUCAUUUAGAGUCUUUGGUUGUACUUGUUUCGUUCUUCGUCCUCAUGUAGAACGAAGUAAGUUAUCCUCUCGAUCCGCUAUUUGUGUUUUUCUAGGCUAUGGUGAAGGUAAAAAGGGUUAUCGUUGUUUUGAUCCAAUAACUCAGAAACUUUAUGUGUCUCGUCAUGUUGUCUUCCUUGAGCAUAUACCUUUCUUUUCUAUUCCAUCCACUACUCAUAACCUGACUAAAUCUGAUGUUAUUAGUAUAGAUCCGUUUUCUGAGGAUUCUAAUAAUGAUAUCUCUCCCCAUGUUCGAUCAAUUGGUACUCAUAACUCUGUAGGUACUGGUACUUUACUUUCUGGCACACCUGAAGCUCCAUUCUCAUCUACAGCCCCUCAAGCUUUAUCUGAGAUUGUGGAUCCACCUCCAUGUCAGUCCAUCCAUAUUCGUAAGUCUACAAAACUACCAGAUUUUGCUUAUUCUUGUUAUUCUUCAUCAUUUACUUCCUUUUUAGCUUCUAUUCAUUUACUUCCUAUUCGAGCAAUUUUUUUUGUUUCAACUUAGGCUCUGAUUCUGACUUAGUUUCGUACGAUAUGACCAUCCUGGGUAUAUUCUGUCACUCAUUACAUAUUGAAAAAUUGACGUACACCUUUAAUAGGUCCUAUGGAUCAUUGUUCUUAGAGCAGUUUCUCAGUCAGAUUUGGAUGCUCAACAUUGUCGGAUCAAGAACCUUUUUGACCAACUAGAUUACUGCUAGAUUCUGUUCUCUAAAACAAUUUUAUCUCACUUCAACUCUUUCAUCAAAGAUGUAGUCCUGGACGUGUAGAUAAAUUUGGACUUUUGAAUCGCUUGAUUUCAAUAUCAUAAGCUCAAAAUAUUCUUGUUUGAAUAUCUAACGUGAAGGCAGAGAAUUCUGCCGCGAGAAGGAUAUUGACUCGAGUCUGCUCUAAAAAAACUCUAUUUUUGGCCUAGUUUUUGUGAUUUUUGUUCUUAUUUCAUACUCUCAGUCAUAUCAGGAUUCUCGGCAUUCGUCAGUUUUUGAGUUAGACCUGGAGAUCCCUUUUGACCAACUAAAUUACUGUUAGAUUCUGUUCUGUAAAACGAUUUUAUCUCACUUCGACUUCUUCAUUAAAGUUGUAGUCCUCGAUGUGUAGAUGAAUUUGGGCUUUUGAAUCACUUGAUUCCGAUACCAGAAGCUCAAGAUAUUCCCAUUUGAAUAUCUAACGUGAAGGCAGAAAAUUCUGCCGCGGGAAGGAUAUAGCCCAAGUUCGCGGGGCUGAUUCGAAGGAUUUUUUUUGGACCAAGGACUGAAUCAAAAAGUUUUAAAAUGAGGGAUUGAAUUGAAGAAGGAUAUUGAAAGCUGGAGAGGGAGGAUGGAUCAUCAUAAAUGAUAGGAUUUUUUCCACACCAAUAAGGAAAAUGAGACCUUGCAGCUGCACCAUCCAGCUGAUUUUCUUUCCUUUUUCGCUGCAAAUUCUUGCUGUUUUUCCUUUAUCAUCAUGUCUGAUUUUGGGAGCUGCAACCACGUUUUUUCUGGCCUCAUUUCAAAGGGAGCAGCUGACCCUAUGGAAGGAAAGAAAACAACCACACCCUCCUCUAAAACUAGAAAGAAAUCAGACGUAAAGAACCAGCAUAAAGUCAGAAUAUUGCAGCUUCCUUUUGCAUUUUUUUUUACUGCAAAUCAGUAGGGAUUUACGUCCUAGGAUUAAUGCAUUGAAUCCUUCUUAAAUGGAGACAUUUUUAGACUAUAUAUAAGCCCUCUAAUGACCUAACGGGGGCAGAAAAAGAGAGAGCCGAAAGAGAGUAAAAAAUAGCAGAAAGAGAGCAGAAAAAAUAAACGAAAAACGCAAGAGAGGCAGGGAUUGAAAAAACAUAGAUAACAGGGGAACAUUGAGAGUUUGUUUUUUUCUUUGAUCCUUUUCGUCAAAAAGAGAAAGGAGAAUAGGGAGGCAGGCGACAGUAAAACCAGAAAAGCCAAUAGAACAAAAGAGGAAGUCUUUCUUUGGUUUUUUAGAGGCAAAACGCAGGAGCUUUUCUAUCGGGUUGUGUCUCAUCUUUUGCAUUUGAAACGUGCAGGAUCUGCAGGUAUGAGUCCCGACUUCCUUCAUCUUUGUCAUAUUUAAAGCUUUGUUUGGUUUUUGUUUUUCUGUUUGUUGCUUUUUGUUUUGGGGACGUUUAUUUUCAUCUUAGCAACAAAGUGGCUUGCUUGCAUACUGUCCAUCCCAUGUCUUUGAGUUUAGUUUAUUAUCACUGUUAGAGCUGCGUUUUUUUUUUUGUUUUACUCCCUAGUGAUGAGAAACUGUAAGCUUUAAACAUCCCUUUCUCCCGUCGCUCAAUCGUUCUUUUGCAAUGGAACGCUAAUUAGAAGCAAGUGUUUAAUUAGGUGCAGAAGAGAGGGUUGAAAAAAAAACGUGAGGGAGAGUCCCUUUCUUCAGUUAAUGCCGAUUCUGGGUUCACACCGUUUUCUUUCUUUCUUUUCUUUUCUUUUGUUUUUUGAGUUUGCAGGGAGGGGUCAUGGUUCAUGUUGUAAUUUUAUUUAGCUUGAGGACCUCGUUUUUUUUAUAUGUUUUGUGCACACUGACUUGUGUUUUUUUUUAAUUGGUGUGCCGAAACUUGUUUAUUUGAGAUGAAUUGUUUUAAGCUUCUUGCAAAUUUUGGAAUAGGUGAAUAUUUUUUGUGAUGUUUGUUUAAUCAUGUUAUUCAUUUUUUUUUAAGAAAAAAAAUGGUUUUUUCUUGUGUGUUGCAUACGGCCAUUACCCUAACAUGCUUUGAAUUUUUUUUUAUAUAUAAAAAAAUAUUUGAAGUUUCGAAAAAGGUGUUUUCGCAUGGAUUUCGUAAACAUAACAAAAAUUAUUUUCUUGCAUUUCUGGAUUCUACAACAUGUUUGUAAAACUCCAAAGGGUAUUGGCCAAUAUUUCAAAAAAAAAAAUCCUUUUUUUUUGGGGGGGGAAUUCAUCUAUUAUUCACCGCUAAUGUUUGGAUAAAGAAAUUCUCAAAGGAUGAAUAUCCAAAAUAUUAUUGGGAGUAAUAAAUCCGCACACAUCCUUGAAAGAAGCCUUGAUUAUAAUCGAGGACAUUUCAAUUUUUUUACUCCAAGGUUUAUGAGCCGUGAGAGUAUAAAACAUUAAAAAAUAUAUCUAUAUAUAGGUUUUUUUUUAGCGCCCUAGAUUUCUAAGAUUUUUGUCCCUCCUCCUUGCGAUUUACGAGUGCAAACUUUUGAAAUACUAAGGGAAAAAUGAGCUUUCAAAGCACAUGGAAUCUCCUUGGAUUUCUAUCCUAAUAAAUUUAGUUUGAAUCAAAUCUAGAAAAACAGAUGGGAUUAGAAAACACCAACACUAUAGCAAUUAUAGCGCAAACCAAACACCAAGCAGCUUACCUUAGGUAGGGCGUACUAGGGGUGCUAAUACCUUCCCUUUACGCAACCAGUCCCUUACCUUAGAAUCUCUGAAAGACUAGUUAGGGUUCCUAGUGACCAAAAUACUAGGUGGCGACUCUCAUAUUCACAAUAAAACAAAAGACCCUGAAAUAAAUCGAAAGUCGUCGCUCCGCCACGAGGGUGCGACACUCCUAUUGAGGUUAAUGCAAGGUACUCUUCUUCUGAUGGUUUACCUUUGAUAGAUCCUACUUUAUACCGCACUAUUGUUGGGAGUUUGGUAUAUCUCAUCAUUACUCGUCCAGAUAUUGCAUAUGUUGUUCAUGUUGUUAGUCAGUUUGUUGCUUCUCCUACUAUUGUUCAUUGGGUAGCUAUUCUUCGUAUUUUGCGAUAUCUUCGAGGUACAGUUUUUCAGAGUCUUUUACUCUCAUCCACCUCUUCCUUGGAGUUGCGUGCAUACUCUGAUGCUGAUCAUAGUAGUGAUCCCACAGAUCGCAAGUCUGUUACCGGGGUUUUGUAUCUUUUUAGGUGAUUCUCUUAUUUCUUGGAAGAGCAAGAAACAAUCUAUUGUUUCUCAAUCAUCCACCGAAACAAAAUAUCGUGCCAUGGCAUCUACCACAAAAGAGAUUGUUUAGUUACGUUCGUUACUUGCUGAUAUGGGAGUUUCCUUUUCUCAUCCUACUCCUAUGUAUUGUGACAACCAGAGUUCUAUUCAGAUUGCUCACAACUCGGUUUUUCAUGAGUGAACUAAGCACAUUGAGAUCGAUUGUCAUCUUACUCGUCAUCAUCUCAAGCAUGGCACCAUUACUUUGCCUUUUGUUCCUUCUUCCUUGCGGAUUUCUUUACCAAGGCGCAUUCCAUCUCUCAUUUUCGUUUUCUGGUUGGCAAACUCUCGAUGCUUGUAGCUGCCGCAUCGUGAGUUUGAGGGGAGAUGUUAAAUAAUAUUUAUGUAAUCUUAUUUAUUAAGGGUAGAAUAGUACUUUCAGUUUAACCUAUAUAUACUUUAUUUAUAUUUAGGUUGAGAUUAUACAUUCAUAAUAAACAGAUUAUUCAAAAUUGUAGCCUCCUUUUUGUGUUUGAUCUCAAUAAGUUUAACAAUCAUAUUAUAAAACCUUUCAAUAUUUGGUAGCAUCUCUUAAGCAGUAAAUAUCAAUGGUGUAUCUAAUUAUCAAAAAGGUGUUAAUACCGUGUUAAAACACAACAGCUAGAAGUCAAUCAGUACCUCGUAGAGUUGCCAGAGUUUCGAGGCACGAAGUUCUCUUGUUGCAUAUUGUCUAUGUCAGGAAUUACAGCAGCUUGAUCGUCUUGUCCUUGAUUAGAAAGAAAUUGAAUCCUGAAUCCAAAAUCAUUCGCAAGCAUUAUGAAGCAUUACAAACUUAUGAUUAUCUAGCUGGGUUCAUGUUCAAGCUAUGAUGUUACUUUCCUCUUUGAAAAACUAUUUCUUUUUUUUUUUUACAGCAAAUACUAAAUAUGAAAAAUUGGAUACCGGGGAGCAGGAAAAGAAGGUCCAGAUUGAUUGAAGCCACCAUUUUGUGAAGUGGUUGCAUUCGGUGUCAUAUAGCCUUGUCCCGGAUGAGGUUCAGGAAUAUUGGAGUUCUGAUGCCUGAAUAAUAUUCAAAUAGUUAAACUUAGAACUGUUAUGCUCACUUGGUUGAUUUUCUAGUUCCAUUAUGUGCACACAAAAAAAAGAGAGAUAGAGAGCUCAAAAAUACUUGAAAGAUCCUCGUCAAUUUUGGUCAAGUUUAUUGUUUUCAUGAUUAAAAAAGUGUAUAUAUAUUCGAGGUUAAUACCAUUGAUUUAUUGGAGGUUGAGGUCCAGGUAACAUCGCAGGCACUUGAUUGCUCAUUGGUAACGGAUAAUUAGUCCAUUGUUGGUCCCUAAAUUAGCAACAUUUGUUAGUGAUUUCUUUAUACAUAUGCAUAAUUGUUAGCUAUUAAUCCACUAAGCAUUUGAUAUCAUUUUAGCUUACCUCAAAGGCAUUGAUGGUCCAGGUAGCAUGGGAUUGACACAUUGAGGAUCAAAUAAAUUAGGAUUAAGCUGAUACGGUGAUACCUACAUUCAAACAUAAUGAAUUCACUGAUAAGUACAACAACAAGAGGAAGAAAUGAAGAAGUCAAAUAAUGAUUGAAAAACUUCUUCUUCUUUUUUUUAACAGAAAAUACUAAAAAUGAAAAAUUGGAUACCGGGGAGCAGGAAAAAGAAGGUCCAGGUUGAUUGAAACCACCAUGUUGUGAAGUGGUUGCGUUCGGUGUCAUAUAGCUAUUUCCCGGCUGAGGUCGAUGGAUAAAGGAAUUAUGAUGCCUUGAUGGAGUUUGAGGCCAAUUUUAUAUAAAACUUAAUGAUAAAAAAAUAUCAUAAAAAAGUCUAAAUCUCCCAAUUGUUGUCUGUUUGUUUAACAAUAAACAUUUUGAAGAUGCUCGAGAUAAAUUGAUAAACGAAAACAUAAGACUUUUUGAUCCAAUGGGUGAUACAAACACUUGCUAAUUCAAUGGAAAUUGUAGCAAAUUGGAGUAGGCAUGAGCACUCACCAUGGUUUGAGGAAAUGAAGGUGGAAACUGAUCAGUUGUUUGCUGAAUACUAUCGUUGAUCACAUUGUUAUCCACCACCAUGUUCUGUCCAUCUUGAUCAUUGCAUAAUAUGGAGCUUUGGUUGCCUGAAAACUCCGGUGGCGACCUGCUUAAUUUGUUAUUAGGAACAUUAUUCUUUUUUGGGAAUAAUAAGAAAAACUGUAGAAUAACUAAAUUGCAAGUAAUCAUCUUCUGAUAAAAUAUGCUUAAGAAUGACGCACAAGAGAAACUCAGAUAUAUUGAAUGAAUCUUCUUGUGAUUGAAAAUCGAACUGAUUCGAUGUCAAGUUGACAUCAUCCUCAUUACAAGACGGUGGGACUCCUUCCAUCUGAGGUUUAAAAAAGAACAGAAAGCACAGAUUAGAUAAGAAUAUAUAUAUAGACACACACACACGACUUAUUUAUUUGUUAAAGAAAUUCGGAUGAAAAAUAGGAAAUAUAAAUGUUGCUGUUAAUUAUUUAAUUCUUUGUUUUAAUGCUAAAUUAUUUGUCACUUGUUGUGAACAAGUUUAAUGAAAGAUAAUUAAUACUGAUCAAGUUAAUUCAUGAAUCAGUAAAAAACAACUUCAUUGAAUCAUUAUGUCAGAAAAAUAUUGGAUAAAAAUAAUUAAUGGCAGUCCCACAGGGCAUGGAUUACAAAAUCUAGUAUUGGAAAAGAAAUCCCAUAUAUAAGGAGUUAAAAACAGCAAAGAAUUUUGAAAAGACAAAAACAAUGAAUUCAAGGUUUAGGGUUAAUUUGGUAUGAACACCACAAGGCAUAGAUUACAAAAUCUGAGAAAAAGAUCGAUUUAUUUAUCAUGGAUUACUUUAAAGAUUCAGACAAGAUGAAGUACAAUUAAUUUACCUGGAUUCAAGAUGUUCUUCAAGUGCUAGCUGGUUUGCUUAAGCAGUGAUCAGCCAAAAGAAAAGGAAGAGAAAUCACAGAUCAGAGAAUAAUAUAUGGUUUAGAAAAAUAAUAAAGAUGCAGUAUACAUAAAUCUAGUUCGCACUGAUCAUGAGAUGUAGAAAGGAAAAUAGGGAAUUGUACAAUGAGAUGAGAUGUGGAAGAGAAUGUUACAGCAGCUAGCUCUUUUACAUAAUAUUAUUUAUUAGUAAGGUCGCCUCAAUAAUAAUUAAUUAACGUAUUGUUUGAUAUAUUAUAAGAUAUAUAAAGUUAACGUGUGGACCAGCCCCAAUGUUGAAACUUCGAAGAAGCUGCCAAGAAAAUGUAAACAAAUUAAGGUUCCAUUUGUUUGCUGGAAAGUAUUAUUUUUUUUGAAGUAAAUUUCGAGUAAAGUGAAUUCCGGGAAAGUAUUUUCCGAUGUUUAGUGUAAUGAAAAAUGAGUUGGAAACACUUUCCAGUAUUUGGUUAUGUCAUAGAAAAUGUGUUGGAAAAUAAUUUAUUAAUAUUUUAUUUUUCUCAAGUUUAUUAAAAUAAUAAGAAACAAAUCUUACAAAUUAAAUGGUUGAAUGAUAAUGAAAUUGAAAAAAAAAUAUAAUUUCAUAAAUUAUCUCAAAUAAAAUAAAUAAUAAUCAAAAUAAUAGAGAUCAAAUCUAAAAAAUUAAAAAAUAAUAAAAGAUGAAGAAAUAAAAAUAAUAAUAAUCAACAUUUCAUAAAUUAUUUCAAAUAAAAUAAGUAACAAUCAAAAGAAUAAGGACCAAAUUUGAUAGAUAAAAAAUUUCAAUAAAAAUAUGAUAAGAAAAAAGCAAAUAGCAAUUAUAAAAAUAAGAACCAAAGUUAAUAUAAAAAUAAAAUUUUAAAAGAUGAAAUUGAAAAAUAAAUAUUCAAAACAAAAUAUAUAUAGCAAUCAAAAGUUUGAGGAUCAAAUUUGAUAUAAUCAGUAAAUAAUGACAUUUCUAAAUUUUUCACAACUCCCGGAAAGUGUUUUCCCCCCAAACUUUUCAGGAAAACACUUUCCUGAAAAGCAAGCCAAAUUUUUCUUUUACUGGAAAGUGUUUUCCAUUGACCAACUUUUCUACUGGCAAACAAACAAAAGAAAGUUUGGAAAGUGAUUUUUCCGGAAAUUACUUUCCGGAAAACAAACACAGCUAAAAAGAAAAUAUUUUCCUGAAAAUCAAGUCAAAUUUUUCUUUGACUGAAAAGUGUUUUCCGUUGACUAAAAAGUGUUUUCCAUUGACCAACUUUUCUAAUGAUAAACAAAUACAGGUGUAACUGGACGACAAAACAGAGUGACCAUUUCUUUUUCUAACAACAGGAAAGUUUGGAAAAUGGUUUCCCGGAAACUACUUUCCGGGAAACAAACAUGGCCUAAAUUUUCUAAAAAGAACAGCAUAUUUCUGCAUGCUGUGAAUUUUUUAAAAAAAUAUUUUUUAUUUAAAUAUAUAUUAAAAUAAUUUUUUAAUUUUUUUUUAUAUUGUCACAUAAAUACAAUUCAAAAAUAUUAAAUACAAACAGUCACUUGAUAUAAUUUUACAGAUUUUUAAUUAGUCUCCCUCAUUUGAGCCAUGUCAUGGUUAAUAGUUAUCAGAAGAACCAACACCCCGACAAAAAUAAUAAUAAUUUCACAGUUGAACAAUGUUUUUUAAAAAACUUGAUAUUUUUUUAUUUUAAAUUAAAAUUUUUAAUAUUUUUAGAUUGAUUUGACAUUUUAAUAUUCAAAAUAAAUUUUAAAAAAUAAUAAAAAUUAUUAUUAAUAUAUUUUUAAAUAAAAAAUAAUUUAAAAAAUAAUUAUUAUCACCAUCAAACAUUAUCUUAUUCCAUGAUAGCAUACCUGAACUUUUCCACAACAAUGGAAAUUAUUAUUUUUUCCAACACCCUUCUACAGAUUUAUAUUCUUAGCCCUCGACCUAUAAAGUAUGAUUUGCUAGCCAAUCUGCACACUAGUUUCUAAUUAAUACAAAGAUGAUCGUGUUUUUUUGUUGCCAAAAUUGUGGGCCAAUAAUUUUCCAUUUUUUUCCGAGUUUUUUAGUGAUUUUUUUUUAUCUCAAAUUCAUAAAUUAAAAAAUUAAUAAAAUAAAAUUUUGAAUUAAAAUUAAAAACCAAAAUUAAAAUGCAAAAUGCAAAAACUCCAGGGAACAGAAUUUUGAAAAACACACCAAGCUACUUUUUUAUUUCAGUAUCAUAUUUGGUGUUCAAAGUUUCAAUUAUUUUUAAUGAAUUAAAUUGAAUAAAAUUUUAUCAAAUCAAAUACCAACUUAAAUUAAUCGUUGAAGCUUUUUUUUUUUUUUUACCUUGAGAACUUCAUAAUUAAUUAAAAUAAAUUAUUAACCUCAAAUUCCCAUGAAUAUAAAAUUAAAAAUAAAAUAAUCAGCUCAAAUAAUAAUUAAUUAACGUAUUGCCUGAUAGUAAGGAAGUUGUCCGGAAGCAACCCACCGCUCACCUACCAAACAUGAGAGUGUUCGGAGAUUAUUUGGUUUUUUGUUUUUUAUGGCCAUAUAAAAAAUAUAUAUUUUUAAUUUUAAAAAAUAUAAUGUAUAUUUUAAAAAAUUAUUUUUUUAAUAAAAAAAUUAUCACAUCUCCGUACCAAAUACACAUAUUAUAUUAUAAGAUAUAAAAAGUUAACAUGUGGACCCCCACCAAUGUUUAAACUUCGAAGAAGCUGCCAAGAAAAUGUAAACACAUGAAAUUUUCAAAAAAGAAUAGUAUAUUUAUGCAUGCUGUAAAUGUUUUUUUAAAAAUAUUUUUUAUUUAGAAAUAUAUUAAAAUAAUAUUUUUAAAUUUUUUACAUUUUAUAUCAUAAUAUCAAAAUAAUUAAAAAUAUUUAAAAUAUAUUUUUAAAAAAUACAUUGGGAUUGUAAAGUUAAACCAGUUCUAACGUUUAAAUUGUUUUAAAAAUAUUUUAAAAAUAUAAAAAUAAACAGGGUUUAAGGUGCAUUUGAAUGUGUCUGCCUUUGAGUGUGUCUAUCAGAGCCGAGUGAUUUUACUUAACCAUGAAUUUUUUGUGAGACAAAUUAUAAUGAAUUUUUUUCUAUUUUACUAAUAUACCCAAGGUGUUUAUAACUAGAUGCUACUUGCUGAGGUGGAUAUUAGCAAUAUCAAAAUUAACUGUAAUGUUAAAACUUUGGAAAGCUAUUUGAGGCAACACCAUGCCCACCAACAUCACCCCAACAAAAAAAGAUGAAUUUUUGUACCUCCCAUAAAGAAAAUAGAUAGAGGUAUGAAAUUUUAUUCUAAAUAUAUUCUUAUAAAAAUUUUAAAAUUCCAAAUCAUGUACAUAUUCUGCACAUCACACAUAAUGACAUCUUUGUUUAGCGAUGGAGCACAGAGUUGAUCAUAAUAUAUAUCUUCCAUGGUCAAGACACAAUGGAUCUGUUGGUUGAGAUGGAUCUCCAUCACAGCCCAACAUCAUUAGCGCUUAUCAAAAGAAGAAGAUUUCGAAUCAGUCCAUUCAUUUCCAUCUGUAGGCAUCUUUCUCAAACAUCAAGGAGAAUUACUUCUAGAUUCUGAGUUGCCACUAAAAAACAAAAAACCCUUACGAACUAGUUCGUCUUCCAAUCCUUAAAUUAGUUUCCUCGUUGUUUUUCACAAUUUUUUAAGAAAAAAAAAUAAAAAAGGAAAAAUAAAAAUAUGAUCAUAAGCUAUAUAUCUAACACUCAUUUUAAAGAAAUUGAUAAUCCAAGAAUUUAAACCUAGCCAGUUAGCUAUAGGACACACAACUCGCUAGGGAUACGAUGAACCUUUUUUUGAUGGCCUUGUAACCCAGCAGAUUGGAAAAAAUAACAACGCUCCUAGGCCAAGCCCGCGAACAUCACCCCCAGCAUAUUGGAAAAAAUGCUCAUAACCAUUUCGGAAAAAACACACCUAGGCUACCAUGGUAUGCUAGAAAGUGGAAAUAAAUCGAUAAUAAUCAUGAAAUAAAUCGUAAGCAGAAAAGAAAAAUAAAUAAAAAUUGUUCAUACUACUCCAUCUUGAUUGAUGGGAAUGACUUCUGACUUGCAUACAUAUGUAAUAUGUAAGACUCCUGCUAAAAUUAUCUGAUAAAUUUUCGUGAAAAAAAAUAAUAAAGUCAGAGAACAACCAUGAAAUGCUUCUUAAAUUAAAUCAAAUGGAGAAGAAAACUCAGGUAAUAAAUGUUUAAUUCACUUUCAAGUGACAAUAAAGAAUGAAAGCAUUUCUAUUCAAUGAUAUUUCUUGGCUCACAAAUAAUCUAUCAACAAUUAUAUGAGAAUCAAAUCUCUCCAAUCACAUGCUCAACACUUAGAAAGCAAAUUUACAGAGUAAUAAGUCUAAUAAACUUCUUGAUGUAGUGCAACAGAUAAUUCUAAAUUUAUUAAAUAGACUCAUUAACAUUUUUUAUGUAUUUAUUGACAUAAAUAAUUCCAAAUUUAUCUAAUUAAAUAUAUACAAAACGUGGUUAGUAUAACUAAACACACUGACUUUUGGCUACCAAACUAGUUUUGGCAUUAAGUGGCUUGUCCCCAGAACCUGGGUCCCAAAUGCCAGCAACCGAACAUAAAAAGGUUUCAACCCCAUGGUGCCUUUUCCCUUGUUGUAAAUAUAAAAUAAAAUUUAAGUCAAGGAGGUCCAGUCUUAAAUGCUCCAAACAUUAUCCUUGUAUCAAGCUUAUGUGAUCCAAGAAUUCAUAUUUAUUAUAAAAUUAUAAUUUAAUAUGAGUUUUUAUCUUAUGAUUCAAGAAGUUUCUAUUGUAUAUUCAAGAAUUUUAAGUUUGUAGUCAAUUUUAUAAUUCAUAAAAAUAUUUGAUCCCUGAAUUAGUUUUCUAAAUGCCUUGCAUAAAUUCUUAAGAGUAAAAAUAUUUUAACAAUAGUUGUCGUGCUAAAAAUGAUACUCUAUUGAACUUUUAUUUCUAAUUCUAUUUUUUAAGUUUUUGAUUUUUGUAAAAUUGAUUGGAAAAAAAAAUCAGGUCAUGUGGGCGCUUAACUCGAAUCAGCAAAAUCAAAGAAUCAAGUGAAUAAUAAAUUUCAAUAUUCAGAGUUGAAGACCGGUGGAGCAAAAUCCGACUCUAGUCUAGAGCGUGUUUGGGAACGUCGUGCAAAUCGUAUUGCUUCAAAAUUAAAAUUUUAUUUGUUUAAAAUUAAUUUUUUUAUGUUUUGAAAUCGUUUUGAUGUGUUGAUAUCAAAAAUAAUUUUUUUAAAAAAAUAUUAUUUUGAUGUAUUUAUAAGGAAAAAACACUUUCAACCGCAAACCGCUCGUUUGAGAUUGUGGUAGUGAUUGUGGUUCAAAGUGUUUUUCGCUUAGAAAUACAACAAAAUUAUUUUUUUUUAUUUUAAAAAAUUAUUUUUGAUAUCAACACAUCAAAACGAUCUAAAAACAUAAAAAAAAAUUAACAAAAAAGAAAUUCAAAGUUUAAGUAAACAUGAUUUCCAUGGCAUUCCCCAAUAUGCCCGAAUCAAAGACAUUCUAAUCUCGUUACUUUUUAGAGAUCUCUUAAUUUUCAAGAGAACCUUAACCAUCCCUUUAUGCAAGUGUAUGCUUUGCCAAACAAUCCUUCAGGAGAAUGGGUUCUCAAACAUGCCAAAUUGUUUUUCAAAUAAUUCAAAAUUCCUAAAACAAACACUAUAUUAAAUUCAUCUAUAUCGGCAUGGGUUGAUCUAUCCAACCUAGUAAUAUGUCAUAGGAUUGGAAUCUGAUUAUGUAACAAUAGGGAAAAAAUGUCAGAUUUUUGUUUUUUUUAUUGGAUUUACUUUCUAUGUGGUCAAUCUUGCCAUUAUCAUGAGUUUCUAAAGUUAACAUAGGCUGAUUUUAAUAUUUUUCAGGUUUUUUUUUUAUUUUUUUAAUAUUAUUUUUUUAGAGUUGAUCUUUAUGAUUUUUUUAUGGAACAAUAGGGAAAUUUUUUUUAUAAAUUAUUUAUUUAAUUAUAUGAUAAAAAUAAAUGCUCCUCAAAUUGAGUAUCAUUUUUAAAAUAAUUCUAUAAAAAAUAAAUUAUAUUUAUUUAAGAUUAUAAUAAUUCUAUAAAAAAUAAAUAAAAAUAAAUCAUAUAGUUUAUUUACAAAGCAAUCUAAUAAUAUUAAAGAAUAACAUAAAAAAAUAAAAAAAAAUAUAUCAGAGAAAUCACAUAAGUUUGAUAGCAAGGAAGGAAGUUGCUGAGAAGGAACCCGCCGCUUACCUAACAAACAUUAUAUUAUAAGAUAUAGGAAGGUAACGUGUGGACCCCCUAAUGUUGAAACUUUGAAGAAGCUGCCUGUAAAAUGUAAACACGUGAAUAUGAGAAAGAAUAGCAUAUUAAGGUAGUAGAUAUCUCUUCCAUUUUUUUCCUCUUCAUAAUGCAUGGAUUUAAGUUGCUUGGAGAUUUCAUUAAUGAAAUUAUUAUUUUUUUAUUUUUAAUAUUAGUAUAUUAAAAAAUAUUUUUUCAAGAUAAAUAAUUUUUAAAAAUAUAUUCAAACACAAUUUUAAAUAUAAAAAUAAAUUAUGUCUUGAUUCUAUCGUAACAAUCUUCAUCUUCAAAGAUAAAUUAUUAAGAUCGUGACCUAUGUUCUCGAUUGAACUAGGAAGGUAUGGACUCUAAAUCCUAUAUAUAUAGAUAAAUUAGUAGAAAGGACAAAAACCCUAGUGCAAAAGUCCUAUAAACUAGCCAAACAAAUCAUACCCAGAAAAUCAAAAGCCAGAAACAUUCUAGCUCAAUUUUUGCUCCCCCUAGCUAAGAAAUGCAUAAUGCCCGCUUUGAAUUAUAGAUCAUCCAAAUUCCAGGGUAAAUAAUUGGAGAGUAAUUUGAUAGUGCUUAUAAAUUAAUUAAUGUCAUUUUAUUAAUUAUUAUUUUAUAUUUAUUUUAAAGAAAUAGAGAGAUAAACUAGAAGAAGAAAAAUCCAAGGUAAAAAUAUUCUUAUUAUUUUUUGUGUUUGUUUUUUUAAGUGAAUCCAAAAAAUAACCAAUAAUAAAUGACUAAUUACAUCCAAAGAAUAAUGCGGUGACGGUAGCACAGCAUUGAUUCUACAUGGGGACAAAUUAAAAGAAUAGAAGAAAAUAUUAAAUGAUUUAAUAGAGAAUAAAAUUUAAUUUUAAAUGCAAAUUAAAAUAAAGUAGAGUGACUAAUGGAGGAAGUACUGGAAUUCUACGAACAGUAGAGCGUCGGGAAUCCUUGCACACCUUUGGUAUUUUAAUUAUUCUUAUUUCGUUUAAUAACUCAAUAGGAUGAAAAAAAAAUAUUAAUCAAACUUCAAAUUAUAAUUAUUUAUCAUUUGAGUUAAAAAAAAAUAUGACAAUUCAGUAGUCUUUAAUGAAAUAAAAAAAAAUAAAAAAUGUUAUUUAUGUAAUUGUGCUUAACUUUACAAAGGGACGAAGGACAUUCUUUGCAUUAGGAUGCUCCCACUCCACUACCGUCUCCCACCAUUCUUUUGGAUAUACUAUGAUUUCUUCAAGAGAAGGGGGAGGAGAUGGCUGGCCAUUUUCAAGCAACGGAAGACAAAUUGGCAUCCUCUUCAGCUUCUGACAACGGAAUACAUUAAUUUCUUCAAGAGAAUUGCAAAUCAGUUUUGCACUACAAAUGCUUUUCAGUUCUGGUAAUUCAAAUAAAUUCAGAAUUCUUAACUUUGGGAGAAUGACUUCCGUGAUAGAAUUGGAGGUGCUGCUUUCUUCAUCUGUUGUUCCUAUUAUCUCCUCCAUUUUCUCACACUCAUUAACUUCAAUCACUUCCAGGUUUACCAGGUUUGGCAGCAACACAAGUGGGAACAGCUUCUUCAUACUUUUACAUCUAACAUAAUAAAACUCUUUAAGACCAGAAAACAUACCAUUAUAUGAUGGCAAUGGUGGCGGAUCAAAGCAGAAACAAGAAGAUGAAACCAAGCUCUCCAUGCUAUUGCAAUCCACAAUGUUGAUGUGCUCCAGUUCAGUUGCAUUCUCUAAUGACAAAACAUCACAUAAACUUCUUGCAUCGAUGCAUUCACAAACCAGUCCUUGAAUGCCAUUUAAGAACUUGACCUGAAAAUCUCCGUCUCCGUUGAUACUCAAAUUACCCAACCCAACUGUUUUACUUGGAAAAUUCAAUGCUUGCCAAAUACACCCACCUCUCCUACUAAAAUUUUGUAUGUGCUUAAUGAUUGGAUCCCAUCCCGAGAUCUGAGAUACUCCACGAAGUCAGGGAAACCUUCGAAAUGGCAUUCCAAAGUUUCUAAAUUUCUCAAGGAUCCUACUUCCUUUCCUUUAACUGUUAUCGGAGCAUUCGUAAAAUUUUCUAGUACAAAGACUUGCAGGUGAGAGAGUUUUGGUAAUAUCCCACUAGGAAACUCCUUUUCACCACAUCCAUGCAUUCUAAGAUACCUCAGGUUGGUUAGGCAUUCCAUUCCUUGCGGCAUCUUUGCAAGUGCCCGAGUAUCAGAGAGAUCCAACCUCUUCAGUGCCCUGAGCUUCUUUAAUGAUGGAACAUAUCUUAAGUUCUCACACAUUUUGAGCAAUAACGCAGUGAGACUCACCAAAUCAGAGACAGAGUCUGGCAAGUUUUCAAUACCUGUGCAAGACAGAUCGAGGACCUUGAGCCCAUGCAAUUGCUUGAAAAAUGAAUCCGCAAUCAAUGCAACUUUAUUUCACAUAGAAAUAGAGUUGAAAUGGACACUUGGUGAAUACUGGAAGGAAUUUCUUGAUCUUGUUUUUCAUUAGUGAAACUCGUCAGAUUCUCCGUCCACUCCUCUGCAUUUGGCAGCUCUUUUAAUUGCGCACCUGCUUUAACCAUAACUUGAGAGUUGUCUUGUAGUAUUUGGAUGGCCAUGUCCCUAAUCAAGUCAUGCAUCUUGACACAUCUACGACCAUCGUCCAUUUUAGCACUUUCCAAUAGGCAGACAUUUUCAAGUCUAUUAAGCAUCGUGUGGCCCUCAUCAAAUGCAUCUCCCCUGCUCCUCAUUCCUUUAAUUAUUCCCUCAUCAAUCAAAUAACCUAUCAACUCCUCCCUUUCAAUCUUACCAUCUUCAGGAAAUAAUGCACAGUACAAGAGACAUCGUUGUAGUGCUAAAUCACCUAACCGAUCAUAACUAAACCUCAAUAACUUGAAUACUUUCUCAUCUAUGUCCCUAAAUUCUGAUUCUCUCAAUUUGUUCAAUGUAUUUCUCCACUCAUGUAGGUCAUCCACUCCCCUCAAGCUUCUUGCUACUGUAAUAAUUCCCAAUGGCAAACCAUCACAUUCCUCUGCAAUAGCUUUUGCAAUCCCUUCCACUUCUCGCGAAAGUGCUUUGUCACGUCCAAGUUUCUCCAAGAACAAAUUCCAAGCUUCUCCAUCAGAAAGUGGCUUCACUUUGAUUUUGUGAUUGCAAGCAAUUCCAUGACAAACCGUUUCUAAUCGAGUUGUCAAAAUCAACUUGCAUCCUUCCAACUUCUCAGGAAUUCCCACUUUGUCUAGCUCAAAAUCAUUCCACAAAUCAUCUAGAAUGAGAAUCCAUUUUUGUUUCUUCAUUAGUUCUUCUGACAAUUUGGCAGCUCUAUGCAGAUCAUCAUCUUCGCUUGAAAGGUCUAGAUGAAGACGUUUAGCAAUAAGAUUCUGCAAUCUAUUAAUGCUGAAAUCUUGAGACACAGUCACCCACCAAACAUGAUCACAAAUAUCUGGUCUUUGUGGAAGCUCAUUAUGGAUAUGUUGCAGUACUGUGGAUUUACCAACUCCCCCCAUCCCAUAAAUGCCAAUGGUUGGGACUUCAUCAUCCAUUAACAAAGACCAUAUCACCUUCGUAUUCUCUUCGAAUGCUUGACCCACCGGCAUUGUAGAGCUAGUAGGUAAUGGAACUCCUCUAGUCUUGUUGUAUUUCAGACUUUCAGAAGAUCUAGCUACAGCACCAACCUGCACUGAUCUUCGACUAUUCUCCACAUCCUCCUCCACUGGUUCUGUCCUCACUCUAACCCGAUUAAUUCUCUCUUCCCCGGCACAUUGUUCCAGCACCCCCUGAACUCCCACUUGUAUCCUUCCAGCAGCCCCUGCCAAAUUGCCAAGUACUGCAUUGCUUUGUUCCAACGAUCGAUCCACUGGUUCUGUCCUCGGUCUGCUCUCGAGUGCCCCUUCGGAAACUCCAUCUUCUUGUGCUCUCAUUCCGGUCAUGCUUACUACGUCGUUUCCUGCUAUUGCAUGUGAAGUAAUCCUCUCUUCCCCUACUCCGGGUUCUACAUCCUGAACUUCUCUUUGUACCAUUCCAAUUCCUCCUGUGAUUUUAUGUCUUUUGUUGCCACCACACAUAGCUUUCCAGGCUGCUUCUUGAACUUCUUUAGGCACCCCACGACAAAUGGCAACAUUAUGCCCUUCCUCUCCUGAUAAAUGCCAUUUGAUCCUUGAAAUUGUGGUUUUAUUGGCAAAUGUAUGUGGACAAAACUUACACUUCAUGCUACCAUCAUCAGCCCUUUCAACAUAAUUCCAAAAUGAAUUCUUUGGUCCACCCAUUUCAACCUGUAGGAAAAAACAAAAGGGGAGGGGGGGGGUUUAAAAUAUAGAAUAAACAUAAGUCAAAAUAAAGAAUAAAAAUUGAUGCAAAUUACAGCAUAUCCGGAUGGAUGAGAAACUACUUCUUCAGUGUUGUUAUUUUGCUAUUAAGAUUGAUAGUUAGUUUAUUGCACAAUCAUAGAAGGGAAAUAUACGAGGAUAAUUCAGUUAGACUUCUUACUUGUUGAGUAUUUAAACCCCUAUUUUGACUUUGCAGGGAAGUGCCAAGGCCAGGAUUUGAGGCAUUUGGCCUAGCAGUUUGAUUUUGCAAUCCUCGGACUUGGAGGUUAUCCAUCUGUGACCUAUAUAUAAAUGAAGUGAUCAUAUUAUAAAACCUUUCCAUAAUUGGUAGUCUCUUUUAAGCACUAAAAGUUAAUGGUGUUAAAACACAACAGCUAGAAGUCAAUCAGUACCUAGGCACGAAGUUCUCUUGUUGUACGUUGUCUAUGUUAGGAAUUACAGCAGCUCGAUCGACUUGUCCUUGAUUAGAAAAAUAUUGACUCCUGAAUCCAAAAUCAUUUGCAAACAAUAUGUUUAGCUUGUUGGGUUCAUGUUCAAGCUAUGAUGUUUCUUUCCUGAUUGAAAAUCUAUAUUUUUUUUUUUGGAGAAAAUACUAAACAUGAAAAAUAGGAUACCGGGGAGCAGGAAAAGAAGGUCCAGGUUGAAUGAAGCCAUCGUGUUCUGAAGUGGUUGCGUUCGGUGUCAUAUAGCCAUGUCCCGGCUGUGGUUGAUGAAUAUUGGAGUACUGAUGCCUGAAUAAUAUUCAAAUAGUUAAACUUGGAACUGUUAUUCUAACUUGGUUGAUUUUCUAGUUCCAUUAUGUGCACAAAAAAAAACAGAGAGAUAGAGAACUCAAAAAGACUCGAAAGAUCCUCGUCAAUUCUGGUCAAGUUUAUUAUUUUCAUGAUUAAAAAAGUGUAUAUUCAAAGUUAAUACCAUUGAUUCAAUGGAGGUUGAGGUCCAGGUAGCAUCGCAGGCACUUGAUUCCUCAUUGGUAACUGAUAAUUAGUCCAUUGUUGGUCCCUAAAUUAGCAGCAUUUGUUAGUAAUUUCUUAUACAUAUACGCAUAAUUCUUUACUAUUAAUCCACUAAGCAUUUGAUAUCAUUUUAGCUUACCUCAAAGGCAUUGAUGGUCCAGGUAGCAUGGGAUUGGCACAUCGAGGAUCAGAUAAAUUAGGAUGAGGCAGAUACCUAUAUUCAAAUAUAAUGAAUUCAUUUAGUGUAAUAAAUUGGCAUCACUGAUAAGAAUAUUAGGCAGAUAAGUAGAACAACAACAAGAAGUUAAAUAAUUAUGAAUAUUAUGUACAAGAAGAAUUUAAAUAAUGAUUAUUCUCACUUAGUUGAUUUUCUAGUUUCAUUAUGUGAAGCAAAUCAGGAGACAGGGGAAACAGGGGACUCUUGAAAGCUGAUUAAAGCUUAUUAGCUGUGGUUAUUAUUUCCCAUUUAGCUGAUAGUUUCCUAGUCAGAUUAGUAUUAGAUUUCAAUUACGUAUUGGAUCGUAAGUCCUUAGCUGUAGGGUAUUUAAGAGGGGAACAGAACAAAAGAUGGGACAUUAUUUGUAUUCUUGGCAAUUACUUUCUUUAAAUACAAAUUUGAGUGAUUCCUCUACAUAAAAAUUCUGUAUUAAAUUAUUUAUUGUUCUUACUGGGAGCAACGAGAGGUUGUACCGGAGGGCAUUUACAUUAAUAUGUGCACAAAAAAAAAAGAGAAAGAGAGAGAGAUAGAGAGCUCAAAAGAAGUUAAAUAAUGAUGAAUACCUUGAUGGAGUUUGAGGCCAAUUUGGUUCAUUUUGGUUGAUCCGUGAUGAUAUGGAGCUUUGGUUGUCUGGAACCUCCGGUGGCCUGCUUCCAUGGACAGUGACAUUAUUAGGAUAAACGGAAGAAUAACUAAAUUGCGAGCAAUCAUCUUCUGAUAAAAUAUGCUUACGAAUGACGUACGAGAGAAACUCAGAAAUAUUGAAUGUAUCUUCAAUGGUGUAUCUAAUUAUAAAAAUGAAGUGAUCAUAUUAUAAAACCUUUCAAUAUUUGGUAGCCUCUCUUAAGCAGUAAAUAUCAAUGGUGUAUCUAAUUAUCAAAAAGGUGUUAAUACCGUGUUAAAACACAACAGCUAGAAGUCAAUCAGUACCUCGUAGAGUUGCCAGAGUUUCGAGGCACGAAGUUCUCUUGUUGCAUAUUGUCUAUGUCAGGAAUUACAGCAGCUUGAUCGUCUUGUCCUUGAUUAGAAAGAAAUUGAAUCCUGAAUCCAAAGUCAUUCGCAAGCAUUAUGAAGCAUUACAAACUUAUGAUUAUCUAGCUGGGUUCAUGUUCAAGCUAUGAUGUUACUUUCUUCUUUGAAAAACUAUUUCUUUUUUUUUUACAGCAAAUAGUAAAUAUGAAAAAUUGGAUACCGGGGAGCAGGAAAAGAAGGUCCAGAUUGAUUGAAGCCACCAUGUUGUGAAGUGGUUGCAUUCGGUGUCAUAGAGCCAUGUCCCUUCUGAGGUUGAUGAAUAAAGGAGUUCUGAUGCCUGAAUAAUAUUCAAAAUAGUUAAACACAGAACUGUUAUUCUCACAAAAAGAGAGAUAGAGAGCUCAAAAAGACUUGAAAGAUCCUCGACCUCGUCAAUUUUGGUCAAGUUCAUUGUUUUCAUGAUUAAAAAAGUGUAUCUUCGAGGUUAAUACCAUUGAUUCAAUGGAGGUUGAGGUCCAGGUAGCAUCGCAGGCACUUGAUUGCUCAUAAUUGGUAACUGAUAAUUAGUCCGUUGUUGGUCCCUAAAUUAGCAACAUUUGUUAGUGAUUUCUUUAUACAUAUGCAUAAUUCUUUGCUAUUAAUCCACUAAGCAUUUGAUAUCAUUUUAGCUUACCUCAAAGGCAUUGAUGGUCCAGGCACCAUGGGAUUGGCACAUUGAAUAUCAAAUAAAUUAGGAUUACGCUGAUACCUAUAUUCAAACAUAACGAAUUCACUGAUAAGUACAACAACAAGAGGAAGAAGAAGAAGGAAGUUAAAUAAUGAUUGAAAUUUUUUUUAUUUUUUUUUCAGAAAAUACUAAACAUGAAAAAUUGGAUACCAGGGAGCAGGAGAAGAAGGUCCAGAUUGAUUGAAUUCACCAUGUUGUGAUGUGGUUGCGUUCUGUGUCAUAUAGCGAUGUCCCGUCUGAGGUUGAUGAAUAAAGGAAUAAUGAUGCCUAAUUCAAUGUAGCAAAUUGGAGUAAGCAUGAGUACUCACCAUGGUUUCAGGAAAUGAAGGUGGAAACUGAGUUGUUUGUUGAAUGAUAUCGUUGAUCGCAUUGUUCUGUCCACCUUGAUCAUUGCAUGAUAUGGAGCCUUGGUUGACUGGAACCUCCGGUGCCGGCCUGCUUCCAUGGAAUAAUAUAGAGGAUAAACUAAAGUAACUAAAUUGCAAGCAAUCAUCUUCUGAUAAAAUAUGCUUAAGAAUGACGUACGAGAGAAGUGGUGAUUGAAGAUCGAAAAGAUCAUCAUCCAUAGAAGAUGGUUGGAACCCUUCCAUCUGACCAAAAGUACAAGAUGAUUAGUACAUGCUGAGGUGAAAAAAGAACAGAAAGCACAUAGCAAAGAAAAAGAAAAAGUAUUAAUUAAAUAACUCUAAAACGCGUGGUGUUUUCACUGUAGCCAUCAUUGUAUUUUUUUUUUUAACAGUUUUUCUGUAGCAUUUUUUUUUCUGCUUUUUUUUCCUACUUUUGUUUCUUCUUCAUUUUUUUUACAUUUUUUUUUUUUUUUUUUACCCAAAAUUUUCUUUUUUUUUUCUUUUUCAAAUUUUUUUUUCAAAAUUAUCUUUGCUAAUUUUUUUAAAUAUUGAGCUGGUUGAAAAUUUAACUAUAUAUCUUUUUUCAUUAAAACAUUCUGGAUUGCUAUAAUGUAUUCAUACAUUGUUUUUUUUUUCUUUCUGAUUUGUUUAUUCUUUUUUUAAAAUGGUCUUUGUAGAUUUUUUUUUAUAUUAAGUUGGUUGAGAAUUUAGCUUUGUAGUUUUUUUUUUUUUAAAAAAAAAACAAUAUGGAUUGCUACAGUGUUUCCCUACAUAGUUUUGUUUUGCUGUAGUGUUCCCCACAUAUUUUUUAAAAAAUUAUCUUUAUCGAAUUUAUUUUUUCAAUAUUGAGUUGUCUGAUAAUCUAGCUUUACCUUUCCCCACAUGGUUUUUUUUUAUGUUUUCAUUUCUUUUUCUUUUUUUCCUCAAUUGUCAUUUUUUACAUGUUUUUUUUUGUUUUUUUCAGAAUUAUUUUUGUUGAUUUUACUUUUUUUGCUAUUGAGCUGGUUGAAAUUUUAGUUUUUUUGGUUUUUUCUUUAAAACACUGUAGUUUUCCCCGUGUGUUUUUUUUCUCGCCUUUGUUUCCUUUUUUUUACAUGUUUUUUUUUCAUUUCUUUUACCCAAAAUUGACUCUUUUUUUUUUUUUAAAUAGUCUUUGUCAGGUUUUUUUAUAUAUUGAGCUGGUUGAGAACUUAGCUUUUUAGCUUUUUUUUUUAAAAAAAAAAAACACUAUGGAUUGCUACAGUGUUUCCCUUACAUGGUUUUUGUUUGGCUGCAGUGUUUCCCCCACGUGUUUUUUUUUUAAAUUAUCUUUGUCAAAUUUAUUUUUUCAAUAUUGAAUUGGUUGAGAAUUUAGCUUUAGCUUUCCCCAUGUUUUUUUUUUCAUUUUUUUAAAUUUUUCCCAAAAUUGUCUUUCUUCUUUAUAUUUUCUUUUUUUUUUCAUAGUUAUUUUUGUUGAUUUUUUUUUUUACUAUUGGGCUGAUGUAUAAUUUAGUUUUUUUUAUUUUUUUUCUUUAAAACACUAGAUUGCUGCAGUAUUUCUCUACAUGGUUUUUUUAUUAAAUAAUUUUUUUUUUAGAAUUAUCUUUGUCGAUUUUAUUUUUUUCAUAUUAAGCUGAUUAAGAAUUUAGCUUUGUAGUUAUUUAAAACACUGAAGAUUGCUACAGUGUUUUCCCACAUAAUUUUUGGCUUGCUACAGUGUUUCCCUAUACAUUUUUUUGUUGAUGUUUUUUUUUUUCAAAUAUGUUUUUGUCAAAUUUAUUUUUUUCAUACUGAACCGGUUAACAAUUUGGCUUUUUUUCCUUAAAACAUCGUUGAUUGCUACAGUGUUUUCCCAUAUGCUUUUUUUCCUUAUGUUUUUUUUUUUUAAAAAAAUUGUCUUUGUCGUUUUUAUUGUUUUUGAUAUUGAGCUGGUUAAAAAUUACAACUGUAGAUUUUCUCAUGAAACACUAUAGAUUGUUAUAGUGUUUCCCUGGAUGUUUUUUUUCCUUUUGUUUUUUUUUAUAUAUUUAUCAAAAUUAUCUUUAUUGAAUUUUUUUUUAAUAUUGAGCUGGUUAAGAAUUAUAGUUGUAUAUUUCCUCACAAAACACUACAGAUUGCUACAGUGUUUUUUUAAAUGAUUUUAACAUUUAGCUGGUUGAAAAUUUAGCUUUAACUUUCCCCACAUGUUUUUUUUUCUAUUUUUUUAUUAUUUUCUUUUUGCUUUUUGUUCUUCCAAAAUUGUCAUCUUCUUUUUUUCAUUGUUUUUUUUUCAUAAUUGUUUUUGUCGAUUUUUUUUUUAAUAUUGAGCUGGUUGAGAAUAUAGCUUUAUAGUUUUUUCCUUUAAAAUAUUGUGGAUGGUAACAGUUUUUUUUUAUAUGAUUUUUUUCACAAAUCCACAAUAAUGCACAAGCAUGCUACAAGCCCGCGGCAUUGCGCGAGCAUGUCACGCCUUUUAAUAAUAUAUUUACUUAUUAAUAUAUUAUAUUAUUAUAAUUAUAAAUAUAAAUAUUAUUAUAUUGUGUUAUAUUAUAUUGUAUUAUAUAACUAUUUUUUUUAAUGAAUUUUUUUUGUUUGAUUUAGUUUGUUAAUGUUAAAAAAAUUUUAUUUAGUUAUCAGAUUAUCAGAUUUAGUAUUAUAUAACAAGUUAUUUUUUUUAUUUAGUUUAGUUUGUUAAAGUUAAUUUUCUUUCUAUUUAAUUAUCAGACUUUCAUACUUUCAUGACAGGUGUCUUGGGCUUGACGGGUUAACUUGGUUUGAUGGGUUAACCCAGUUAAUUCUGAGUAAAUCCGUCAUUUGUUUUUCUAUUUAGUUAUCAAACUUUCAUGAUGUGAAUCCCAAGUUUUACGGGAUAACCUGGUUUAAAGAGUUAACCCAAUUAAUUCAUUUUUUUUUUCUUUUUCUUCAUUAGUUUUUUCCUUUAAGUUGAUUUUUUUUCUUUGUUUUUUUUUAAUUAAUCUAUUUAAUUAUCACACUUUUAUGACACGACUUUAUAGCUAGACCCACAUCCAAUAUUCUUGAGUCCGGUGUUGCAGUCAGGCUCACUUAAUCUUGGGUCAUGCAAGUUUAAUUUUAUUAUUAAUAUUAUAAAUAUUACUCAUAGGUCAGGCGUUGUAGUCAAACUCAAGAUUCUUGGAUAUAGCUUUGCAAAAAAACCCAAAAUUUUUAAAUUUUUAUUUGUUUUAAUAUUUUUUAUGCAAAAAAUAGACCCGCGGCAUCGCGCGCGGGUCAAGUAUCUAGUAUAUAUAUAUAAAAUGUUAAGAGUGAAGAAAGUUUGUUGGCGAUAUUAUUAAACCUCGUCAGGAGAGUUAAUAUUAAAAUCUUCUAACCUAACUUUUUAUUUAAUUUAAAUUUUUAAUUAAAUUAUAUGAGAAUUAACUCAGUUUAAAUCGAUCAAUAUCUAAAUACAACUUAGAAAACUAGUAAAACAUGGCUUAGCUUUUAAAAAAAUUUUCUAGACAAUAACUUUUAAAAAAACAAAUAUUGAAACAAUGACAGAUUUGAUCGAUCCCAGUCCCUCGCGACCUGGGUCAUGGAUUCUAUUGGGUUUGGUAAUUUUUUAUAAGCUUUUUUUAUUUAAUUAUAUGAUAAAAAUAGAUGCUAUCAUCCUAAAAUAAAUAUUUAUUUAAGAUUUUGAUAACCCUAUAGAAAGCAAACAAAAAUAAAUCAUUUAGUCUAUUUCCAAAUCAAUCUAAUAUUGAAAGACAAAAUUGAAAAACAAAAAUAAAAAAAAAUAAAAAAACAGAAACAAAAAAAAACAUAUUCGAUCAAUGGGUGAACCUGUCAAAUUUAUGAAUCAGGUAAUUUAGGCUAGCACAUCAAACCUAUGAACCAGGUUAUGGACUUAACUAGGAUUAUAAUUUUUUUUUUAAAUUAUUUUUAUUUAAUAAUAUCAUAACAAAAAUAAAUAACUGUAAAAUUAAAUACCAACCCAAUAUAUAUAUAUAUAUAUGCUAAUUUGGCUCAUAUAUGAAAUAGACAAAAAACGUUUUUUAAAAAAUGAUAAUAAAAAGGAAAGAAAAGGCAAAACAUUAUCGAUUACUAUUGUAAUCCAUAAUGAAAUGAGUGUGGGUGAAUAGUUAUUCUCUUACAUCUUUUAGUUAUAUAUAUGCUAAUUUGGCCCAUAUAUGAAAUAGACAAAAAAAGUUUUUUAAAAAAUGAUAAUAAAAAGGAAAGCAAAGGAAAAAUAAUAAAAAAGGCAAAACAUUAUCGAUUACUAUUGUAAUCCAUAAUGAAAUGAGUGUGGGUGAAUAGUUAUUCUCUUACAUCUUUUAGUUUUUCUUUUAAUUAAUAAACAAAAAAAUAUCCCACCAAACAAACUAGUGUAAUUUGAGUUAUUUUAACAAACUUGUAAAUCAAGUUAAUCUUAUAAAAAAAUAGAAUAAAAAUUAAUAAAUUAAAGCUGAAUUAUAACCAGCCUAUAAUUAAUAAAUUGUAAAUCCCGGCUGAGGUUGAUGAAUAAAGGAAUUAUGAUGCCUUGAUGGAGUUUGAGGCCAAUUUUAUAUAAAACUUAAUGAUAAAAAAAUAUCAUAAAAAUUGUGUAAAUAUCCCAAUUGUUGUCUGUUUGUUUAACAGUAAACAAUUUGAAGAUGCUCGAGAUCGAUACACUAAACAUAAAACUUUUUGAAUAAUACAAACACUUGCUAAUUCAAUGCACAUUGUAGCAAAUUGGAGCACUCACCAUUGUUUCAGGAAAGGAAGUUGGAAACGGAGUUGUUUGUUGAAUACUAUUGUUGAUCACAUUGUUCUGUCCACCUUGAUCAUUGCAUGAUAUGGAGCUUUGGUUGACUGGAACCUCCGGUGGCGGCCUGCUUCCAUGGACAGUGACGACAUUAUAUUGUUUUUUGGCAAUAAUUGGAUAAACCGAAGAAUAACUAAAUUGCAAGCAAUCAUCUUCUGAUAAAUAUGCUUAAAAAUGACGUACGAGAGAAACUCAAGCUCAGACAGUGGUGAUUCAAAGUUGUCAACCUCCUCCAUAAAAGAUGGUUGGAACCCUUCCAUCUGACCAGAAAAGAUCAGAAAAGACAAAAAAAAACUGAGGUCUAAAAGAACAGAAAGCACAGAUCAGAAAAGAAUAUAUAUAUAUAUAUGACUUUCUUGUUUGUUAAAGAAAUUCGGAUGAAAAAUAUGAAAUAUAAAUGUUGUUGUUAAUGAUUUAAUCCUUUGUCUUUUAAGAUAAAUUUUCAUACUCAAAUUCUUUUUAUGAUAGAUAGAAAGAUGCAGGAUAACUAUUGAAGGUAGAAGAGCUGAUUGUUUUGACGGGGUGAACAAAAACCUCUUUCAACUCCUCUUUAUUCAUAAUUUGGGGAGCAAAACAAAUGCAAGAUUCAUUGUUUACUGUUAAACAAACCUCUUUCAACUCCUAUUUAUUCUCUUUUAAUUAUUCUUAUUUUGUUUAUUGAAAGGUAAUUACCGAUCAAGUUAAUUCAUUGAAUCAUUGUAAGAAAAAAAAGUUGAAAAAUACUGAAUAAAAAUGAAUGGCAGUCCCAUUAAUUGGAAAAGAAAAGGGUGAAUCUAAAAUAAGGAGUUAAAAAAGGCAAAGAAUCUUGAAAAGACGAAAACAAUGAAUUCAGUAUUGAUUUAGUAUGAACUCUCUCCACAAGGCAUGGAUUAUAAAAUCCGAGAAAAAGAUCAAUUUAUUUACCAUGGAUUCCUUUAAAGAUUCAAACCAUACUUACAUAAUAAUUUACCAACAGGACUCAAGUGCUGGUUUGCUUGAGCAGUAUUCAGCCAAAAGAAAAGGAAGAGAAAUCACAGAUCACAGAAGAAUAUAUGGUUUAGAAAAAUAAUAAAGUUGCAGCAUACAUAAAUCUAGUUCGCACUGAUCAUGAAAUGUAGAAAGGAAAAUAGGGAGUUGUAUAAUGAGAUGAGAUGUGGAAGAGAAUGUUACAGCAGCAAGGUCGCCUCAAUAAUACUAUUUAUUAGUAAGGUCGCCUCAAUAAUAAUAAUUAAUUAACGUAUUGUUUGAUAGGAAGGAAGUUGCCACGAAGCAACCCAAACAUAUUACAUUAUAAGAUAUAGAAGCCCCCAUGUUCACACUUCGUAGAAGCUGCCAAGAAAAUGUAAACACAUGAAAAUGAGAAAGAAGCAUACCCCAUCUCGUGAAGUUCUACGUGUACGUAUUUAACUUUACAAUAUUCUUUGCUGUGAAAAUAUAUCAUGUAUAAUUAAUAAAUAAUAUAAGUGCUUAUACAUCUUCUUUUCUUUUCUUUUUUUAACUUUAAACAGAGAGGUGGCUGCCCCAAUACAUUCGGCCUGCCGACACUUAUUUUUUUGGGAGUAUUAAUUCCGUGAUGGAAUUGGAGGUGCUUCUUUCUUCAUCUGUUAAUCCUGUUAUCUCCUCCAUUAUCUCACAAUCACUAGCAUCAAUCAUUUCCAGGUUUAUGAGGUUUGACAGCAACACAAGUGGGAACAGCUUCUUCAUACUCUUACAUCCAUAACAAUAAAACUCUUUAAGACCAGAAAACAUACCGUCAAUGCUACGGGUUGUUGCAAAGUAAAUAGGAAACUUCAUCCAUAGACAAAUCUUUUCUGAUCGGGUUGCAAGAAUAUCUAGACCAUCUAAAAUCAGAACCAAUUUCUGUUUCUCCAUUAUUUCCUUUUUCAAUUCUACCACCCUAUGCAGCUCCUCAUCUUCAUUAGAAAUAUUCAGACCAAUACGUCUUUCAUUUCCACCAUGUUCUGCACAUCACACAUAAUGACAUCUUUGUUUAGCGAUGGAGCACAGAGUUGAUCAUAAUAUAUCUCUUCCAUGGUCAAGACACAAUGGAUCUGCUGGUUGAGAUGAAUCUCCAUCACAACCCAACAUCAUGAGUGCAAAUAAUGGUGGAGCCAGAAUAAAUAAAAAGCAAAGAUUUGCAUGUGGCUAGUGAAGGAGAAUGAUGCUGGCAAAGCAGGACCGACAAUGGAACUCCAUGAAGAACAGCAAAAAAAGCAUGGGAUUUUGACGGUGCCGCUCAAAAGUGUGGAUGCGGUUUACGAGGUUUGACAGCAACACAAGUGGGAACAGCUUCUUCAUACUCUUACAUCCAUAACAAUAAAACUCUUUAAGACCAGAAAACAUACCAUUAUAUGAUGGCAAUGAUGGUGGAGCAUUGCAGAACCAAGAAGAUGAAACCAAGCUCUCCAUGCUAUUGCAAUCUUGAAUGUUGAUGUCCUCCAGUUCAGUUGCAUUCUCUAAUGACAAAGCAUCGCAUAAACUUCUUGCAUCGAUGCAUUCACAAACCAGUCCUUGAAUGCCAUUUAAGUACUUGACCUGUAAAUCUCUCUCUGUUGAUACUCAAAUUACCCAACGCAACUGUUUUACUUAAAAAAACUCAAUCCUACCUAAUUUAUUUUAAAAAAAAAUUAUGUUUUUUUUAUUGCGGCAUAACAGUGUUGGCAGUACCGUUGUUGUUUGGAGUUUGGAGUUUGGACUUUGAGCAGCAGUAGAUAUCUCCAGCGUACUGUUACCUGCCGGCUAGAAAAGGUAUGUUGCUGUUUUUAAGUUUACUAGAGAGAGGGCAGAAAGCCUUGAGAAAAUAAUUUCACAUUCUGUGUGGUAGAAACCUGAUUCCACCCAAAAAAAAAAAAUAACACGGUAAUUGAAGCAAAUUAAAAGAAUAAAAGAAAAUAUAAAAUGAUUUAAUAGAGAACAAAAAUUAAUUUUCAAUGCAGAUUAAAAUAAAGCAAAGUGACUAAUGAAAAAGGUACUUAAAUCCUACAAGCAGCAGAUAGAUAGUCGGAAUCCCUUGCGCACACAUUUGAUAUAUAGAUAAUUAAAUCAACAUUAAACCAAAUUAAUGUAACCCUUUUGAAAAAUCAUCCACUCCUUUUUCAUCAGAGACUAACUUGUAGCCCUUUACGAUACCUUUCCAACGUAUCAAGAAUCAGAGCAAUUCGAUAUGUGUGUGGAAAGUUACGAUUAAAAUACUUUAAGUGUAUCUAGGUUAUUUCUAAGAAAAAAAACAUUACUUUAAGUUUAUCCAAGCUGCUGUUUAAAAAGUCAAGAAAAUAAAGUUUUCGAUUAAAAUAAAAUAAAAUAAAAACUUUGAGGGGAAAAAAAAGCACGCCUAUGAAGCUUGAUAGUAUAUCAAAUUAGAGGCUCGAUUAAAAAAUGCCCUUUAAUUUCUAUUAUUUCUAUUCACAUUUUAGCAUUUUAUUCCAAUGACAGAGCAUUUGGAAUGCACUUUCAUAGACUCAUCAAAACCCCAGGAACGCCAUCAAGCAUUAGCUUCAAACAACCAGAUCGGGAGCUUCAGUGCAGUAGAAAACUUUAACAUCUGCUAUGAAGCUUGAUUUGCUAUCCAAUCCACACACAAGUUUUCCAUUGAUACAAAGAUACUGUAUUUUUAACCAUCUAGUAAGUGAUCCAGUGGUAAGAGUUAAGGACCAAAAAGUUUGUUUUUUCUUGUGAUUUCAGGUUCAAGCCUUAUUGUUGCCAAUAUUAAUGGUCACGGGAGACUUACUUGGUCAUUAACUUUAAAAUCCGUGAGAAUUAUUCAAGGUGCGCGUAAGUUGGCCUGGAUACUGUAUUUUUAACCAUCUAGUAAGUGAUUUGCUAUCCAAUCCACACACAAGUUUUUCAUUGAUACAAAGAUACUGUAUUUUUAACCAUCUAGUAAGUGAUCAAGUAGUAAGAGUUAGGGACUAAGAGGUUUGUUUUUUCUUGUGAUCUCAGGUUCGAGCCUUAUUGUUGCCAAUAUUAAUGGUCACGGGAGACUUACUUGGUCAUUAACUUUAAAAUCCGUGAGAAUUAUUCAAGGUGCGCGCAAGUUGACCUGGAUACCCCCAAUAAAAAAAAAUAUUGUAUUUUUGUUGCUGGGAAAUUGUCAACCAAUAACUUUUUAUCUUGUUUCCAAGUUUUCUAGAUGACUUUUUUCUUUCAUCUCAAAAUCAUAAAUAAAAAGUAAAUAAAAUAAAAUUUUGAAUCAAAAAUAAAAAUAAAACAAUAAAACAUGCAAAAAGUCUAGGGAUCAAGAUUUUAAAAACCAAGCCUAUGCUACUUUCUUGUUUUAAAUAUUCAAAACAAGGCUCCAUUAUCAUAUAUUCAUAGAGACAUAUAUACCAAUGUAGCUUUUGAUGUUUACCGGUUUGGAUGUCUAUAUGCUUUUAAAUAUUUUUUAAAAUUUAUAUUUGUUUUUAAAAAAUAUUAAAUUAAUAAUUUUUUUAGUUGUUCUUAAUGAUUUUGAUGUAUUGAUAUUAAAAAAAAUCUAAAAAAUUAUUUUUAAAAAAUACUUAUAUAACAUUAUCAAACACAUGAUAACCUUGUCCAAAAGCUUUCUACCGAGCAUAAAAUGGUUUUCAACCCAAUCAUACUUUGUCCUCAUUAUAAAUAUAAAAUAAAGUUCAAGUGAAGUAGGGUCCAAUCUUAAAUGGUUCAAACAUUAUUGUUAGAACGUGACAGUGUCCCAUCAUUAGUAGUGUAGCACGUGCCAUGUCUUAAGCUUAUGUGAUCCGAAAACAAGGCAAUUGGUGUUUGAUGAAAUUAGCUCACUAAAAAUAAAAUAAAAUAAAAUCCUCUGUGAACUAAUUAAUUACUCAAUUAAUUCCUAAAUUAGUUUUUUUUAUUGUUUUUCACAAAAUUUAUAAAAAUAAAAAUAUUUUAUUAGAUAUUUUAGAUACUCCACUAUUAUAAUAUUUUAUUUAAGUUUAGAUUUUUAUUUCAAAAUUGAAUUUUAUUUAAUGUAACAAGUAUUAUGAUGUUUUAUUUUAUCUGAUAAAUUUUGAAGUAUUAUUUGAUUUUAUUAAUUUUUAAAAAAUAUAUUUUAAAAAAUUAUGAAAUGAUGUGCAAAAUUUAUAUGUUCCAAAACUUAACAUAAAUAUGAUGUUUUUAUAGCACUGCUUUUACAUUGUCGGUCAUGUACCCUAAAGUCGUUUCAUCACAAUAAUGAACAAUACAACAAACAUUGUUGCUAUGCCUAACUCUUGAUUGUCUCCGGUCCUCCAAGGCAUUCCUCCACUCCUUGGUUAACUAUCUCAUGGAGGUUAACUCCCUCCAACUCUCCUACCGAUAAAGUAAGGAAGCCAUUUACACUUCAUAAGAAACCCUAAUAUAACAAACAGAGGAUCUGUAAGUUUCAGAGAACGACAUCAAUUUAAUUACGCGAAGUUCAAUCUUUUUUCCUCUACAAAUUAAAUCAUGUACGUAAACCUGUUACCUACAUUUUGUAAUAUUUCUGGAUCUGCUCUUUGAUUCAUCAAGGACAGAGUUGAUUGCAGCUUCGUCAUAGAAAAGUUCGUCUUCUUCAUCUUCUUGGUUGGCGAGGAAAUAUAAGUGGACUCUUCUCCAGUUUAAGGAUUCCAACCUAGCACAUGAAUGAUAAAGGGCAGAGUCAUCAUUUAAAUAAUAAAGGGACGAAGGACAUCCUUAGCAUUAGGAUGCUUCCAUUCCACCACUGACUCUCACUAUUCUUUUGGAUGUACUCCAUCACUCUAAGAGAAGGGGGAUGAGAUAGCUGGCCAUUUUCAGCAUCUGACAAUUUGUUAUCCCAAUUUAUUGGAGAGAGUCGCAGAUCAAACUCUUUAAAAAUAGAAAUAUACCAUGAUAAGAUGGAGAUGAUGGUGGAGCGAAGCGGAGCAGAGCCAAGAAGACGAAAUCAAGCUCUCCAUGUUAUAGCACUUCCAAAUGUUGAUACUGGCAUUUAUUGAAAUGAAACUUAAAAUCAACUGUUUUGAAGCCAUUUGAUAGCUAAGAACUCAGAAUCCAUGAGAUGAAGUAUUUGGCAAAGCCUUCCCCGUGAUUGGAGCAACCUCACUAAUUUAUCGACGAAAUGGCUAAAAUUGUCUACCUCUUAACUAAUCUUUAGCAAAUUAUCUGAAUUAGGUUUUACCGAAACGAAAAUAAUAAAUUUGUUCUAUUACUAUCAACUGCCAGAACUCCUGACAAGUAAUUACGACCAGUUUUUUAACAUCCAAGCUCUUGUAAUCUCACAAACGCUUGAGACCCAAACCCAAUCAACAGAUCAGAGAACCUUCAUUUGUUAAGGCUCCAUGCACCAGAACCGGAGAAGGAGCUAGGCUGCGGGGUGUUCGAUGGUUGAAAAGGGAACGUGAAUUGUGCUGGAGAGCAUGCCGGUGGCGAUGUGUUUGGAGCUUAGCCUGGUGCUCUCCAAAUCCUUACUAAAUUAUUAGAAAGUAACAUUAUAACAUUUUUAAAUCUGUUUAAAUUUUUUGGUUUAAGAUAAUUUUUUAAUAUUAUAAGUCAUUUAUUAAGUUAAUUCAAAUUAAUUAUUUUUAUUAAAAUAAUAUCAUUUCAUUUUUUUAAUUAAUCUGGUCAGAUAUAAUAACUAGGUUUGAUUGAAUCGGUCAAAUUUUACAAAUCAAUAUCUUAUAUGGUUUAAUUAUAAACCCAAUCUAAGUUAAAUUUUGGCUAAAGAAUACAUUUUGGAGAGUUGAAUCAAUAAUAUUGCUUUAUAUCACAGCUAGGCAGAUAGCAGAAGGCUAGUGACUGCUGGGCAGAAAGCCUUAAUUAGGAAAUAACUUCAUAUUCUGGGGGUAGAAACCCCACGAACGCAAUCAAGCAUUUGCUUCAAACAAUAAGAGGGAGCUUCAUUGCGGUAGGAAACUUCAACAUCUAUUAUAAAAAUGCAAUCAAACAUAAUUCUGAGUACAAAAACAAAUUACGUUUUGAUUGCGAGCAUAACAAUCUUGGCAGUAAGUACCAUGAUCUUUUCCAAUUGAGUUAAUCCCACAUUGAAAAGAUACUAUGUUAUCUUUUUAAGUUGAAGUAUUUAAACCAAAAGGUUUUUUAUCCCACAUUGAAAAAACAUGAUGUUUUUCCUUGGAAACAUAGAGUUUAUAUGCUAAUGGGUUUCAAAUCCCACAUUGAAAAAACAUAACUUUUUUCAUGGGAAUAUAGAGUAUAUAUAUGAAAGUGCUUCAAAUCCGACAUUGAAAAGAUAUUAUGUUAUCAUUUUAAGUUGAAGUAUUUAAAUCAAAAGGUUUUUUUAUCCCACAUUGAAAAAACAUGAUUUUUUCCUUGGGAACAUAGAGUAUAUAUACUAAUGAGUUUCAAAUCCCACAUUGAAAAAACAUAACUUUUUUCAUGGAAACAUAGAGUAUAUAUAUGAAAGGGCUUCAAAUCCCACAUUGAAAAGAUACUAUGCUAUCCCUUUAAGUUGAAGUAUUUAAACCAAAAUGUUUUUUUAUCCCACAUUGAAAAAACAUGAUUUUUUCCUUGGGAACAUAGAGUAUAUAUACUAAUGGGUUUCAAAUCCCACAUUGAAAACAUAUAAGUUUUUUCAUGUGAACAUAGAGUAUAUAUAUGAAAGGGCUUCAAACCCCACAUUGAAAAGAUACUAUGUUAUCAUUUUAAUUUGAAAUAUUUAAACAAAACAUUUUUUAUCCCACAUUUAAAAAAAAAAACAAAAAACAAGUCUCGUCUGGGUUCGCCCGGGUUUGGCCGGGCUGUUGCCACAACCGGUCUUUUAUUAAACCCGGACAGGUCCAGCCACCGGGUCCCGGGUCGACCCGUCGGGCCGGGUUUAAUAACACUGCUUUUAAACCCUCUUUUUCAUCACGUCCCCAUGGUCCCCGUGUCCCACAUGUUUUCAUCAAAAACCAAAAUUUUAGGACUUCUUUGGCAGCCAUCUAAAAAUAUAUAAAAAUAAUAUUUUUAAUUUUAAAAAUUAUUUUUAAUCAAUACAUUAAAAUAAUCUAAAAAUAUUAAAAAAAAUCAAAAUUUUAAAAGCACAAGCAUUCCCAAACAAGGUAAUGCGUCAAGAAUCACAACAAUAUGACAUGUGAGUGGAAAGUUGUGAUUAAAAAGCAUUACUACUUUUAGAGUGAUUUUUGACAGCGUAGCAGGAAAUGUCAUUAUUGUUAUUUUUAAAAUAUUUUUUUUAUUUAUAAAUAUAUUAAAAUGAAAGUUGUUAAUUUCGUUUUGUUUUAUUUGUAAUGAUUUCAUACCAAUUCAACAAAUAAAAUAAAACAAAAUAAUUUUCAUCUCAUUUCAAAUCUCGGUCCCUUCCAAAUUUUUCGGCUAAAUUCCGUUCAGAAUGUUCCGGUUUCAUUCCACAUGUUCUGUUCCGGUUUUAAAAAGCCAUUGAAUCAAAUUGAACCUGGUUCAAUUAAUUAAUUAAACAUCAAAGUAUAAAAAGCUCUUUUUCAUUACUAUUUUCAUUAACUAUGAUAUUAAUUUUUUAAAAUUUGAUUUAUCACUAAUAUAUAUGGUUUAUAUUCAUGUUGUUUUUUUUUCAAGUUUAUACUUUGUAGGAAUUUAAGCAAAAAAAAUAGAUGUUUUAGAUCUCAUUAGCCUUGAUAACAUUGACCUAGUUUUAUAUUUAAAAUAUUAGUGUUAAAAUAUUUUAAUUUCAUAAUAUUUUGAUAUUUUAUUGAAGUUGAAUUGUUUUAAGUUAAAAAAUUAUUUAAUCUUAACUAUUUAAAAAUAUUUUAAAUUUUAAAAUUAUAUUUCAUCACGUCUCCAUGAUCCCCGUUGUGUCAAAAACAAAUUGCCUAAAUUUUAGGCUUUAGCAGUUCCUUUUUUAAAAUCCUCAUUAGUGAAAUUUCACGACUCCAGCUGGGCCUUGACUUGUCUGUUUAAUUUUUAUUAUUUUUAUUCCAUUUUAGCAUUUCAUACUCAUCAAAACCACAGGAACGCAAUCAAGCUUUAGCUUCAAACAACCAGAGGGAGAUUUUAUAGGGAUAAAAUUUUAAAAAUCACGCCUAUGCUACUUUCUAGUUUUAGUAUUAAAUUUAGUAUUUAAAAAAUGUGUUUAUGAAUAUGGCAGUUUCAGGUUUAGACAUUUUAAAAAUGUGUGUAGAAGAAUACUUUCACUGAUGAUUUAUAAUAUUAGGUUACUUUAAUGAUAAAUCAAUAUAGUAUUUUUUUUUUAUUUUUUGGAUUUUCAUCUUGGAGAAAUUCAAUAGGAUGAAAAUAUAAUAUUAAUCAAACUUCAAAUUAUGAUUGUUUAUCUAUCGAGUUAAAAAAAAAUAUGACAAUUUAAUAUUCUUUAAUGAAAUAAAAAAAUGAAAAAUGUUAUUUAUGUAAUUGUAAGCAUACUAUAUUAUAUUACUUUAUAAAGGGACGAAGGACAUCCUUUGCGUUAGGUUGCUCCCACUCCACUACUGACUCCUACCAUUCUUUUGGAUAUGCGUCGAUUUCUUUAAGAGAAGGGGGAGGAGAUGGCUGGCCAUUUUCAAGCAACGGAAGACAAAUUGACAUCCUCUUCAGCUUCUCACAAGCCAUUACACUAAUUUCUUCAAGAGAAUUGCAAAUCAGCUUUGCACUGCAAAUGCUUUUCAGUUCUGGUAAACCAAACUUUGGGAGAAUGACUUCCGUGAUGGAAUGAGAGGUGCUGCUUUCUUCAUCUGUUGUUCCUAUUAUCUCCUCCAUUUUCUCACAAUCAUUAACUUCAAUCCUUUCCAGGUUUACGAGGUUUGGCAGCAACAUAAGCGGGAAUAGCUUCUUCAUACUUUUACAUCCAUAACAAAAAAAAUCUUUAAGACCAGAAAACGUACCAUUACAUAAUGGCAAUCGUGGUGGAGCAGAGCAGAACCAAGAAGAUGAAACCAAGCUCUCCAUGUUAUGGCAUUUCCGAAUGCUGAUGCGCUCCAGUUCAGUUGCAUUCUCUAAUAACAAAACAUCACAUAAACUUCUUGCAUCGAUGCAUUCACAAAACAAUCCUUGAAUGCCAUUUACGAACUUGACCUGAAAAUCUCCAUCUUUGUUGAUACUCAAAUUACCCAACCCAACUGUUUUACUUGGAAAACUUCAAUGCAUUGCUCUAUAUCUACCCACCUCUCCUACGAAAAUCUUGCAUGUGCUUAAUGAUAGGAUCCCAUCCCGAGAUCUGAGAUACUCCACGAAGUCAGAAAAACCUUCGAAAUGGCACUCCAAAGUUUCCAAAUUUCUCAAGGAUCCUACUUCCUUUCCUUUAACUGUUAUCGGAGCAUCAUCUCCAUAAACUUUCUAGUACAAAGACUUGCAGGUGAGAGAGUUUUGGUAAUAUCCCACUAGGAAACUCCUUUUCACCACAUCCAUUCAUUCUAAGAUACCUCAGGUUGGUUAGGCAUUCCAUUCCUUGCGGCAUCUUUUCAAGUCGAGUACGAGAGAGAUCCAACCUCUUCAGUGCCCUGAGCUUCUUUAAUGAUGGAACAUAUCUUAAGUUGUCACACUUACGGAGCAAUAACGCAGUGAGACUCACCAAAUCAGAGACAGAGUCUGGCAAGUUUUCAAUACCUGUCCAAGACAGAUCGAGGACCUUGAGCCCAUGCAAUUGCUUGAAAAAUGAAUCCGCAAUAAAUCGCAACAUAUGAUUUUUACAUAGCAAUAGAGUUGAUAGAAAGGGACACCUUGGUGAAUAGCUGGAAGGAAUUUCUUCGAUCUCGUUUCUCAUUAGUGAAACCAUCGUCAGAUUCUCCGUCCACUGCUCUGCAUCUGGCAACUCUUUUAAUUGCGCACCUGCUUUAACCAUGACUUGAUAUUCGUCUUGCAGUAUAUGGAUGGCCAUGUCCCUAAUCAAGUCAUGCAUCUUGACACGUCUAAUAUCAUCAUAAUCCAUUUUAGCACUUUCCAAUAGGCAGACAUAUUCAAGUCUAUUAAGCAUCGUGUGGCCCUCAUCAAAUGCAUCUCCCCUGCUCCUCUUUCCUUUAAUUAUUCCCUCAUCGAUCAAAUAACCUAUCAACUCCUCCCUUUCAAUCUCAUCAUCUUCAGGAAAUAAUGCACAGUACAAGAGACAUUGUUGUAGUGCUAAAUCACCUAACCGAUCAUAACUAAACCUCAAUAACUUGAAUACCUUCUCAUCUAUGUCCCUAAAUUCUGAUUCUCUCAAUUUGUUCAAUGUAUUUCUCCACUCAUGUGGGUCAUCCACUCCCCUCAAGCUUCCUGCCACUGCAAUAAUUCCCAACGGCAAACCAGCACAUUCUCUAGCAAUAGCUUUUGCAAUUCCUUCCACUUUUGGUAAAAGUGUUAUGUCACGUUCAAGUUUUUCCAUGAACAAAGUCCAAGCUUCUCCCUCCGAAAGUAGCUUCACUUUGAUCUUGUGGUGGCAAGCCAUCCGAUGACAAACCGUUUCUGAUCUAGUUGUCAUAAUCAGCUUGCAUCCUUUCAAUAGCAUAGGAAUUCCCACUUCAUCAAGCUCAAAAUUGUGCCACAAAUCAUCUAAAAUGAGAAUCCAUUUUUGUUUCGUCCUUAAUUCUUCUGACAAUUUGGCAGCUCUAUGCACAUCAUCAUCUUCGUUUGCAAGGUCUAGAUGAAGACAUUUAGCUAUGAGAUUCUGCAAUCUAGUAAUGCUAAAAUCUUGAGACACUAUCACCCACCAAACAUGAUCACAAAUAUCUGGUCUUUGUAGAAGCUCAUUGUAGAUAUGUUUGAGUAUUGUCGUUUUACCAAUCCCCCCCAUCCCAUAAAUGCCAAUGGUUGAGACUUCAUCAUCCAUUAACAAAGACCAUAUCACCUUUGUAUUCUCUUCAAAUGCUUGACCCACUGGCUUUGUGGAGCUAGUAGGUAAUGGAACUCCUCUAGUCUCACAAGAGCUACCUCUCUCCAGAUGCUGCACUUGUUCUGUUCUCGGUAUAGUUUCAGAUCCAUCAUGCAGACGCUCCACAUCCUCAUCUUCCUGCAUUAAAUACGUAGAGAUUUCAUUCAGCUGCUGCUCCUUUGAAAGGGCAGAGUGUAUCUGAACCCAAGUGCCAUCAGCAAAUUGAUCCACUACAUCUGUUCCUGGUGUUGCUUCUCCUCUAUUCUCAUAAGGAGAGACACUUCUGUCAACAUGCUGAAAAGAUUCUUCACCAGUGUACUCCAUGCCUUGAACUCCCGCUUGCAUCCUUCCAGCAUCCCCUGCCAAAUUAACAAGUACUGCAUUGUCUUGUUCUUGAGGACAGGUGGAAAUGGCAUAAUCAUUAACAUUGCUUGAACUUGCUAUGCUUUUAUGUCUUUUGUUGCCACCAUUCAUAGCUAGAAAGGCUGCUUCUUGAACUUCUUUAGGCACCCGACCACAAAUGCCAACACCAUGCCUUCUCUCUCCUGAUAAAUGCCAUUUGAUCCUCGAAAUGGAAGUACCAUUGGCAAAUACAUGCCUACAAAACUUACACUUCAUGCUUCCAUCAUUCAUAUCUUCAACAUGAUUCCAAAACGGAUCAUUUGGUCUAACCAUUUUGUCCUAUAGAUAAAAAGGGUCAAAAUAUUGAAUAAAAAUUAAUGGAAGUACAUUAAUUGGAAAAGGAAGGUUGAAACUAAAAUAAUAAGUUACAAACGGCAAAGAAACUAAGAAGGAAAAAAAAUGAAUUCAAGGUUAACUUGGGGUCAAUUUAGUAUGAACUCCAUAAGGCAUGGAUUGUUACAACUGAGAAAGAUCAAAUUAUUUAUUUUUGGAAGCUUUUGAUGAUCCUAACUCCAAAGUUUCUCAUUAGAAUUUCUACAACUUGUGUUUUACUUGAAAGAUUCAAACCAGAGUUACAUGUGAAAAACAAAAUGAAGAAGAUGGAGUAUAAAUAAUUUACCUGGAUUCAAGUAGUUCUUCAAGUGCUGGUUUGCUUAAGUAGUAUUCAGGAAGAAAAACAAGAUCAGAGAAGAAUAUAUGGUUUAAAAAUAACAAGGAAGUUGCAAGAUGAUGAGCUCCAGAUGAUCAUCGGAAAGGUUUAAGAAAUUUGAUGAGGGAAAUUGGAAAUCAAUGGUAUAAUGAGAUGAGAUUUGGAAGAGAAUGUUACAGUAGCAAAGAUUCUUUUAUUGUUUGACAAGAAGUUGCUAGGAAAAAAGCCAUAACUUUCCUACCAAAGAUUAUAUUACAAGAGACAACAAGUUGCUGUACACCUCUAUUUCGCUUUUCAUUUGUCUACCGCUGCAUAUAAUUAAAAUCUUCAACAAAAGAAUCAGAAGAUAAAAAUUAUUUAAAAAAAAAACAUUUCUGACAAUAAUGCCAAACACUUUAACUCGUGGACCCACCCCAUUGUUGAAACUUUGAAAAAGCUGACCAAAGUCUAGGACUUCGAUGAUACUUAAAUAAUGUUCCUACCGUUACAUAACUUAAAGAAUAUAUAUAUACAUAACUUAAAGAAUACACACACACAAAGCAGCACAAACAAUAAUAAUAAUUUUGGAUGCAAAACAAGGUUUUUUUAAAAUUUUAAUCAAUUUUUUUUAUAAUUUAAUUUUUUCAAUUAUUUUUUAUUUCAAUUUUCUCGAUUUUUGUCUCAUCCCUACCCAUCAGUGUAUUAAUUAGCCAUUCCUUUCCUUGCAUGUUCUCCUUUUUUUUUUUUCUUUUUUUUUUUCUAUGGCGCAAUUGCCAAAAAAUACCUCUUUUUGUAAAGGAGACAGCCCUCCUUUUUCAUCGCGUCUCCAUGAUCCCACAUGUUUUCAUCAAAAACCUAAAUUAUAAGAAUUCUUAGGCAGCCACGUACAUGCUUCAGGAGUUCUUUUUUCAAAAUCCUCAUUAGAGAUUAAUUUAAAACAAAUUAAAAUAAUUAUGAUUAAAAUUAUUAAAAUAAUUUAAAAAUAUAAAAAAUUAUUUAAAACAAAUUAAAUAUUUUAAAAACACAACAUUCUCAAACAAGAUAACACGUCAAGAAUCACAACAAUCCGUUAUAUGAGUGGAAAGUUGUGAUUAAAAUACUAGAGUGAUCACUUUUAGAAUGAUUUUGACUAUGUGAAAGUGAAUGUGAUUGUUGUUAUUUUUUUAAAAUUUUUAAAUAUUUUUAUUUAAAAAUAUAUUAAAAUAAUAUAUUGUAUUAUAGAAUAACUCAAAAAUUAAUUCUAUGUAUUCAAUCUUCACAAACUUUAAUAUGUAUUAAGUUAGAUUUGUGUAAUUGAUUUAUCAAGUUUGCUUAAUCAAGAUGGAAUAUUUAUGAUUAUUUUAAUCUUUAGUGUCUUCUCUCCUGGUACAUGGUAAAAGCCUGGGCAUUUUUUUCUUUUUUAAUUUUAAUAAUAGUUCUGUUCUUUCUAUCCCAAGAAAUCAAGAAUGCUAGUUUCAUUCAUCAAGAUUCUAAAUACUAUAUACAGAUAAACUCAAGAAUGUAUCUUCUCUCUCUCUCUCUUUAUUUUUAAUCCAUAUUAUAUAUAUAUAUAUAGUUAAAUAAUUUAUUUAUAAUUAAUGAUAUAAGAUGAUUUAUAAUAGUGAAUAGAUCUAUUAUUUUUUUAGGUUACUUUAAUGGUAAAUCAAUAUAGUAUUUUUUUGGAUUUUCAUCUUGGAGAAGCUGAAUAGGAUGAAAAUAUAAUAUUAAUCAAACUUUAAAUGAUAAUUAUUUAUCUAUCGAAUAAGAAUAUCCUUGUUGAUUUAAAGGACUAUUUUCAUAUCAAAAAUAAUUAUGUUUUGCACCUGAUUUUUAACAAAAAUGAUUGAAAAAAUGAUAUAUUAUUGAAUAUGAGCAAAUUUAAGAUUACAAAAAUGAUUAGUAUUUUUACAGAUGCAUAAAAUUGAUAAAUGAUGCAACAAAUUAAGAAGGAUACGUAUUAUUACAUUUAACGCAGUAAUUAACCAUUCUACAUAUUAAUUGUUUCAAGAAAAAAAGGUCCUUUGGACAAUACCUUGGAAAUACAAUUCAAAAAUACCCUUUAAUUUCUAUUUUUUUUAUUUAGCAUUUUAUCCCAAUGAUAGGACAUUUAGAAUGCACUUUCAUACAACCAGAGGGAGCUUCAGUCAGUAGAAAACUUCAACAUCUACUGUGAAGCUUGAUUUGUUAUCCAAUCUGCACACCAGUUUUUAUCCCACUGCAGUAGAACUUUUUAUCUUUUUCCAAGUUUUUUUUUGGGUGAAUUUUUUUCUUUCAUCUCAAAUUAACUUGUGAAUAAAAAAAAUAAAAUUUUAAACCAAAAUAAAAAAUAAAAAAUAUAAGAUGCAAAAAAUUAUAGGGAUCGAAAUUUUAAAAAUCACGCAUAUGCUUCUUUCUAGUUUUAGUAUUAAAUUUGUUCGUAGAAGUUUCAUUUAUUUUUAAUCAAUUAAAUUGAACAAAAUCUUGUCAAGUCAAACAUAAACUCUUUAUUGAAUCGUCUUUUCUUUUUGGAUAAUAAGAGCUUCAUAAAAAGCUUAUUAAAAUAAAUUAUUAAAUGAAAUUAAAAACAAAAAUGCUUUUUUUAUUUAAAAAAAAAACAAAACAGAGAGACAUCUACCGUGUUUUCUCUAUUGGUACAUGAUAAAAGUCUGAAAAGAUUUUUUAUUAUUAUUUUAAUUUUAAUAAUAGUACUGUUAUUUCUACCGCCAAGAAAUCAAGAAAGCUAGCUAAUUUUAAUACAAUGCUAGAGUUCUUAACUUUGGGAGAAUGAAUUCCGUGAUGGAAUUGGAGGUGCUGCUUUCUAUUAUGCACUGAUCAUGAGAUGUGGAAGAGAAUGUUACAGUCGCUAUCUCUUUUACAUAAUAUUAUUUAUUAGUAAGGUCGCCUCAAUAAUAAUUAAUUAACGUAUUGUUUGAUAUAUUAUAAGAUAUAUAAAGUUAACGUGUGGACCCGCCCCAAUGUUGAAACUUGGAAGAAGCUGCCAAGAAAAUGUAAACACAUGAAAUUUUCUAAAAAGAAUAGCAUAAUUAAAAAAUAUAUUUUUUAUUUAAAAAUACAUUAAAAUUAUUUUUUUUAUCAGCACAUCAAAAUAAUUUAAAAAUAUUAAAAAAUAUAUUUUUAAAAAAAUCAAAAAUUUUAAAAAAAACAUUAUGACUGUAAAGAUAAACCAGUCAAUAUUCUCAAGGUAGCAAUUACUAAUUGGGAUAAAAAGAAAUUAAAAGAAAAAUUAAAGGUUUUGAGUCAACGCCAUUACCAAUAUUCGCUUGCAGGUGUGUAUGGUAGUUCUUAUGCUUCUGCCUUUGAGUGUGUAUAUUAGAGCAGAGUGAUUUUAUUUAACCAUGAAAUUUUGUGAGACAAAUUAUAGUGAAUGUUUUUCUAUUUUACCAAUAUACCCAAGGUCUUUAUAACAGAGUGAUGCUACAUGCUGAGGUGGAUAUUAGCAACAGAGGAAAGCAUACAAAAGUAACAAAAAAAAAACAUCAAAUGAAAAAAAAAAAAACAACCUUUAGAAACACGCGUCUUUGGAUUAACAUUCUUUUAGUUUAUUUUUUAUGUUGUUCAUAAAGACAGAAAAAACUUUAAAAUACAAAUUAAAAAAUCUUGAGGAAUUGAUUAACCAAUCCUGUUAGUUUUUUUUUUUUCUAUGAAGACAGAAAAAACUUAAAAACACAGAUUAAAAUAAAGAUUUAAUAGAGAAUGAAAUUUAAUUUUAAAUGCAAAUUAAAAUAAAGCAGAGUGACUAAUGGAGAAAGUACUUGGAAUUCUACAAAGAGUACAGCGUCGGGAAUCCUUGCACACGUUUGGUAUUUUAAUUAUUCUUAUUUCGUUUAAUAACUCAAUUGGAAGUUCAAUUCCCAGAAUUUCUGCUUUUGAAAAAUCAUUCAUCACUUUUAAAUAACGCAAAUGAUUAUUAAGAAAAUUCAACGACAACAAUAUACUCAAUAGCAAUAUUACAGUAAAGAAAUCAAAUCAAUACAGAUAAAUAAAUGAUCCAAAUAUAAUCAAAGAAUUAGUCCAUUUAAUAAAAAAAACAUUACUGAAUCCAUAAACUACAUAAUUCCCUUUUCUUUUUUCUUUUUUCUUCUUCUUCUCUGGUGCAUUUCCCACACGAAAUACUCAUUUCAAAUUAGGCACCCCCCUUUUUCUAAAGGAGGCAGCCCCCAAUUUUCAACCUCGUUUUCCAUCACGUCUCCAUGAUCCCCGUUGUGUCACAAACAAAUUUUCUAAAUUUUAGGCUUUAGGAGUUCCUUUUUUGAAAUCCUCAUUAGAUGCUAAUAUCUAGCCCUUCAAGAUACCUUUCCAACGCAUCAAGAAUCACAGCAAUCUUAUAUGUGAGUGGAAAGUUAUGAUUAAAAUACUAAAGUGUGUGGAGGCUGUUUCCAAAAAAAAAAAAGAACAUUACUACUACUUUAAGUGUAUCUUUUGAUGUUUCCGGUUUAUAUUGAUAUAUUAUUCAUGUGAAUAAUAUAAGAGAAUUGCACUUAAAAAAUAAUGAACAAUUUUUUUUUUUAGUAUGUUAAUUUUUUCAAUAUUUUUUUUUAAAAAACACUAGUUUAGAGUGAAUUAAAUUCACCCGCAUUGUAACAUCAAUUUUAUACUUGAUAAUAUUUUAUCUAAUUUUAUUACAUGUUCAAAAAAUUAUGAAAACUGUAGUUCUUGUCGGAUGUAUUUCGUACAUAAUGGAAUUGUAGAUGGUUUCAUAGAAUAAUAAAAAAUAUUUUAUAUAAAGUAUAAUUUAUUUCAUGAUUUAAUAGCAAUAGUUAAAUCUACAAUAUUUAAAUUAAAAAUCAUCAAUAUUAAUAUAUAUUUUUUAAAAUUAUUUUAUAAUUUCAAUUUCAAAAACAUUCUUAACCAAACACAUUAAAUUACUUUUUUUUCAACUUCAAUUUCAAUCACAAUACUAAACACACUAAAAGUUUUAGUUAUAAACUAGCCCAACAAAUCAUACCCAGGGAAGCAAAAGCCAGAAACAAGCUACCUCGAUUCUUGCUCCACCGGGGUAAGAAAUGCAGCAUGCCCACUUGGAAUUAUAGAGCGUCCAAAUUCCAUGGCAAAUAAUUGGUUGGAAUUGUUUUCUGAGGGGUCUUUUCAAAAUCUGAAAAUAAAAACAGAAAAUAGAUCCAGCAAAUGAUUCCAAAUAUCUUCUAAAAAGAACGAUGAAAUAUGUUUUUUUAUUUACCGUAAGGAAAGAUAUUAAUGAAAUUUUUUUAUAAAAAAAAUCAAUUUAAAAAAUAUAUAACAAGUCAAAAUCUAUACUUAAAAUCUUUCUCGUAUUAAAUUCUUAAUUCAAUCAAAUAAAAUAUUAAUUUAAUAAAACAUAGUUAAGUUUUUGAUAGUUGAAUAUUUAGUAUAACGGUGACGUACUACUUAUUAUUUCUAUUAUUUUUAUUCCAUUUUAGCAUUUUAGCAUUUCAUACUCAUCAAAACCAUUGGAACACAAUCAAGCUUUAUCUUCAAACAACCAGGGAGAUUUUAUAGGGAUAAAAUUUUAAAAAUCACGCCUAUACUACUUUCUAGUUUUAAUAUUAAAUUUAGUAUUUAAAAAAUGUGUUUAUGAAUAUGGCAGUUUCAGGUUUAGAAACCAAAACUGCCAUAUUCAUACUCUUUUAGACAUUUUAAAAAUAUGUGUAGAAGAAUACUUUCACUGAUGAGUUAUAAUAUUAGGUUACUUUAAUGAUAAAUCAAUAUAGUAUUUUUUUUUAUUUUUUGGAUUUUCAUCUUGGAGAAAUUCAAUAGGAUGAAAAUAUAAUAUUAAUCAAACUUCAAAUUAUAAUUGUUUAUCUAUCGAGUUAAAAAAAAAAUGACAAUUCAGUAGUCUUUAAUGAAAAAGAAAAAAAAAAUGUUAUUUAUGUAAUUGUAAGCACGCUAUAUUAUAUUACUUUACAAAGGGACGAAGGACACCCUUUGCAUUAGGAUGCUCCCACUGCACUAUUGUCUCCCACCAUUCUUUUGGAUAUGCAUUGAUUGUUUUAAGAGAAGGGGGAGGAGAUGGCUGGCCAUUUUCAAGCAACGAAAAACAAAUUGGCAUCCUCUUCAGCUUCUCACAACCCAUUACAGUAAUAUCUUCAAGAGAAUUGCAAAUCAGUUUUGCACUGCAAAUGCUUUUCAGUUCUGGUAAGUCUACCAAUUCCAGAGUUAUUAACUUUGGGAGAAUGACUUCCGUGAUGGUAUUGGAGGUGCUGCUUUCUUCAUCUGUUGUUCCUAUUAUCUCCUCCAUUUUGUAACAGAACCUCACAUCAAUCCUUUCCAGGUUUACGAGGUUUGGCAGCAACACAAGCGGGAACAGCUUCUUCAUACUUUUACAGCCAUGACAAAAAAACUUUUUAAGACCAGAAAACGUACCGUUACAUGAUGGCAAUCGUGGUGGAGCAGAGCAGAACCGAGAAGAUGAAACCAAGCUCUCCAUGUUAUUGCAAUCCCGAAUGGUGAUGCGCUCCAGUUCAGUUGCAUUCUCUAAUGACAAAACAUCACAUAAACUUCUUGCAUCGAUGCAUUGAAAAAUCAGUCCUUGAAUGCCAUUUAAGAACUUGACCUGAAAAUCUCUAUCUCCGUUGAUACUCAAAUUACUCAACACAACUGUUUUACUUGGAAAAUCUUCAAUGCAUUCAUAGAAAUGUCUACCCAACUCUCCUACUAAAAUCUUGCAUGUGCUUAAUGAUAGGAUCCCAUCCUGAGAUCUGAGAUACUUCACGAAGUCAGAAAAACCUUCGAACUGGCACUCCAAAGUUUCCAAAUUUCUCAAGGAUCCUACUUCAUUUCCUUUAACUGUUAUAGGAGCACCAUCUUGCCUAAACUCUUCUAGUACAAAGACUUGCAGGUGAGAGAGUUUUGGUAAUAUACCACUAGGAAACUCCUUUUUACCAAAUCCAUUCAUUAUAAGAUACCUCAGGUUGGUUAGGCAUUCCAUUCCUUGCGGUAUCUUUUCAAGUGCAGUAUGAGAGAGACUCAACCUCUUCAGUGCCUGGAGCUUCUCUAAUGAUGGAACACGUCUUAAUUUCUCACAAUUAUUGAGCAAUAAUGCUGUGAGGCUCACCAAAUCAGAGACAGAGUCUGGCAAAUUUCCAAUAUCUGUCCGAGACAGAUCGAGGACCUUAAGCCCAUGCAAUUGCUUGAAAAAUGAAUCCGCAAUAAAUCCCAACCAACGAUUUUCACAUAGCAAUAGAGUUGAUAGAUAGGGACACCUAGGUGAAUGGCUGGAAGGAAUUUCUUCGAUCAUGUUUUCCAUUAGUGAAACUCUCGUCAGAUUCUCCGUCCACUCCUUUGCAUCUGGCAACUCUUUUAAUUGUGCACCUGCUUUGACCAUGCCUUGAGAGUUCUCUAGCAGUAUUCGGAUGGCCAUGUCCCUAAUCAAGUCAUGCAUCUUGACAUGACUAAUAUCACUUUCCAAUAGGCAGACAUAUUCAAGUCGAUUAAGCAUCGUGUGGCCCUCAUCAAAUGCAUCUCCCCUGCUCCUCUUUCCUUUAAUUAUUCCCUCAUCGAUCAAAUAACCUAUCAACUCCUCCCUUACAAUCUCAUCAUCUUCAGGAAAUAAUGCACAGUACAAGAGACAUUGUUGUAGUGCUAAAUCACCUAACCGAUCAUAACUAGACCUCAAUAACUUGAAUACCUUCUCAUCCAUGUCCCUAAAUUCUGAUUCUCUCAAUUUGUUCAAUGUAUUUCUCCACUCACGUAGGUCAUCUACUCCGCUCAAGCUUCCUGCCACUGUAAUAAUUCCUAAUGGCAAACCAGCACAUUCCCUUGCAACAGCUUUCGCAAUUCCUUCCACUUCUGGUGAAAGUGCUACAUCACGUUGAAGCUUCUCCAUGAACAAAGUCCAAGCUUCUCCAUUAGAAAGUGGCUUCACUUUGAUUUUGUGCUGGCGCUGGCAAGCCAUCUGAUGACAAACCUUUUCUGAUCGAGUUGUCAUAAUCAGCUUGCAUCCUUCCAACUUUUCAGGAAUUCCCACUUUGUGUAGCUCAAAAUUGUUCCACAAAUCAUCUAAAAUGAGAAUCCAUUUUUGUUUCUUCCUUAGUUCUUCUGACAAUUUAGCAGCUCUAUGCAAUUCAUCAUUUUUUCUUGAAAGAUCUAGAUCAAGAUGUUCAGCAAUAAGAUUCUGCAAUCUAUUAAUGCUGAAAUCUUGAGACACAGUCACCCACCAAACAUCAUCACAAAUAUCUGGUCUUUGUAAAAGCUCAUUAUGGAUAUGUUGCAGUAUUGUGGAUUUACCAACUCCCCCCAUCCCAUAAAUGCCAAUGGUUGAGACAUCCCCAUCCAUUAACAAAGACCAUAUCACCUUCGUAUUCUCUUCGAAUGCCUGACCCACUGGCUUUGUAGAGCUAAGAGGUAAUAGAAGUCCUCUAGUCUUGUUGUAUUUCAAACUUUCAGAAGAUCUAGCUCCAGCACCAACCUGCACUGAUCUUCGACUAUUCUCCACAUCCUCCUCCACUGGUUCUGUCCUCACUCUAACCCGAUUAAUUCUCUCUUCCCCGGCACCUUGUUCCAGCACCCCCUGAACUCCCACUUGUAUCCUUCCAGCACCCCCUGCCAAAUUGCCAAGUACUACAUUGCUUUGUUCCAAUGAUCGAUCCACUGGUUCUGUCCUCGGUCUGCUCUCGAGUGCCCCUUCGGAAACUCCAUCUUCUUGUGCUCUCAUUCCGGUCAUGCUUACUCGUCGUUUCCUGCUAUUGCAUGUGAAGUAAUCCUCUCUUCCCCUACUCCGGGUUCUACAACCUGAACUUCUCUUGUACCCUUCCAAUUCCUCCUCCCAAAUUUUCAAUCUCAUUGUUUUGUUCUUGUGGACAAGUUGAAAUUCCACAGUCAUUAACAUUGACUGCACUUGCUGUGAUUUUUUGUCUUUUGUUGCCACCACAGUACAUAGCUAGAAAGGCUGCUUCUUGAACUUCUUUAGUCACCCCACGACAAAUGGCAACACCAUUCCCUUCUUCUCCUGAUAAAUGCCAUUUGAUCCUUGUAAUGGCAGUUUUAAUGGUAAAUGUAUGUGGACAAAACUUACACUUCAGUACUUUAUUGAUUAAUGAUCCAACCAUUUUAUCCCUCUUUUCAACAUAAUUCCAAAACCGAUCAUUUGAUUCAACCUAUAGAAAAAAAAGGGGGGGGGUCAAAAUAUAGAAUAAAAAUCACAUCUGGAUGGAUGAGAAACUACUUCAGUGCUAUUACCCUUAUUUUGCUAUUAAAAUUGACAGUCAGUUUAUUGGAAAAAGACGACGAUAAUUCAGUUAGAAUUCUUACUUGUUGAGUAUUUAAACCCCUAAUUUGACUUUGCAAGGAAGUGUCAAGGCCAGGAUUUGAGGCAUUUGACCUAGCAGUUUGAUUUUGCAAUUCUUGGACUUGGACGUUAUCCAUCUGUGACCUGUAUAAAAAUGAAGUGAUCAUAUUAUAAAACCAAAAAUCAAUGGUGUUAUUAUAAAACCAUUCAAUAUUUGGUAGUCUCUCUUAAACAGUCAAAAUCAAUGGUGUAUCUAAUUAUCAAAAAGGUUUUAAUACCGUGUUAGAACACAACAGCUAGAAGUCAAUCAGUACCUCGUAGAGUUGCCAGAGUUUCGAAGCAGGAAGUUCUCUUGUUGCAUAUUGUCUAUGUCAGGAAUUACAGCAGCUUGAUCGACUUGUCCUUGAUUAGAAGGAAAUUGAAUCCUGAAUCAAAAACCAUUCGUAAGCAAUAUGAAGCAUUACAUACUUAUGAUUAUCUUGUUUGGUUUAUGUUCAAGCUAUGAUGUUACGGAAAAUACUAAAAAUGAAAAAUUGGAUACCGGGGAGCAGGAAAAGAAGGUCCAGGUUGAUUGAAGCCACCAUGUUGAGAAGUGGUUGCGUUCGGUGUCAUAUAGCCAUGUCCCGGCCGAGGUUGAUGAGUAUUGGAGUACUGAAGCCUGAAUAAUAUUCAAAUAGUUAAACUUAGAACUGUUAUUCUCACAAAAAAGAGAGAUAGAGAGCUCAAAAAGACUUGAAAGAUCCUCGUCAAUUUUGGUCAAGUUCAUUGUUUUCAUGAUUAAAAAAGUGUAUAUUCGAGGUUAAUACCUUUGAUUCAUUGGAGGUUGAGGUCCAGGUAGCAUCGCAGGCACUUGAUUCCUCAUUGGUAACUGAUAAUUAGUCAAUUGUUGGUCCCUGAAUUAGCAACACUUGUUAGUAAUUUCUUUAUACAUAUGCAUAAUUCUUUGCUAUUAAUCCACUAAGUAUUUGAUAUCAUUUUAGCUUACCUCAAAGGAUUGGCACAUUGAGGAUCAAAUAAAUUAUGAUUAGGCUGAUACCUAUAUUCAAACAUAAUGAAUUCACUGAUAAGUACAACAACAAGAGGAAGAAGAAGAAGAAGUUAAAUAAUGAUUGAAAAACAUUUUUUUUUUUUUUCAGAAAAUACUAAACAUGAAAAAUUGGAUACCAGGGAGCAUGAGAAGAAGGUCCAGGUAGAUUGAAUUCACCAUGUUGUGAUGUGGUUGCGUUCGGUGUCAUAUAGCCAUGUCCCGUCUGAGGUUGAUGAAUAAAGGAAUAAUGAUGCCUAAUUCAAUGGAAAUUGUAGCAAAUUGGAGUAAGCAUGAGUACUCACCAUGGUUUCAGGAAAUGAAGUUGGAAACUGAGUUGUUUGUUGAAUACUAUCGUUGAUCACAUUGUUCUGUCCACCUUGAUCAUUGCAUAAUAUGGAGCCUUGGUUGUCUGCCGGCCUGCUUCCAUGGAAUAAUAUAUAGGAUAAACUGAAGUAACUAAAUUGCAAGCAAUCAUCUUCUGAUAAAAUAUGUUUAAGAAUGACGUACAAGAGAAAUAGUGAUUCAAGAUCGAACUCUGUCAAGUCAUCCAUAGAUGGUUGGAACCCUUCCAUCUGACCAAAAGUACAAGAUGAUUAGUACAUACUGAGGUGAAAAAAGAACAGAAAGCACAUCUGAGUGGAUUACUGGGUACACACGUUACAUAAGUCAAAAUAAAAGAAAAACAAAUAAAUGGUGAAACGCAUAUUUUAAUGGCAGUCCCAUUAAUUGGAAAAGAAAAGGGUGAAUCUAAGAAAAGAAAAGCCUUUUUUAUUAUUUUUAAUACUAAUAUAUCAAAAAAUAUUAAUUUAAUAUAUUUUUUUAAAUAAACAGAUUUUAAAAAACAAAUUAUAUUUUGAUUGCGGGCAUAACAAUCCUGGCAGUACCGUUGCCGUUUUUUAGUUUACACAUUCUCUGGAGCGUCGAUUCCACAUUGAAGCAAAUUAAAAGAAUAAAAGCAAAUAUUAAAUGAUUUAAUAAAAGUGACUAAUGAAAAAAGUGCUUAAAUUCUACAAACAGCUGAUAGAUAGUCGGAAUCCCUUGAACACAUUUGAUAUUUUAAUUAUUCUUAUUUUGUUUAUUGAAAGGUAAUUACCGAUCAAGUUAAUUCAUUGAAUCAUUGUAAGAAAAAAAAAAGUAGAAAAAUACUGAAUAAAAAAGAAUGGCAGUCCCAUUAAUUGGAAAAGAAAAGGGUGAAUAAAAAAUGAGUUAAAAACACUACUUUACCUACCCAAUUAUGAAGCUUAGAAGAAGAUGCCUAGAAAAUGUAAACACAUGAAUAUGAGAAACAAUAAUAUACUUUUCUUUUUAAAAUAUUUUUUAUUUAAAAAAAUCAAAGUUUUUGAAAAGCAUGUGCUCUAACAAUAACAGAUUAAAUAUGUGAUUAAUAGCAUGUGAUUAAAGGUUUUCAGUCGAUGCCAUUACAUGCAGUCAAAGACUCCAUCCUUACUUUAAAUAAACAAAACCUACACUCAAUAAUAUGUCCUAGUUUUUUUGGCCAGUGUUUUUCCGUGGUUGGAUUAAUUUUUUUAAAAUAUAAAAAUAAAAUAUUAAGAGUGAAGAAAGUUUGUUGGGCGAUAUUAUUAAACUUGUUCAGGGGAGUUAAUAUUAAAAUCUUCUAAUCUAAUUUUUUAUUUAAUUUAAAUUUUUAAUUAAAUUAUAUGAGAAUUAACUCAGUUUAAAUCGAUCAAUAUCCAAAUACAACUUAGAAAACUAGAAAAACAUGGCCUAGCUUUUAAAAAAACUUCUAGAUAACUUUUUUUUUUAUAUAUAUAUAUGCUAAUUCGGCCCAAAUAUGAAAUAGACAAAAAAAAAAUUAAUGAUAAAAAAAAGGAAAGAAAAGGAAAAAAAACAGAAAAAGCAAAACACUAUCGGUUACUAUUGUAAUCCAUAAUGAAAUGAGUAUGGGUGAAUAGUGAUUCUCUUACACAUUUUAGUUUUUCUUUUAAUUAAUAAAAAAAAAUAUCCCACAAAACCUGAAAACUAAUAUAAUUUGAAUUAUUUUAACAAACUUAUAAAUCACGUUAAUCUUAUAAAAAAAUAAAAUAAAAAUUAAUAAAUUAAAGCUGAAUUAUAACCAGCCUAUUAUUAAAUAAACAAAAAAGGCAAAACACCUUGAAUUACAUACUAUUGUAAUUUACAAUGAAAUAGGUGUGGAUAUAUAGUGAUUCUCCCAAGUCUCUUAGCUUUUCUUUUAAUGAAAAUUAAUAACCGUAUAAUAUCUUUCUUGUGGAUGCUCUAUCGUUGCUAAAUUAAAACAUCUUUUUUUUCUUUAUCUACAAUUAUGUGAAACAUUUAAAAAAAAAAAACAUUGUUAUUUUAGUUUUUUUUUUAAUAAAUACCAUCAUAAUAUGAUGUGGUUUUGUUAUUUACUCAAGUUAUUCAGUUAAUAUGUGAGUCAACCAGUAAACUAAACUUUGGAUUACGUUUCUUAACUAUUCGUAAGCUUCCUAUUUAUUCUUAGUAAUCAAAAUAUUUUUUUUAUUUUUAAUAUUAAUAUAUUAAAAAAUAUUAAUUUAAUAUUUUUUUAAAAUAACCAGAUUUUUUAAUAAACAUAACUCUGAGUACAAAAACAAUCAUGUUUAGAUUGCGAGCAUAAGCAUAACAAUCUUGACAGUACCGUUGUUGUUUGGACUUUGAGAAGGAUAAAACGAAAGAGUUAGAAUACAUUUAAAAUAAAAAAUUAAUUUUUUAAAAAUACUUUUAAAAUACAAAAACGAACUAAUAAUAAAAUAAACUUUCAUACACUUAUCAAAAUCCCAGGAACGCAACAAUCAGGCAUUAGCUUCAAGCAACCAGAGGGAGCUUCACUGCAGUAGAACACUUCAACAUAGCUUGAUUUGCUAUCCAAUCUGCACACCAGUUGGAUAGCAAUUUCUUUUCAUAACAUUUACCUUUGUAAAAACUUUCUAUUUAUUUUUAGUUUUAAUAUCAAAUUCAGUCUUUAAUAUUUAUCUUCAAAAUUUUAAUAUAAAAUUUGACGGUCAAAAUUUCACUUAUUUUUAAUCAAUUAAAUUGAACAAAAUCUUGUUAAGUCAAACAUCAACUCUACAUUGAAUUGUUUUUUCUUCUUAGACCACAAGAGCUCCAUAACAAGUUUAUUGAAAUAAAUUAUCAAAUGAAAUUAAAGGAAUUAUGAUGCCUUGAUGGAGUUUGAGGCCAAUUUUAUAUAAAACUUAAUGAUAAAAAAAUAUCAUAAAAUUUCUAAAUCUCCCAAUUGUUGUCUGUUUGUUUAACAGUAAACAAUUUGAAGAAGCUCGAGAUCGAUACACUAAACAUAAAACUUUUUGCAUAAUACAAGCACUUGCUAAUUCAAUGGACAUUGUAGCAAAUUGGAGCACUCACCAUUGUUUCAGGAAAGGAAAUUGGAAACGGAGUUGUUUGUUGAAUACUAUUGUUGAUCACAUUGUUCUGUCCACCUUGAUCAUUGCAUGAUAUGGAGCUUUGGUUGACUGGAACCUCCGGUGGCGACCUGCUUCCAUGGACAGUGACGACAUUAAUUGGAAAAGAAAAGGGUGAAUCUAAAAUAAGGAGUUAAAACAGCAAAGAAUCUUGAAAAGACGAAAACAAUGAAUUCAACGUUUAGGGUUAAUUUAAUCAGUAUGAACACCACAGGGCAUGGAUUAUAAAAUCUGAGAAAAAGAUCUAUCUAUUUAUCAUGGAUUACUUUAAAGAUUCAGACAAGAUGAAUGACAAAUAAUUUACCUGGAUUCAAGAUGUUCUUCAAGUGCUAGCUGGUUUGCUUGAGCAGUGAUCAGCCAAAAGAAAAGGAAGAGAAAUCACAGAUCACAGAAGAAUUUAUGGCUUAGAAAAAUAAUAAAGUUGCAGUAUACAUAAAUCUAGUUCGCACUGAUCAUGAGAUGUGGAAAGGAAAAUAGGGAAUUCUAUAAUGAGAUGAGAUGUGGAAAAGAAUGUUACUGCCGCUAGCUCCCUUAAAUAAUACUAUUUAUUAGUAAGGUAUUGUUUGAUAGGAAGGAAGUUGCCAGGAAGCAACCCAAACAUUACAUUAUAUGAUAUAGAAAGUUAACGUGUGGAACCGCCCCCUUUGAAGAAGCUGCCAAGAAAAUGUAAACACAUGAAUAUGAGAAAGAAUAGCAUAUUUCUGCAUUGUGUGAAUUUUUUUUUUUUAAUUAUUUUUAUAUUGCAAUGUAAAAACAAUUCAAAAAUAUUAAUUACAAACGGUCACUUGAUAUAAUUUUACAGACUUUUAAUUAGCCUCACUCAUUUGACCCAUGUCAUGGGUUAAUGGUUCUCAGCAACUCUCCAUUCCGUGACCUUUCUGGCCCUACCUAGAACAACCAACACCCCGACAAAAAUAAUAAUAAUUUUACAGUCGAAUCAUGUUUUUUAAAAACUUGAUAUUUUUUUAUUUUAAAUUAAUUUUUUUAAUAUAUUUAGAUUAUUUUAACAUUUUAAUGUUAAAAAUAAAUUUUAAAAAAUAAUAAAAAUAUUAUUUUAUUAUAUUUUUAAAUUAAAAAAAAAACAAUUAUUAUCUCAAUAUCAAACAUUAUCUUAUUCUAUGAUACUAUCCUUGGAACUUUUCCACACCAAUGGAAAUUUGUUUUUCCCAAACACCCUUCUACAAAUUUAUAUUUUUAGCCCUCAGACCUAUAAAGUAUGAUUUGCUAGCCAAUCUGCACACUAGUUUCCCAUUAAUACAAAGAUGAUCGUGUUUUUUUGGUGCCAAAAUUGUCGGCCAAUAAUUUUCCAUUUUUAUCCGAGUUUUUAAUGAUUUUUUUAUCUCAAAUUUAUAAAUUAAAAAAUUAAUAAAAUAAAAUUUUGAAUCAAAAUUAAAAAUCAAAAUUAAAAUGAAAAUGCAAAAACUUAGGGAACAGAAUUUUGAAAAACACGCCAGGCUACUUUUUGAUUUCAGUAUCAUAUUUGGUGUUCACAGUUUCAAUUAUUUUUAAUGAAUUAAAUUGAAUAAAAUUUUAUCACAUCAAAUACCAAUUUAAAUUAAUCUUCUUCUUUUUUACCUUUUUACCUUGAAAACUUUAUAAUUAAUUAAAAUAAAUUAUCAACCUCAAAUUCCCAUGAAUAUAAAAUUAAAAAUAAAAUAAUCAGCUCAAAUAAUAAUUAAUUAACAUCUUGCCUGAUAGCAAGGAAGUUGUCAGGAAGCAACCCACCGCUCACCUACCAAACAUGAGAGUGUUUGGAGAUUAUUUUGGUUUUUUUUUUUAUGGCCAUAUAAAAAAUAUAUAUUUUUAAUUUUAAAAAAUAUAAUGUAUAUUGAAAAAAAUUAUUUUUUAAUAAAAAAAAUUAUCACAUCUCCAUACCAAACACCCAUAUUAUAUUAUAAGAUAUAAAAGUUAACGUGUGGACCCCACAAAUGUUGAAACUUCGAAGAAGCUGCCAAGAAAAUGUAAACACAUGAAAUUUUCAAAAAAGAAUAGUAUAUUUAUGCAUGCUGUAAAUGUUUUUUAAAAAUAUUUUUUAUUUAUAAAUAUAUUAAAAUAAUAUUUUUAAAUUUUUUACUUUUUAUAUCAUAAUAUCAAAAUAAUUAAAAAAUAGUAAAAAUAUAUUUUUAAAAAACACAUUAGGAUUGUAAAGAUAAACCAGUUCUAACAUUUAAAUUGUUUUAAAAGUAUUUUUAAAAUAUAAAAAUAAACAGUGUUUAAGGUGUAUUUGGUAGUUUUUAUCCUUCUGCCUUUGAGUGUGUCUAUCAGAGCAGAGUGAUUUUACUUAACCAUGAAAUUUUUGUGAGAUAAAUUAUAAUGAUUUUUUUUUCUAUUUUACUAAUAUACCCAAGGUGUUUAUAACUAGAUGCUACUUGCUGAGGUGUAUAUUAGCAACAGAGGAAAGCAUACAAAAGUAACAAAAAAAAAAAUGGAUAGUAAAGACGAAAGCAUAUCAAGCUAACAAAAUCAACCCCACCAAUUCUCAAAUAUUCAGAUUUUAAAAAACAGAAGGAAAUAAUAAUUUAAGAAGAAACAUGUUUUCAAGCUGUGUCAAAUGCAGAAUGCUUUAAUUAAUACGAGGAAAAUCUUGUUGAUAAUAUAGUUCGGUAUAGCGCACUGCCAGUUUAAAAUUACAAUCAUUAUUGAUUUUUAAAGUAUUUUUUAUUUAAAAAUAUAUAAUAAUUUCAGAAUCAUGUUUUUUAAAAAAUUAAAAUUUUUAAUAAUUUUAUAUUAUUUUAACAUUUUAAUGUUAAAAAUAAAAUUUAAAAAAUAAUAAAAAUAUUAUUUUAAUAUAUUUUUAAAUAAAAAAAAUAAUUUUAAAAAAAUUAUUAUCACAUUAUCAAACAAUAUCUUAUUUUAUGAUAGUAUACAUGAACUUUUCCCCACCAAUGGAAAUUUUUUUUCCCAACACUCUUCUACAUAUUUAUAUUUUUAGCCCUCGAUCUAUAAAGUAUGAUUUGCUAUCUAAUCUGCACACUAGUUUCUUAUUAAAAAAGUUGGUAUUCCGCUAAUUGUUGUGGUUGUGAUUUGAAAAAAAUUAUUUUAUAAAAAUUAUUUUUAAUUGAGGUUGGUUUAAAAAAAAUAAAUGUUUGGUUAAAAUUAUGGUUGAAAUUAAGGUUGAACAAAAAAUAGUUAGUGUUUGGUUAAAAAUGCUUUUGAAAUUGAGGUUAUAAAAUAAUUUAAAAAUAUAUAUAUUAAUAUUGAUGCCUUUUAAUUUAAAUAUUAUAGAUUUAACUAUUUCUAUUACAUCAUGAAAUAAAUAAUAUUUUAUAUAAAAAUAUUUUUUAUUGUUCCAUUAAACUAUCUAUAAUUCCAUCAUGUAUGAAAUACGUCUAACAAGUACUACAAUUUUCAUAAAUUUUUUAAGAGCGUAACAACAUCAGAUAAAAUAAAAUCAGGAACAAAAUUGAGAUUGCGAUCAAUUUCUGUAAAUGCGGCAUCAUAAAGCGAUCUCCGUUUAAUUUAUGUAGUCAUUGAAUAAUGUUUAACACUAGUUUUCUGAAUAAAAUACAAUUAAAAAUUAAAUUUUUUUUUAUUUUUUUUUAUUUUGUUGGGUCAGACUUGAUUUAAUAUAUUUUUAACGUUGAACUGGAUUGGUCCAAUCGAAACAGUGGAACAUGCUCCACUGUUCCAUGCAUAAAACCCAUGACCAGGGAUUACAAGAAGCAACAACGAGCUGCUUUUUGCAACUUAUAGCUGUGCCACAAUUAAUAGUGGAACCCACUGGCAUAACUGUGGCAGGAGAAUUACCAAAUAAUAAAAAUUGUGGUUGCGGGUCAACUUUAUCUACAGCUACAAUACCAAAAUUAAGAACCAAUAAUAUUUAGUAAUUUUUUCUAUCUUAAAUUUAUAAAUUAACAAAAUAAAGUUUUAAAUUAAAAUUAAAAACCUCCAGUAAACAGAAUUUUGAAAAACACACCAGACUACUUUCGAUUUCAAAGUUUCAAUAAUGAUAGGAAGGAAGUUGCCAGGAAGCAACCCACCGCUCACCUACCAAUGAGAGUUAACGUGUGACCCGCCCCAAUGUUCAAACUUCGAAGAAGCUGCCAAGAAAAUGUAAACACAUGAAAUUUUCAAAAAAGAAUGGUAUAUUUAUGCAUGCUGUGAAUUUUUUUUAAAAAAAAUAUUUUGGCAUUUUAAUGUUAAAAAUAAUUUUUUAAAAAUUUUUUAGAUUAUUUUUACAUUUUAAUGUUAAAAAUAAAUUUUAAAAAAUAAAAAAUUAUUAUUUUAAUAUAUUUUUAAAUAAAAAAAUUAUUAUCACACCAUCAACCAUUAUCUUAUUCUAUGAUAGUAUACCUGAACUUUUCCACACCAAUGGAAUUUUUUUUUUUCCAACACCCUUCUACAGAUUUAUAUUUUUAGCCCUCGACCUAUAAAGUAUAAUUUGCUAUCCAAUCUGCACACUAGUUUUCCAUUAAAAAAUUACUAUUUUAAGUGCGUCCAGACUGGUUCAAAGUGAAUUUCACAACUUUUCUGUGAGAGCUUCAACUCUACAUUGAAAUGUUUUUUCUUAAACUGUGAGAGCUUCAUAAUAAGCUUAUUGAAAUAAAUUAUUAUAAUGAAAUUAAAAACAAAAAUGCUUAAAAAAAAACAGAGAGACGCCGUGUUUUCUCUAUUGCUACAUGGUAAAAGUCUGAGCAUAUUUAUUUAUUUAUUUUUAUUUUUAUUUUAAUAAUAUUACUGUUAUAUCUACCGCCUGCAAAUCAAGAACGGUAGUUUCAUUUAAAAGAUUCUAAAGUUCAUAUUUAGAAAAAUUAGCAGAAAGGACGAAAACACAACAAAUCAUACCCAGAGAAGCAAUAGCCAGAAACAAGCUACCUCAAGUCUUGCUCCACCUGGCUAAGAAAUGCAGCGUGCCCACUUGGAAUUACACAUCAUCCAAAUUCCAGGGCAAAUAAUUGGUUGGAUUUGUUUUUCGAGGAGUCAUCUCAAAUUUGAAAAUAAAAACAGAAAAUAGAUCCAGCAAAUGAUUCCAAAUAUCUUCUAAAAAGAACAAUGAAAUAUGUUUUUUUAUUUACGGUAAGGAAAGAUAUUAAUGGAAAAAAUAAAAAAAAUCAAUUUAAAAAAUAUAUAAUAAGUCAAAAUCUAGACUUAAAAUCUAACUCGUAUCAGGUUUCUAGUUGAAUUGAAUAAUUGAAUAAGAAGGUGGGAAUGGGAGACAGCAAAAGGUGUCAAACAGAAAAAAAGAAAAGAAAAAAAAGAUCCAUAUUCCAAAGGAGAGGGUCAAAGAUUGCGGCCGAUUCAAAGGACGAGCUUAAUCUCAUGAAUCAUUUUUUAACUUUAUGUAAGACUUGACACGUGUCCUCUAAACCCUCCUGCCCUCCGAUCCUUGCUAAACCCUUGUUCUGGUCGUAAUCAUCCAUUAGCGUAAACCUAUGCUUCUCUGACUUUGAUCCCAAUAAACCAACCAUGGAGUUGGUGGUAAUGUAAUUGAUAUUACUUUUUUAAAUUAUUUUUAUUUAAAAAAUAUCAAAUAAUUUUAAUGUGUUGGUAUUAAAAAAAUUAAAAAAUUAUUAAUAUAUUUUUAUUUGAAAAAUAUUUUUUAAAAACCAUAUGUAGAAUUACUAAACACCCUUAAGCCAGUGGACAAAGACACAAACGAAAAAUACAAAGGAAAAGGGAUAAAAGCAUAUAUUUGGAGAUGAUAAAGGGCAUUGAGAUCAAAGAGGAUAAGUUUUCCAGUGAUGGGAUUGGAUGUUGAUGAAAGAUUGUGUGGAUAAGAGCAUAGUAAUUAAUUUUACUAAAAAGUUCUUCAGUGACCUAAUUCUGGCCCAACAAAAUUAUCAUUAUCCAAUAACAAUUUGAUUAAUUCAGUGUUGCUUAAUCCCAGUUUGCUAUUGCGUUUUAAAUGGUAUUGGUUAAAUUUUAUUUUUUUAUAUAUUAUUUUGAUGGGUUGAUAUAAAAAUAAUUUUAAAAAAAUAAAAUAAUUUUAAAAAUAUUAUUAUAACACCAACUUAUGAAAUUUUCUUUAUUGAUUAGUGAAUUUGAUUAGACUAAGAAUCUCCAUCACAGCCCAACAUCAUUAGCUUAUCUGCCAUCCCUUUCAAGAGAAGAAGAUUUCGAAUCAGUCCAUUCAUUCCCAUCUGUAGCAUCUUUCUCAAGCGUCAAUGGAGAAUUACUUCUGGAUUCUGAGUUGCCAAUAAAAAACAAAAAACCCUUAUAAACUAGUUCGUCUCCCAGUUCUUAAAUUAGUUUCCACAUUGUUUUUCACAAUUUUUAAGAAAAGAAAAAAAAAAUAAAAAAUGAUCAUAAGCUAUAUAUCUAACACUCACUUGAAAGAAACUGAUAACCAUGCAAGCAUUUUACAUGGCAGUAUUUGAUAUGGGGUAAGAUUUUGGAGACAAAUUAGAGUACUCAAAUUGAAUGUACUAGGUGAAUUGCCUGCGCGGUGCUGCGGGUUAUAACAUGAACUGAGCAAAAUCUAAAGGCACUGAGAUCAAACUGAGCAACCACACAGAGUAAAUCUGAAAACAUUGUAACCAUUGAGAUCGAAACUGAGCAACCAUUUUGGAAAAAAUAAAAUUUAAAUUAUUUUUUUAAAUGUUUUUUAAUCAUUUUAAUAUUAAUUAAAUAAAAUUUUAAAAAAAAUUAUUUUAAUAUAUUUUUAAAUAAAAAAUAUUUUGCAACGCAACUUUUACCUCACUUAAAUAAAUCCUUAUUCUAUUGCACAUAAACAUAUGUUUUCAUGUAUAGUGGAUUAACCAAUCUUUUUAGUUUUCUUAUAUUAUUCAUAAAGAUCGAAACGCUUAAAAAUAAAAUUUUAAUAAUCAAGAGAAAAAAAAAUAGUUGAAUUUUUGUACCUUCCACAAGAAAAAUAGAUAGAUGUGUGAAAUUUUAUUCUAAAUAUAUUCUUAUAAAAAUUUCAAAAUUCCAAUUCAUGUUACUCGAUUAUUAUUCUUUUUUUAAGUUUCUUCUCUCUCUCUUUUUUUUUCUUUUUAAUCUGUAUUAUGCAUUUUUAAAAUAUAAUUUAUUGCUAGUUAAUGAUAUAAGAUGAUUUGUACUAGUGAAUAGAUCUAUUAUUUUAUUAGGUUACUUUAAUGAUAAAUCAAUAUAGUAUUAAUUUGUUUUUGGGAUUUUCAUCUUGGAAAUACUCAAUAGGAUGAAAAUAUAAUAUUAAUUAAACUUUAAAUUAUAAUUAUUUAUCUAUCCAGUUAAACAACUAUGACAGUUCAAUAGUCUUAAAAGAUAAUGAAAUAUAUAAAAAAAUGAAAAAUAGUAUUUAUGUUAAUUGUAAGCACACGAUAUAAAUAAGGAAUAUUUCAUAUUAAUAAACGCUUUACGAGUCCAAUCAAUCAGAUGUUAAUUAACAUAAAGAAAUUAACAUGGUGUUUGCAGAGAAUGAAUUGUAGAAAGAGAGAUUGAGAGUGUGAGCAAUAAAAGAUGAUGCUUACCCUUUAUUCUAUAUUAUAUUAUAAUAUAGAUCGAGAAGAUAACCUUACAGGAAAAAGACAUCCUUUGCGUGAGGAUGCUCCCCUCCAUUACUGUCUCCCACCAUUCUUUUGAACUUACAUAGAUGUUUUUAAGAGAAGAAUAAAAGAAUAAAAGAAAAUAUAAAAUGAUUUAAUACAGUACAAAAAUUAGUUUUCAAUACAGAUUAAAAUAAAGCAAAGUGACUAAUGAAAAAAGUACUUGAAUCCUACAAACAGCAGAUAGAUAGUCGGAAUCCCUUGCGCACACAUUUGAUAUAUAGAUAAUUAAAUCAACAUUAAACCAAAUUAAUAUAACCCUUUUGAAAAAUCAUCCACUACUUUUAAAUAAUUAAUUAUCCCUAUUAAGAAAAUCCAAUGACGACAAUGUAUUUAAGGAGCAAUAUUAAAGCAAAGAAAUUAAAUCAAUACAGGUAAAUAAAUGAUCCAAAGAUUAAUCCAUUCAAUAGAAAAAAACGUAACUGAAUCCAUAAACUGCAUAAAUUCGGAGAAGAAUACUUCUCAACAACAAAUUGAGAAUGAUAAAACAAAAGAGUUAGAAUAAUUAGAAAUCUGAUCAAUUUAGUUACCCAUCACUGUAUUAGUCAUUCCUUUCCUCAUCUGUGCUCUCUUUUUUUCCCUCUCUCUAGUGCAAUUCCCACACGUCUUCUUUAUGCCAAAUAGCCCUCUUUACAGAGGAGGCAGCUCCCUUUCUCAAAAGCAGGCAGCCCUCUUUUUUAAUCAGAGACUAACUUGUAGCACUUUACGAUACCUUUCCAACGCAUCAAGAAUCAGAGCAAUCCGAUAUGUGUGGAAAGUUAUGAUUAAAAUACUUUAAGUGUAUCAAGGCUGUUUCUAAGAAAAAGAACAUUACUUUAAGUUUAUACAGGCUGCUGUUUAAAAAGUCAAGAAAAUAAAGUUUUGGAUUAAAAUAAAAUAAAAUAAAAACUUUAAGGAAAAAAAAAAAGCACGCCUAUGAAGCUUGAUAGUAUAUCAAAUUAAAUAGAAGCUCGAUUAAAAAAUGCCCUUUAAUUUCUAUUAUUUCUAUUCACAUUUUAGCAUUUUAUUCCAAUGACAGAGCAUUUGGAAUGCACUUUCAUAGACUCAUCAAAACCCCAGGAACGCCAUCAAGCUUUAGCUUCAAACAACCAGAGGGAGCUUCAGUGCAGUAGAAAACUUCAACAUCUACUAUGAAGCUUGAUUUGCUAUCCAAUCCACACAUCAGUUUUCCAUUGAUACAAAGAUACCGUAUUUUUAACCAUCUAAUAGUAAAAGUUUGUAAUCAAGGGGUUUGCUCCCUCUGUGACCUUAGGUUCGAGCCUUGUGGUUAUUAAUAUUGAUGAUCAUUAACUUCAAGAUCUAUAAGAACUGGAAGCUUACUUGGUCAUUAACUUCAAAAUCCGUGAGAAUUAGUUAAGAUGCGUGCAAGUUGGCCCGGAUACCCUCAAUUAAUAAAUUAAAAAAAGCUGUAUUUUUGUUGCCGGAAAAUUAUCCACCAAUAACUUUUUAUCUUUUUCCAAGUUUUAUAGGUGACUUUUUUCUUUCAUCUCAAAAUCAUGGAUCAAAAGUGAAUAAAAUAAAAUUUCGAAUCAAAACUAAAAAUAAAAAAAUAAAACAUGCAAAAAGUCCAGGGAUCAAGAUUUUAAAAAUCACGCCUAUACUACUUUCUAGUUUUAAUUAUGCGAAGUUCAAUCUUUUUUCCUCUACAAAUUAAAUCAUGUACGUAAACCUGUUACCUACAUUUUGUAAUAUUUCUGGAUCUGCUCUUUGAUUCAUCAAGGACAGAGUUGAUUGCAGCUUCGUCAUAGAAAAGUUCGUCUUCUUCAUCUUCUUGGUUGGCGAGGAAAUAUAAGUGGACUCUUCUCCAGUUUAAGGAUUCCAACCUAGCACAUGAAUGAUAAAGGGCACAGUCAUCAUUUAAAUAAUAAAGGACAUCCUUAGCAUUAGGAUGCUCCCAUUCCAUCACUACUCUCGCUGUUGUAACCCAUUUUUGGGUCCCCACAUAUAAAAUAAUAAAAUAUAAAAAAAUUCAAAAAAAUAUAUUACAAAAAAAAUAUAACAGUGAAAAAUGCCAGAGCGUCAUAAACAUGCUAAAAAAAUUGUUUGAAGAUUUUCAAAAAUAUAAAAAUUAUUUUUUGAUAGUAUAUCAUUAACUGAUGAGAGCCCCGAUGAUAAAGAAAAUUCAAUUUGUGGAAGAAAAAUGCAAAAUCAGAAGUUUAUGGACUCAAUUAAAUUUUAUUGAAGGUUUAAUUGAAUUUAUGGAGAUUUUAAUUGCAAGAAAAAUUGAUUUGGAGUUAAUUUGGGCUUUAAUUAGGAAGAAAUUAAUUUUCUGGGGUCAAAUUAUAAUUUUGGAAGUUAAUUUGGUCAAAUCAGGGGCUUAAUUGCAUAAAUUAUUGAAGUUUAUGGCCAAUUAGGGACUUAAUUGAAGAAAUCCGAGACCAAGGACUACAUUGUAAAAACGCGCGAAAAUGGAGGGCCGAAAUUUGAAUCUGAUGCUUUUGGCGCCUUUUCCUAUUAAAUGAAACGGCGCCGUUUCAUUCACUGUUGCAAAAAAAAAAAAAAACAGAAGCCCAAAACGGUGCCGUUUUGACGGCACUGUAGCUCUUCUUCUUCCCCUGGACACACGAGGCAGGGGAAGAAGAAGAUUUUUUUCUUCCCCUUUUCGCCUAAUUACUUUCCUUCUGCUCAAAAAGACGCCGAAACAAGGACACCACUUGCCGACCACUUUCCACGUGUUGGACGGGCGUUGGACGGGCGGCAGCACACCGGCCACCACCAUGACGUCCCCCCCCUGUUUUUCGCCUAUAAAACAGGGGAGGAAGAGAAGAAAAAAAAAAAAAACAGAGGGAGAAGGAGAGAGAGGAGAGAAGAGAUAGAAGAGAGAGAAGAGAAGAGGAGAGAAGAAGAAGAAGAAGAGAAGCAGCAGAAGAAAACGAAGAAAACAGAAGAGAGAGAGAGAGAGAGAGAGAGAGAACCACCGCCGGCCUCCGCCACCAUCGCCACCGUGCCUACGCCGCCAGCAGCACCGCCACGACGCACCGCAGGUAAUCUCUCGCCGCCCUGUCGCCUUCUCCUUUGCUGCCUCCCCGUUUGCAUGCAGAACGUGAAUUAAUUCACGUUCUGCAGCUGAAGAGGCUGGUUACUGUGCUUAGCACAGUAACCAGCCCAUUUGGUAAUGGGCCGGUUGGCCCAGCCCACUGAUAUGGGCCGGACCCGGCCCAUUUCAAAUUUUUUUUUCCAGAAGUUUUACAAUUUUUCCAGCACAUUUUUUUUUAAUCAAUUUUGCUUAAUAUCGGUAUGUAUUUUACAUUGUGAAAAUAUAAAUUCGGUAUUAAAAUACCCGGUUUUCGUCCCGCGGUACUGUUCACACGUCACUAUUCAUACGGUACUGUUCAUACGGUACUGUUCACACAUGCAUAAAAAAAAAAAAUCAUGAAAUAAUAUUUUACACUAGUUUUCUGAAACACAAUUAAAAAUAAAAAAAUAUUUUUUUUAUUUUAUUAGAUUUAAUAUAUUUUUAGCGUUGAACCGGAUUGGUCCAGCCAAUACCGUGGAGCCAUCAAUGCAUAAAACCCAUGAACAAGGAACCAAUUCUCUAUUGUUCAUGUGAAGAGUGAAUCAUGACUUCACUGUUCAUGGGUUGUCUCGUUACAAGAAGCAGCAAAGAGUUGCUUCUUGUAACCCAUGGCUAUACCACAAUUAAUGGAGGAAUCCACUAGCAUAAAACUAUGCCAAGAGUAUUAUCAAACAAGAAAAAUUGUGGUUACGGGUAAACCUCGUCCACAGUCACAAUAUCAAAAUUAUCGGCCAAUAAUUUUUCGAGUUUUUAGUAAUUUUUUAAUUUUAAAUUUAUAAAUUAAUAAAAUAAAAUUUUAAAUCAAAAUUAAAAAAACUCCUUGAAACAGAAUACACCAGACUACUUUUUGAUUUCAAAGUUUCAAUAAUGAUAGGAAGGAAGUUGCCAGGAAGCAACCCACCGCUCACCAACCAAUGAGAGUUAACGUGUGGACCAGCCCCAACGUUCAAAUUUCGAAGAAGCUGCCAAGAAAAUGUAAACACAUGAAAUUUUCAAAAAAGAAUAGUAUAUUUAUGCAUGCUGUGAAUAUUUUUUUAAUAUUUUUUAUUUAAAAGUAUAUUAAAAUAAUUUUUUAAAUUAUUAUUUUUUUAUCCACCCAUCAAAAUAAUUUAAAAUAUUAAAAAAUUAUUUAAAAAAAAAUCAAAAUUUUUAAAAAACACAUUGUGUGUGGUAAAGAUAAACCUGUUCUAGAUUAAAAGAGUGUUUGGUUGUGCGUUUCAACCUGCGUUUCACCAAAUUUUGAAUUUUUUUUUUGCUAAAAUUGAGUGCGGUUUGUACUUUUUGGAUCGUUUUGAUGUGCUGAUGUUAAAAAUGUUUUUUAAAAAAUAAAAAAACAUCAUUGGCAUGUAUUUCAGCACAAAAAACUAUUUGAAAAGUAACCGCUACCACAUUACCAAACACACUCUAAAUGUGCAAAUGAGAGUGAGACUCAAAUCUAAUUACGUAACAAUUAUUAAUUGGGAUGAAAAGAAAUUAAAAGACAAAUAACCAAUAUUCUCAAGGUGUAUUUCGUAGUUCUUAUGCUUCUGCCUUUGAGUGUGUAUAUUAGAGCAGACUAGCAGAGUGAUUUUACUUAACCAUGAAAUUUUAGCGAGACAAAUUAUAGUGAAUGUUUUUCUAUUUUACCAAUAUACCCAAGGUGUCUAUAACAGAGUGAUGCUACAUACUGAGGUGGAUAUUAGCAAUAGAGGAAAGCAGUGUUGUAAAAUCUAGACCGGGCUAGCAGGUCAACUAGAGAACUAGACUAGUCCGGGUAGGAUAAAAAACCGGCCAAAAAAAAGAGGUAUAUAUAUUAAUUUUAUUGAACGAUCACCCGAGUAGGAACAUACAAAUGUAACUAAACAAAAUAAUAGCAAAGACGAAAGCAUAUCAAGCUAGCAAAAUCAACCCGCCAUUUCUCAAAUAUUCAGAUUUUAAAAAACACAGGCAUAAUAAUUUAAGAAAAAACAUGUUUUUCAAGCUGUGUCAAAUGCAGAAUGCUUUAAUUCAUGCGAGGAAAAUCUUGUUGAUAAUAUAGUCUGGUAUAGUACAAUGACAAUUUGAGAUUAGAAAGGAUUUUUUAUUUAAAAAUAUAAAUAAUAUUUUUUUAUUUUUUUAAAAUUUAUUUUUAAUAUUAACACAUCAAAAUAAUCUAAAAACACUAAAAAAUAAUAAUUUAAAAUAAAAAAAUAAAAAAAUUAACUUUUUUUUUAAAUACAUUUACAAUAUAAAAUAAAAAAUGAUCGUAGUAUUUGCCUGGUGGCCUCCCUCGGGACACAACGCUGCACUUCCUUAAAUGAAAAUAUUUAAGUCGGUAGCUGCAUGAGGUUUUACCUCAGGGUUUAAAGCAUCAGACCUCAUCCUCAAUGAACAUGAACCCACUCUGUAGAUUAUUAGUUUUUAUUUUUAUUUUAUUUUUCAAUCCAAGUACUCCAUGGCUGGACCUUAUCGUCUUGAUCCAGAAAUUGAUUGCCAAGAAUCACUUCGUACAGUAAACAGACUUUGUACAGUAAAUAUAAUUUUAUCUUUAAUUAAUUGGUUGGAAUUGUUUUCUGAGGAGUCAAUUCAAAAUUUGAAAAUAAAAACAGAAAAUAGAUCCAGCAAAUGAUUCCAAAUAUCUUCUAAAAGAACAAUGAAAUAUGUUUUUUUUAUUUACUGUAAGGAAAGAUAUUAAUGGAAAAAAUAAAAAAAUCAAUUUAAAAAAUAUAUAAUAAGUCAAAAUCUAACUCGUAUCAGGUUCCUAGUUGAAUUGAAUAAUUGAGAGCGAAACGUGUCAAGACUGACACGAGUUCAAAAUAGACUCCACAACAGGAAAAAAAAAAAAAAAAAGAUCCAUAUUGUGGCCCGUAGUAGUAUUCCGGAGGAGAGGGUCGAAGAUGGCGGCUGGUUCAAAGGAUGAGCUUAAUCUCAUGAAUCAUUUUUUAACCUUUAUCGUAAGACUUGACACGUGUCCUCUAAACCCUCAUGUCCCUCUUCCGAUCCUUGCUAAACCCUUGUUUUGGUCGUAAUCAUCCAUUAGCGUAAAGCUAUGCUUCUCUUGACUUAAUUUGAUCCCAAUAAACCAAUCCAUGGAGUUGGUGGUAAUGUAAUUGAUAUUACUUUUUAAAUUAUUUUUAUUUAAAAAAAUAUCAACAUAAUUUUAAUGUGUUGGUAUUAAAAAAAAUUAAAAAUAUUCUAUUAAUAUAUUUUUAUUUGAAAAAUAUUUUUUAAAAAACCGUAUGUAGAAUUACUAAACACCCUUAAGCCGGUGGACAAAGACACAAACGACAAAAUACAAAGGAAAAGGGAUAAAAGCAUAUAUUUGGAGAUGAUAAAAGGGCAUUGAGAUCAAAGAGGAUAAGUUUUUCAGUGAUGGGAUUGGAUGGUGAUGAAGGAUUGUGUGGAUAAGAGCAUAGUAAUUAAUUAUUUACUAAAAAGUUCUUCAGUGACCUAAUUCCGUGGCCCCACAAAAUUAUCAUUAUCCAAUAAACUAUUUGAUUAAUUCAGUGUUGCUUAAUCCCAGUUUGCUAUUGCGUUUUAAAUGGUUACUGGUUAUUAUAACACCAACUUAACUUAUGGUAAUUUUCUUUAUUGAUGAGUGAAUUUGAUUAGAUUUAAGAAUCUCCAUCACAGCCCAACAUCAUUAGCUUAUCUGCCAUCCCUUUCAAGAGAAGAAGAUUUCGAAUCAGUCCAUUUAUUCCCAUCUGUAGGCAUCUUUCUCAAGCAUCAAGGAGAAUUACUUCUGGAUUCUGAGUUGCCAAUAAAAAACAUAAAACCCUUAUAAAGUAGUUCGUCUCCCAGUCCUUAAAUUAGUUUCCUCAUUGUUUUUCACAAUUUUUAAAGAAAUUUUACGACUGCUGGGCCUUGACUUGUCUGUUUAAUUUCUAUUAGUCUUAUUCACAUUUUAGUAUUUUAUGCCAAUGAUAGAAUGCACUUUCAUAGACUCAUCAAAACCACAGGAACGCAAUCAAGCUUUAGCUUCAAAACAACCAGAGGGAGAUUUAGUGCAGUGGAGAACUUCAACAUCUACUAUGAAGCUUGAUUUGCUAUCCAAUCUUCACGUUAGUUUUCCAUUGAUACAAAGAUACUGUAUGUGUUUUUGUUGCCAGAAAGUUGUUCGAUCAAUAACUUUUUAUCUUCUUCCAAGUUUUUUUUUUUGUGUGAUUCUUUUUUCCUUUCAUCUCAAACUCAUGAACUAAAAGUUAAACAAAAUAAAAUUUUAGAUAAAAAAAAAAAAUAAAAAAUAUAAGAUGCAAAAAAUUAUAAGGUAAACAAUAAACUAAAUUUAGAAUAUGUCUCUUACUAUUCGUAAGCUUCCUAUUCCUUUUUAGUUUUUCUUAAAGUUAUUCUAUUUGAUGUCAUGAGUGUUCCAUUGAGAGAUAAAAAAGAAGACAAAUUCCCAUCCUCUUCACCUUCUUACAAUGCAUUACAGUAAUAUCUCUAAGAGAAUUGUAAAUCAAUUUUUGCAUUGCAAAUACUUUUCAGUUCCGGUAAAUCAAACAAUUUCAGAAUUUUCCAAGAUAAACAGAUUUUUAAAUACACUCAAACAUAAUUUUAAAUAUAAAAACAAAUUAUGUUUUUUUGAUUGCGGCAUAACAGUGAUGGCAGUACCGUUGUUGUUUGGACUUUGAGCAGCAGUAGAUAUCUCCAGCGUACUGUUACCUGCCGGCUAGAAAAUGUAUGAUGCCGUUUUUUAGUUUAAUAGAGAGAGGGCAGAAAGCCUUAAGAAAAUAAUUUCACAUUCUGUGUGGUAGAAACCUGAUUCCACCCAAAAAAAAAAAAUAACACGGUAAUUGAAGCAAAUUAAAAGAAUAAAAGAAAAUAUAAAAUGAUUUAAAAGAGAACAAAAAUUAAUUUUAAAUGCAGAUUAAAAUAAAGCAAAGUGACUAAUGAAAAAAGUACUUCAAUCCUACAAACAGCAGAUAGAUAGUCGGAAUCCCUUGCGCACACAUUUGAUAUAUAGAUAAUUAAAUCAACAUUAAACCAAAUUAAUAUAACCCUUUUGAAAAAUCAUCCACUACUUUUAAAUAAUUAAUUAUCCCUAUUAAGAAAAUCCAAUGACGACAAUGUAUUUAAGGAGCAAUAUUAAAGCAAAGAAAUUAAAUCAAUACAGGUAAAUAAAUGAUCCAAAGAUUAAUCCAUUCAAUAGAAAAAACAUGAAUGAAUCCAUAAACUGCUUAAAUUCGGAGAAGAAUACUUCUCAACAACAAAUUGAGAAUGAUAAAACAAAAGAGUUAGAAUAAUUAGAAAUCUGAACAAUUUAGUUACCCAUCACUGUAUUAGUCAUUCCUUUCCUCAUCUGUGCUCUCUUUUUUUCCCUCUCUCUAGUGCAAUUCUCUCACGUCUUCUUUAUGCCAAAUAGCCCUCUUUACAGAGGAGGCAGCACCCUUUUUCAUCAGAGACUAACUUGUAGCCCUUUACGAUACCUUUCCAACGCAUCAAGAAUCACAGCAAUCCGAUAUGUGUGUGGAAAGUUACGAUUAAAAUACUUUAAGUGUAUCUAGGCUGUUUCUAAAAAAAAGAACAUUACUUUAAGUUUAUCCAGGCUGCUAUUUAAAAAGUCAAGAAAAUAAAGUUUUAGAUUAAAAUAAAAUAAAAUAAAAACUUUAAGGAAAAAAAAAAAGCACGCCUAUGAAGCUUGAUAGUAUAUCAAAUUAAAUAGAAGCUCGAUUAAAAAAUGCCCUUUAAUUUCUAUUAUUUCUAUUCACAUUUUAGCAUUUUAUUCCAAUGAUAGAGCAUUUGGAAUGCACUUUCAUAGACUCAUCAAAACCCCAGGAACGCCAUCAAGCAUUAGCUUCAAACAACCAGAUCCGGAGCUUCAGUGCAGUAGAAAACUUUAACAUCUACUAUGAAGCUUGAUUUGCUAUCCAAUCCACACAUCAGUUUUCCAUUGAUACAAAGAUACCGUAUUUUUAACCAUCUAAUAUUAAGAGCGUGUGAUAAAGGGGUUUGCUUCCCCUAAUAUUAAGAGCGUGUGAUAAAGGGGUUUGCUUCCCCUGUAGUUUCAGGUUCGAGCCCUGUGGUUAUUAAUAUUGAUGACCAUUGAAGGCUUACCUGGUCGUUAAUUUCAAGAUCCAAGAAAAUUAAUCGAGGUAUGGACAAACUGGCUUAAACACUCAAGUGAAUAAAAAUAAAAUAUUUUAUUUUUGUUACCGGAAAAUUGUCAACCAAUAACUUUUUAUCCUUUUCCAAGUUUUUUAGGUGACUUUUUUCUUUUAUCUCAAAAUCAUGGAUAAAAAAUGAAUAGAAUAAAAUUUCGAAUCAAAACUAAAACUAAAAAAAUAAAAAAUGCUAAAAGUCUAGGGAUUAAGAUUUUAAAAAUCAUGCCUACGCUAACUUCUAGUUUUAAAUAUUUAAAACAAGGCUCCAUAUAUUAUCAUAUAUUCAUAGAGACAUACCAAUGUAGCUUUUGAUGUUUACCGGUUUGGGUAUGUCCAUAUGCUUUUAAAUAUUUUUUAAAAUUUAUAUUUGUUUUAAAAAAAUAUUAAAUUAAUAAUUUUUUAGUUGUUUUUAAUGAUUUUGAUGUAUUGAUAUUAAAAAAAAUCUAAAAAUAUAUUUUUAAAAAAUAUUUUAUAUAACAGUAUCAAACACAUGAUAACCUUGUCCAAAAGCUUUCGACCGAGCAUAAAAUGGUUUUCAACCCAAUCAUACUUUUUCCUCAUUAUAAAUAUAAAAUAAAGUUCAAGUGAAGUAGGGUCCAAUCUUAACUGGUUCAAACAUUAUUGUUAGAACGUGACAGUGUCCCAGCAUUAGUAGUGUAGCACGUGCCAUGUCUUAAGCUUAUGUGAUCCGAAAACAAGGCAAUUGGUGUUUGAUGGAAUUAGCUGUCACUAAAAAUAAAAUAAAAUAAAAUCCUCCGUGAACUAAUUAAUUACUCAAUUAAUUCCUAAAUUAGUUUUUUUAUUGUUUUACACAAAAUUUAUAUAAAUAAAAAUAUUUUAUUAGAUAUUUUAGAUACUCCACUAUUAUAAUAUUUUAUUUAAGUUUAGAUUUUUAUUUCAAAAUUGAAUUUUAUUUAAUGUAACAAGUAUUACGAUGUUUUUUUUAUCUGAAAAUUUUUGAAAUAUUAUUUGAUUUUAUUAAUUUAAAAACAAAUAAUAUUUUAAAAGAGUACGAAAUGUUGUAUAAAAUUUAUAUGUAUUUAUUUUCUGAUAUACGUGUUCCAAGAAUUAGCAGGGAUACGAUGUUUUUACAGCAGUGCUUUUAUGUUAUCGGUCAUGGACCCGAAACACGGUUCAUGACAAUAACGCAAAACACAACAAACAUUGAUGCUAUGCUGAAUCCUUGAAGUGCGUCUAACAAAAUCUCAAUAUCCGGAAUGCCUCUUCUUCCAUGGCAUCUUGCCUAACUCUUGAUUGUCUCAGGUCCUCCAAGGCAUUACUCCACUCUUUUUUUUUUUUUUUUUUUAUUAAUGUGGAUGUCUGGACCAGCUUGCACACACCUCGACUAAUCACACGGGCCUUGAAGUUAACAACCAUGUAAGCCUCUAGUGGCUAUUAUAUGAAUAUCCAUAGAGCUCGAACCUGAGACCACAAAAAAAAAAAAACUCUUAAUUUCAAACUCUUAUCACUAGACCACUUUCUAGAUGGUUGCAUUCCUCCACUCCUUGGUUAACUAUCUCAUGGAGGUUAACUCCCCCCAACUCUCUUACGGAUAAAGUAAGGAAGCCAUUUACACUUCAUAAGAAACCGUAAUAUAACAAACAGAGGAUCUGUAAGUUUCAGAGAACGACAUCAAUUUAAUUAUGCGAAGUUCAAUCUUUUUUCCUCUACAAAUUAAAUCAUUUACGUAAACCUGUUACCUACAUUUUGUAAUAUUUCUGGAUCUGCUCUUUGAUUCAUCAAGGACAGAGUUGAUUGCAGCUUCGUCAUAGAAAAGUUCGUCUUCUUCAUCUUCUUGGUUGGCGAGGAAAUAUAAGUGGACUCUUCUCCAGUUUAAGGAUUCCAAUCAAGCACAUGAAUGAUAAAGGGCAGAGUCAUCAUUUAAAUAAUAAAGGAUCGAACAUCCUUAGCAUUAGGAUGCUCCCAUUCCACCACUGACUCUCACCAUUCUUUUGGAUGUACUCCAUCACUCUAAGAGAAGGGGGAUGAGAUAGCUGGCCAUUUUCAAGCAACGGAAGAUGAAUUGCCAGCCUUUUCAGCAUCUGACAAUUUGUUAUCCCAAUUUGUUGGAGAGAAUCGCAGAUCGAACUCUUUAAAAAUAGAAAUAUACCAUGAUAAGAUGGAGAUGAUGGUGGAGCGGAGCGGAGCAGAGCCAAGAAGACGAAACCAAGCUCUCCAUGUUAUAGCACUUCCAAAUGUCGGUACUGGCAUUUAUUGAAAUGAAACUUAAAAUCAACUGUUUUGAAAGCCAUUUGAUAGCUAGGAACUCAGAAUCCAUGAGAUUAAGUAUUUGGCAAAGCCUUCCCCGUGAUCGGAGCAAUCUCACUAAUUUAUCGACGGAAUGGCUAGAAUUGUCUUCCUCUUAACUAAUCUUUAGCAAAUUGUCUUAAUAUGGUUUUACCAAAAAGAAAAUAAUAAAUUUGUUCUAUUACUAUCAACUGCCAGAACUCCUGACAAGUAAUUACGACCAGUUUUUUAACAUCCAAGCUCUUGUAAUCUCACAAACGCUUGAGACCCAAACCCAAUCAACAGAUCAGAGAACCUUUAUUUGUCAAGGCUCCAUACACUUUCUCGACAAGAACCGGAGGAGGAGGCUGUGGGGAAUUCGAUGGUUGAAAAAGGAACGUGAAUUAUGCUGGAGAGCAUGCAGGUGGCGAUGUGUUUGGAGCUUAGCCUGGUGUUCCUCCAAAUCCUUACUAAAUUAUUACAAAGUAACAUUAUAAUAUUUUUAAAUCUGUUUAAUUUUUUUGGUUUAAGAUCGUGUUUUUUUGUUGUUGAAAAAUUAUCCUUACAAAGUAACUUUUUAUCCUUUUCCAAGCUUUAUGGUGAUUUUUUUAAUCUCAAAUUCAUGAACAAAAAAAGGUAGCAGCGUGAAGCCUCGCCAAAAGCCCAAGAUUAAAAUAACCAUGCUCCUAGCCCAAGCCCGCCAACAUCACCCCCAGCAGAUUGGAAAAAUGCUCAUAACCAUUCCGGAAAAACACACCUAGGCUACUAUGGUAUACUAGAAAGUGGAAAUAAAUCGAUAUUAAUCAUCAAAUAAAUCGUUAGCAGAAACCAAAAAUAAAUAAAUAAAUUGUUCAUGCUACUCCAUCUUAUUGAUGGGAAUGGCUUUUGACCAGCAUACAUACGACUCUGCUAAAAUUAUCUGACAAAUUAUCAGGCUUAUAAAAAAACUUAAUAAAAUUAGAAAAAAAAUUAUCAUUUUUAUUUAAUAAAAGAAUAUUAAAAAUAUUAAUUUAAUAUUUUUUUUAAAAUAAACAGAUUUUUAAAUGCAAUCAAACAUAAUUUUGAGUACAAAAACAAAUUACGUUUUGAUUGCAAGCAUAACAAUCUUGGCAGUAAGUACUUUUAUGAUUUUAUUUUUGCAGCCACGUACAUGCUUUAGGAGUUCUUUUUAUUAAAUCAAUAUUAAAGUAAAAAAAAUUAAAUCAAUACAGAUAAAUAAAUUAACUAAAUAUAAUCAAACAAUUAAUCCAUUUAACAGAAAAAACAUUACUGAAUCCAUAAACUACAUUAAUCCCCUUUCUUUUCUUUUCUUGUUUUUUUUUUCUCUGGUGGAAUUCCCACACAUCUUCUUUUUUUUUUCUCUGGUGAAAUUCAAUAGGAUGAAAAUAUAAUAUUAAUCAAACUUCAAAUUAUAAUUGUUUAUCUAUCGAGUUUAAAAAAAUAUGACAAUUCAGUAGUCUUUAAUGAAAUAAAAAAAAAUAAAAAAUGUUAUUUAUGUAAUUGUAAGCACACUAUAUUAUAUUACUUUACAAAGGGACGAAGGACAUCCUUUGCAUUAGGGUGCUCCCACUCCACUACUGACUUCCACCAUUCAUCUGGAUAUGCCUCGAUUGUUUUAAGAGAAGGGGGAGGAGAUGGCUGGCCAUUUUCAAGCAACGGAAGACAAAUUGGCAUCCUCUUCAGCUUCUUACAAAAAAAUACCUUAAUAUUUUUAAGAGAAUUGCAAAUCAGCUUUGCACUGCAAAUGCUUUUCAGUUCUGGUAACCUAUCCAGUUGCAGAGUUGUUAACUUUGGGAGAAUGACUUCCGUGAUGGAAUUGGAGGUGCUGCUUUCUUCAUCUGUUGUUCCUAUUAUCUCCUCCAUUUUCUCACAAUUGGAAACUUCAAUCCUUCUCAGGUUUACGAGGUUUGGCAGCAACACAAGCGGGAACAGCUUCUUUAUACUUUUACAGUAAUAACAAAAAAACUCUUUAAGACCAGAAAAUGUACCGUUACAUGAUGGCAAUCGUGGUGGAGCAGAGCAGAACCAAGAAGAUGAAACCAAGCUCUCCAUGUUAUGGCAUUCCUGAAUGCGGAUGUGCUCCAGUUCAGUUGCAUUCUCUAAUGACAAAACAUCACAUAAACUUCUUGCAUCGAUGCAUUCACAAAUCAGUCCUUGAAUGCCAUUUAAGAACUUAACCUGAAAAUCUCUAUCUCCGUUGAUACUCAAAUUACCCAACCCAACUGUUUUACUUAAAUUUCCAAACAAUUUCUCUUUCAAACUAAGCACCUCUCCUACUAAAAUUUUGUAUGUGCUUAAUGAUUGAAUCCCAUCCCGAGAUCUGAGAUACUCCACUAAGUCAGAAAAACCUUUGAAAUGGCACUCCAAAGUUUCCAAAUUUCUCAAGGAUCCUACUUCCUUUCCUUUAACUGUUAUCGGAGCAUCUUCGAUAAACUUUUUCUUCAGUACAAAGACUUGCAGGUGAGAGAGUUUUGGUAAUAUCCCACUAGGAAACUCCUUUUCACCACAUCCAUUCAUUCUAAGAUACCUCAGGUUGGUUAGGCAUUCCAUUCCUUGCGGCAUCUUUUCAAGUCGAGUACGAGCGAGAUCCAACCUCUUCAGUGCCCUGAGCUUCUUUAAUGAUGGAACAUAUCUUAAGUUCUCACACAUUUUGAGCAAUAACGCAGUGAGACUCACCAAAUCAGAGACAGAGUCUGGCAAGUUUUCAAUACCUGUGCAAGACAGAUCGAGGACCUUGAGCCCAUGCAAUUGCUUGAAAAAUGAAUCAGCAAUAAAUCGCAACCAAGGAUUUUUACAUAGCAAUAGAGUUGAUAGAUUGGGACACCUUGGUGAAUAGCUGGAAGGAAUUUCUUCGAUCUCGUUUCUCAUUAGUGAAAGCAUCGUCAGAUUCUCCGUCCACUCCUCUGCAUCUGGCAACUCUUUUAACUGCACACCUGCUUUAACCAUGACUUGAUAUUCGUCUUGCAGUAUAUGGAUGGCCAUGUCCCUAAUCAAGUCAUGCAUCUUGAUAUAUCUAGUAUCAUCAUAAACCAUUUGAGCACUUUCCAAUAGGCAGACAUAUUCAAGUCUAUUAAGCAUCGUGUGGCCCUCAUCAAAUGCAUCUCCCCUGCUCCUCAUUCCUUUAAUAAUUCCCUCAUCGAUCAAAUAACCUAUCAACUGCUCCCUUUGAAUCACACCAUCUUCAGGAAAUAAUGCACAGUAUAAGAGACAUUGUUGUAGUGCUAAAUCACCUAACCGAUCAUAACUAAACCUCAAUAACUUGAAUACCUUCUCAUCCAUGUCCCUAAAUUCUGAUUCUCUCAAUUUCUUCAAUGUAUUCCUCCACUCAUGUAGAUCAUCCACUCCCCUCAAGCUUCUUGCCACUGUAAUAAUUCCUAGUGGCAAACCAGCACAUUCCUUUGCAAUAGCUUUCGCAAUUCGUUCCACUUCUGGUGAAAGUGCUACAGCACGUCCAAGUUUCUCCAUGAACAAAGUCCAAGCUUCUCCAUCAGAAAGUGGAUUCACUUUGAUUUUACGGUGGCAAGCCAUCCGAUGACAAACCGUUUCUGAUCGAGUUGUCAUAAUCAGCUUGCAUCCUUUCAACUUUUCAGGAAUUCCCACUUCGUGUAGCUCAAAAUUAUUCCACAAAUCAUCUAAAAUGAGAAUCCAUUUUUGUUUCUUCCUUAGUUCUUCUGACAACUUGGCAGCUCUAUGCAGUUCAUCAUUUUUUCUUGAAAGAUCUAGAUCAAGAUGUUCAGCAAUAAGAAUCUGCAAUCUAUUAAUGCUGAAAUCUUGAGACACAGUCACCCACCAAACAUUAUCACAAAUAUCUGGUCUUUGUAGAAGCUCAUUAUGGAUAUGUUGCAGUAUUGUGGAUUUACCAACUCCCCCCAUCCCAUAAAUGCCAAUGGUUGGGACUUUAUCAUCCAUUAAGAAAGACCAUAUCAUAUUUGUAUUCCAUUGGAAUGCUCGACCCACUAGCUUUGUUGAGCUAGUAGGUAAUGGAACUCCUCUAGUCUUGUUGCAUUUCAGACUUUCAGAAGAUCUAGCUCCUGCGCCAGCCUCCUCCAUUGGUUCUGUCCUCACUCUAACCAUGUCCAACAACGCAUCAUGCCUAUUUACAUCAUUGUUUACUGAUGGAGCACAAGGUUGAUCAUAACAUCUUCCAAUGUCAAGACAAAAUUGGGAUGAAUCUCCUCGAGGCUCCAGAAGCUGCACUUGCUCUGUUCUUGGAAUAGUCUCAAAUGCAUCAUGCUGAAAAGAUCCUUCACCAGUGUUUUCCAUGUCAUUUUCUGCUUGUAAAUGCGACUGAAUUCUCUCUUCUCCGGGACCUUGUUCCACGCCUUGAACUCCCACUUGUACUGCUUUGCUCUGUUCCAACACUCGAUCCACGGGUUCUGUCCUCGUUCUGCUCUCGAGUGCCCCUUCGGAAACUCCAUCUUCUUGUGCUCUCAUUCCGGUCAUGCUUACUACGUCGUUUCCUGCUAUUGCAUGAGAAGAAAUCCUCUCUUCCCCUACCCCGGGGUUCUACAACCUGAACUUCUCUUUGUACCCUUCCAAUACCUCCUACCAUUGUUGAGAUUGAACUUGCUGUGAUUUUAUGUCUUUUGUUGCCACCACGCAUAGCUAGAAAGGCUGCUUCUUGAACUUCUUUAGGCACCCCAAGACAAAUGGCAACAUUAUGCCCUUCCUCUCCUGAUAAAUGCCAUUUGAUCCUUGAAAUGGAGGUUUUAUUGGCAAAUGUAUGUGGACAAAACUUACACUUCAUCCUACCCUUAUCACUUUCUUCAACAGAAUUCCAAAACGGAUCAUUUGAUCCAACCUUUUCGACCUAUAGAAAAAAGAAGUCAAAGUAUAGAACAAAAAUCAGUCAAAAUAUGGAAUAAAAAUUGACGGAUCAAGUUACAGAACAGAAGUUUCCGGAUUGAGAAACUAUUUUGCUAUCAAAAUUGAUAGUUAGUUUAUAGCACAAUCAUAGGGGAAAAAAGACUACGAUAAUUCAGUUAGACUUCUUACUUGUUGAGUAUUUAAACCCCUAUUUUGACUUUGGAAGGAAGUGUCAGGGCCAGGAUUAGAGGCAUUUGGCAUAGCAGUUUGAUUUUGCAAUCCUCGGACUUGGAAGUUAUCCAUCUGUGACCUAUAUAUAAAUGAAAUGAUCAUAUUAUAAAAAAUUUCGAUAAUUGUUAGUCACUCUUAAGCACUAAAAAUCAAUGGUGUAUCUAAUUAUCGAAAAGGUAUUAAUACUAUGCAGAAAAACUAAUUGUUUUUUUUACAGAAAAUACUAAAAAUGAAAAAUUGGAUACCGGGGAGCAGGAGAAGAAGGUCCAGGUUGAUUGAAGCCACCAUGUUGAGAAGUGGUUGCGUUCGGUGUCAUAUAGCCAUGUCCCGGCUGAGGUUGAUGAAUAAAGGAGUUCUGAUGCCUGAAUAAUAUUCAAAAAGUUAAACAUAGAACUGUUAUUCUCACAAAAAAGAAAGAUAGAGAGCUCAAAAAGACUUGAAAGAUCCACGUCAAUUUUGGUCAAGUUCAUUGUUUUCAUGAUUAAAAAAGUGUAUAUUCGAGGUUAAUACCUUUGAUUCAUUGGAGGUUGAGGUCCAGGUAGCAUCGUAGGCACUUGAUUGCUCAUUGGUAACUGAUAAUCAGUCCAUUGUUGGUCCCUAAAUGAGCAACAUUUGUUGGUGAUUUCUUUAUACAUAUGCAUAAUUCUUUGCUAUUAAUCCACUAAGCAUUUGAUAUCAUUUUAGCUUACCUCAAAGGCAUUGAUGGUCCAGGUAACAUGGGAUUGGCACAUUGAGGAUCAAAUAAAUUGGGAUUAGACUGAUACCUAUAUUCAAACAUAAUGAAUUCACUGAUAAGUACAACAACAAGAGGAAGAAGAAGAAGAAGAAGUUAAAUAAUGAUUGAAAAACUUUUUUUUUUUUUUCAGAAAAUACUAAACAUGAAAAAUUGGAUACCAGGGAGCAGGAAAAGAAGGUCCAGGUUGAUUGAAUUCACCAUGUUGUGAUGUGGUUGCGUUCGGUGUCAUAUAGCGAUGUCCCGUCUGUGGUUGAUGAAUAAAGGAAUUAUGAUGCCUAAUUCAAUGGACAUUGUAGCAAAUUGGAGUAAGCAUGAGUUCUCACCAUGGUUUCAGGAAAUGAAGUUGGAAACUGAGUUGUUUGUUGAAUACUAUCGUUGAUCACAAUGUUCUGUCCACCUUGAUCAUUGCAUAAUAUGGAGCCUUGGUUGACGUCAGCCGGCCUGCUUCCAUGGAAUAAUAUAGAGGAUAAACAGAAGAAUAACUAAAUUGCAAGCAAUCAUCUUCUGAUAAAAUAUGCUUAAGAAUGACGUACGGUGUCAUAUAGAGAAGUGGUGAUUGAAGACCGAAAAGAUCAUCAUCCAUAGAAGAUGGUGGGAACCCUUCCAUCUGACCAAAAGUACAAAAUGAUUAGUACAUACUGAGGUGAACAAAGAACAGAAAGCACGUAGCAAAGAAAAAAAAAAAGUAUAUAUAUAUGAGUGGAUUACUGGGUACACACGUUACGUAAGUCAAAAUAAAAGAAAAACAAAUAAAUGGUGAAAAGCAUAUUUUAAUGACAGUCCCAUUAAUUGGAAAAGAAAAGGGUGAAUCUAAGAAAAGAAAAGCCUUUUUUUUAUUAUUUUUAAUACUAAUAUAUCAAAAAAUAUUAAUUUAAUAUUUUUUUUUCAAAAUAAACAGAUUUUAAAAAACAAAUUAUAUUUUGAUUGCGGGCAUAACAAUCCUGGCAGUACCGUUGCCGUUUUUUAGUUUACACAUUCUCUGGAGUGUCGAUUCCACAUUGAAGCAAAUUAAAAGAAUAAAAGCAAAUAUUAAAUGAUUUAAUAAAAGUGACUAAUGAAAAAGGUGCUUAAAUUCUACAAACAGCAGAUGGAUAGUCGGAAUCCCUUGAACACAUUUGAUAUUUUAAUUAUUCUUAUUUUGUUUAAUGUAAGGUAAUUACCAAUCAAGUUAAUUCAUUGAAUCAUUGUAAGGAAAAAAAAAAGUUGAAAAAUACUGAAUAAAAAUGAAUUGCAGUCCCAUUAAUUGGAAAAGAAAAGGGUGAAUCUAAAAUAAGGUGUUAAAAACACUACUUUACCUACCCCAAUUAUGAAGCUUAGAAGAAGAUGCCUAGAAAAUGUAAACACGUGAAUAUGAGAAUCAAUAAUAUACUUUUCUUUUUAAAAAUUUUUUAUUUAAAAAAAUUAAAAUAAUAAUUUUUUUUUAAAAAAAUAAUAAUUAAAAAAGAAAUAAAAUUCAAAGUUUUUGAAAAGCAUGUGCUCUAACAAUAACAUAUUAAAUAUGUGAUUAAUAGCAUGUGAUUAAAGGUUUUCAGUCGAUGCCAUUACAUGCAGUCAAAGACUCCAUCCUUACUUUUAAUAAACAAAACCUACACUCAAUAACAUGUCCUAGUUUUUUUGGCCAGUGUUUUUCCGUGGUGGGAUUAAUUUUUUUAAAAUAUAAAAAUAAAAUGUUAAGAGUGAAGAAAGUUUGUUAGCGAUAUUAUUAAACCUAGUCAUGGAGUUAAUAUUAAAAUCUUCUAACCUAAUUUUUUAUUUAAUUUAAAUUUUUAAUUAAAUUAUAUGGAAAUUAACUCAGUUUAAAUCGAUCAAUAUCCAAAUACAACUUAAAAAACUAGAAAAACAUUAAAAAAACUUAUAGAAAACAACGUUUUUUAAAAAAAAAAUAUUGAAACAAUGAAAGAUUUGAUUGAUCCCAGUCCCUCACGACUGGAGUCAUAGAUUCUAUUGAGUUUAGUAAUUUUUUAUAAGUUUUUUUUAUUUAAUUAUAUGAUAAAAAUAGAUGCUUAAAAAAUUGAGUAUCAUCCCUAAAAUAAAUAUUUAUUUAAGAUUUUAAUAACCCUAUAGAAAGCAAACAAAAAUAAAUUAUUUAGUCUAUUUCCAAAUCAAUCUACUAUUGAAGGAUGAAAUUAAAAAAAAAAUCAAUUAAAAAAAUUAAAAGACUAAAAAAAAAAAAAACAUAUUCGAUCAAUGGGUAAACCUGUCAAACUUGUGGCUAGUACAUAAAACCUAUGAACCAGGUUAUGGACUUAACUAAGAUUAUAAUUAUUUUGGCUAGUACUGUCAAAAUUAUUUUUUUUUAUAAUUAUAAUCUUAGUUAAGUCCAUAACCUGGUUCAUGGGUUUGAUGUACUAGCCACAAGUUUGACAGGUUUACCCAUUGAUCGAAUAUGUUUUUUUUUUUUUUAGUCUUUUAAUUUUUUUAAUUGAUUUUUUUUUAAUUUCAUCCUUCAAUAGUAGAUGAUAAAAAAAAUAUAAAAUAAAUAAUUGUAAAAUUAAACAUCAACCAUACACACACACACUAAUUCGACCAAAAUAUGAAAUAGGCAAAAAAAAAAAAAAUAAUUAAAAAAAAGGAAAGGAAAGGGAAAAAAAAACAGAAAAGGCAAAACACUAUCAAUUACUAUUAUAAUCUAUAAUGAAAUGAGUGUGGGUGAAUAGUGAUUCUCUUACACCUUUUAGUUUUUCUUUUAAUUAAUAAAUAAAAAAAAUAUCCCACCAAACCUGAAAACUAGUAUAAUUUGAAUUAUUUUAACAAACCUGUAAAUCACGUUAAUCUUAUAAAAAAAUAGAAUAAAAAUUAAUAAAUUAAAGCUGAAUUAUAACCCGCCUAUAAUAAAAUAAACAAAAACAAAUUUUUAAAAACAAAAAAAAAGGGCAAAACACCUUGAAUUACGUACUAUUGAAAUUUACAAUGAAAUAGGUGUGGAUAUAUAGUGAUUCUCCCAAGUCUCUUAGCUUUUCUUUUAAUGAAAAUUAAUAACCGUAUAAUAUACUUUCUUGUGUUUGCUCUAUCGUUGCUAAAUUAAAACAUAUAUUUUUUUUUUAUCUACAUCUAUGUGAAACUUUUUUAAAAUAAAAAUAUUUAAAAAGAUAAAUGUUAAAACAAAAACAUUGUUAUUUUAAUUUUUUUUUUAAUAAAUACCAUCAUAAUAUGAUAUGGUUUUCUUUUUUACUCAGGUUAUUCAGUUAAUAUGUAAGUCAACCAGUAAACUAAACUUUGGAAUACGCUUCUUGACUAUUCGUAAGCUUCCUAUUUAUUCUUAGUAAUCAAAAUAUAUUUUUAUUUUUAAUAUUAAUAUAUUAAAAAAUAUUAAUUUAAUAUUUUUUUAGAAUAAUCAGAUUUUUUAAUAAACAUAACUCUGAGUACAAAAACAAAUUAUGUUUAGAUUGCGGGCAUAAGCAUAACAAUCUUGACAGUACGGUUGUUGUUUGGACUUUGAGAAUGAUAAAAUAAAAGAGUUAGAAUAAAUUUAAAAUAAAAAAUUAAUUUUUUAAAAAUAUUUUUAAAAUACAAAAACAAACUAAUAAUGAUAAAUAGACUUUCAUACACUUGUCAAAAUCACAGGAACGCAACAAUCAGGCAGGCAUUAGCUUCACUGCAGUAGAAAACUUCAACAUAGCUUGAUUUGCUAUCCAAUCUGCACACCAGUUGGAUAGCAAUUUCUUUUCAUAACAUUUACCUUUGUAAAAACUUUCUACUUAUUUUUAGUUUUAAUAUCAAAUUCAGUCUUGAAUAUUUAUCUUCAAAAUUUUAAUAUCAAAUUUGACGGUCAAAAUUUCACUUAUUUUUAAUCAAUUAAAUUGAACAAAAUCUUGUUAAGUCAAACAUCAACUCUACAUUGAAUUGUUUUUUCUUCUUAGACCACAAGAGCUCCAUAACAAGUUUAUUGAAAUAAAUUAGCCAUGUCCCGGCUGAGGUUGAUGAAUAAAGGAAUUAUGAUGGCUUGAUGGAGUUUGAGGCCAAUUUUAUAUAAAACUUAAUGAUAAAAAAAUGUCUAAAUCUCCCAAUUGUUGUCUGUUUGUUUAACAGUAAACAAUUUGAAGAUGCUCGAGAUCGAUACACUAAACAUAAAACUUUUUGCAUAAUACAAACACUUGCUAAUUCAAUGGACAUUGUAGCAAAUUGGAGCACUCACCAUUGUUUCAGGAAAGGACAUUGGAAACGGAGUUGUUUGUUGAAUACUAUUGUUGAUCACAUUGCUCUGUCCACCUUGAUCAUUGCAUGAUAUGGAGCUUUGGUUGACUGGAACCUCCGGUGGCGACCUGCUUCCAUGGACAGUGACGACAUUAUAUUGUUUUUUGCGAAUAAUAGGAUAAACUGAAGAAUAACUAAACUGCAAGCAAUGAUUUUCUGAUAAAAUAUGCUUAAGAAUGACGUACGAGAGAAGCUCAGAAAUAUCUUCUAGUGAUUGAAUACCCAGCUGAUCCCAUGUCAUGUUGUCAACCUCCAUAAAAGAUGGUUGGAACCCUUCCAUCUGACCAGAAAAGAUCAGAAAAGACAAAAAAAAACUGAGGUCUAAAAAGAACAGAAAGCACAGAUCAGAAAAGAAUAUAUAUAUAUAUAUAUAUAUAUAUGACUACUUGUUUGUUAAAGAAAUUCGGAUGAAAAAUAUGAAAUAUAAAUGUUGUUGUUAAUGAUUUAAUCCUUUGUCUUUUAAGAUAAAUUAUCAUACUCAAAUUCUUUUUAUGAUAGAUAGAAAGAUGCAGUAUAACUGUUGAAGGUAGAAGAGCUGAUUGUUUUGACGGGGUGAACAAAAACCUCUUUCAACUCCUCUUUAUUCAUAAUUUGGGGAGCAAAACAAAUGCAAGAUUCAUUGUUUACUGUUAAACAAACCUCUUUCAACUCCUAUUUAUUCUUUUUUAAUUAUUCUUAUUUUGUUUAUUGAAAGGUAAUUACCGAUCAAGUUAAUUCAUUGAAUCAUUGUAAGAAACAAAAGUUGAAAAAUAUUGAAUAAAAAUAAAUGGCAGUCCCAUUAAUUGGAAAAGAAAAGGGUGAAUCUAAAAUAAGGAGUUAAAAACAGCAAAGAAUCUUGAAAAGACGAAAACAAUGAAUUCAACGUUUAGGGUUAAUUUAAUCAGUAUGAACACCACAGGGCAUGGAUUAUAAAAUCUGAGAAAAAGAUCUAUCUAUUUAUCAUGGAUUACUUUAAAGAUUCAGACAAGAUGAAUGACAAAUAAUUUACCUGGAUUCAAGAUGUUCUUCAAGUGCUAGCUGGUUUGCUUGAGCAGUGAUCAGCCAAAAGAAAAGGAAGAGAAAUCACAGAUCAGAGAAGAAUAUAUGGUUUAGAAAAAUAAUAAAGUUGCAGCAUACAUAAAUCUAGUUCGCACUGAUCAUGAGAUGGGGAAAGGAAAAUAGGGAAUUCUACAAUGAGAUGAGAUGUGGGAGAGAAUGUUACAGCAGCAAGGUCGCCUCAAUAAUAAUAAUUAAUUAACGUAUUGUUUGAUAGGAAGGAAGUUGCCCGGAAGCAACCCAAACAUAUUACAUUAUAAGAUAUAGAAAGUUAACGUGUGGACCCGCCCCAUGUUCACACUUCGAAGAAGCUGCCAAGAAAAUGUAAACACAUGAAAAUGAGAAAGAAUAGCAUAUUUCUGCAUUGAGUGAAUUUUUUUUUUUAAAAAUUAUUUUAUAUUUAAAAAUAUAUUAAUUUUUUUUUUAUAUUGCCACGUAAAAACAAUUCAAAAAUAUUAAUUACAAACGAUCACUUGAUAUAAUUUUACAGACUUUUAAUUAGCCUCACUCAUUUGAACCAUGUCAUGGGUUAAUGGUUCUCAACAACUCUCCAUUCCAUGACCUUUCCGGCCCUACCUAGAACAACCACCAUCCCGACAUAAAUAAUAAUAAUUUCACAGUUGAAUUAUGUUUUUUAAAAAACUUAAUAUUUUUUUAUUUUAAAUUAAUUUUUUAAAUAUUUUUAGAUUAUUUUGACAUUUUAAUGUUAAAAAUAAAUUUUAAAAAAUAAUUAUUUUAAUAUAUUUUAAAUAAAAAAAUAUUAUCACACCAUCAAACAUUAUCUUAUUCUAUAAUAGUAUACCUGAACUUUUCCACACCAAUGGAAUUUUUUUUUUCCAACACUCUUCUACAGAUUUUAUAUUCCUAGCCCUCGACCUAUAAAGUAUGAUUUGCUAUCCAAUCUGCACACUAGUUUUCCAUUAAUACAAAGAUGAUCGUGUUUUUUUGUUGCUAAAAUUGCCGGCCAAUAAUUUAAGAGGUGCGUUUAUUUAAGAGGUACAUCAGUUAAUGAGUUUGGAGUACAAAUUUAUAUUUUCCAUUUCUAUAAAGAGAUAGUGUUUUUUUUUUCUGCCAAAAAUUAUCAACCAAUAAUUUUCCAUCAUUUUCCGAGUUUUUCAGUGACUUUUUGUCAGUUAAAAAUAUAAAGAUUUUUGUGGUGAUUUUAGCCCAACUUUGGGGUAUCGAGUCUCCACUGAGAAAUUAAAAGAAUAGAAAAAAAUAUUACAUGGAGACAAAUUAAGAGAAUAGAAGAAAAUAUUAAAUGGUUUAAUAGAGAAUAAAAUUUAAUUUUAAAUGCAAAUUAAAAUAAAGCAAGGUGACUAAUGGAGAAAGUAGUGGAAUUCUACAAAGAGUAGAGCGUCGGAAUCCUUGCACACAUUUGAUAUUUUAAUUAUUCUUAUUUCGUUUAAUAACUCAAUUGGAAGUUCAAUUCCCAGAAUUUCCGCUUUCGAAAAAUCAUUCAUCACUUUUAAAUACGCAAAUGAUUAUUAAGAAAAUUCAACGACAACAAUAUACUGAAGAGCAAUAUUACAGUAAAGAAAUCAAAUCAAUACAAAUAAAUAUAUGAUCCAAAUAUAAUAAAGAAUUAAUCCAUUUAAUCGAAAAAAACAUGACUGAAUCCAUAAACUACAUGACCCCUUUUUCUAAAGGAGGCAGCCCCACUUUUUCAUCACGUCGCCGUGGUCCCACACAUUUUUAAGUGCGUCCAAGCUGGUUCAAAGUGAAUUUUACGACUCCUGAGCCUUGACUUGUCUGUGAGAGCUUCAACUCUACAUUGAAAUGUUUUUUCCUAAACUGUGAGAGCCUCAUAAUAAGCUUAUUGAAAUAAAUUAUUAUAAUGAAAUUAAAAACAAAAAUACUUAAAAAAAAAACAGAGAGACGCCGUGUUUUCUCUAUUGCUACAAGGUAAAAGUCUGAGCAUAUUUAUUUAUUUAUUUUUAUUUUUAUUUUAAUAAUAUUACUGUUAUAUCUACCGCCUAGAAAUCAAGAACGCUAGUUUCAUUUAAAAGAUUCUAAAGUUCAUAUUUAGAUAAAUUAGCAGAAAGGACGAAAACACAACAAAUCAUACCCAGAGAAGCAAAAGCCAGAAACAAGCUACCUCAAUUCCUGCUCCACCUGGCUAAGAAAUGCAGCGUGCCCACUUGGAAGUACACAUCAUCCAAAUUCCAGGGCAAAUAAUUGGUUGGAAUUGUUUUCUGAGGAGUCAUCUCAAAUUUGAAAAAUAAAAACAGAAAAUAGAUCCAGCAAAUGAUUCCAAAUAUCUUCUAAAAAGAACAAUGAAAUAUGUUUUUUUAUUUACUGUAAGGAAAGAUAUCAAUGGAAAAAAAAAAUCAAUUUAAAAAAUAUAUAAUAAGUCAAAACCUAGACUUAAAAUCUGACCCAUAUCAGGUUCCUAGUUGAAUUGAAUAAUUGAGAGCGAAACGUGUCAAGACUGACAAGAGUUCAGAAUAGACUCAUGAAUCAUUUUUUAACCUUUAUGGUAAGACUUGACACGUGUCCUCUAAACCCUCCUGUCCCUCUUCCGAUCCUUGCUAAACCCUUGUUCUGGUCGUAAUCAUCCAUUAGCGUAAACCUAUGCUUCUCUUGACUUUGAUCCCAAUAAACCAACCCAUAGAGUUGGUGGUAAUGUAAUUUGUAUUACUUUUUAAAUUAUUUUUAUUUAAAAAAUAUAAAAUUAAUUUUAAUGUGUUGGUAUUAAAAAAAAUUAAAAAUAUUUUAUUAAUAUAAUUUUAUUUGAAAAAUAUUUUAAAAAAACCGUAUGUAGAAUUACUAAACAUCCUUAAGCCAGUGGACAAAGACACAAACGACAAAAUACAAAUUAAAAGGGAUAAAACUUAAAAGCAUAUAUUUGGAGAUGAUAAAAGGGCAUUGAGAUCAAAGAGGAUAAGUUUUCCAGUGAUGGGAUUGGAUGGUGACGAAGGAUUGUGUGGAUAAGAGCACAGUAAUUAAUCAUUUACUAAAAAGUUCUUCAGUGACCUAAUUCUGUGGCCCAACCAAAUUAUCAUUAUCCAAUAAACUAUUUGAUUAAUUCAGUGUUGCUUAAUCCCAGUUUGCUAUUGCGUUUUAAAUGGGUAUUGGUUAAAUUUUAUUUUUUUAUAUUUAUAUAUUAUUUUGAUGUGUUGAUAUAAAAAUAAAUUUAAAAAAAUAAAAAUAAUUUUAAAAAAUAUUAUUAUAACACCAACUUAUGAUAAUUUUCUUUAUUGAUUAGUGAAUUUGAUUAGACUUAAGAAUCUCCAUCACAGCCAACAUCAUUAGCUUAUCUGCUAUGUUAGAGAAUAAUAUAAAUCAUAUUCUGGGACCUCAUCUAACAGCUUAAGCUAUUAGGUUGAGAUGGUUCUUUGACAUGGUAUUAGAGCCUUGAUGACCAAGCGGUCACGAGUUUGAAUCUCACCAUCCCCAUUUAUUUGAUAAAAAUUAAGCACAAGACAAUGUAGACCUGUGCAAGUUUUAAGCCCAAAGAGCUUUCACUUGAGGGGGUUUGUUAGAGAAUAAUAUAAAUCAUAUCCUGUAACCUCACCUAACAACUUAAGCUAUUGGGAUGAGAUGAUUCUUUACAUGCCAUCCCUUUCAAGAGAGAAGAUUUCAAAUCAGUCCAUUCAUUCCCAUAUGUAGGCAUCUUUCUCAAGCAUCAAGGAGAAUUACUUCUGGAUUCUGAGUUGCCAAUAAAAAACAAAAAACCCUUAUAAACUAGUUCGUCUCCCAGUCCUUAAAUUAGUUUCCUCAUUGUUUUUCACAAUUUUUUAAGAAAAAAAAUAAAAAAAGGAAAAAUAAAAAAAUGAUCAUAAGCUAUAUAUCUAACACUCAUUUUAAAGAAAUUGAUAACCAUGCAAGCAGUUUACAUGUCAGUAUUUGAUAAGGGGUAAGAUUUUGGAGACAAAUUAGAGUACUCAAAUAGAAUGUACUAGGUGAAUUGCCCGCGCGGUGCUGCGGGUUAUAACAUGAACUGAGCAAAAUCUAAAAGUACUGAGAUAGAACUGAGCAACCACAGAGAGUAAAUCUGAAAACAUGGUAAGCAUUGAGAUCGAACAGGGCAACCAUUUGGAGUAGGCUGUUAGCACGCUGCCAGAACAAUUCAAAAAGGGCCUAAGAUUAAACAUCCUGAGUGCAAAUAAUGGUUGAGCCAGAUGAAAUAAAAAGCAAAGAUGCUGGCAAAGCAGGACCGACAAUGGAACUCCAUGAAGAACAGCAAAAAAAGCAUGGGAUUUUGACGGUGCUGCUCAAAAGUGUGGAUGCGCGGUCUAAGCCCAGAAGGUCUCCUGUUGCGAGGAAAUAGUGUUAGCUUUCAUCUAAAAGAUGAUAGGUAUUGCCAGGCCAACGCUUAGGGAAAGCAAGGUAAUGUGCAAAAGAAUUGGAGCAAUUAACUGUAAUGUUUAAAACUUUGGAAAGCUACCUGAGGCAACACCAAGCCCACCAACAGAUUGUAAAAAUGCUCAUUACCAUUUUGGAAAAAAUAAAAGUUAAAUGAUUUUUUGUUUUUGUUUUUCAAUCAUUUAAAUAAGAUGAUAUUAAAAAGAAAUUUUAAAAAAUAAAAAACAUUAUUUGAAUAUAUUUCUAAAUAAAAAAUAUUUUCCAAUACAACUUCUAUCACUCUUAAACAAACCCUUAGUCUAAUGCAGAGAACAUGUCUUCAUAUACAUUAUACAGUGGAUUAAUCAAUCUUUUUAGUUUUUUUAUAUUGUUCAUAAAGAUAAAAAAAAAUAGUAUCUAUUAUUUUAUUAGUGAUGAUAUAAGAUAUAAGAUGAUUUGUAUAUAUAUAUUUUUUCCAAUACAUGUCUUCCUUUUUUUUCUUUUUAAUAUAUAUUUUUAAAAUAUAAUUUAUUGCUAGUUAAUGAUAUAAGAUGAUUUGUAUUCGUCAAUAUCAAUAGAUCUAUUAUUUUAUUAGGUUACUUUAAUAAUAAAUCAAAAUAGUAUAUAUAUAUAUAUUUGUUUUUUUUUUCUGGGGGGGAGAUUUUCAUCUUGGUGAUACUCAAUAGAUGAAAAUAUAAUAUUAAUUAAACUUCAAAUUAUAAUUAUUUAUCUAUUCAGUUAAAACAAAUAUGACAGUUCAAUAGUCUUAAAUAAUAAAUAUUUCAUAUUAAUAAACGCUUAACGAGUCGAAUCAAUCAGAUGUUAAUUAACAUAAAGAAGUUAACAUGGUGUGUGCAGAGAAUGAAUUGUGGAAAGAGAGAUUGGGAGAGUGUGAGAACUAAAAGAUGAUCCUUACCCUUUAUGGCUUUAUUCUAUAUUAUACUAAGGGACGACUGACCAUAACAUUACAAGGGGACGAAGGACAUCCAUUGUUUUGGGAUUCUCCCACUCCACCAGUGUCUCCCACCGUUCUUUUGGAUAUGCUCGGAUGUAUUUAAGAGACGGGGGAGGGGAUGGUAGGCUAUUUUCAAGCAACGGAAGAUAAAUUGGCAUUCUCUUUAACUUCUCACAAUACUUUACAUUAGGGGUGUUCAAAAAAAUCGAUUAACCAAAAAAACCGAGAAAACCGAUAAAAAAUUAACCAAGAAAACCGAACCGAGAUAGAAAACCGAUUAAACUGAUUGUUAAAACCAUAAAAUCUUGCCAGGUUCGGUUCGGUUCCGGUUUGACCUCUUAAACCGAUGAACCGAACUGGUAGUAUAAAUACCACGCACACAGUCACACACAAACACAGUCACUUGACACUCAGUAACCCUAAAUCUAAUUAACAUUCUGAACUGAAGAAUGAAGCCGCUGCCCACACCAAAAACUCAAAGAGCAAAGAGCCAAAGACUCUUCCUUCUGCCCACAGAGCCCCACACCAAAGACGAUUUAUCGUCUUCUCCCUUCUGCUGUUCUGCAUCUGUCUUGCCCUUCACCAUCAAAUUUCAUCCUUCCUCUUCUCCCUUCCGCAUCUGUCUCUUCCAUCGAUUUGCAUCCUUCCUUUGUCUUCCCUUCUGCAUCUGUCUUGCCCCCUGCUUCUCUCUUCACUUGCAGGUUGCAGCAGAACGACAGGGCUCCUCCAUUGGUAAGAUUAUCUUCGUGUGCUUAACUGCUUAUAAGUCCAACAUAAUUAUUUUCAAACUUUGAUGCUUCUCAGUUCUCUGACCUUUGCUUCUCUUUUUUUUAUCCUCAGGUUCACCCCCUUUUCCAUUUAAUCAAGAACUAGGGUUUUUGCUUCUUUCUUCAGGUUAGUCCCUCCUUCCCUGCCCUAUCUUCUUUUUGUUAAUUUAUGUUGGUAUUGAAAUAUGCUUGUUCAUUUAUGUUGGUAUUGAAAUAUGCUUGUUAAUUGUUAUAGUUUUUUUGUUAGUUUAUCAAUUAGUCAAAUACUCAAAUGUGUUUGUCACCUGUUACAACAUUUUUUUUUUCAUGUUUGUCGCCUGUCGGGUGAAUGAGUGAAUAACUAAAUAUGUUUUUUCAUGAUUAUCGGGGAAUCGGGGAUUGGGUUUUUUCUAAACCGAAAAGAAUUGGGUUUUUUCAUGACUGUUCCUUCAUUUUUGGUUCCCAUAGCAUGAAUGUCAGACCGAUUAGUAGGGAGAAACAUAUUCACUCAUUCCCAUAGCAUAAAUACUAAUCUGACAUUCAUGCUUAUUUAUUUUAAAAAAGAAUUAUGAUUCUCAGACCGAUUAAAGUCCAAUUUGCUGGUUCAAACAAUUUUCUCCCUACUGCCACUGCCAGCUUCUCAUAUGAAGUUAUUGAUGGUUAUUUUGAGGAUUCAGGUGUAUCAUCUACUUGAAGUAUUUUAAUCUAGAAUCCCAAACUAUUCACAUUUUUCUAGGGGAUGGUAAAUGAGAGUUGGCAUUAUACAUAAUACUAAACUCCUCCAAUGCUACAGUACAGCUAAAAAAGUAGAAUUUGUUGCAGCAGUGAUAAAUUUUAAAUUCUACACAUAAUUUUAAAGAGACUAACAAACAAAACUAGUUCAUUAAUAGCUGCACAGACAAAUAUACAAGGCAUCUUUCUCAAUUAAUUUUUUUAGAUCACAAAACACACUUUCAGUUUCAGUUCCAGUUCAAUUAAUAGCUGCAAAUAAUGUUUUUUUUCAUUAUUUUAUAAUCUGUUUUAAUUUCAGAUGGAUAAUCGGGAAGAUCAUACACCAAUUGAAUCAAAUCCUUCAAGUUCAGAACCCCAUUCUUUUCCUAUUCCAGCUCCAGUCCUAGUUGCUACUUCUAGUACAAAUAGCAACGCUGAAAGUGAAGGUAAUCCAGCUUCUAGAUCUAAUAAAGAAAACACAUCUCAGAUUUGGGAUCACUUUAAAAAAAUUAGAUGGUAAUGUUAAGCGCUCCUAGGGCUGCAUGUAUGUAUUGUGGAAAAGAUUAUGCAUGCCAUACUAUACUUAAUGGGACUAGUAACAUGUGGAGUCAUCUAGGUGUAUGCAAAAAAGUUUCCUUUUGUGAUUGACCGAAAACAAAAACUUUUAGUCUUACAACCUAGCCUAUAAUAAAAGGGGGUAAUAUGGAGAGGAAAAUCUGGUGACUAUUAAGGCGGUGGGUUAUAGUUAUGAAGAGUGUAGGAAAGCCCUAGGAAAAAUGAUUAUACUUGAUGAGCUACCUUUUAACUUUGUUGAAAACCAAGGAUUUAAAUCAUUUUGUCAAGUAAUGCAACCUAGAUUUGAUGUUCCUUCUCGUUUGACGAUUUGGAGAGAUUGUUUAAAAAUUUAUGUAGUUGAGAAGGAAAAAUUAAAGAAAGCUCUUAAGGAUCAACGUGUAUGUUUAACAACCGAUACUUGGACAUCAAUCCAAAAUAUUAAUUAUAUGUGUUUGACUGCCCAUUGGAUUGAUGAAGGUUGGAACUUGAAUAAAAGAAUUCUAAACUUUUGUCAAGUUUCUAAUCAUAAAGGUGAAACAAUUGGCCAAACAAUUGAGAGUUGUUUGUUAGAAUGGGGAAUUGAUAACAUUUUAACAGUUACAGUAGACAAUACAAGUUCAAAUAAUUUGACAAUAAAAUAUUUGAAGAGAGUAACAAGUAAUUGGGCAACUAAUAUAUUGUCAAAUGACUUCAUGCAUGUUAGAUGUUGUGCACAUAUUGUUAAUCUUAUUGUAUGUGCGGGAUUGAAAGAUAUUGAUGAUUCAGUUGUUAAGAUUAGGAAUGCAGUGAGGUUUGUUAGAUCUUCUCCUUCUAGACAACUUGUUUUUAACCAAUGUGCGGAGAGGUUGAAAAUUGGGAGUAAAAAAUCUGUUUGCUUGGAUGUUGCAACUAGAUGGAACUCUACAUAUAUGAUGCUAGAUGGCUGUAAAUUUGAUGUGGUUUUUAUGAGGUUAGAAGAAACGAUCCUAGGUAUUUGAGUUACUUUGAGGUUGAUUCAAAAGGAAAACAAAAAAACUUAGGUCCUCCUGCUUUAGAAGAUUGGGAAAAGGCUAGAUCUUUUGUCAAGUUCUUGAAACUAUUUUACACGGUUACAUUGAAAUUUUCUGGCUCAUUGUAUGUGACAUCUAAUUCUUUCUUCAUGAAUUGAUUUCCAUGCACACAAGCAUAUCUCAACUUUGUAGAAGUGAAGAUGUUUAUGUAAGUAAAAUGGCCAAGAAUAUGAUGGCAAAGUAUAAAAAAUAUUGGGGGGAUCAAGAUACACAAAACUUUUUGUUGUAUGUGGCGUUGUGUUAGAUCCACGUUUCAAAUUGAAGUAUGUGAGAUUUUGUUUUGGAAGAUUGUAUGAUGUUGAAGAGGCUGAAAAUUUUACAAUUAAGGUUAAAGAUACUUUGCUAAGGUUGUUUGAGCAUUAUAUGAAUGUUGAUGAGAAUGUUGAGGUGUUCAGUGUUGGAACUAGUAUAAAUGAAAAUGUUAAUGUUGAUUUAAUGGUGGUAAAUGAUGAUAUGUUGGAUGACUUUCUCAAUUCAAAAAACAUUUAGAGGAAGAAGGGGUGUCAAAAAAAAAAUGAGGUUGAGAGGUAUUUGGGUGAUGAUUGUGAGGAUCCUAAUGAUUUUAAAUUAGAUAUUUUGGGUUGGUGGAGGUGUAAUGCUACAAAAUACAAGAUUCUUUCUAAGGUGGCACAACACGUGUUAGCUAUUCCGGUAUCUACAGUUGUUUCUGAAGUAGCUUUCAGUACUGGUGGUCGUAUUUUAGAUCCAUUUCGAAGCUCUUUAUCUCCAUCGACAGUGCAAGCACUGGUUUGUUGUCAGAAUUGGUUGAGUUUAGCAUCAAUUCCAAUCAACAUCAGCAAUUACAUGGAUUAUAUUGAAAAUUCUGAGAUGAUUGAGUCAGGUAAUUUCUUUUACAAAUUUAAAUGUAGUUAUUUUAUAAUAUCAUUUAUUUACAUAUGUUUAAUCUAACUUUUUAAUUUAUGUUUUUGUAGAAUUUGGUGAAAGUUUAAAAAUCUCAACUGAUUGUUUGUAAGCAGUAUUGGUGGCUUGGUGCAAUUUUGGAAUAUAAUUAUUCUGGGUAAUUAAUUUACUUUACCUUGUUAAUUCCCUUUAACAUUUUUCAUACUUAAAUUAAUUCUUUCAAUAGUUGAACUCUAAUAUGUUGCUGAUUUGCUAGUGUUUUUUUUUAUAUAUAGCAUUAUCCUUACUAGAAUUUUUGGAUACCCAUGCUGCUGUUGCUGGAAUUUUUGGAUGCUAGUCUUGUGUUUUUUUUUUUCAAUUUAUGCCGGAUGUUUAUGAUAAUUUAUUGAUGGUUACUAAUGUAUUCGCUUGUUAAUGUUAACUUUUCUAGUGCGAACAAACUUUUAAUUUGAGGUGUUCAAAUUUGAUCAUGCAUCUUGCAUAUUGAAAUUGAUUUAUUGCAUUGCAUACAUAUUGAAAUUGAUUUAUUGCAUUGUAUCUGUCAAAUUAAAUUCAUGUCUAAAUUCAUGUGAAGAAUUAAAUGGUUUACAUUCCUUGGAUAUAUGAUUUUCUCAGCAUAGCUCAUUGCCUGCCUGUAAAGUGUAAAUCAUUUGAACAACUUCAGGCUUAUAAACCAGGAAACAAAACAUGAAAAAUAAAUUUAUUUGUCAUCAGUCUUGGGAUGCCCCUUGAAUUUGAAGUUGUCUGCAUAAGUGCAUAUGCAUUAACCUGAAAGGAGAAGAAAAUUCGGAGUGACCAGGAGAAGAAGAGCCUUGCAGAUGGCACUUCCACAUUGCAUGCAUAUUGAAAGAUAAGUGUUCACUGUUCAGUAGGGAAUUCCUGUUUAUGGCAGCCAAGCUGUGAAUUAAUUCAGGUUUCUGUAACUUUUAAAACUCAAUUUACUGUAAGGCUAAGUGAAUUUUAAAAAAACUGAAAAAAAACCCGGAUUUAAUGAAGGGAUUAGGUUUCCCGGUUUUUUCCAAAAAAAACCGGAUUCAACCGAACCAGACCGGCUCGGUUUGAACCGGUUUCCGGUCCGGUUCGGUUAAAAUUUAUCUAAAAUAUUGAAAUUCGGUUCGGUUGGUUUUUUAAGUCUAAACCGAACCGAAUCGAACCGUGAACACCCCUACUUUACAUCAAUAUCUUUAAGAGAAUUGCAAAUCAAUUUUGCACUGCAAUUGCUUUUCAGUUCUGGUAAAUAUCUCAAUCUUAGAGCUCUUAACUUUGGGAGUUUUAAUUUUGUGAUGGGACUCGAGGUGCUGCUUUCUUCAUCUGUUGUUCCUAUUAUCUCCUCCAUUUUAUCAUAGUACCUCACUUCAAUCCUUUCUAGGUUUACGAGGUUUGGCAGCACCACAAGUGGGAACAACCUCUUCAUACUUUUACAUCCAACACAAUAAAACUCUUUAAGCCCAGAAAACAUACCAUUAUAUGAUGACAAUGGUGGUGGAGCAGACCAGAACCAAGAAGAUGAAACCAAGCUCUCCAUGCUAUUGCAAUCCUCAAUGAUGAUUUCCUCUAGUUCAGUUGCAUUCUCUAAUGACAAAACAUCACAUAAACUUCUUGCAUCGAUGCGUUCACAAUCCGGAACUUGAAUGUCAUUUAAGAACUUGACCUGAAAAUCUCCAUCUUUGUUGAUACUCAAAUUACCAAACCCAACUGUUUUAUUUGGAAAAUCAUCCAUGUCUACCCAACAAUCCACCAUUCCUACUAAAAUUUUAUAUGUGCUUAAUGAAAUGGCAUUUCAAAUUUUCCAAAUUUCUCAACUGUUAUCGGAGCAUAACUAGUCCCCAUAAACUCUUCUAGUGCAAAGACUUGCAGGUGAGAGAGUUUUGGUAAUAUCCCACUAGAAAACUCCUUUUCACCACAUCCAUUCAUUCUAAGAUACCUCAGGUUGGUUAGGCAUUCCAUCCCUUGCGGCAUCUUUUCAAGUGCAGUACAAGAGAGAUUCAACCUCUUCAGUGCCUUGAGCUUCUUUAAUGAUGGAACAUGUCUUAAGUCCUCACACUUUCUGAGCAAUAAGGCAGCGAGACUCACCAAAUCAGAGAUAGAGUCUGGCAAUUUUCAAUACCUGUGCAAGACAGAUUGAGCCCAUGCAAUUGAUUGAAAAAUGUAGUGAUUGUCAAUUAUUUUAUCUUGACCACUGGCAAAAAUUUGUUAGUACAUGAUUUCUUGUAACAAAUUGCCACGUAUCACCAUACUCCCUGUUUUUUUCCUGCUGAAAUAAGUCUUUGGAUCUGUUUUGGUGGGACUAAUAUCAACAUAAAAUGAGUAUCCCUAUUUUUCAGGCAUCAGAAUAUUAUGCUCACUUGGUUGAUUUUAUAAAGGAGUUCUGAUGCCUGAAAAAUAUUAUGCUCACUUGGUUGAUUUUCUAGUUCCAUUAGGUGCAUAAAAAAGAGAUAGAGAGCUCAAAAAGACUUGAAAGAUCCUCGUCAAUUUUGGCCAAGUUCAUUGUUUUCAUGAUUAAAAAAGUGUAUAUUCGAGGUUAAUACCAUUGAUUCAAUGGAGGUUGAGGUCCAGGUAGCAUCGCAGGCACUUGAUUCCUCAUUGGUAACUGGUAAUUAGUCCAUUGUUGGUCCCUAAAUUAGCAACACUUGUUAGUAAUUUCUUUAUACAUAUGCAUAAUUCUUUACUAUUAAUCCACUAAGCAUUUGAUAUCAUUUUAGCUUACCUCAAAGGCAUUGAUGGUCCAGGUAGCAUGGGAUUGGCACAUCGAGGAUCAAAUAAAUUAGGAUGAGGCAGAUACCUAUAUUCAAAUAUAAUGAUAUUAGGCAGAUAAAUAGAACAACAACAAGAAGAAGUUAAAUAAUGAUGAAUAUUAUGUACAAGAAGAAUUUAAAUAAUGAUUAUUCUCACUUAGUUGAUUUUCUAGUUUCAUUAGGUGAUGCAAAUCAGGAGACUCUUGAAAGCUGAUUAAAGCUUAUUAGCUGUAGUUAUUAUUUUCCUAGUUAGCUGAUAGUUUCCGAGUCAGAUUAGUAUUAGAUCGUAACUCCUUAGCUGUAGGGUAUUUAAGAGGGGAACAGAACAGAAGAUGGGGCAUUAUUUGUAUUCUUGGCAAUUGCUUUCUUUAAAUACAAAUUGGAGUGAUUCCAUAGAGAUUCUGUAUUAAAUUAUUUAUUGUUCUUACAGAGAGCAACGAGAGGUUGUACCGGAGGGCAUUUAGAUUAAUAUGUGCACAAAAAAAGAGAGAGAGAGAGACGGAGAGCUCAAAAGAAGUUAAAUAAUGAUGAAUACCUUGUUGGAGUUUGAGGCCAAUUUGGUUCAUUUUGGUUGAUCCAUGAUGAUGAUGUUCCAUCUGAACCUCCCAUUGUUGUCUGUUUGUUUUAUAAUAAACAAUUAGAAGAUGCUCGAGAUAAAUAUUAUGUAGCAAAUUGGAGCACUCACAUUGUUCUGUCCACCUUGAUCAUUGCAUAAUAUGGAGCUUUGGUUGUCUGGAACCUCCGGUGGCGACCUGUUCUGUCCACCUUGAUUAUUGUUUUGUUGGGGAAUAAUAGAAAAAACUGAAGAAUAACUAAAUUGCAAGGAAUCAUUUUUUGAUAAAAUAUGCUUAAGAAUGACGUACGAGAGAGGCACAGGUAUAUUGAAUAUAUCUUCUAGUGAUUGAAGAUCGAACUCAUUUGAUGUCCAGUUGAUCAUGACAUCAUCCUCCGCAGAAGAUGGUGGGAACCCUUCCAUCUGAGGUUUAAAGAAGAACAGAUAAAACAGAUAAUAAAUAUAUAAGUGGGUACACCUUGUUAUAUCUAAGUCAAAAUAAAAGAAAAACAAAUAAAUGGUGAAAAGCACCUUGUUCUAUCUUAUAAUAUAAUAUUUGAUGGGGGUAUAUAUUAUAUUAUUACAAAUUACAAAUAUAACGAUCAUAACUAAGCCUCAAUAACUUGAAUACUUCCUUGUCCCUAAAUUCUGAUUCUCUCAAUUUGUUCAAUGUAUUUCUCCACUCAUAGGUCAUCCACUCCCCUCAAGUUUCCUGCCACUGUAAUAAUUCCCAAUGGCAAACCAGCACAUUCCCUUGCAACGUCUUUCGCAAUUCCUUCCAUUUCUGGUGAAAGUGCUAUAUCACGUCCAAGUUUCUCCAUGAACCAAGUCCAAGCUUCUCCUUUAGAAAGUGGCUUCACUUUGAUUUUGUGCUGGCAAGCCAUCCGAUGACAAACCGUUUCUGAUCGAGUUGUCAUAAUCAGCUUGCAUCCUUCUAACUUUUCAGGAAUUUCCACUUUGUGUAGCUCAAAAUUAUUCCACAAAUCAUCUAAAAUGAGAAGCUAUUUUUGUUUCUUCCUUAGUUCUUCUAACAAUUUGAGAGGUCUGAGAUGAACAUCAUCUUCACUUGAAAGGUCUAGAUCAAGAUGUUUAGCAAUAACAUUCUGCAAUCUAUUAAUGCUGAAAUCUUGAGACUUAGUCACCCACCAAACAUGAUCACAAAUAUCUGGUCUUUGUAGAAGCUCAUUAUGGAUAUGUUGCAGUAUGGUUGUUUUACCAACUCCCCCCAUCCCGUAAAUGCCAAUGGUUGGGACUUCAUCAUCCAUUAACAAAGACCAUAUCACCUUCUUAUUCUCUUCAAAUGCUUGACCCACUGGCUUUAUAGAGCUAUUAGGUAAUGGAACUCCUCUAGUCUUGUUGUUUUUCAGACUUUCAGAAGAUCUAGCUCCUGGGCCAGCCUGCACUACUGAUCUUCCACUAUUCUCAACGUACUCUUCCUCCACUGGUUGUGUCCUCACUCUAACCAUGUCCUGUGCAUCAUGCCUAUUUACAUCAUUGUUUACUAAUGGAGCACAAGGUUGAUCAUAACAUAUUCCAAAGUCAAGACAAAAUUGGGAUGCAUCUCCUUGAGGCUCCAAAAGCUGCACUUGCUCUGUUCUUGGUACAGUCUCAAAUGCAUCAUGCCAAAAAGAUCCUUCACCAGUGUUUUCCAUGCCAUUUUCCGCUUGUAGAUGCGAUUGAAUUCUCUGUUCUCCUGGAUCUUGUUCCAUGCCCUGAACUCCCACUUGUAUCCUUCCAAUACCUCCUCGCCAAAUUGCCGAGUACUGCAUUGCUUUGUUCCAACGAUCGAUCCACUGGUUCUGUCCUCAGUCUGCUCUCGAGUGCCCCUUCAGAAACUCUCUCUUCUUGUGCUCUCACUCCGGUCAUGCUUACUAUACGUCGUUUCCUGCUAUUGCAUGUGAAGAAAUCCUCUGUUCCCCUACUUCGGGUUCUAAAACCUGAACUUCUCUUUGUACCCUUCCAAUACCUCCUCCCAAAUUCCACAGUCAUUAAAAUUGAUUGAACUUGCUGUGAUUUUAUGUCCUUUUUUGCCAUCAUUCAUAGCUUUCCAGGCUGCUUCUUGAACUUCUGUAGUCACUGUUGCUACCCAAUUUUUGACCCAUGUUUUGAUAAUUUUUCAGAAAAAUCCAAAAAUAGAGAAAAACAUCGAAAAGCCAAAAAAAUACUUUUUUAAUAUAUUUGCGUUGUUUUUAGCUGUUGCUACCCAAUUUUUGACUCAUGUUUUGAUAAUUUUUCAGAAAAAUCCAAAAAUAGAGAAAAACAUCGAAAAGCCAAAAAAAUACUUUUUUAAUAUAUUUGCGUUGUUUUUAGCAUUUUCAGCGUCGUAAAAAAAAAUUUAAAUUUUCAAAGGUUUUUCGAACGCGUGCAACUUUUCACGCGUCAUUUUUAAUCAUUGAUUUUCCUCAUUGAGUCGACGUUGAUAUUGCUCAUUUUAAAAAAAUACAAACAAAUUAAGAAAAAUCAAAUUUACAAAAAGAAAGAAGUUGAGGGACCAAUUUUGAAAACCUAGCAAUAUUUUUGCCUAUAAAUACUGGUCUUCAACACACACAAAAGAGGGGGGGACAAUUUUGCACAUUCAGAAAAAACACAAAAAAACCUAACCCUAAACCUAAACCUAUCUCUAACCAAAAAAAAAAGAAGCCGCCGGCCCCCCAGGCUUUUGAUUUUUCCUUCCCCACAACAGCUAACCGAAAUCUCUAGCCUUCCACCAACUCCUCCUCCCUUGCCCUCUGCCAAACGGACAAACUCUCAGCCCCUCACCCCACACAAACCAGCCGCCCCACCCAUUCAGUUGGCCACUCUCUUUUCUCCAGCCAAAGCCAUCGCCCCCUUCUUCCUCUGGUCUCCCGACAAACCCAACAAUACCCUUUCUUCUCCGGACGACCGACCGCAACAACCCACACCGCCUCUCCGUCCGAUCUAUUCACUUCACAACCCGGAAGAAACCCACUAUCAGGCCCAAUCUUCCCCUCAAUAGCGUCUUCUUCGCCUUCGGUCUCUUCAACAGCAAUGGCCACAGACCAGCCAAGACCGAACAUCUAUUUCAACCGGUCGGUCGCAGAUCCACCCAUCAUCAACGACCUAGCAACGGCCACAGAAGACCAUCACUGCUAGAUCGGCCAUCAACAGAAGCCUAGUCGUCGGUGACCCCUUGGUCUUGCCGCCGCUGAAAUAGAGAAGGGAGAAGGUAGAGAAAUUGGAGUGAGCUAAAAAAGGAAAACUUAAACAGAUAGAAAAAAGAAAGAAAAUUAAAAUCGAUUGCCUUUUGUGUUUUUUUUUUUUGCAGAUAACGGUGGUUGUCACCACUGGCGAGGAAAAGAAGAGGGGAAGAAUUCGAUCCAGAUCCCCCCUGUUGCUGGGUUUUUCUCGUGGCAGUGGCACGUGGAGCAACGCGCCGCCACUGUUCCGGCCCUGCACUGUUCCUGAUUUUGUUUGAGAGGUUGUUUUUUUGUAACUUUAAGUUUGUUUAAUGUAAUAUAUUUUUAUUUUUUAGUUUUUUAUAAUUUGUACUUUGUAAAUGUGGAUUAAAAGAAAAGGAAAAGAAAAGAAACGAAACAAAAAAUAUAUAGUAAAAGUGAGUGUGUGUUUGGAUUUUCAUUUAUUUAUGUAUGUAUGUAUGUAUGUAUGUUUUUUUUUUAUGAUAAAAUCGCAAAGAUUAAAUAAGAAUUUAAUAUUUUGAUUUGCUCACAGUCUAGAAUUAUUAACUUAUACGUAAGUUGUAUUUCUAAUAUCUGAUGAAAAGACAAAAUUUUAAAACUUCUUUAACACGUCAAAGCCACGAAGCAACUUACCUCAGGUAGGGUGUGUGUUAGGGGUGCUAAUACCUUCCUUAACCACAACCAGUCCCUUACCCGUGAAUCUCUGACAAGACCAUUACACCCGGGUUUCCUAGUAGCCCUCAAUUAAAUACAAGGUGGCGACUCCAACGAACCAAAUCAAAGCAAACGCAUAACGAGAAAAAAUUGCCAGCCGACGCCGUGCGGGUGACGUGUGGCAGUCACCCCAAGACAAAUGUCAACACCACGCCUUCUCUCUCCUGAUAAAUGCCAUUUGAACCUUGAAAUGCAAAUUUUACUGGACCAUGUACGCUGACAAAACUUACACGUCAUGCUACCAUCAACCCUAUCUUCAACAUAAUUCCAAAAUGGAUCCUUCGAUCCACCCAUAGAAAAAGAAGGGGGGGGGGAGGGUCAAGGCUAGGAUGGAUGAGAAACUACUUCAUUGCUGUUACCUUAUUUUGCUAUUAAAAUUGAUAGUUAGUUUAUUGCAUAAUUAUAGGGGGGGAAAGACGAUGAAAAUUCAGUUAGACUUCUUACUUGUUGAGUAUUUAAAUCCCUAAUUUGACUUUGCAGGGAAUUGUCAAGGCUAGGAGUUGAUGCAUUUGGCAUAGCAGUUUGAUUUUGCAAUCCUGGGACUUGGAGGUUAUCCAUCUGUGACCUGUAUAAAAAUGAAGUGAUCAUAUUAUAAAACCUUUCGAUAAUUGGUAGUAUCUAAUUAUCAAAAGGGUCUUAAUACGUACUGUAUUAAAACACAACAGCUAGAAGUCACCUAGUAGAGUUGCCAAAGUGCCGAGGCCCGAAGUUCUGUUGUUGCAUAUUAUCUAUGUUAGGAAUUACUGCAGCUUGAUCGUCUUGUCCUUGAUUAGAAAGAAAUUGACUCCUGUAUCCAAAAUAAUUCGCAAGUAAUACAAUACGAGAUUUAAUAGUUUUACUGACGGAAUUUUUUCAUCGGCGUAAGACACAUAUUCCGUCGGUAAUUAAUUUACCAACGAAAUCACCAACAGAGAAUCUUUCAUCGGUAAUUUUUUGUCCGUCGGUAAAUCUAUUGGUAAUGAAAAAAAUUUAUUACUGAUGGAUUUACUAAUGGAACAUAAGCGUCGGUAAUAAUAUUUUUUUAUUACCAACGAAUUUACCAACGGACAAAUUAUAAAAUAUUUAAAAACAUUUUAAAAAAAAUCAUUUUAUAAAAUUAUACUCAAAAUGCUUGGAAAAAAAAACAAGAAAAUCAACUCAAACAAAUUUGCAACAAAUAAAUAAAAUGAAAAAAAAAAUUCAACUAAAAAAAUUCAUAUGAAAAAAAUGAAGUUGCAAUUGCUAAAAAUUUAAAAAUCCUAUAAAUAUAUCAACAAAAAUUGAUCUCAUAUGAAAAAAUAAAAUCUCACAACAACAUUUAUACAAUUAUUAAGAACAAAAACAAUUAAAAAUAAAAUAAAAGGCAAAUAUAGUGAAAACAAUCAUGAAAAAAGAAGAAAAAAGAAAAAUCUUACCUUAAUGUAGUUGCAAGUGAAGCUAAGGAGAGAUUUUUUUUUCGUAAAGCAUAUUAAUUAAAAAAAAAACUAAGAGGAUAAAAGAAGAAAGAAGAAGAAGACAUACCUGAGCAUGGAGGAAAAGAGAAGGAGAUGAGGAGAGAAAAGAAGACAAAGAAAUAGAUAUUGAUGUUUUUUACAUAUAGUGAAGAAGAAGAAGAAAUGAGUUUCUUUUUUGUGAAAUAAGGGGAUUCAGAUUUUUUAUUGGGGCACAUUAGCGACGGAUUUAUUGACGAAUAAUUGAAUAUUAAUAUUUUUUAAUUAUUUCGUCAGUAAUUCCAUCGGUAAUAUUUAAUAUAAAUUUUUAAUUUCGUAAAAAGCUUUCAGAAACCGCCAACAAUUAUCGAUGAUUUUUCAAUCCUUCGGUGAUUCCGUCUGUAAUAUUUAAAUGAAAAUUUUGAAUUACUUGAAUUUUUUCAGAAAACCGCCAAAUAAGACCGACGACUUUUCAAUUCGUCGGUGAUUUUGUCUGUAAAGAACAAGAAUUAACAGUGCAAUUGAAAAAGUGAACAGUUCUGGAGCUCUCUGGAAAAUACUGACGAAAAAUUCUGUUAGUGAUUUCCUUCGUAAUUGACAUGAUGAACAGUGUUCACAGUUUACCAAAGAAUUUACCGACGGAAUAAAUUCUGUCGGUAAUUACGUUGGUAAAAAUGACAUAUCAUCAUUUAUUGUUUUACUUUGUUUUAAUUUUUUUCCCCACUGUAAUUCCCUCGAUAUAUACCGAGGGAAUAUUUCCGUCAGUAAAAUCCCUCGAAAAUAUUUCCUUUGUAUUUAUCGAUUUUCUGGUAGUGAUAUUAAGCAUUACAAACUUAUGAUUAUCUUGCUGGGUUGCUGGGUUGAUGUCCAAGCUAUGAUGUUGCUUUCGUAAUUGAAAAACAAAUUUUUUUUAAUAGAAAAUACUAAAUAUGAAAAAUUGGAUACCGUGGAGCAGGAAAAGAAGGUACAGGUUGAAUGAAGCCACCAUGUUGUGAAGUGGUUGCGUUCGGUGUCAUAUAGCCAUGUCCCGGCUGAGGUUGAUGAAUAAAGGAAUUAUGAUGCCUUGAUGGAGUUGGGGGCCAAUUUAGUUCAUUUUGGUUGAUCCAUGAUGAUGAUGUUCCAUCAAAACCUCCCAUUGUUGUCUUUUUGUUUAACAAUAAACAAUUAGAUAAAUAUUUUUGUAUAAUACAAACACUUGCCAAUUCAAUGGACAUUGUAUCACAUUGGAGUAAGCAUGAGUACUCACCAUGGUUUCAGGAAAUGAAGUUAGAAACUUAGCUGUGUCACACGUGUGCGACAUCGUGGUGAAAACAUUCACUCUCGAAUUCUAUUUUUUAUGGAAAAUGUGUGGAGACAAGGAAUUCUUGCUCAAAACUGUCAUUUUUUAUCAAAACCGAGUCCCCCGGGUCAAUACGGGUCAAACCAUAUUGACCAGGGUAAAAAAUGAGUUUCCAUGACGUUUCGGGUCAAAACCGUCAUUUUCGAUCAAAAUCGUCAUUUUGGAUCAAAACCGAGUCCAUCGGGUCAAUAUGGGUCAAACCAUGUCAACCGGGAUAAAAAAUGAGUUUUCAGGUUGUUUCGGGUCAAAACUAUUAUUUUUCGGUCAAAACCCGGUUCACCGGGUUGAUACCCCUCAAAUGUUGUUUUCUGUGUUUCAAUAUAUAUUUUUUUUUUUUGCGGUUGAAAUGGGCUUUUUCUAAUACUGAUUUAAGUUUUUCAGUUUUAUUUAUAUAAUUAUUUAUUAUUAUAUAUAAUAAAACAAAAUUAAUAAUACAAAAAUUUAUUAUAGCGUCAGUUGCUGCGGUGCAUUAUUUUCCUUCGAAAUGAAUUCAUUGUCCCCUGCUCAUUGGCUAUAAAUAGCCACGACAUCAGAGGGAAAAAAAAAGAAAAAAAAAAGAAAGAAAGAAAAGAGAGUAUUACUAUUUGAAUUGUUUUUAGUUUUUCUUCACGAUAGUAAGAUAUUGUUUUUUAUUAAAAACAAGUUGAAAAAUAUCAAAAAUAUCCUAACCAUUUGAUCUAAUAGUGUUAAUUCUGGACCUUUGAUUUAAUAGGAUACAAUAGGGUUUACCAUACUAGAUUAAAACCCAAAUCCAUCUAAGCCUUUGAAAUAAUCUGCCUAUUGAUUCUAUCGUGCCAUGUCACCCGGUGUACCGAGCUUUCAGUGCAUCGCGCCACAACAGAUCAACGCUCAGCUCAUCCAGACCGUCUGAUCAACUUGCAGAUAAAGCCAAUCACAGCUGAAGGAUCAGUUCAUCCGCGAUCCAAUGGCUCACAACCUUCAGCUGCACCGGUGUCCCAUACUCGCGUUCACACCGAGCACAAUCUCGGAGCCUCUCUCUCCUCUCGACGGUGAUUCUCUCUCUCUCAUCCGAUCUCCCAUUUCCGGUCGUGUGAAGCUUUCAAACCACCACAGAAAGGUUGCUACCUUGCUAUAAAGCAAAACCCCGGCGGUUUUCAGCGUUUUCUCCGCCUCAUCUAGCCGGAAAACGACCGCGAUUUCGUCAACCACCCGAAACUUUAAACCGACGAUUCUCCCUCGUCAGCCAUCAACAGCCGUCGAAACCACCUUCAUCAGAAUACUCUCCAUCAGAUCUACUAGAAUCAACCAUUCGUUGGUUGGAAAUCUUGCCGGAAAAUUUCGCCGCCUCCAACAGUAACCGCGCGUGAGCCACACGCGCCACCAGGGGUAUUUUCAUAAUUUUCCAAGAAAUCCAAGGGUAUUUCAGUCUUUUACCUAUACAGUGGCACUCAAGUAAUUUUUUGAAAUUCCUAACAGUUUUUAUUUUAUUUUUAUAUAUAAGUAUUUGUAAAUUCUCUUGCAUGUAAAAAAAACCAAAAAAACCAAAAAUAAAUAUAAAAGGAAUAACGACGCGGGUCCAACACCCAUCUUAUCAUGUCAUCGUUCAUGGGUCCAAAGCCCAAUUAUCAAGUAUGGUUAUACCCAUUUCUCAACGAUAUCAAAAUAUUUUUUGUUUUAUAAAUGAAUAUUGUUUGUCGGCAUGUCUCUUUUUACAGAAAAGGACUGAUGUCAAGGAUAUUUAUACCAAAUAUGGAUUAUGUCCAUUAUUUCCUUUUGAUAAUCCAGACGUAACUCUCCUUUUUAGGGUCAAAUGUCAAUAUUUUAGACAAAUCUCCUAUUUUUAGGGACUAAUGUCAUUUUUAACGUGUCUCCUAUUUUUAGGGACCGACGUUAACCAUUUAAAAAAAAAACAAAAUUGCAAAUAAGCUCAAAAUAUAAUAGCAUUUGAAUCAAAUAAAAAACACACAAGUAAGGGUAACCUUUCUUUUGAAAGGAUGUUUUAAGGGUGGUGUCUACCUUCCCUUAAUCAUAACUAACCCAGUACCUGAAUCUCUGGGACCAGUGUCUAAUUUGGGAUUUCUAGUUCCCUCAUAUUACUAGAUGGCGACUCCAAUAAAAUAUUCAUUUCCCCCAAUCAAAAAAAAAAAUCUUUUUGUUAAAUAAACAAAAAAGCGGAGCCGUCGCCCGACGUCGUGUAUCGAUAGAAUGGCGACUCCGCUGGGGACCUAGGGUUGAACCAACUACUUGUGUGUGCUUUUCAUUUGUUUUUUUAUUAUUGUUAUUUAUUUUUUGAGCAUUUAUUUUAUUUGCACUAUUUAUUUUAUGCAAUAUCAAUUGUAAAUCAUUUCAUUUUUUAAUUACACAUGCAUGCAUGUUAUUUAUUUGUGUAUUCACACACUUCAGUGAACCCAUAAAAGCUCUGGACCCGAGCUCGUCCUUUUUAAGAUUAGAAAAGAAAGAUUCAGGUGGCAAGUGUGACUUAUGUCCACUGAUGCUCAUUUGGACUUUCGCUUGGAUUGUAACUCACCCUAUACAACGGGUAUUGUGGAAUUUUCUUCCCAUACUCAUGUUGUAUAAGGUUAAGAGGCCGACUACCCCAUGGGUAAUUCGGGCAAUCUAAGAACCAAAAAAUAUCUUUAGGGAUAGACUAAAUUGAGCCAAAUCUUAUGAGCUAGAUCCUAUCAAUUAGAUAUACCUUUUAGGACACAAACAAAUGUCAAUGCAUUAACAUACAUGUUUAUAUACAUUUCAUAUUCUCAUUAAAUCUCCACCGAUCCUUAUAGGAAGUGUGAGAAAAAAAACAUUACUAUUGAGGAAUUUUUGACCAGAUCAGAAUUGAACCAACAUGAUGAAGGGGAUUGUUUGCCAUCAGAAUAUAGCAUCAUAUUUCUCCCCUAAAUCGGUUCAAGUCCCUGUAGGUUUGGAGUCCUCAGUGAGAACUUUCUUAAGAGAAUCUGAUCUGGUCUGUUCCUCGUCAUAAGUUUAAAAAAAAAAAAAAUUUGAAACCAAUAACACACAUGCAUAAACCAUAUGGCAUUUUUGCAUCCAUUUGUGCAUUUCAUUUAGUUUACUUGCAUUCACUCAGGUUGAAAUAUAGGUCCCCCAAAAGGCCGUAAAAUUCAUUACACUCGACAACGAAGGAAGAUAAUGGAGAACGAAGAAAGGGCACACCUAGAGGCUCAUUAUCAAAGAGAGUUGGAGAACAUGAAAAAUGAUAUAGCACGACUUACAAGUCUACUCGAGCAGACCCUAGUAUCCAAGUCUGGGGAAGGUACCUCUACUCAGCCGGCAGUUGCAACUCCAUCUAUAUCUAUGCCAUCAGCUCCCUUUGUAUUCCCGCCUCAAAAUUUAGGGGCAAAUCCCUCUUCAUUUGAACAACAGUUCACUGCCAAUGUUCCACCAGCACAAGUGCCAGUUACUAUAAACCUGGCAACUGAUGACCCACAAAGGAUGAAAUUCUCUGAAAAUGUCGAUUAUGAUAAAUUGACCGCUCUAGAAGAGAGAUUGAAGGCAGUAGAAGGGGCAGACUUAUAUGAUCCUGUUUAUGCUGCAGAAAUGUGUUUAGUUCCAAAUGUAGUUGUACCCAGAAAAUUUAGGGUACCAGAAUUCAUCAAGUAUACUGGAACUGAAUGCCCAGUCACUCAUCUUAAAUCUUAUUGCAAUAAGAUGGCAGAAGUAGUGAAUGAUGAGAAACUUCUCAUCCAUUUCUUUCAAGACAGUCUUUCUGGAUCGGCAUUAAGCUGGUAUACAAGGCUGGAUAACACCAAGAUCAGAAAGUGGAAAGAUUUGGUAAAAGCCUUUGUGGAGCAGUAUAAAUUCAACAUGGAGGUAGCCCCGGACAGGUCAAGCUUGUUAGUCAUGGAAAAGGGCAGCAAAGAGACUGUAAGAGAAUACGCUUUGAGAUGGCGUGAAAAAGCAUCUCAUGUACAACCCUCUUUGUUAGAAAAAGAAAUGGUCACUCUUUUUUCUAACACUUUUAAAUCUCCCUACUUUGAACACCUGGUGGGUAGUUCGCUCAGCAUUUCUAUGAUGCUGUAACUAUCGCUGAGAGAAUAGAACAAGCGAUAAGAGCGGGGAGAAUGUCAGAGCCUACUGAGAAGAAAGGCUUUAUUGGGAAAAAGAAGGAUUCUGAGGUGAACAAUGUGGAAGGAGUGUAUAAGGGUAAGAAAACAAAUUACCACCAUUAUAACUUCCAAAUGCCUACCCAACAAGUUGCAAGUGUAAACUUCACUAAACCUUUCCCUACCAACCAACAAAACCAACCACUGACCAACAAAGUAACCAGAUCGUUAAUCCUCCAAGAAGGAAUUUUCAAAGAACCCAAGAACGACUGCCACCAUUACCACUUCCUUUGGGAAAUGUACUCAAAGUUGUUGAGUAUUGGGCAAGUAGCUCCCGUUCCCUUAACCCCACUGCAACCUCCAUACCCAAAUUGGUAUAAGCCAGAUCUGAAAUGCGAGUAUCAUGCUGGCGUGGCAGGGCAUAACAUUGAAAGUUGUAAUGCAUUUAAAAACAAGCUUCUACAAUUGAUAAAAGCUGGAUGGAUAACUUUUGAUGAUUCACCGAAUGUAAAUUCCAAUCCUUUGCCCAAUCAUGCCACAAGCAGUGGAGGAGUGAAUGCUGUAGGAAUGGAGGGUAAGAAGGAAAGAGUUUUGAAGGUUUCCAUGGAAAGACUGUAUGGUAUGUUGGUACAGUCUGGUUAUUUAUCUGAGUUUGAACCAGUGAUGAAUGAAAAUAACUACUGUAAGUUUCAUGGCAAGGUGGGACAUCACAUUGAUGAUUGUGAAGAAUUUCACCAAGAAGUGAAAAGGAUGCUGACUUUCGGCAUGUUAAGGAUAGAGAGUGAAGAAGAGAGUAGUGAAGUUGGGAUGAUAGGCCGUCAGGAGACAAAAAUGGAAGUUUGUAGACUCCAACCAACUGUGGGUGGUCCACCAAAACUAAUCCUGACCAAGCCUGUAUGCACAAAUAGUGAAAGUUAUGGCUCAAUGCCUUACAAUUAUGGGUAUUCUUUCAACAUUAAGAACCCUACUCCCAUCUUUCAUCCUGAAAUCGGUGGUUUAACUCGAAGUGGUCGGUGUUUUACACCAGAAGAAUUAGAAAGGCAGAGGAAAGCCAAAGGAAAAGAGAUAGUUGAUGCUUUUAAAGGCAUGGAAGUGAACAAGCCUAUAAGUGAAGACGAGUCUAAUGAGUUUCUGAAGUUGAUGAAGCAUAGUGAGUAUAGUGUGGUGGAUCAAUUGAAGAAAACUCCUGCUAGAAUCUCUUUAAUGUCACUUAUCUUGAGUUCUGAGUUACACCGUAAAGCAUUGCAAAAGGUGUUGAAUGAAGCAUAUGUGCCACAGGAUAUUACUCAAGAUACAAUGGAACAUUUGGUGGGAAGAAUUCAAGCCUCUAAUUACUUAUACUUCACAGAAGAUGAGCUAGACUCGGAAGGGACUGGGCAUAACAAGCCUUUGUACAUCACCGUGAAAUGUAAAGACUAUUUGAUCGGCAAAGUGCUUGUGGAUAAUGGUUCAGCGUUGAAUGUGCUACCAAGGCAUAUAUAGAUGAGAUGCCAAUUGAUGCUACUUACAUGAGACCAAGCACAAUAACAGCUAGAGCAUAUGAUGGUUCUCCUAGAAGGUGAUAGGGGCCAUUGACAUUGAAUUGUUUAUAGGGCCUCAGAUGUUUUUAUAACCUUACAAGUGAUGGACAUCCAUCCUUCGUAUAGUAUGUUAUUGGAAGGCCAUGGAUACAUGCCGCUGGGGCUGUGACAUCAUCUCUACACCAAUGUUUGAAGUACAUUAUCAAUGGUACUCUAGUGAAAGUUAAGGCAGAAGAAACCUUAUCCACGAUAAGGAAUGUGUCGGUCCCUUAUAUUGAAGCAGAAGAUUGCAAAGAUGGAAAUCUCCAUGCUUUCGAGAUUGUGAACACUGAAUGGGUACCAGAGAAUACAUGGUGUUAAGAAGACCAAUUAUUUCUGAUACUGCCAGAAUGAUAGCUAAAUACCUUUUGAAAUAUGGGCUACCAUUCUAGAAUGAUCCAAUUGCUGGAAAUCUUAAGAGAGUCAACAUAAUGAAAAUUAAGGCUGCUGAUCAGAAUUUUGGGCUUGGCUUCAAGCCUAAGAAAGAGGAUUGUUGCUACCCAAUUUUUGACCCAUGUUUUGAUAAAUUUUCAAAAAAAAAAAAAUAAUAAAAAAAUAAGGGUUUACAUGUGGCGAUAACAUAGAGCAUCAGGGCUAAUAUUAAGGGAGCAAUAUGUUUAGGAGAUAAUUACUGAAUCAUAUAUAAUUACUGCAAUAUAAAAUACCAUAGAUAUAUGAUUUGAUUUGUGCUUGUUAGGGAAAAUAAUCACUGCAAUAUAAAAUACCAUAUAUAUGGGAUUUGUUGGUGCUGAUUAUAGAAGACAAUCUCUGCAAUAAGUAUUGCAAUAUUUCCUUAAAUAACACGUGUAGAGAUUUUCUGUAUAAAUGAACAUCCAGUCAUAAUAAAAGAGAGGAGGAGAAAAUUUAGAAGGGGAGCAAUUUUAAAAAACAAAAAAAAAGGGGCAAGCCACAAAAGAGAAAACCUAUUUUUUUUCCUCCUGGCCGAAGCCAAGCCGUGCCUCCACCUUUGGCCUUGCGAUUUUGUUUUUUUUUUUACACAGAGACCAACCCCUCUCCCUUGGAAACCGACCAAAACCAGAUCCCCCUUAGCUGCCACUUUCUCCCCUUGGCCAUUUCAUUUUCCCUCUUCAGCCGACCAUUAGAGCAGCAGCCCCUCUCCUUUUGCAACCAAAACCAAAUCUCCUCCCUCACUUCUUCUUCUUCUCCCAGACCCACAGACACUCGGACACAAGCCUCUUUUCCCCUGUCUCAGCCGACUUAGAGCAUCCGGCCACCACCUCCUCAUCUCUCUCUAUCAGUUGCAGCCCCUUCGCUAGACCUUAAUACCCCAGCCUGCAACCACCGUAAACACCAUUUACAAGCCUUCCCUCUCUGUCAACACAGCCCACAUAGCCCCCAGAAACGACUCUCCACUCAUCUUUUUUUUUCCCCUCAGUUCAACCCCGCUUGAUAACAUUCACUACCAGAAAAUCGCUAAAUACCAACGGACAUACCGACGGAAUUUUUUCUGUCGGUAUUUUUCGGCCGAAAUCACCGACGGACAAUAUUCGUCGGUAAUUCAGUCGGUCAUUACCGACGAACUCCGUCCGUCGGUAAUUACCGACCGAAUUACCGACCGAAAAUUCAGAAUUAAUGAAAAAAGGGCGGGCAGUGGCGCGGAGGUUUUGGCGGGUGAUGUUUCCGACGGAAUCACCGACGGAAUUAAAAACUGGGGCCCGUACGCGUGAUGGGACCUAUUCACCGUCAAAAAAUACCGACGGAAUCACCGACGGAUUUGAAAUGCCAGAUCCGUACCGGUGAUGUGACGGGUGCACCGUUAAAAAUACCGACGGAAUCACCGAGGGAUUUGAAUAGCAGGUCCGUGCGGUGACGUGUCGAUUGCCCGUUAGAAUUACCGACGGUUUGCCGACGGAUUCACCGACGGAAUCCGUCGGUAAGUCCGUCGGCAAAAGUGAAUAUAUGGCACUCUGCCGACACUCUCCUCCCCCAUUUCUCCUUCUUCUUCCUAAUCCUAACCCUCCCCAUCUGCAAAAUAACCAGCCCCCCCUCGCCCCAAAACAAAAAUUUCCUCAUCUCAGCACAACAAGUUGUUUUGUUUUGUGGUCACAGCAUCCGUGUUCUGAUUUACCGACGGAUUUUAUCAUUUUUUGUAAGUAAUUCUAUCUUUUAAAAUUUUAACAUUUAAAUGUCAAUUUUAUUGUUUUUUUAGUAUAUGUAUUAUUUUUUUUUAGUAGAUGUACAUGUUUUAUUGUUAUUUCUCAAACAAACUUGUAGUAUAUGAAUGUAUAAUUUUAUACUUGUUAUGGUUUGUUUUAGAUUUUGUAAGAUUGUAUUUGUUUGAAAAUUGUUAAAACUUAAUUUGUAGAAUUACCGAAUUACAUGUUAUGUUUUGAAAUAAUUAAGAGCUUGCUUAAUUAAUGGGUCCUUUUUAUAGAGGUUCGAUAGAAGUCAUGGAUGAUCGUUCAUGGAUGUAUCUAGAUUCACCCCAAGGAUUGCGGAGGAUGGAUUAUUGUAACGGGGUUCAGGGUUUUAUUAAUUUCGCAACAUCUAUUCCCAGAAAUUUUACUGGAGGCGGUAUUAGGUGUCCAUGCAGGAAGUGUCAAAAUAAAAAGUAUCUGCAUCCAGAUGUUGUAAUGAUGCAUCUUCUACACAAAGGGUUUGUGGAGGAUUACGAGUGUUGGUAUGCACAUGGAGAGGUAUUUGUUAGUAAUAGGAGAAUGGGAGAAACGGUGGUUGGGUCAACUUCUAGUGCUAGCAACGUGCAUGAAGCGGCAAAUGACAACACUAAUCCUUACAGAAACAUGGUUAUGGAUGCAAUGAGAAUGAAUCAAGAUAAUGUCAAUCAAUGUCCAAUCGUAGAAGAAGAACCUAAUGCAGAGGCAGCUAGGUUUUUUGAUUUGUUGAAAGAUUCUGACGAACCAUUAUGGGAUGGCUGCACAAACCACAGUAAAUUAUCGGCUGUGGCACAGGUGUUCACCAUCAAGUCAGAUCACGGGUUGAGUGAGGCCGGGUAUGACAAAAUUAUUGAUUGGGCAAGAAGCAUUUUACCAGAAGGGAACAGGCUCAAAGAGAACUUCUAUGCUGCGAAGUCCAUGAUGAAACCCCUCGGUUUAGGAUACCAGAAAAUUGACAUGUGCCCUAACUUCUGCAUGUUAUACUACCUUGAAAAUGCUGUGAUGACCGAGUGCAUGACAUGCGGGCAUUCCCGUUACAAACCCAGAACUGGCAGGGGGAAGACUCUAGUGGCAUAUAAAAAACUUAGAUAUUUCCCGAUCACACCUAGACUGCAGAGGUUAUUUAUGUCACCAAGGACUGCUGAGCACAUGACAUGGCACCAAACACACGAUGUCGUUGAUGGUGUGAUGGUGCAUCCUUCUGACGGCGAAGCGUGGAAACGCUUUAACAGUGUUCAUCCUGACUUUUCUGCUGAAUCAAGGAAUGUUCGACUUGGGUUGUGUACAGACGGGUUCAACCCAUUUGGGUCAUUUGCUGCUCCCUAUUCUUGUUGGCCGGUCAUUCUCACAGUUUAUAACUUGCCACCGGGAAUGUGUAUGAGGCCGGAGUUCAUGUUUCUAUCUACUGUCAUACCCGGUCCAAGCAGCCCGGGGCGGAAUAUAGAUGUUUGUCUUCGACCGUUGAUAGAUGAGCUGGCGCAGUUGUGGUCCUCCGGAUCUCUGACUUAUGAUAUAUCGAGGAAACAAAAUUUCCUUAUGAGGGCGGCUUUGAUGUGGACUAUCAGUGAUUUUCCAGCUUAUGGAAUGCUUUCUGGUUGGAGCACGCAUGGGAAACUCGCAUGUCCAUACUGCAUGGAAAACAACAAGGCAUUCACGCUAGCAAACGGAGGUAAAGCUUCUUUUUUUACUGUCACCGUCGCUUCUUGCCACUUAAUCACAGGUUCAGAAAGAACAGAAAAGAUUUCUUUGUUGGUAGAGUUGAAAAAGAUGUUGCAUCCCCGCGUCUUUCUGGUGAAGAAUUGCAUCAUGUUGUAUCAGAGUACGGUGACAUUGUGUUUGGCCUUCAAUCAGGUAAGCAAAAGUUUCCUGGUUUUGGUUUGACCCAUAAUUGGGUAAAGCGAAGUAUCUUUUGGGAGCUUCCGUAUUGGAAGACUAAUCUUCUCCGCCAUAACCUUGACGUCAUGCACAUCGAAAAGAACGUGUUUGAGAAUAUUUUCAACACCGUCAUGGAUGUGAAGGGGAAGACAAAGGACAACAUGAAGGCUAGAUUGGAUAUAGCUUUAUACUGUAACCGUAAAAAUAUGGAGUUGGUUUAUGACGAGUCACGGGUUGCAAAACCAAGGGCAAGCUUCGUGUUAGAGAAAAACGCACAACUGCUAGUCUACAAAUGGCUUAAGAGUCUGCGUUUCCCGGAUGGACAUGCAUCGAACAUAUCAAGGCUUGUUAACAUAGAGGACUGCAGAUUGUAUGGAAUGAAGAGCCAUGACUGCCACGUGUUUAUGCAAACACUCAUCCCAUUAGCUUUUCGUGAUUUGUUGCCAAAGGGAAUAUGGGAUGCACUAACGGAGAUCAGUCAUUUCUUCAGAGAUAUAUGCUCCAGCAAGAUGAAUGUUGAGCACAUUGAGAUGCUUCAAACGAAUAUCAUCGAGACACUAUGCAAACUUGAGAUGAUAUUCCCUCCUUCAUUUUUUGACUCAAUGGAGCAUCUCCCUAUACAUCUACCGUUCGAGGCAAAAGCUGGAGGACCGGUCCAGUAUAGAUGGAUGUACCCAUUCGAACGGUGAGAUAUUACAGUUGCAAUGGAAUUCAUAUCUUAAAGUAUUUUCUAUGUUUUUCUUAUUUGAAAAUACUUGAAUUGUACUUCAAUGCAGGUACUUGUUUAAUCUAAAAAAAAAGGUUAAGAACAAGGCGCAUGUUGAGGCUUCGAUAUCUGAGGCCUAUAUUGUUGAAGAGAUAUCAACAUUUAUCUCGUACUAUUUCGAACCUCAUCUGAGAACAAGAAUCAAUCGCGUUCCACGGCAUGACGAUGGCGGUGAAGUGCCUUCCAGUGGGAACUUGUCAAUAUUCUCCAAUACUGGACGACCCACACCUAAAAAUGCCGUAAGAGGAAGAUAUUUGUCGGAAAUAGAAUUCAAACAAGCACACAACUAUGUUCUAUUUAACUGUGAUGAGCUGAGACCAUUUAUUCAGUAAGUCUAUAUAUGUGUAAUAGUAAUUAAACUUUGUCAGUAAUAUACUGUUAAUUAUAUAUUGUAAUAUCAUACACUCAUUAUCACUUGCAGGCAACAUCGACAAUAUUUGCUCUCCAAUAACUCGCAGCUGACCGAAUCCCAGAUCUUUCAAUUACAAGAUGAACAAUUUGCCACAUGGUUCAGAACACAUGUAAGCACUAUCACAAACUCAUUCUAACGUAUGCAUGUCAUUACGAGAUUCUCGUUCAUUUACCGUGUAUUGAUGUACAUUUAAUUACAUAUAUUUACAAGGUUUAUCAAAUGGGAAGGAGUGCGCCCAAGUCAUUGUCUUCACUAAGCCUCGGCCCUGAAAGAAAAGUUAAGUGCUACAACGGGUAUUUUGUCAAUGGAUAUGUUUUCCAUACUGAAGAAUACGGGCAAGGAAGAAAGACAUACAACUGCGGUGUUUGUGUUAAGGGAUCCACAAGUAGCCAGUUAGAAGUUGACUACUAUGGUAGAUUAGAAGAGGUCGUCGAACUGCAAUAUCAUAGCGAGCAGAAUAAAGUGUUUUUAUUCAAAUGCUAUUGGUAUGACACGACGGACAGAGGAAUCAGAGUUGAUCCGCACCAUGGUCUGGUCGAAAUCAACUCAAAAGCUAGACUCCGCAACAUAAACGAUGUCUUUGUUUUCGCAAAGCAAUGUCAACAAGUUUAUUACACAUACACCCCUUCAUUUAGAAAGGAUCGUUCAAGAGUUGAUUGGUUGUCCGUUUUAAAAACGAAACCACGGGGUCGUGUCGAGGUUGUUCAGGAUGAGAACGAAGACACAAGUGUGCGAGAUGAAGUCUUUCAAGUUCGUGAGUUGGUUGAACCAUAUCGAGUUGCUCCUUCGAUUGAAUUGGAAGAAAAUUCAAAUUUUCGAGUUCUCGAUGAUAGUCUUGUUGAUAUUGACGGAGAGGAGUUGAAUGUUGUUCUCAGCUCUAGCGGACAAGCAAAUGUCGAUGAAGAAGAUGAUAUCCAUAUUGAAGAUUGCGAUGAAGAUGAUGACAAUUCAAUUGAGGAAGAAGAAGAAAAUUCCGACUAAUUAUGAAAAUGAAGCCCUAUGUAAAAACAUUUGUCUCAUGUAAUUUAGAUUAUUGAUGAUGUAUUUUGUAAAACAAAAUAUUUUGUUUAAGCAAUGUGGUUUUGUUUUAUGUGAUGGACAGUUUAUCAGUUAAGUUUUGCAGGAAGGUAAACAGGCAAUACAAAGACAACCUUUCCUGCAUAAUGCAAUACCGACGUCCAUGCCGACGGACUCACCGUCCGUCGGUAUCUCACAGAGAGUUCGAAAAUAUUUACAACAAAAUGCCACAAUGACCGACGGCCAUGCCGACGGAAUAACAUCCGUCGGCAUCUCACAGUAAGCUCGAAAACAUAAAACCACCAUCGACGGUAUUACCGACGGCGUAGCUCCGUCGGUAAUUUGUCGGUUACCCAUUUUACCGACAGAAUUACCGACGGACCGCGCGUUUCCCAAAGUGCGUUAAUUAAUGCGCCCCUGAACUUGUCAGAUUACCGACGGAAUCACCGACGGACUUCGAAAAUUUUGGAGGGCUUUUAAAAAUUCGGGGCGAAAUUCGAAAAAUACCGACGGAAUUUUGACCUUUUACCGACGGAUUUGUAACCUGUUACCGACGGAUGUUAAUUCCGUCGGGGAGUCCGUCUGUAAAAUUGACCUAUAAGUUCCACCCCCGCCACUUCGCCUCAUUUUUUCUUCUUCUCCCCGCCGCUUCUUCUCUUCUCCUGCGUUUUUCAGCCUAGAUUUUUCAUUUUUUCCCCCUCAAUCCUUAAACACUUUCACCUUUAAUCUCUAGCAAGAUUUGGUGUUGUAAAUCUUCAUUAUAUUAAAAGGUAUGUGUUUUUUUUCUAAUUUAUUUUAUUUUAUUUUUAGUUGUUUUUAUUUUUGUUGUGUUGGUGUUUUUUGUUGCAAUGUAGAUAAAGUUUUGAAUUUGACACAUUAUUAAGGUAUGUAUAUUUCGUUCCUUUUUUUUUUGAAUAUUUUUUGAAUUUGUUGAAUAUUUGUUAAUUUAAUUGUUGAAUAAUUGAAUUUAAUUGUUGAAUUUCUUGAAUAUUUUUUGUUGUUGUGUUGUUAGAAUUUUUAUUAGGUAAUUUAACUUAGAAUUAGUUAAAGUUGAAUUUUUUGAAUAUUUUUUGAAUUUUUUGAAUUUGUUGAAUAUUUGUUAAUUUAAUUGUUGAAUAAUUGAAUUUAAUUGUUGGAUUUAUUGAAUAUUUUUUGUUGUUGUGUUGUUAGAAUUGUUAUUAGUUAAUUUAACUUAGAAUUAGUUAAAGUUGAAUUUUUUGAAUAUUUUUUGAAUUUGUUGAAUAUUUGUUAAUUUAAUUGUUGAAUAAUUGAAUUUAAUUGUUGGAUUUAAUUGAAUAUUUUUUGUUGUUGUGUUGUUAGAAAUGUUAUUAGGUAAUUUAACUUAGAAUUAGUUAAAGUUGAAUUUUUUGAAUAUUUUUUGAAUUUGUUGAAUAUUUGUUAAUUUAAUUGUUGAAUAAUUGAAUUUAAUUGUUGGAUUUAUUGAAUAUUUUUUGUUGUUGUGUUGUUAGAAUUGUUAUUAGGUAAUUUAACUUAGAAUUAGUUAAAGUUGAAUUUUUUGAAUAUUUUUUGAAUUUGUUGAAUAUUUGUUAAUUUAAUUGUUGAUAAUGAAUUUAAUUGUUGGAUUUAUUGAAUAUUUUUUGUUGUUGUGUUGUUAGAAUUGUUAUUAGGUAAUUUAACUUAGAAUUAGUUAAAGUUGAAUUUUUUGAAUAUUUUUUGAAUUUGUUGAAUUUGUUAAUUUAAUUGUUGAAUAAUUGAAUUUAAUUGUUGGAUUUAUUGAAUAUUUUUUUUGUUUGUGUUGUUAGAAUUGUUAUUAGUUAAUUUAACUUAGAAUUAGUUAAAGUUGAAUUUUUGAAUUUUUUGAAUUUUUUGAAUUUGUUGAAUUGUAAUUGUUAAUUUGUUGAAGUAUAAUUUGUUGAAUUUAUUGAAUUUAUUUUUUGUUAUAUUUUUUAUUGUUUUGAAUAUAAUUAUUGAUUAAUUUGUGAAUUGUAAUUGUUAACGUUGAAUUUAUCUUAGGAUUAAUAGUUGAAUAUGUUGGAAUAAUUAGUAUAGAUUGGUUCGAUUGGUUGUGGCUAUUGUUAAUAUUUGCAGGUUUGUGGAUUUGGGUAGUAUCUUUUUUAACUUUUGAAUUUUAUUUUACAAUUAUUAAUAUAAAAUUGUUUAGAUGCGCAAAAUGAAAACCAGAGCUGGUCGUCAAGUCGAAUCAAGUUCGUCUAGCAGCGAUGAUGAUGUUUCCUUAGGUGCCUCUCAAAAAGAGGCACCUACACCACCUGCGCCGUCAACCGAUGCUGCCUCUUCCAGCAAUGUUUCACAUCGCAGACGCGGCAUGCCUUCGUAGCGGAAUCAAUUUACCCGCCAGUUCGAGGCACAGUGGAAGGACGAUCUUUCAAUGUAAGUUUGUUAAUGUUUUAGUUUUUUUUAUAUAAAAAAAACAAAUUUAAAACAUAAUUUAUGAAGUAAUCACAAAUUAAUUUCAUUUCUUUUCAGGUUCACAAACAUUGAGGCCGCCCGAUUAAUAUCAUCGGCGUUUAAAGCGUCGAUGGAGAUUCCAUUGUUUCAAUGGAGUCAGAUAUCCAGACAUCCUGAAUGGAUGCCUCAAAUCAAUGCAUGGUUUCGUAGAUUUGAGGUUCGUGUUAAUAUAUAAUUUUCAGCUUAUUUGUAAUUAUAAAUUCAUGUUAUAAUUGUAAAUAAAUUAUUAACAUUUUAAAAAAUUAUUUUUUUAUAUACAGCAUCGAUUCUGCUGGGACGAUGAACAUGACAGUGUUGUGAGGAGGGUGUGGGAAAAUCACGCGGCAAUUAGGUAACAUCGAAAACAAUACGACUUUUUUUUACAUAAUUAUUUAUGUUUUGAAAUGUAAUUUUUUCGUGCGUGAAUUAGGUUGCGUGAUUUUUGGUAUGACGCCCAGAAAAAAGCAAAAAAAACAGCGAGGGAUAAGGGGUUACAAGGCUGGAACGAUGUUGCGGUUUGGAGGGAUUUCAAACCAAUAUACAUCCCGGAAGAUAUAUGGCCGCACUAUCUUCAGCACGUGACGUCUGAGCGGUUCACUCGACGCUCACAGUCCGGUGCCGGCAACCGGAAUCGGCAAAUUCAUGGCUCGGUUACAACGCACACCGGCGGCUCCGUUCCGUUUGCUGCACAUGCAAAACGGAUGGUAAGAUUAAUUUAAAUGAAAUAUAUCGUUCAAUUAAUUUGUUGUUAAUACAUUUUUUUCAUUAUAUAUAGGCUACGUCUCUUGGACGUGAGCCGAGCCCUAUGGAGCUGUUUGUGGAGACGCACGUGCGGAGUCAUGACCGCCAAAAGGGGACGCAACAGUUCGUUGACAACCGUGCUCAAUAGUUUGUGGUGUGUUUGUUUAACCAUUUUAUUUUGUAAGUUAUUAUUAUGUUUAUUGAAUUGAAUAUGUUUUUUUUUUUUUCAGGAGACCUAUAAUAAUCGGUUGAGGGAGAGAUACGGGGAUGAUCCUUCGACCCAUCCGGAAUUCGAUCCGGAUUUGUGGAUGGAGGCUGGAUCGUCAGGUGGACCCGAUAAAAAUCGGGUUUACGGGCUCUCCAACACUACCGCUGCCAAGUUGCGGUCGACCGGUACUGCUUCAACCGGUGGGAGCUCCCAAUCUGUAUCGAGCUCCCAAUCUAAGGAGUUUGUGGCCUUGCAGCAAAGGUGCGACCACCUAUCAGAGGCGUACACACAACUCAAAGAAGAGCAAAGAUUGGAACGAACAACGCAGAGCAGAGUCUGAACAACAAAGAGCGGCCUAUGAAGAGCUUCGUCAAAUGGUCAUGAACAUGACACAAGCGGAACAUGUGCGCCUAAUCCUUUUUGGCCGCCUAACCCCCACCCUCCUCCUCCUCCUCCUCCUCCUCCUCCUCCACCUUUAUAUUAAUUGUUUUUUUUUUAAACACAUUCAUUUUGUAAUGAAUAUUAUUUAACUUUGAGUUUUUGUUGCUUAAUAUAAUUUUAUUUGCAUAAUUGGUUUGUAUUACUAUUAAUUUAUAUUAUUUUUUCUAAUAAUUAAAAAAAAAAAUUACACAGGGAUUUACCGACGGAAUAAAUCCGUCGGCAUUGGACAGUGUCUGAGGUAUGCCAUCCCAUCACCGACAUACUCACCGACGGAAAUAAUCCGUCGGUAUAAAAAUACCGACGAAUUUACAGACGGAUUUAUUCGGUCGGUAUGAAAUAUCACCGACACUUUUGCCGACGGAGUUAGUCCGUCGGUAUUUACAUAACACCGACGGAAUGUAUUCCGUCGGUUAUUCCAAGCGGGAAACUUUUUUUUUGGCGCGCACAGGCCGUCGGUAAAACCGUCGGUAAAUGUGUUUUUUUUUAUUACCGAUGGAUAUAGCGACGGAAUGUGGAAUCACCGACAAAAGGUAUUCCGACAGGAGUAUUCCGUCGGUAAUAUAGUCGGUAAAUAAUUUACCGACGAACGUUCUGUCAAACACCGACGGAAAAUUUCCGUCGGUAAAACUGUGAAAUCUUGUAGUGGAAUCUCUGAAAUACCAGUUAGGUUUCUUAGUGACCAAAAUACUAGGUGGUGACUCCAAAGAACCAAAUCAAGCAAAAACGCAUAACGAGAAAAAUCGCCAUCGGAAGCCGCGCGGGUGACGUGCUUGUUUGAUCAAAAUUUAAUCAACAAUGCUUGUUUGAUCAUGAUAUUGUGUUGUUUUCCUUUUUCAACUUUUUAAAUCGAGGUUCCAAAUGUCAAUGGGAUUUUAUCUUUUUUUUUUUAGCCAAACUUUUCCCUUUAAUGAGAUCAUGCCUUUUCAAAAGUUCAUCUUGGUGGUUUUACACAUCACUUUCUUUUUCAAAGCGAAUCUUCCAUAACUACACCUGCACUUUACACUGAGAAUGAAUGGCCGGACUUUAAAGAAUCCAUAUUAGUUAUAGAGGAGGAGGAAUGAUAGGAAAAUAACAUUAGGGGAUUCACAAAAAUUAAUAACAUGAACAAGCUUGAAAACCUGCUAGAGAGGAGCUUGAAACCAUAGAUGUGGGUGAUGAAGAAAUCAAGAGAGAGUUGAAGAUACGGACUUUGAUCACCCUUAAAAAAAGAGAAGAGUUAUGUAGAUGUUUUUGCUUGGUCCUAUAAGGAUAUGCCUGGUUUGUAUAGGGUACCACUAGUAGAAGGAUGGAAGUUGGUUAAGCAAAGGUUGAGAAGGACUAAUCCGAAUAAAGGCAGAAAUUGAAAAACAGUGGAACGCCGAUUUUCUAGAAGUAGUCAAGUAUCUGCGAGUGUGUCCAACAUAGUGGUAGUAUCUAAAAAGGAAGAUAAAAUCAGAGUUUUUAUGGACUUUAGAGAUUUAAAUCGGACUAGCCCUAAAGACAAUUUUGUCUACCACACAUAGAUAUGUUUGACAAUGUAGCACGUAGCUCCACAUAUUCCUUUAUGGAUGGAUUUUUGGGCUACAAUCAGAUAAAAAUGACUUGAGGAUAAUGAGAAGAAACCUUUGUAACACCAUGAGGAACCUUUUACUAUAAAGUCAUGCCAUUUGGGUUAAAGAACAUUGGGGCCACCUACCAAAGGGCCAUGGUAACUUUAUUACACAACAUGAUGCAAAAAGAGGGUUAAAGUAAACGUGGAUGACAUGAUCUAGAGAGGGAGAGAAUCAUGUCCAAAUAUUGAAGGAAUUAUUUGAAAAAACUAAGGAGGUACAAAGUUGAGGCUUAACCAUGCAAGGUGUUUAUUCGGGGUGAAAUCUAGGAAGUUGGGAUUUAUGAUGAGUGACAAAUGGAUAGAAGUGGACCUUGAUUAAGUAAAGGCUAUUCAAUCUAUGCCAACUCCCAAUACUAAGAAGGAUGUAAGGAGGUUAUUGGGAAGGUUGAAUUACAUUGCUCGGUUUAUAUCCCAAUUAACCAUGACUUAUGACAUCAUCUUCAAUUGUUAAGGAAGAAGAAUCUUGGAAUUUGGAAUAAGAGUGUGAAGAAGCUUUCGCAAAAAUCAAGCAAUACCUACCGAAUCCACCCCUAUCUAUCAAGCUAAAUUGCAAAAUGGCAAGUUCUACUAGCUGAGUACGACAUAGUAUAAAUGACAAGGAAAGCCAUGAAUGUCAUCACCAAUCACCUAGCUGACCAUGCUGUGGAAGAUUUUGAGCCGUUAAAAUUUGAUUUUUCUGAUAAAGAUGUGCUUUCAGUUGAGGAAGGGAAAUCAGAUUGGUGGAUUAUGUACUUUGAUGGUGUUGUGGUAACGAAGUGGGGGCAGUGCUAAUCUCUCUUGAUAAGAAACAUUAUCCGGUUUCAGUUAAGUCGCAGUUUGGGUGCAAUAAUAACAUAGGAGUAUGAAGCUUGCAUUCUCAUUUUAGAGGUGGCAUUGGAGCAGAAUAUUAGAAAGAUAGAUAUGUAUGGAGACUCGAUUUUGAUUAUUACUAAGAGAAAGGAAAAUGGCAAACCAAGGAUGAGAAGUUAAGACCUUACUAAGAAUACAUGUCUAAAUUGGCUAGAGAAUUUAAGGAAAUAAAGUUCACCCAUCUAGAAAAGGAAAGAAACCAUUCUAACGCUUUGGUCACGCCAGCUUCUAUGGCUAGAAUAGACUUUGGGCACAAGGUACAACCGGUACACAUUGAUAUAAGAAAUAACUUAGCUCAUUGUUGCUCCGUUGAAAGAGAAAUAGAUGGAAACCCUUGGUACUAUGAUAUCAAGAAUUUCAUCCAAAACCAGACAUAUCCCAUGGGGGCAUCCAAAAUCAACAAGAAGACUUUGAGGAGAUUGACAAUGGAUUUUUAUCUUGGUGGGGAAACUUUGUAUAAGAAAUCAUAUGACGGAACUUUGUUGAGAUAUUUGGAUGACGUAGAGGCAAAAGGUGUUAAAGAAAUUUAUGGAAAGAGAUUUGAUAUGUCGAUAUGGUCCACUAGAAAAUAUUAUAACUAAUAAUGCGCAUAACUUCAAUAGCAAGAUGAUAAUAGAACUCUGCGCUAAAUGAAAAAUUAAGCAUUCCAAUUCCUCGCCAUAUAGGCCAAAGAUGAAUGGUCCAAAAAUGUCAAGAAGAUCAUUUAGAAGAUGGUAGUCACUUACAAGGAUUGGCAUGAGAUGUUGCCAUUUGCCCUUCACGCAUACCGCACCAUAAUCUGAACUUCAACAGGAGCCACCUCGUACACUUUGGUAUAUGGAAUGGAGGCGGUGAUGCCUUUAGAAGUGAAAACCCCCUUAUUAAAAAUAUUGGUAGACUUUGAGUUUAAAAGAGUUGGACUGGGUAAAAGUUAGAUAUGAAUAGUUGAAUCUGAUCAGUGAAAAGAGGAUAGCUGCAAUUUGUCAUCAUCACGGAUGGCCAAAUCAUAUGAUAAGAAGCUUCGACCUCGAGGAUUCCAUAAAGGAGAUCUUGUACUGAAGAAAAUAUAGCCUUUAUCAGGAGAAGAUCAGAGUAAAUGGGAAGCAAACAAUAAGGGCCCUUACAUGGUGAUUAGUACUUAAAAGUGCAUAUUUAUCAAGGUUUUGUAUCAUCAUUUUGCACUUAAAGUAUCAAUAACUCCUUAAUUAAAGCAUGUUUUAUAAUAACAAGUCUAAUACUAUAAAAUGCCCUAAUAUAUGGUAAAUGUUCAUCUUAAAUGCAGGCUUAUCACAUAAAUCAAAGGAUUGAUUGAUGAAUUCAACUACUGAAAUUUUGAAGAUAAAGAAGAGUGAAGCUUAGAAAAGAGAUAUUGGUGUAGUCCAAACUGGAACACUAUUCGGUAUUUGGGUCAUAUCUCGAGUUCUAGAUGUAAAAAUGAUCUCAAAUUUUUACAAAACCUUGGUGAGACAUAGGCCUACAACUUUCAUGUGAACAUAAAAAUCUAACAAGGCCGUUUUCAAGUCCAAAUCAAAGCAACAACGGAGAAGUCCGAAUCUGUCCUGUAGCCCGUACACUGUUCAGUGUUUGGCCCAUAUCUGGAGUUCUAGAAGUCCAAAUUACCUCUACUUUUUUUUCCUGGAAAGCUGUGUCAAUUUUCUACAACUUUCAUGUUUUCCAGUGGACCCAGUUCGGAUGGUAGCAUUUUUGUUUUAUUUAGAAAAGAAGAUAAGGAUUUUCACCAAGUCAAAAGUUGGCACCCACUCAACAAUUAGUCAUCAAAUCAAUAAUUCCGAAUUUUGGCCUAUAAAAGGAGGCAUUUGCCAUGUAUUUGGUGGCUUGGUUGUUCAGAUCAAGCUCAUGCUCUUUAUUUCUCUCUUUAUAUUUUUUUUUGUAAUUCUUAAGUUUUGUUUUCAUUAAUUUCUUGUUUAUGCUUUUCAUUUCCUUUCCUUUCCUUUCCUUAGUUAACUUGUAUCUUAUUUAUGUUCUUGUUUUGUUUAUUUAUGUUUCUCUUCUUCAUUAUGUUUAGCUAAGUUUAUUAUGUCAAGGUGAAAAGGUUACACUAAUGGUGUAAGAACAAGUAUGGUGUAAACUCAAUAUGGAUCUUAAUGUUUAAUAUUAACAUGUCUUAUCUUUUUAUCUUACUAAUUCUUAAUACCUUGCUUGUUAAAUGGUUAAUCUAGAUUUGUGUUGUAUAACAUUUGAUACAUCAAAUGCUUGGCACUCUCAUAGCCCAACAGUAUGGUAUUACCUACACCUGGGCUAUGAAAAUAACUUGAUUUGUUGUUAACAUCAGUUAAUAUCAUGAAUUCCUGACAAUAUUUAAAAGUUUGGUGUUAUGUAAUUAAGAUAAUUAAUAUGAUCAUGUUAAUAAUUUAUAAUGAGCUAUUAAUGAGAAAUCAUUCGAUUGGAACCUCCUUUGUGUGUGGUUUCCAGUUGAAUCAUAAGAGUUUAUACUAUACUUGUUUGAAAUACCAUUGGUGGAUUCUCUAACCUUGACAUUUGUUUUUAUCAUUGUUAAUCCUUACAUUAAUCUUUCAUCUCAAAGUUCUCAUUAAUUUCUUCAUCAUCUUCUUCUUCUUCUUUUAUUAUUAUUAUUAUUAUUAUUAUUACUACUACUACUACUACUACUAUUAUUAUUAUUUACAUUCUGUUUAUAUUAUAUAAUAUAUCUCUUUGAUCUUUUCAUAAACUUAGUAUAUAGGCUGGAAACCUGUGACCCGAUCUUUUAGAUCAUUCUCAGGUAUAACAACGCCACGUACUGAGUAUUAUUAUUAUUGUCAUUAUUAUUAUUAUUAUUAUUACUAUUACUAUUAUUAUUACUAUUACUAUUAUUGUUAUUAUUAUUGUUAUUAUUGUUAUUAUUGUUAUUAUUGUUGUUAUUAUUAUUGUUGUUGUUGUUGUUAUUGUUGUCUUGUUAUUUAUAAUUUAUACAAUUAACCUCUCUGUGGUUCGACCCCGGUCUUGCCGGGUUAUUUAUUACUUCGACACUCCUGCACUUAAGAGAAGACAUCAAUCUUUUGGUCGUGUCAAGUUUUUGGCGGCCAACUUUUGACUUGGUGAAAAUCCUUAUUUUCUUGUCUGAAUAAAACAAAAAUGCUACCAUCCGAACUGGGUCCUCUGGAAAACAUGAAAGUUGUAGGAAAUUGACUCAGAUUUCCAGGAAAAAAAAAAAACAUGGAGGUGAUUUGGACUUCUAGAACUCCAGAUAUGGGCCAAACACUGAACAGUGUUCAGGCUGCAGGACAGAUUCAGACUUCUCCGUUCUUGCUAUGAUUUGGACUUGAAAACGGCCUUGUUAGAUUUUUAUGUUCACAUGAAAGUUGUAGGCCUAUGUCUCACCAAAUUUGUGUAAACAUUUGAGGUCAUUUGGACAUCUAGAACUCGAGAUAUGACCCAAAUACCGAAUAGUGUUCCAGUUUGAACUGCACUAACAUCUCUUUUCUAAGUUUCACCCUCUCUUUAUCUUCACAAAUUUCAGUAGUUGAAUUCAUCAAUAAAUCCUUUGAUUUAUGUGAUAGGCCUGCAUUUAAGAUGAACAUUUACUAUAUAUUAGGGCAUUUUAUAGUAUUAGACUUGUUAUUAUAAAACAUGCUUUAGUUAAAGAGUUAUUGAUACUUUAAGUGCAAAAUGAUGAUAUAAAACCUUGAUAAAUAUGCACUUUUAAGUACUAAUCACCUAACCACACACAGAGUUUAGCUUUGGUUAAAGGGAAUCGCCAAAUGGGAUUUCAGGUUAACUAAGUUACACACCGACUUUGCUUUAGAUUAAAAGAGAUUGCCAGAUGAAAUCUCAGGUUAACCCAAUCAAAAGGGUAGGUUGCCCGUGAAAAUAGACCAGCGUGCGUAUGUGGGCAGGUCGCCAUUGAAAAUAGACUAGUUUUGAGUGUGUAUGAACAAGUCAUCUAUGAAAAUAGGCAAAAUUUUCUUUAAAAAGUGAAGUCCUUAAAUGAGUGGAUCACUCAGCAAUCAAAGAAGACUUUUUUUUUCCCUUUCUUCUUUACAAGCUUACUAUGCAAAACAUUAAGGAGUUUUGCUUCGUAAGCAUUGUAAAGAGGGGGCAUCUGUUGCUAUCCAAUUUUUGACCUAUGUUUUGAUAAAUUUUCAAAAAUAAAAAAAAUAAGGGUUUACAUGUGGCGAUAACAUAGAGCAUCAGGGCUAAUAUUAAGGGAGCAAUAUGUCAAGGAGAUAAUUACUGAAUCAUAUAUAAUUACUGCAAUAUAAAAUACCAUAGAUAUAUGAUUUGAUUCGUGCUUGUUAUGGAAAAUAAUUGGGAGAUUGAAGAAGCCCAGUUGUUUUCAAGAAGUAAUGAAUAAGCGUCUGCUUAUAUUUGCUUUUAUGUGCUUUGUGUGCUUUGCUUUGUGUUUUUGUACCUAGUUGAAAAUCUUGGCUCAAGAUGUCAACAUAAGGUCUUUUCAUAAUUAUUGAGUCAGCUUUUAAAAUAAUAUUGAGAUCCUGUAUUUUCUUCAACAAUUGUUAUCUUCUUUUGUUUUGUUUGGCUAUAAGAUACGCAUUUACACUAAAAACACCUUCUGCUUUCAGGAAUUCUGAAAGUGAAUCCUCCAUAAAUCCACAAACAUAUUGCAUUGAAAAUGAAUGGCCAAACUUUGAUAAAGAUGAGAUUGCAAUGGACGAAGAGGAAUGGAAUGAAGAUUAUAUGAAAGAGUUUCCUAGAUAGGUAGAACAGUCUGAGCAUGCUUGGAAACCUACAAAAGAAGAAUUAGAGGUGAUAAAUGUAGGCACCGAGCAAGAUAAAAGAGAGCUAAAGAUUGGAACUCUGAUUACUACAGAAGAAAGAUGCAGUUUAACCUCAUUACUACAAGAGUAUAUGGAUGUGUUUGCCUGGUCUUAUGCAGAUAUGCCUGGUUUAGACAUUGAUAUUGUAGUACACAGAGUGCCUUUGAUAGAAGGAUGUAAACCUGUCAAGCAGAAAUUGAGAAGAAUUCGCCCGGAUAUUCUACUCAAGGUCAAGGCAGAGAUAAAGAAGCAGUGGGAUGCUGGUUUUCUAGAAGUCAUUAAAUACCCUCAAUGGGUAUCGAACAUAGUGGUUGUACCAAAGAAGGACGACAAAAUCAGAGUAUGUGUAGACUUCAGGGAUCUAAACAAAGCUAGUCCAAAGGAUAAUUUUCCUUUGCCUCACAUAGAUGUCUUGGUAGACAAUGCUGCUAGAAGCUCAACUUAUUCCUUCAUGGAUGGAUUCUCCGGGUAUAACCAGAUUAAAAUGGCUGAAGAAGAUAAAGAGAAGACCACUUUUGUCACACCAUGGGGAACAUUUUGCUACAAAGUGAUGCCAUUCGGGUUAAAGAAUGCUGGAGCCACAUAUCAAAGGGCAAUGGUGACACUUUUUCAUGAUAUGAUACACAAAGAGAUUGAAGUGUAUGUGGAUGACAUGAUUGCCAAGUCUACGAAUGAAGAAGAUCACGUUCAGAUUCUAAGAAAAGUAUUUGAUAGACUAAGGAAGUAUCAUUGAAAUUGAAUCCUGCAAAUGCUCAUUUGGGGUGAAGUCUGGAAAGUUGCUAGGGUUUGUAAUAAGCAAUAAAGGAAUAGAGGUCGAUCCUGAUAAAGUGAAAGCAAUUCAAGCAAUGACAGCUCCUAAAACCGAAAAAGAAGUAUAUUGCACGAUUCAUAUCUCAGUUAACAGCAACAUGUGAGCCAAUUUUUCGAUUGCUUCGAAAAAAGAAUCUUGGUACUUGGGACAAAGAUUGUCAAUAAGUUUUUGAUAAAAUAAAGCAAUACUUACAGAAUACACCUUUAUUAGUGCCACCUGUGCCUGGAAGACCUUUGAUCUUGUAUUUGACAGUAACUGAGGAAGCAAUGGGUUGUGUGUUGGGACAACAUGAUGAGUCUGGAAGAAAGGAGCAAGCUAUCUAUUAUCUGAGUAAGAAGUUUACCGAUUGUGAAUCCAGAUAUACUAUGAUUGAGAAGCUAUGUUGUGCUCUUGUAUGGAGCACGAAGCGUCUUCGACAAUAUAUGUUGUAUUAUACCACUGGUUGAUCUCAAAAAUGGAUCCUCUUAAAUACAUCUUUGAGAAACCUUACUUGUCAAGUCGAAUAGCAAGGUGGCAAGUAAUGUUGGCCGAGUAUGACAUUGUAUACAAGACAAGAAAAUCCGUAAAAGGAAGUGUAAUUGCUGAUCAUUUGGCAGAUAAUGCUAUCAAAGAUUAUGAGCCUUUGAAAUUUGACUUCCCGGAUGAGGAUGUGUUGAUAGUAGAAGAAGACAAAGAGAAGAAUGAUUGGUGGAUUAUGUAUUUUGAUGGGGCAGUGAAUGUAUCUGGCAAUGGAGCAGGGGCUGUGAUAAUCUCACCUGACCAGAAGCAAUAUCCCAUCUCAAUCAAACUACAAUUUGAAUGUACCAACAAUACUGCUGAAUAUGAGGCUUGUAUCCUUGGGUUAGAAGCUGCUUUAGAGAUGAAAAUAAAGAAGCUUGAUGUCUAUGGGGAUUCAAUGUUAAUAAUCUGUCAAGUGAAAGGCGAAUGGCAGACCAAAGAAGAAAAAUUGAUCCAUAUCAACAAUAUCUCUCAAAACUAACUGAGGGCUUUGAUGAGAUAGAUUUACCCAUAUGGGAAGAGACAAAAACCAGUUUGCUGAUGCUUUGGCAACCUUAGCUUCUAUGGCCAAAAUUGAUUACGGAAUCAGGGUACAACCAAUCCCAUUGAGAUUAAAAAUUUUCCAGCUCAUUGUUGUUCACUUGAAGGAGAAAUAGAUGGGAACCCAUGGUUUUAUGACAUCAAGCGGUUUAUCCAAUAUCGAGAAUAUCCCUUGGGGGCAUCUAAAGCAGAUAUGAAGACCUUGAGAAGGUUAGCCAUGGAAUUUUACCUGGAUGGAGAAAUUCUAUAUAAAAGAUCAUUCAACAAAACUUUACUAAGAUGUCUAGAUGAAAUCGAAGCUAAGGUAGCAUUGCAAGAAAUUCAUGAAGGAAUUUGUUCAACUCAUGCAAGUGGGCACAUGAUGACUAGACAAAUGCAACGAUCUAGGUACUUCUGGAUGACCAUGGAGAAAGAUUACAUCGAUUAUGUCAGAAAAUGCCAUAAAUGUCAAGUGUAUAGUGAUAAGAUAAAUGCACCUCCAGCUCCUUUGUUUAAUAUGACAUCAUCAUGGCCAUUUGCAAUGUGAGGAAUAGAUAUGAUUGGUCCAAUCAACCCAAAGGCCAGCAAUAGGCAUCAAUUUAUCUUAGUAGCCAUUUAUUACUUCACAAAGUGGGUGGAGGCCAGCUCUUAUGCUCAUGUAACUCAAAAAGUGGUCAAGUGCUUCAUUGAGAAAGAUUUGAUAUGUCAGUACAGUUCACCUGAGAAGAUAGUGACCGACAACGCCUAAAAUUUGAAUGGAAAAAUAAUCAUAAAAUUAUGUGUGAAGUGGAAAAUUAAACAUUCAAACUCAUCUCCUUACAUACCAAAGAUGAAUGGUGCUGCCGAAGCUGCAAACAAGAAUAUCAAGAAGAUUAUCCAGAAGAUGAUAGUCACUUAUAAGGAUUGGCAUGAGAUGCUUCCUUUUGCUCUGCAUGCAUAUCGUACAGCAGUAAGGACAUCCAUUGGAGCUACACCUUACUCAUUAGUAUUUGGGAUAGAAGUAGUGAUGCCUUUGGAAGUAGAAAUUCCAUCUUUGAGGGUAAUAAUAGAAUCUAAACUAGAAGAAGCUGAAUGGGCUAAAGUGAGAUAUGAGCAGCUAAACAUGAUAAGUGAGAAAAGGUUGGCUGCAAUUUUCCAUCACCAGUUAUACCAAAGAAGGAUGGCCAAAGCAUAUGACCGGAAAGUCCGACCAAGAGAAUUCAAAGAAGGGGAUCUUGUACUAAGAAAAAUCUUACCAUUACCAAGUGAAGACCGAAGCAAGUGGGCACCAAACUAUGAAGGCCCAUAUGUAGUGAAGAAAGCAUUCUCCGGAGGAGCUCUGUUGUUAACUAGGAUGGAUGGAGAUGAUUUACCUAGGCCUGUGAACUCUGAUUCUGUGAAAAAGUAUUAUGUAUGAUGUGUUUCAUCCAAUCAAAUCAAUGAAGUUUUGGCCAGGAAAUUCUCUUUGCAUAUACCUCACCAAAAAGCCCAUGCAUGAUCUCAAUGGCUCAACAAUUUGAUCUUUCAAACUUUUUUACAGGAGAAUCCAUUCUUCUUAAAUGAGGUUUUAAAAGAACUGAUUUUGUUUGUGAUUUCAAUGAAAUAAAUCAAUGAUUUUGUUUGGAAUAAUGUUCAGAACAAUUCCCUUGAAAGAGAUGACCAAACAAGUCAAAAACAUGCAAUUGGAACAACUAUCACCCAAAUUAUGUCUUGGAUCCACAUUUUAUCAGCAUGAAUAAUGGUUGGUAGUACAUUAGUUUGUCAUGGACUCCAAAACAUGGUAUCUUACAAAUCCAAAGCAUUACGGGAUGUGGACAAAGUUUAUUGGUUUUAACUGAUCUUACUUGAAAUGAGGAAAGGCCAUCUUUGAUAUUCCUUUCACUUUCUUUAAAAUUAUCCUUUGCAGUCCCAAUUUGAGCCGAGUCUAUUUAAAGUUUUUUUCUUUCACAAGAACCUUAACUAAGAUCACACCCUACACUAGGGGGCAAAAAGAGAAAUAUGAUUAAGAAAUUGUCUUGAAGGCAUGUGAGCUUAUAAAGAAAGUCUGACAACAAAGAAUUCAAUAAAAUUCCAAACAAUUGAGAGAAUUCCUAACAAAUAUGGGAAUAACAAAAAAAAACAGAAGUUCCUCAUUUGGAAUAUUUAGCAUCAUUUUUGUUGUCAAGGUAGCAAAAAAAAUGCCAAGACAAGAUAAUAGUGAUCUAUAGUUUAUAAGCCCUUAAACACUUUUUUGAGCUUAUGGAAUACUCUUUCUUUUAUAGCCUUGAGCCAUAAAAUACAUUACGUGCCUUUGAAGUCCUUUCUAAUCAAGUAAGCAACCUGGAUCAAUAAACGGCGUUCUCAAAAUAUAAGAGACUUUUCCAUAAAGAGUCAUGGCGUAGCAAAUAAUUACUCGUUAUUAUUCAUGCUGUUAAAAAGAGUGUUUCUAAAAUAAAGGCAAAUUGUUUCUUUUCUCUCACCUUCAAGCAAUCGCUUGAACACUUUGAAAACCAAAGCAGAAGUCAUCUCAUCACUUACCUUCAUCUUAGAUUACUUUUACUAAGAGAUUUGACAUAAAGCCCAGAGUUGCCUGAACAUUGUUAUAAACAGACAUUGAGAGUUUCAGUUUUCGAGAACAAAACAGAUCUUUUGAAAAAUCAUUUUUGAAAAAAGGUUUUCUUUGUAAGAAAAAUGAAUAUAUGGCACACUACGGCACCAUUAGAAAAUCAGAGAUUCUAAUGACAAACAAGAGCAAAGGAGGAAAUGAAUGAGGCAGUUAAUUCUCCCAGGGGGUAGAGAAGCAGUUACCAGAUCCUUAAUGGCACAAAGAAAUUUGCUUCCCUAGUGGAAAAUACACAUGAUAAAACUGUGGACUUCUUCCAGCAUGAGGACUGAAAUAGUAUGAUUUGCAGUAUCUAUGAAAGGAGAUUGUUGACUCUCACAAUAUGAUCAGUUAGACAACAAGAUAACUGAUACAUCUUCAGUAAGAGAAAUGCAGAUGAAAUCCCAGGUGAAGCGGGAUAAUCCUCAUAUAUUGACCAUAUGAAUUGGUUAAAGAAUCUUCAAUAAUGGGAAUGUUGCCUAUAGAACAAUGUCGGGCCAGGGAGAAGCUAAUUCUUCAGUGAAGUUACCAAUAGAGAAAAGUGCAGUGACUGUUGGGAAACUCAAACAAAGCUUAUCUUAGAAAAUGAACAACAUGGGUCGGCUUGAGUAGAUUUGAAGUACGCGUAAUCAAAAGAGCUCACUAAAAAUCAAGAUCCUUAAACAAGAUGAACGGGGAUCUAUAUUUCAAAAACAGGUAAGAUGCACUGCAUAUCUUCUAACUUCAUGAGAAUUGCACAUUUGUUUUGCAGAUAUUUCACGAAACAAAAUUCCUAACGGGAUCCAACGAGAUUCAGAUGAAAUGAAGUUCUUCUAAAUCACAUCAAAUAUGACAAUGCCACAAAAGCAAAAUUCAUGAAUGUAGACAAGAAACAUGGAUUUUUAUUCAUGGAAAAAGGGUUUACAAGUACAAACGUUAAACACUGCGAGGACGAUUAGGGAUAUUUUCAUCUUGAUGAUUAAGCAUUACUCGAAAUUCCUCAAAUUGGUUAAUUAUGCGCUCCAUCCUUUCCUCGAACUCGAGGUGUCGUGUGUUAACAUAGUCCCUCCAAAAGUCAGCAAGUGCAUUGAGCUCUUGGUUUCUCCUCUCCAAUUCGUUUUUGUGACGUCUCUCAUCACAUAGUCUUUUCCUUAAAUUCUCAAUUUGAUUAUGGAGCUCAGGAAUUUGAGUAUUCAACUCAAGUUUUCUGGCAUGAAGACACUCCGCAACGUUCACCAAAGACGAAGUUGCUCUGAGACUGAGAGCAAGUGACUGAUUCACUACUUCAAUAUCGGUCCUGGCUGCCAGCAUCAUUUCAUCACGAGGAAGGGUCAUGUCUCUAGCCACGGCUAUAGCAAUAUCUUCGUUGUCCAUUACAGUAUCCGCUAUUGUAACUGGACGACCAUUCACUUCAAAGGUAGUACGCCAAACUACAGGCUCUACAGCAGGAACAAGGUCUGGAUUAGCAUUGGAAGAAGAGGAAGACAUGGUUAAAACUUCAAAAGUUAAGAACUUUGAAAUUAUUGAAAAUGGGAGAAGUUGAUGAUGUCUUUUGCCAAAUACUACGUGAUUUAUAAGGAAUUUGCUCCUACCAUCAUUUUGAAUAGAAGCUCAAAUCUUAGUAGUACAUAUAAGACUUUUUGAAGAAGCUUUCAUCAUUUCUGAGAUCGAUUUGCAAAUCAGAUCUCAGCCGUACAUAUAAGACUUCCUUAAGAAGCUUUCAUCAUCUUUGAGAUCGAUUUGCAAAUCAGAUCUCAGCCGUACAUAUAAGACUUUCUUGAGAAGCUUACAUCACCUUUGAGAUCAAUUUACAAAUCGGAUCUCCACCGUGCAAGUAUGACUUCCUUUAGAAGUUUUCAUUAACCCUGAAACCAAUGCUGAAAUCACUUUCAUGUAUUUCACAAAAUCAAUGCUGAAAUCACUUUCAUGUAUUUCACAAAAUCAAUGUUGAAAUCACUUUCAUGUAUUUCACAAACAGGUUGGUCACCUAGAAAAUAAGACCAAUGCUGAAAUCACUUUUAUGUAUUUCACAAAAAUAAUGUUGAAAUCACUUUCAUGCAUUUCACAAAUAGGUUGGUCACCUGGAAAAUAAGACCAAUGUUGAAAUCACUUUCAUGUAUUUCACAAGAACAAUGUUGAAAUCACUUUUAUGUAUUUCACAAACAGGUUGGUCACCUGGAAAAUAAGACCAUUGUUGAAAUCACUUUCAUGUAUUUCACAAAACCAUUGUUGAAAUCACUUUCAUGUAUUUCACAAACAGGUUGGUCACCUGGAAAAUAAGACCAAUGCUGAAAUUACUUUCACGUAUUUCACAAAAUUAAUGUUGAAAUCACUUUCAUGUAUUUCACAAACAGGCUGGUCACCUGGAAAAUAAGACCAAUGUUGAAAUCACUUUCAUGUAUUUCACAAAAUUAUUGCUGAAAUCACUUUCACGUAUUUCACAAACAGGUUGGUCACCUGAAAAAUAAGACCAAUGCUGAAAUCAUUUUCACGUAUUUCACAAAAUCAAUGUUGAAAUCACUUUCAUGUAUUUCACAAACAGGCUGGUCACCUGGAAAAUAAGACCAAUGUUGAAAUCACUUUCACGUAUUUCACAAAACCAUUGUUGAAAUCACUUUCAUGUAUUUCACAAAAUCAAUAUUGAAAACACUUUCAUGUUUUUCACUUGGGCAGGUCGCCUAGAAGAAUAGACCAACUGAAAAAUCUGUGUAUUUUUCAACACCUACAUCGUUUUUCUUUACAAAACUUACUAUGCAAAGUCAAAAGAAAAUGAAUUUUCCAAUGUCUUUGCACCGUAAGCAUUGUAAAGAGGGGGCAACUGUUGUAACCCAAUUUUUGAUUCACUAAGAUUUUCUUGAAUGUUAUUUUAUUUCUAUUAUUAUUCAUGAAAUAAAAAAAAUUUAAGAAAAAGUUUAAUAUUCAUUUUUCUCGAGUCAACCGCAUCUUUCCAUAAAAAAAACACCGAUUUCACAGGGUCAAUACAGGUCACACCAUGUCAAUCAGGGUAAAAAAAGAAUUUUCAUGACGUUUCGGGUCAAAACCGUCAUUUUUGGUCAAAACCAUCAUUUUUUAUCAAAAACCGAGUCCACCGGGUCAAUACGAGUCAAACCAUGUCGACCAAGGUAAAAAAUAAGUUUUCAUGACAUUUCGGGUCAAAACCGUCAUUUUUUAUCAAAACCGAGUCUACCGGGUCCAUACGGGUCAAACCAUAUCAAUCGGGGUGAAAAAUGAGUUUUCAUGACGUUUUGGGUCAAAACCAUCAUUUUUUUAUCAAAAUCGAGUCCCCCGGGUCAAUACGGGUCAAACCAUGUUGACCAGGGUAAAAAAUAAGUUUUCAUGACGUUUCGGGUCAAAACCAUCUUUUUGGUCAAACCCCUUAAAUGUUUUUUUUUUGUGUUCCAAUAUAAAUUUUUUUUUUUUUGCGGUUGGAACAGGUUUUUUCUAAGACUGAUUUAAGUUUUUUUGUUUUAUCUAUAUAAUUAUUUAUUAUUAUAUAUAAUAAAACAAAAUUAAUAAUACAUAAAUUUAUUAUAGUAGGUGGGUUAGUUGAUGCAGUGCAUUAUUUUCCUUCGAAAUAAAUUCAUUGUCCCCUGCUUAUUGGCUAUAAAUAGCCACGACAGAGGAAAAAAAAAAGAAAAAAGAAAGAAAGAAAGAAAAGAGAGUAUUACUAUUUGAAUUUUUUUUGUUUUUCUUCACGAGAGUAAAAUAUUGUUUUUUAUUAAAAACAAUUUGAAAAAUACCAAAAAUAUCCUAACCGUUCGAUCUAGUAGUGUUAAUUUUGGACCUUUGAUUUAAUAUGAUACAAUAGGGUUUACCACACUAGAUUAAAACUCAAAUCCAUCUUAGCCUUUGAAAUAAUCUGCCUUUUGUUCCUGUCGUGCUACGUCACCCGGUGUACCGAGCUUUCGGUGCACCGCGCCACAACAGAUCAGUGCUCCGCUCAUCCAGACCGUCCGAUCAACUUGCAGAUCAAGCCAAUCACAACCGAAUGAUCGGUUCAUCCGCGAUCCAACGGCUCACAACCUUCAGCUGCACCGGUGUCCCAUGCUCGUGUUCACACCGUAGCACAAUCUCAGAGCCUCUCUCUCCUCUCGACGGUGAUUCUCUCUCUCUCAUCCGAUCUCCCAUUUUCGGCCGUAUGAAGCUUUCAAACCACCACAGAAAGGUUGCUACCUUGCUAUAAAGCAAAACCCCGGCGGUUUUCAACGUUUUAUCCGCCUCAUCUAGCCGGAAAACGGCCGCGAUUUUGUCGACCACCCGAAGCUUUAAACCGACGAUUCUCCCUCGUCAGCCAUCAACAGCUGUCGAAACCACCUUCAUCAGAAUCCUCUUCAUUAGAUCUACUAGAAUCAACCAGUCGUUGGCUGGAAAUCUCGCCGUCUCCAACAGUAACCGCGCGUGAGCCACACGCGCCACCAGGGGUAUUUUCAUAAUUUUCCGAGAAAUCCAAGGGUAUUUCAGUCUUUUACCUAUACAGUGGCACUCAGGUAAUUUUUUGAAAUUCCUAACAGUUUUUAUUUUAUUUUGAUAUAUAAGUAUUUGUAAAUUCUCUUGCAUGUAAAAAAAAACAAAAAAAAACCAAAAAUAAAUAUAAAAGGAAUAACGACGCGGGUCCAUAAAACAUAUUAAAUUCUUCUUUAAUCCUUGCAAUUUUAUCAUAAAUAAUAAUAAUAAAAAAACAUCCAUAAAACAAAUACCAACACACAAAUAAAAAUUCAAUACUAAACAAAAAAAUUACAUCAACCAAUUUAAAAUUACAAAACAGCCCCUAAAACAUCCUAGGGAUUCUGGAUCAGUGCACGGGAAUAGUGGCGCGGGUCUUCCCACACGCCGUCGCGAAUAAGGCCGGAAAACGGGUGGAUCUGGCUCAGCUUCCUUUCUUUUUCCCUUCUCUGCUGGUGGUGACACCCACCGUCACCUGCAAACGAAGAAAAGAACACAGGCAGUCGAUUUUAUAUUUUUUGUUUUUGUUUUGCAGAUCUGCUUCUCUGGUUCGGUUUUUUUUUUCUGCAUCUCAGUGUCUUUUCGUUUCCCCUUGUUCUCCAUUUCAAACGACCGGCAGUGUGACCAUAGGGCUGCUGGCCUUUGGGUUUUGUCCGAUCUGCAACUGUUGGUGGCCGGUGAAUCUGUGGACGGUGUUGUUAUGGCUGACGGAAGAAAGCGGACCGAUUUGGGAUCUGUGGGUGCCGCUGCCGGGCUGCUAUCAGACGGUUGAAGGGGAGAAGGCUGGGUCGGCUGAGAGAGAUGCGAACUUGUGGGGGAGAUGGAGGCAGGUUCAGGAGCUGCUAUGGGUGAAGAAGAGUUAGUGUGGGUUUGUGAGGGAGAGGGGGUUGUGAGCCAGGAAGAUUUGGUGUGGUGAGGGGCUGAGAAUUUGUGUCUCUAGUAAGGAGGACCGGUUGAGAGGAGAAUGAGGUGACUGGUCUGUGGGGCUGAGACGAAGAAGGGGUUGCGGUGUGGCUGCUAGGUGAGGGAGAAGAAGCUUUGGUCGGGUCUGUCAGAGAAAAACAAGUCAAGCCAGGGGAGGGGGGCGGUCGGCUUGGUUUUGGGUAAAAAAAAUCAAACUCUGGGGGGCGGCUGUGUUUGGGAUUUCUUAGGGUUUUUUUGUGGUUUAGGGUUUUUUUUUUUUUUUUUGUAUUUUCCUGAUGUUUCAAAAUUGCCCCCAUUUUGUGUGAGUUGAAAACCAGUAUUUAUAGGCAAAAAUGUUGCUAGGUUUUCAAACUUGGUCCCUCAACUUCUUUCUUUUUGUAAAUUUGAUUUUUCUUGUAUUUUUUGAAAACGAGCAAUAUCAACGUCGACUCGAUGAGGAAAAUCAAUGAUUUAAAACAUAACGCGUGAAAAGUCGAACGCGUUUGAACGACCCUUAAAAAUUUUAAUUCUUUUUAGACGACGCUAAAAAUGCUAAAAACGACGCAAAUAUAUUAAAAAGGUAUUUUUUGGAUUUUCAAUGUUUUUCUCUAUUUUUGGAUUUUUCUGAAAAUUUAUCAAAACAUGGGUCAAAAAUUGGGUAGCAACAGAUGCCCCCUCUUUACAAUGCUUACAAAGGAAAACUCAUCAAUGUUUUGCAUAGUAAGCUUUGUAAAGAAAAACUUGUCUUCUUAUCUUCAUAACUUGCUCAAUAUCCACUCAUUUAAAGACCUUACUUUUUUCUUUUUCUAUUUCUUUCUGUCUCUCUCUCUCUCUCUUUUUCAUUAACUUGAGAUCCCAUAUGGCGACCUCCUUUACCAAAACCAAAGAAUGUUGUAGCUCGGUUAACCUGAAAUCCCAUAUGGAGAUUCCCUUUAACCAAAGCUACAUGAGAUCCCAUCUAGUAACCUCAUUUAAUUGGAACUAAAAAAUGUGUGUAGCUCGGUCAACCUGAAAUCCCAUCUGGCGAUUCCCUUUAACCAAAGCCUCAUGAGAUGAUCUGGAUGCCUGGAUAUCUGACUCCAUUGAAACAAUGGAAUCUCCAUCGACGAUUUAAACAUCGAUGAUAUUACUCGGGCGGCCUCAAUGUUUGUGAACCUAAAAAGAAAUGAAAUUAAUUAAAUAGUGACUUCAUAAAUUAUGUUUUAAAUUUGUUUUUUUUUAAAAAAACAAACUAAAACUUUAACAAACUUACAUUGAAAGAUCGUCCUUCCAUUGUGCCUCGUACUUGCGCUGUGAAGGCACGCCGCUUCUGCGAUGUGAAACAGCGCUGGAAGAGGCAGCAUCAGCUGAUGGCGCAAGUGGUGUAGGUGCCUCUUCUUGAGAGGCACCUAAGGAAAUAUCUUCCUCGCUGCUAGACGAACCUGAUGCGACCGGACGUGAAGCUCUAGUUUUCAUUCUGUGCAUCUAACCAAUUUUAAUAAUUAUAUAAUUAAAUUAAAAUGUUAAAAAAAAUUCGGCAGCACCUCCCCUAUACUUAGAUACUACCCAAAUCCACAAACCUGCAAAUAUUAACAAUAGCCACAACCAAUUGACCCAAUCUAUACUAAUUAUUCCAACAUAUUCAAUUACUAAUCCUAAGGUAAAUUCAACAUUAACAAUUACAAUUCAACAAAUUAUUCAAUAAUUAUGCCAAUACAACAAUAAAAUAUAUUCAAUAAAUUAAAAAAGAAUUAUAAACUAACAAUUAAAAUCAAUGGAAACAAUUAAACACAAAUUAUGCAAUAAUAGAGUAAAAUUACUAAGUAUUCCAACAUAUCCAAAUACUAAUUCUAAGGUAAAUUCAACAUUAACAAUUAUAAUUCAAAAACUUAUUCAAUAAUUAUGGCAAUACAACAAUAAAAUAUAUUCAAUAAAUUAAAAAAAAUUAUAAACUAACAAUUAAAAACAAUGAAAAUAAUUAAACACAAAUCAUGCAAUAAUAUAGUAAAAUUACUAAUUAUUCCAACAUAUGCAAUUACUAAUUCUAAGGUAAAUUCAACAUUAACAACAAAUAUUCAACAAAUUAACUAACAACAAUUAUGCCAAAACAACAAUAAAAAAUAUUCAAUAAAUUUAAAAAAAAACUAUAGACUUUAGGGAAGAAAUAUGCAUACCUUAAUAAUGUGUUGAAAAAAAAAAUUUAUCUACAUUACAAAAAAAUACAACAAAACAAAAAACAUAAAAAGCAUAAAAAUAACUAUAAAUAAAAUAAUAUAAAAUAGAAAAAAACACAUACCUUUUAAUGUGAUGAAGAUUCACAACCAACCUUGCUAGAGAUUCAACAAAGCUUGAAGGCUUGAAGAUUUGAGAGGAAAAAAAUCAAAAUUUUAAGUUAAACCUUAGAAACGGAGGAGAAGAAAAAAUGAACUGAAGGGGCGGCCGGAUGAACUUAUAGUGCAGUUUUACCGACGGAUUCACCGAUGGAAAUAUAAAAUUAUUAUUAUUUAAAUUAAAUCCGUCGGUAACACGCUAAAAAUCCGUCGGUAAUUUUUGGAUUUCGCACCGAAUUUUUUAAUUACCCUCCAUAUUAAAAUCCGAAUUUUUAAAUCCGUCGGUAUUCUGACAUGGUUAAAGGUGCAUUCAAUCCACACCCUUUGGAAUUCGCACAUUCCGUUGGUAUUUUUGUCGGUAAAAUUGCCCACCGACAACUUACCGACGGACCUAUUCCGUUGGUAUAAACGUCGGUGAUUGUGGCAUUUUGGUGUAAUUAUUUUCAAACUCUCUGUGAGAUGCCGACGGACGGUGGGCCGUCGGUAUGGACGUCGGUGAUUGUUCAAUGUACAAGAGAUGUUGUGUUUGUAUUUUCUAUUUACCUUCCUGUAAAAAAUUCAAUGAUAAAUUGUCCAUCGCACAAAACAAUAGCAACAGUUCUUAAACAAUAAAUAUAUAUUUCAUGCUACAAAAUAUAUCAUCCAUAGUGUAAAUUACAUGAAGAAAAGGGUUUUACACAGGGCCUCGUUUUGAUAGUUACUCAGAAUUAUCUUCUUCUUCGUCAUCAAUUGAAUAGUCAUCACCUUCAUCGCAAUCUUCAAUAUGGAUAUCAUCUUCUUCAUCGACAUUUGCUUGUCCGCUAGAGCUCAAAACAACGUUCAACUCCUCUACGUCAACAUCAACAUCAACAUCAACAAGACUAUCAUCGGAAACAUGAAAAUUUGAAUUUUCUUCCAAUUCAAUCGAAGGAGCAACUCGAUAUGGUUCAACCAACUCACUAACUUGAAAGACUUCAUCCUGCACACUUGUGUCUUCGUUCUCAUCCUGAACAACCUCGACAUGACCCCGUGAUUUCGUUUUUAAAAUGGACAACCAAUCAACUCUUGAUCGAUCCUUUCUAAAUGAAGGGGUGUAUGUGUAAUAAACUUGUUGGCAUUGCUUUGUGAAAACAAAGACAUCAUUUAUGUUGCGGAGUCUAGCUUUUGAGUUGAUUUCGACCGGACCAUGGUGCUUAUCAACUCUGAUUCCUCUGUCCGUCGUGUCAUACCAAUAGCAUUUGAAUAAAAACACUGUAUUCUGCUCGCUAUGAUAUUGUAGUUCGACGACCUCUUCUAAUCUACCAUAGUAGUCAACUUCUAACUCGCUACUUGUGGAUCCUUUAACACAAACACCGCAGUUGUAUGUCCUUCUUCCUUGCCCGUAUUCUUUAGUAUGGAAAACAUAUUCAUUGACAAAAUACCCGUUAUAGCACUUAACUUUUCUUUCAAGCCCGAGGCUUAGUGAAGACAAUGACUUAGACACACUUCUUCCCAUUUGAUAAACCUUGUAUACAUGUAAUGUACAUCAAUAAACAGUAAAUGAACGAGAAUCUCGUAAUGACAUGCAUACGUACAGUAAUUUUGCAAGUUAGAAUGAGUUUGUGAUAGUGCUUACAUGUGUUCUGAACCAUGUGGCAAAUUGUUCAUCUUGUAAUUGAAAGAUCUGGGAGUCGGUCAGCUGCGAGUUAUUGGAGAGCAAAUAUUGUCGAUGUUGCCUGCAAGUGAUAAUGAGUGUAUGAUUUCACAAUAUAUAAUUAGCAGUAUAUUACUGACAAAGUUUAAAUAGUAUUACACAUAUAUAAACUUACUGAAUAAAUGGUCUCAGCUCAUCACAAUUAAAUAGAACAUAAUUGUGUGCUUGUUUGAAUUCUAUUUUCGACAAAUAUCUUCCUCUUACGGCAUUUUUAGGUAUAGGUCGUCCAGUAUUGGAGAAUAUUGACAAUUUCUCACUGGAAGGCACUUCACCGCCAUCAUCAUGUUGUGGAACACGAUUGAUUCUUGUUCUCAAAUGAGGUUCAAAAUAGUAAGAGAUAAAUGUUGAGAUCUCUUCAACAAUAUAGGCCUCAAAUAUCGAAGCCUCUACAUGCGUCUUGUUCUUAACCUUUUUCUUGAGAUUAAACAAGUACCUGCAUUGAAUUACAAUUCAAGUUUUCCAAUUAAGAAAAGCAUAUAAAAUACUUUUAGAUAUGAAUUCCAUUGCAACUGUAAUAUCUAACCGUUCGAAUGGGUACAUCCAUCUAUACUGACAUGUAAUUCGGUAAUUCCACAAAGUUUUAACAAUUUACAAAUAAAUACAAUCUUACAAAAUCUAAAACAAACCAUAACUACAAGUAUAAAAUUAUACAUUCAUAUACUACAAGUUUGUUUGAGAAAUAACAAUAAAACAUGUACAUCUAUUAACAAAAAUACAUAUACUAAAAAAACAAUAAAAUUUACAUUUAAAUGUUAAAAUUUAAAAAGAUAUAAUUACUUACAAAAAUUGAUAAAAUCCAUCGGUAAAUCAGAACACGGAUGUUGUGAUCAAAAAACUUUAAGAAAUACAACUUGUUGUGCUGAGAUGAGGAAGAUUUUUGUUUGGGGGUGAGGGGGGGGCUAGUUAUUUUGCAGAUGGGGAGACUUAAGAUUAGGAAGAAGAACGAGAAAUGGGGGAGGAGCGUGUCGGCAGCGUGGCCAUAUAUUCACUUUUUUCGACGGCCUCAUCGAUGGAAUAACAUCGUCGGUGCAUAUGUCGGUUACUCCAUCGGUAAUUUUGACGGGAAAUAGACACAUCACCGCACGAACACGCUUUUCAAAUCCCUCGGUGAUUCCGUCGGUAUGUUUGACGGUGCACCCAUCACAUCACCCGUAUGGAUCUGGUAUUUCAAAUCCGUCGGUGAUUUCGUCAGUAUUAUUGACGGUGAAACGGUCCGAUCACACGUACAAGUCCCUAGUUUUGAAUCCGUCAGUGAUUCUGUCGGAAAAAUCACCCGCCAAAACCUCCGCGUCAGCUGCCCGCCUUUUUUUCAUUAAUUAUGAACUUUCUGUCUGUAAUUUCGACUGAAAAAUACCGACAGCAAUAUUGUGUCGGGGAGUCCGUUGGUGUUUAGCGAAUUUAUGGUAGUGAACUAAAAACUGCGUAUAGCUCGGUCAACCUGAAAUCCCAUCUGGCGAUUUCCUUUAACCAAAGCCACCUGAGAUCCCAUCUGGCGACCUCAUUAAACCACAACCAAAAAAUAUGCGUAGCUUGGUCAACCUGAAAUCCCAUCUAGCGAUUCCCUUUAACCAAAGCUACUUGAGAUCCCAUCUGGCGACCUCAUUCAACUGAAAUAAAAGAAUGUGUAAAACGCGGUUUCAUUGUAAUGGGUGACCAACCCAGGUGGAAAGAAUGUGAAAAACAGUCUCAUUAUGAUGGGUGACUACCCAGAUGGAAAGAAUAUGAAGUGCGGUCUCAUUGUAAUGGGUGACCUACCCAAGAAAAAGAAAAGAGUGGUCUCAUUGUAAUGGGUGACCUACCCAGAAAAAAAACAUGGAGAAUUGGUCGCAUUGUAAUGGGUGACCUACCCAAAAAAAUGUUGGUCUCAUUGUAAUGGGUGACCUACCCAAGUGAAAGAAUGGUCUCAUUGUAAUGGGUGACCUACCCAGAUAAAAAACAAGGAGAAUUGGUCGCGUUGUUCUGGGUGACCUACCCAGAAAAAUUUUGGCGAGGGCUCAAAGGCGCACUCAAAAGGAGGUAGGGUUAGAAAACGCACUACCCGAGAAGUGAGGGCUCAAAAGCACACUCAAAAGGAGGUAGGGUUAAAAAAUGCACUACUUGAGAAGUGAGGGCUCAAAGGCGCACUCAAAAUAAGGUAGGGUUAGAAAACGCACUACCCAAGAAGUGAGGGCUCAAAGGCGCUCUCAAAAUGAGGUAGGGUUAGAAAACACACUGCUUGAAUGGUGGUGGCUCAAAGGCACACUCAAAAGGAGGUAGGGUUAGAAAAUGCACUACCUGAGAAGUGAGGGCUCAAAGGCGCACUCAAAAGAAAAUAAGGGCUCAAACGGUGCACUUGAAAUGAGGUUGGGUUAGAAAACGCACUAUCCGAAUGGUGGUGGCUCAAAGGCGCACUCAAAAUGAGGUAGGGUUGGAAAACGCAGUACCCGAAUGGUGGUAGCUCAAAGACACACUCGAAAUAAGGUAGGGUUGGAAAACACACUACCUAAAAGGUGGUUGAUUAGUACUUAAAAGUGCAUGUUUAUUAAGGUUUUAUAUCAUCAUUUUGCACUUGAAGUAUCAAUAACUCCUUAACUAAAGCAUGUUUUAUAAUAACAAGUGUGAUACUAUAAAAUGCCUUAAUAUAUGGUAAAUAUUCAUCUUGAAUGCAGGCUUAUCACAUAAAUCAAAGGAUUGAUUGAUGAAUUCAACUACUGAAAUUUUGAAGAUAAAGAAGGGUGAAGCUUAGAAAAGAGAUGUUGGUGCAGUCCAAACUGGAACACUAUUUGGUAUUUGGGUCAUAUCUUGAGUUCUAGAUGUCCAAAUGAUCUCAAAGUUUUACACAGAUUUGGUGAGAUAUAAGCCUACAACUUUCAUGUGAACAGAAAAAUCUAAGAAGGCCUUUUUCAUGUCCAAAUUAUAGCAACAACGGAGAAGUCUGAAUCUGUCUUGCAGCCCAGACACUGUUCAGUGUUCAGCCCAUAUCUUGAGUUCUAAAAGUCCAAAUGACCUCAACUUUUUUUUCCUGGAAAGCUAAGAGAAUUUCCUAGAACUUUGAUGAUUUCAUAUGAUUCCAGUUCUGAUGUUAGCAAUGACGUUUUAUUCAGACAAGAAGAUAAGGAUUUUCACCAAGUCAAGAUGUGGCCACCCACUCAACAAUUAUUCAUCAAAUCAAUAGUUCCAAAUUUUGGCCUAUAAAAGGAGGCAUUUGCCAUGCAUUUAGGCAUCUUGGUUUCCAGAUCAAGAUCAUGCUCUUGCUUUCUCUCUUUGUAUUGCUUAUGUUUUGCUUUCAUUAAUAUCAAGUUUAUGCACUUCAUUUCCUUUCCUUUACUUAGUUAACUUUUUUCUCAUUUAUGUUCUUAUCUUGUUCAUUUAUGUUUCUUUCUUUCAUUAUGUUUACCUAUGUUAAUUAUGUCAAGGUGAAAAGGGUACACUAAUGGUGUAAGAAUAAGUAUAAUAUAAACUUAACAUGGACCUUAAUGUUGGAUACUAACAUGUUUUAUAUUUGUUAUCUUGUUCACUUUUAAUACUUUGCUUGUUAAAUGGUUAAUCUAGAUUUAUGUUGUAUAACACUUGGUACAACAAAUACUUGGCACUUUCAUAGCCCAUACUGUAUGGUAUAACCGACACCUGAGCUAUGAAAGGAACUUGAUUUGUUGUUAACAUAAGUUAUAAUCAUGAAUGCCUGACAAAAUUUACAAGUAUUAGCAUUAUUCGAAUAAGAUAACUAAUGUAAUCAUGUUAACAAUUUACAAUCCGAUUGGAACCUCCUUUGUGUGUGGUUUUCAAUUGAGUAAUAAAAAGAGUUUAUAUUAUACUUGUUUGAAGUACCAUUAGUAGAUCCUCUAACCUUGACAAUUAUUUUAUGCUUGUUUAAUCCUUACAUCAAUAUCACAUCCCAAAGCUCUCUUUAUCUUAUUAUUAUUGUUAUUGUUGUUGUUGUUGUUGUUGUUGUUGUUUAUAAUUUAUAUAGUUAACCUCCAUGUGGUUCGACCCUGGUCUUGCCGGGUUAUUUAUUACUUCGACACUAUUGCACUUGGAAGAAAACAUCAAUCUUUUGGGUCGUGUCAAGUUUUUGGCGCCGUUGCCGGGGAGGUAAAUUCUUGUAUAAAUUAUAAUAUUUAUUUUAUUUUGUCUUUUCAUUUUUCAUUUUAUCUAACUUUUGUUUCUUUUCCUUCUCUUUUAUUUCCUUCCUUAUAUUCUCUUCUUACACGUGCAUGAGAGUUUGGUCAUGUACAUUAAGUGGUAGACUUUGUAGGGUAUCCUCAGAAACAUUUUACCAGUGUUGGGAUAGGUAUCGAGACUUGCUUAAUACUUGCCCUCAUCAUGGUUUUGAAACAUGGAGAUUGGUUUCAUUUUUUUAUGAAGGUUUAACACCUAGAGAUAGGCAAAUGGUUGAAUUGAUGUGCAAUUGAACUUUCGAAGAUAAAGACCCUAAUGAAGAAAUGGAGUACCUAGACUUGCUAGCCGAAAAUGCUCAAAAUUGGGACACCACAUGUACUUAUAAGGCACCAAGUAAAACUCAACCUCAUACAUCUAGUGGAGGUAUGCACAACCUUAGGGAAGAUCAUGACCUCCAAGCCAAGUUUGCAUCUUUAGCUAGAAAAGUCGAAUCACUUGAAUUGAAAAAGAGUGGUCAAUUAAAAUCUUUCAAGACAUUGUGUGUCAAAUCUGUGAAACAAGAACACUCAACAAAUGAUUGUCCAACUUUGCCUUCUUUUAGGAAUGCCUCCAUGAACAAGCCCAUGCUUUAAACAGUUUCCAAAGGCCCAACAUAACCCAUACUCACAAACGUAUAACCCUGGUUGGAGAAAUCACCCAAAUUUCAGUUGGAAGAGUGAUAACAAUAAUGCAAACUUCACAGCCACCGUUUCAAGCAUACCAUAAUUUCCAAAAUUCUCAUGGAUAUGCACCUCCUUAUGCUCCACCUCCUAGAAGAAAUCUUGAGGAAACAUUGCAUGCAUUCAUUGAAAAGCAGGAGACAAUCAACACUCAACUUGCUCAAAGCAUGACUGAUUUUAAAGAUGCUCUUGCAAAAUUAACAUCUGCUCUCAGUUUUCAAGAAAAAGGUAAGUUUCCUUCUCAACCACAAUAAAAUCCAAAGGGGCAAUAUAAUGCAAAUGCAAGUAGUUCUGGAAGCCAACACAUGGAUCAAGUCAAAUCAGUCAUCACUCUUCGUAGUGGUAAGGUUAUUGAAAAACCCACUCUUGAACCUUGUGAGAAAGAUGAAGAGUCUAUCUUUGAGGGUAAGAAAAGGGUUGAACCUGAACAUUUCCUCAUGCCAUGACCAAACAAAGGAAAGUCAAUCACAAUUCUGAAAUCCUUUAAAUUUUCAAACAGGUAAGGAUCAAUAUACCUUUGUUGGAUGCUAUUAAACAUGUUCCUUCCUAUGCUAAAUUUUUGAAAGAUCUGUGCACUGUGAAGAGAAAACUGAAUGUGAAAAAGAAAGCCUUUUUAGCCGAACAAGUAAGUGCCAUUCUUCAUAACAAUAAUGCUUUGAAAUAUAAAGACCCUGGUUGUCUUACAAUUUCUUGCUUUAUUGGAGAACAAAAAAUUGAAAGAGACUUACUUGAUCUUGGAGCUAGUGUGAGUUUACUUCCAUAUUUAGUCUUUCAAAGUCUCAAUCUAGGUGAGUUAAAACCAACCUUUGUAACUCUUUUACUUGCUGAUAGAUCUGUAAAAGUGCCUAGAGGAAUAGUUGAGGAUGUGUUAGUACAAGCUGAUAAAUUCAUUUACCAUGUAGAUUUUGUUGUCUUGGAUACACAACCUGUUGAAGCAUGUAAUUCAAUUCCUGUCAUUUUAGGACGUCCAUUUCUUGCCACUUUUAAUGCAUUGAUUAAUUGUAAGAAUGGACUGAUGAAGCUAUCAUUUGGAAACAUGACAUUGGAGAUGAAUAUUUUCAACAUUUACAAGCAACCUGGAGAUGAUAAUGAUUUACAGGAAGUGGACUUUAUUGAAAAAUUAGUUCAUGAUCAAUUUCAAACCACUUCUAGUGAAACUGAGAUUGAUGAAUCUGAUGAUUUGCAAAUGGUCUAUUUUCAGGAAGAAUCAAAGGCAUGCAAUUGGAGACCACAAAUUGAAGAAUUGCCACCACGAUCAAUUGAGCCCAUACCUUCAAGUGUUCAACCACCAAAACCUGAUUUGAAGUCGUUACCAUUUAAUCUCAAAUACUCAUUUUUGGGAGAAAAUGAAACUUUUCCGGUAAUAAUCUCUUCCAAACUUAAUGCACAUCAAGAAGGUAAGUUAUUACAGACUUUGAAAAUGCACAAAAAUGCAUUAGGAUGGACCAUAGCUGACAUAAAAGGAAUUAGCCCUUUGAUUUGCACACACAGAAUUUAUUUGGAGGAAAAUGCUAAACCCUCUAGAGAAAUGCAACGAAGGCUUAAUCCUAAUAUGAAAGUAGUGAAAAAUGAAGUCAUUAAGCUUCUAGAUAAUGGAAUCAUUUAUCCUAUUUCUGACAGCAAAUGGGUAAGUCCUACCCAAGUUGUACCUAAAAAGUCUGGAGUCACUGUGAUAACAAAUGAGAAAAAUGAGUUAAUUCCAACGAUGAUUGUUACUGGUUGGCGCAUGUGCAUUGACUAUAGGAAACUUAAUUCAAUGACUAGAAGAUCAUUUCCCUUUACCUUUCAUGGAUCAAAUCCUAGAAAGAGUUGCAGGUCAUGAAUUCUAUUGUUUCCUAGAUGGCUAUUCAGGUUACAAUCAAAUUGAAAUUGCAUUGGAAGAUCAAGAGAAGACUACUUUCACAUGUCCAUUUGGUACUUUUGCAUAUCGAAGAAUGCCUUUUGGGUUAUGUAAUGCACCAGCCACGUUCAGUGUUCAGCCCAUAUCUUGAGUUCUAGAAGUCCAAAUGACCUCAAAUGUUUACACAAAUUCAGUAAGACAUAGGCCUAUAACUUGCAUUUGGACAUCAAGAUCUAAGAAGGCCGUUUUCAAGUCCAAAUUAUUCAACAACGGAGAAGUCUGAAUAUGUCCUGCAGCCCAGACACUUUUCAGUGUUCAGCCCAUAUCUUGAGUUCUAAAAGUCCAAAUGACCUCAAAUGUUUACACAAAUUCAGUAAGACAUAGGCCUAUAACUUGCAUUUGGACAUCAAGAUCUAAGAAGGCCGUUUUCAAGUCCAAAUUAUUCAACAACGGAGAAGUCUGAAUAUGUCCUGCAGCCCAGACACUGUUCAGUGUUCAGCCCAUAUCUGGAGUUCUAGAAGUCGAAAUGACCUUAUCUUUUUUUUCCUGGAAAGCUAAGAGAAUUUCCUAGGACUUUUAUUUGGACAUCUAGACCCAGUUCUGAUGCUAGCAUUUUUGUUUUAUUAAGACAAGAAGAUAAAGAUUUUCACCUAGUCAAAAGUUGGCCACCCACUCAACAAUUAGUCAUCAAAUCAAUAAUUCUGAAUUUUGUCAUAUAAAAGGAGUCAUUUGCCAUGUAUUUAGGGGCUUGGUUUUUCAGAUCAAGUUCUUGCUCUUUAUUUCUCUCUUUAUAUUUUUUUUGUAAUUCUUAAGUUUUGCUUUCAUUAAUAUCUUGUUUAUGCUUUUCAUUUCCUUUCCUUUCCUUAGUUAACUUGUAUCUUAUUUAUGUUCUUGUUUUAUUUAUUUAUGUUUCUCUUCUUCAUUAUGUUUGGCUAAGUUUAUUAUGUCAAGGUGAAAAGGUUACACUAAUGGUGUAAGAACAAGUAUGGUAUAAACUCAACAUGAACCUUAAUGUUUAAUAUUAACAUGUCUUAUCUUUUUAUCUUACUAAUUCUUAAUACCUUACUUGUUAAAUGGUUAAUCUAGAUUUGUGUUGUAUAAUACUUGGUACAACAAAUGCUUGGCACUCUCAUAGCCCAACCGUAUGGUAUUACCUACACCUAGGCUAUGAAAGGUACUUGAUUUGUUGUUAACAUCAAUUAACAUCAUGAAUUCUUGAUAAUAUUUAAAAGUUUGGUGUUAUGUAAAUGAGAUAAUUAAUAUGAUCAUGUUAAUAAUUUAUAAUGAGCUAUUAAUGACAAAUUGGCCAAUUGGAACCUCCUUUGUGUGUGGUUUCCGGUUGAAUAAUAAGAGUUUAUACUAUACUUGUUUGAAAUACCAUUGGUGGAUCCUCUAACCUUGAUAUUUAUUUUUAUCAUUGUUUAAUCCUUACAUUAAUCUUCCAGCUCAAAGUUCUCAUUAAUUUUUUCCUCCUCUUUUUAUUGUUAUUAAUAUUAUCACUAUUAAUAUUAUUAUUAUUAUUAUUAUUAUUAUUAUUAUUAUUAUUAUUUACAUUCUGUUUAUAUUAUAUAAUAUAUCUCUUUCAUCUUUUCAAAAACUCAGUAUAUAGGCUGGAAACCUGUGACCCGAUCUUUUAGAUCAUUCUCAGGUAUAACAACGCCACGUACUGAGUAUUAUUAUUAAUAUUAUUAUUAUUAUUGUUAUUAUUGUUGUUAUUGUUGUUGUUGUUGUUGUAUUAUUGUUAUUUAUAAUUUGUAUAAUUAACCUCUCUGUGGUUCGACCCCGGUCUUGCCGGGUUAUUUAUUACUUUGACACUCCUGCACUUGGGAGAAGACAUCAAUCUUUUGGUUGUGUCAAGUUUUUGGCGUCGUUGCCGGGGAGGUAAAUUCUUGUACAAAUUUUAGUAUUUAUUUUGUUUUUUUCUUUUCACUUUUCUUGUAUCUAACUUUGUUUCUUUUGUUUUGUUUCUUUUUCUUUUGUUUUCUUCUUCCUUUUAUUCUUUUUCUACACGUGCAUGAGUGUUUGGUCAUGCAUAUUAAGUGGUAGACUUUCUAGGGUAUCCUCAUCAUUUUCAGAAAAUAUGGCCGAAGAAGAUAACCAGUUACUUCAUAAUGAGAAUAAUGAGAAUAACCGUGUUAGGACACUUAGAGACCACAUGAAUCCCAUAAGAACAAGUGCACCCUCAUGCAUAGUUUUCCCUCCUGAUGCAUCUCAUUUUAAUUUUAAGCCAGGCAUUAUUCAACUUUUACCUUCUUUUCAUGGCUUAGAUCUAGAAAAUCCAUACUUGCAUUUGGAGAAUUUGAGAAGUUUGUAACACCUAUAAUGACUUAAAUUGUAGCAUGAAUACCAUUAGAUUAAAGCUUUUUCCUUUUUCAUUAAAAGAUAAAGCUAAAACAUGGCUACAAAAUUUAGGUCAGGAUCCAUUCGUGCUUGGGAUGAAAUGCAACAACAAUUUUUAAAGAAGUUUUUUCCAUCUCACAGAACAACUCUUUCAAAAGACAAAUCACCACUUUCACUCAAAAACCAGGAGAAACAUUUUACCAAUGUUGGGAUAGGUAUCGAGACUUGCUUAAUACUUGCCCUCAUCAUGGUUUUGAAACAUGGAGAUUGGUUUCACAAUUUUUAUGAAGGUUAACACCUAAGAUAGGCAAAUGGUUGAAUUGAUGUGCAAUGGAACUUUUGAAGAUAAAGACCAUAAUGAAGCAAUGGAGUACCUAGACUUGCUAGCUGAAAAUGCUCAAAAUUAGGACACUACAGGCACUUAUGAGGCACCAAGUAAAACUCAACCUCAUACAUCUAGUGGAGGUAUGUAUAACCUUAGGGAAGAUCAUGACCUCCAAGCCAAGUUUGCAUCUUUAGCUAGAAAAGUCGAGGCACUAGAAUUGAAAAAGAGUGGUCAAUUAAAAUAUGUUCAAGACAUUGUGUGUCAAAUCUGUGAAACAAAUGAACAUGCAACCAAUGAUUGUCCAACUUUGCCUUCUUUCAAGGAAUGCCUCCAUGAACAAGCCCAUGCUUUAAACAGUUUCCAAAGGCCCAAUCAUAACCCAUACUCGCAAACAUACAAUCCUGGUUGGAGAAAUCACCCAAAUUUCAGUUGGAAGAGUGACAACAAUAAUGCACAAACUUUACAGCCACCGUUUCAAGCACACCAUAAUUUCCAAAAUUCUCAUGGAUAUGCACCUCCUUAUGCUCCACCUCCUAGAAGAAAUCUGAGGAACGUUGCAUGCAUUCAUUGAAAAGCAAGAGACAAUCAACACUCAACUUGCUCAAAGCAUGACUUUUAAAGAUGCUCUUGCAAAAUUAACAUCUGCUCUCAGUUUCAAGAGAAAGGUAAGUUUCCAUCUCAACCACAGCAAAAUCCAAAGGGGCAAUACAAUGCAAAUGCAAGUAGUUCUGGAAGCCAACACAUGGAUCAAGUCAAAUCAGUCAUCACUCUUCGCAGUGGUAAGGUUAUUGAAAAACCCACUCUUGAACCUUGUGAGAAAGAUGAUGAGUCAAUCUCUGAGGGUAAGGAAGGGGUUGAACCUGAACAUUGUGAAGAAAAGACUGAUUCUCCGCCAGCACUUCCAUUUCCUCAUGCCAUGACCAAACAAAGGAAAGUCAAUCACAAUUAUGAAAUCCUUGAAAUUUUCAAACAGGUAAGGAUCAAUAUACCUUUGUUGGAUGCUAUUAAACAUGUUCCUUCCUAUGCUAAAUUUUUGAAAGAUUUGUGCACUGUGAAGAGAAAACUGAAUGUGAAAAAGAAAGCCUUUUUAGCCGAACAAGUAAGUGCCAUUCUUCAUAACAAUAAUGCUUUGAAAUAUAAAGACCCUGGUUGUCCUACAAUUUCUUGCUUUAUUGGAGAACAUAAAAUUGAAAGAGCCUUACUUGAUCUUAGAGCUAGUGUGAAUUUACUUCCAUAUUCGGUUUUUCAAAGUCUCAAUCUAGGUGAGUUAAAACCAACUUCUGUAACUCUUUUACUUGCUGAUAGAUCUGUAAAAGUGCCUAGAGGAAUAGUUGAGGAUGUGUUAGUACAAGGUGAUAAAUUCAUUUACCCUGUAGAUUUUAUUGUCUUGGAUACACAACCUGUUGAAGCAUGUAAUUCAAUUCCUGUAUUUUAGGACGUCCAUUUCUUGCACUUCUAAUGCAUUGAUUAAUUGUAGGAAUGGACUGAUGAAGCUAUCAUUUGGAAACAUGACAUUGGAGAUGAAUAUUUUCAACAUUUACAAGCAACCUGGAGAUGAUAAUGAUUUACAGGAAGUGGACUUUAUUGAAAAAUUAGUUCAUGAUCAAUUUCAAACCACUUCUAGUGAAACUGAGAUUGAUGAACCUGAUGAGUUGCAAAUGGUUAUUUUCAGGAAGAAAAGGCAUGUAAUUGGAGACCACAAAUUGAAGAAUUGCCACCACGAUCAAUUGAGUCAUACCUUCAAGUGUUCAACCACCAAAACUGAUUUGAAGCCGUUACCAUUUCAAUCUCAAAUACUCAUUUUUGGGAGAAAAUGAAACUUUUCCGGUAAUAAUCUCUUCCAAACUUAAUGCACAUCAAGAAGGUAAGUUAUUACAGACUCUGAAAAUGCACAAAAAUGCAUUAGGAUGGACCAUAGCUGACAUAAAAGGAAUUAGUCCUUUGAUUUGCACACACAGGAUUUAUUUGGAGGAAAAUGCUAAACCUCUAGAGAAAUGCAACGAAGCUUAAUCCUAAUAUGAAAGAAGUAGUGAAAAAUGAAGUCAUUAAGCUUCUAGAUAAUGGAAUCAUUUAUCCUAUUUCUGACAGCAAAUGGGUAAGUCCUACCCAAGUUGUACCCAAAAAGUCUGGAGUCACUGUGAUAACAAAUGAGAAAAAUGAGUUAAUUCCAACUAGGACUAUUACUGGUUGGCGCAUGUGCAUUGACUAUAGGAAACUUAAUUCAAUGACUAGAAAAGAUCAUUUCCCUUUACCUUUCAUGGAUCAAAUCCUAGAAAGAGUUGCAGGUCAUGAAUUUUAUUGUUUCCUAGAUGGCUAUUCAGGUUACAAUCAAAUUGAAAUUGCAUUGGAAGAUCAAGAGAAGACUACUUUCACAUGUCCAUUUGGUACUUUUGCAUAUCGAAGAUGCCUUUUGGUUAUGUAAUGCACCAGCCACGUUUCAAAGAUGCAUGCUUAGCAUAUUCAGUGAUAUGGUUGAACGUUUUCUUGAGAUUUUUAUGGAUGAUUUUUCUGUUUUUGGUGAUUCAUUUGAUGAUUGUUUAACUAACUUGGAAAAGGUUUUGAACAGGUGUGAAGAGAAGAAUCUUGUACUGAAUUGGGAAAAAUGUCACUUUAUGGUAACAAACGGCAUUGUACUUGGUCACAUUGUUUCAUCGAAAGGAAUUGAGGUUGACAAAUCUAAAAUCGAGUUAAUUGCCAACUUACCAACACCAAAAUCUGUUAAAGAUGUUAGAUCAUUCUUAGGACAUGCUGGUUUUUACAGAAGGUUCAUCAAAGAUUUUAGUGUAAUAUCUAAACCAUUGUGUAACCUUCUAACAAAGGAAAAUGUUUUUGAAUGGACUGAACAAUGUGAAAAAGCCUUUGUUAAACUUAAAGCUUGCUUACUUCUGCUCCUGUCAUUCAACCUCCUGAUUGGUCACUACCUUUUGAAAUAAUGUGUGACGCUAGUGAUUAUGCCGUGGGUGCUGUCUUGGGACAAAGAAAAGAUAAGAAACCUUAUGUGAUUUACUAUGCAAGUAAAACUUUAAAUAGUGCUCAAAUGAAUUACACUACCACUGAAAAAGAAUUACUUGCAGUAGUAUUUGCAUGUGACAAGUUCAGAUCUUAUCUUGUUGGCUCACCUGUUGUUGUUUUUAGUGAUCAUGCAGCAUUGAAAUAUCUUCUCUCUAAGAAAGAUUCUAAGGCUAGAUUGGUGCGGUGGAUUUUGUUACUUCAAGAAUUUGAUAUCACAAUCAAAGACAAGAAAGGCACCGAAAAUGUUGUCGCGGAUCAUUUGUCAAGAUUGACAACCGAUUCGAGAUCUGACAUCACACCAAUCGAUGACUACUUUCCUGAUGAAUCUUUAUUUUCUGUCUCUACGAUGCCUUGGUUUGCUAAUAUUGUUAAUUUUCUUGUUUCAGGACAAUUGCCAGCUCAUUGGAGUACCCAAGACAAAAGAAAGUUCUUGAACGAAGUGAAGAACUUUUAUUGGGAUGACCCUUAUUUAUUCAAAUAUUGUCCUGAUCAAAUAUUUCGAAGAUGCAUUCCUGACAAUGAGGUAAGUAGUGUCAUUAAAUUUUGUCAUUCUGAGGCAUGUGGGGGUCAUUUCUCAUCAAGAAAGACAACUGCAAAAAUCUUACAAAGUGGAUUUUACUGGCCCACCAUGUUCAAAGACUCACAUGCAUUCUGUAAGACUUGUGAAAAUUGUCAAAAGUUGGGAUCUAUUUCGAAACGUCACAUGAUGCCUUUAAAUCCUAUUCUUGUCAUUGAGAUCUUUGACUGUUGGGGUAUAGAUUUCAUGGGUCCAUUUCCUCCAUCAUUUGGUUUCUUGUACAUAUUGGUCGUAGUAGAUUAUGUUUCAAAAUGGAUAGAGGCAAUUCCAAGUCGAACCAAUGAUCACAAAACAGUGAUAAAGUUUUUGAAAGAAAACAUUUUAAGUCGAUUUGGAAUCCCUCGAGCCAUGAUAAGUGAUGGUGGAACACAUUUUUGCAAGUCAUUUGAGUCUUUAAUGAAGAAAUAUGGAAUCACACACAAAGUUGCCACCCCUUAUCACCCUCAGACGAGUGGACAAGUAGAACUUGCUAAUAAGUAGAUUAAACAGAUCUUAGAGAAAACAGUGAACCCUAAUCGGAAAGACUGGUCUUUAAGACUUAAUGAUGCACUUUGGGCUUAUCGAACUGCGUAUAAAACAUCAUUUGGUAUGUCACCUUAUAGACUAGUAUAUGGAAAACCUUGUCACUUGCCUGUGGAAAUUGAACAUAAAGCUUAUUGGGCUAAUAAAGCUUCCAAUUCGAACAUUGAUGAUGCUAGUCAGCUACGAAAAUUGCAAAUAAAUGAGCUUGAGGAAAUAAGAAAUGAUGCAUAUGACAAUUCAAGAAUUAAUAAAGCAAGACUCAAAGAGUUUCAUGACAAGAAAAUACUGAGAAAAACAUUCAAUGUUGGUCAAAAAGUCUUGCUUUAUAAUUCUCGACUCCAUUUAUUUCUUGGAAAACUAAGAUCAAGAUGGAGCGGUCCUUUUAUUGUGAAACAUGUGUAUCCAUAUGGGGCCUGUGAUAUAGAAAAUCCAAAGAAUGGAAAUGUUUUCAAGGUAAAUGGGCAUCGGUUGAAAGUUUAUUUUGACAAUUUUUCAGUUGAAAAUGACUAUUGAAUUGAGUGAUCCUGUAUAUAAAGAUUGAUUCUUUUUCUCACAUUGUUUUGUGUUUUGUUUUGGUGUAUCUUUUUUUUUGCUAGUUUCUCUCACCCCGGUCAAAUGGCGGAUAACGGUACUCCAUGACUCUUAAGUCGGUUCUUUUAGUUUCCCAUGAUAACUUAUAUCUGUGUAUAUAAUUGUGCAAUUCUCUGCUCUUUCUUCUUUCUUUGAAUCUCUCAUCCAAUUCUCAUUUGAAAAUGGACACCACUCUUGAAAAAUUGAAAAAUUAUUUUCCCGCUCUGCCUCAAAAUGCGAUUACAAAAAUUUACCGUGCUAGAUGUGCGAGAUUGAGGUUGUUAAUGAAUCAUGGAAUUCUUGAAGAUAUUCAUUGGCUAAUUGAAGCAAAGGUUCGGUUAUCAGGUGAGUCCUCCAAUUCUUUCAUUUCACACAUGCCUGGAACAAGUAAAAGCACUUUUGCAAAGAAACGUCGUGCAAAACGACUACAACUCUGUCACAAAUGUGCCAGAUGGACUUGUAAUGCGACAUGUCGUUCUUUAGGAAUGGUAUCUGUAAACCGUGAAGAUAAAAUACAAUUCAUUAAGGAUGGCCUGAGUAAGGGGUCUUUAGAUAAUCUUCUAUUGACUCUUGAGACGCACCCUAGUGGAGAUGUGCAUCGUGCAAUUUAUGAUUUAUGGCCCCAAUUCCAUAAAGAACAUGCUCGACUUAGUCUUGGGAAUCUGACUAAAAAAGACCCUGUUUGCCAGUUUUUAAGAAAACUGGAUGGGAAGCCUAUCCCCGACCCAGAUAGGGCGUUUAAGCUGUUCUUGGACGUAAAACCAAGGGAAGAUGUGAGCCACAAUCACAACUACCUAUACAUACAUGAUUUGUCAAGCCGUUUUUGGACAUAAAACUAAGGGAAGAUGUGAGCCAUAAUCACAACUACCUGUACAUACACAUGCCUUUUUCAAAUAAAUAAAGAGAGAGAGAGAGAGAAAGAGAGUGAGACUACGGUUGGCCUACAUAUAGGUGGUAUGAUUGCAUUUUCAAUUUCUCAUCUAUAAAUUCUUCUCUUCCUUCCCUUCAUUUCUACUCAACCCAUACUUUCAUCAAAUAUAGAAGUGUGUAGAAAUGGCAGGUUCCUCAAGUCAUAACAUAAACAAUAUUUGUGUUUUCGGUGGAUCAAGUCUUGGGAAAGAAAAAAAGUUUUUAGAAUCAGCAAAUCAUCUUGGUCAGGUAUUAGCUGAGCGAAAGAUUCAUUUAGUGUAUGGAGGAGGCAGCCUUGGGUUAAUAGGGGGAGUGUCAAUAGCUGCAUUUUUAGGAGGUACUCAAGUUUUGGGGGUAGUCCCCAAAGCUUUAGCAUAAGGGGACAUCAUUGGAAAAACAAUUGGAGAGGAAUUACAAGUCCCCAUAAUUUCUGAUCGACUGAAUGCCAUGUUUAACCAUGCUGAUUCCUUCAUUGCCUUACCAGGUGGUCUGGGCACAUUGGAAGAGAUCUUUCAUAUUUCCUCUUGGGCCCAACUGCACAUUCACCAUAAACCCAUAGGUUUGUUAAAUGUUAAUGGUUUUUAUGAUAAGUUGUUGUCUUUUCUUGUUCAUGCUAUGGAACAGGAAUUUCUAACAUCUUCAGCACGACAAAUCAUAAUCUCUACUGCUACUGCUGAACAAUUGAUUGACCAACUACAAUCUUUCAUCCCUGUAAUUAAUCCCUCCAUGAGUCGCAUAAAAUUGGUCAACUAAGAGAAAGCCGUAAAAAGCUUAGAUGUGGAUUUGAGCUUCGUUUGUAAAAACUUUGUGUCUUUUGGUUUUAUUAUUGUGUUUUGUUGUUUCUUAUAUUUGUUUAAGUGUGUUUCAGGUUUGUCAGUGUUCGUUAUUUCAGGUGAUGUCUUCUAUACUCUAUCUUUCUACCUUAAGACAUUGAGGACAAUGUUUCAUUUUGGUUGGGGGGAAAGGGUAGUAGUUGAUAAUUAAAAAAAAAAAACUAAAACGGUGGAGCAUAAGGAGGUGCAUAUCCAUGAGAAUUUUGGAAAUUAUGGUGUGCUUGAAACGGUGGCUGUGAAGUUUGUGUAUUAUUGUUAUUACUCUUCCAACUGAAAUUUGGGUGAUUUCUCCAACCAGGGUUAUACAUUUGUGAGUAUAGGUUAUGGUUGGGCCUUUGGAAACUGUUUAAAGCAUGGGCUUGUUCAUGGAGGCAUUCCUUAAAAGAAGGCAAAGUUGGACAAUCAUUUGUUGAGUGUUCCUUGGUUUCACAGAUUUGACACACAAUGUCUUGAACAGAUUUUAAUUGACCACUCUUUUUGAAUUCAAGUGCUUCGACUUUUCUAUCUAAAGAUGCAAACUUGGCUUGGAGGUCAUGAUCUUCCCUAAGGUUGUGCAUACCUCCACUAGAUGUAUGAGGCUGAGUUUUACUUGGUGCCUCAUAAGUAUCUGUGGUAUCCCAAUUUUGAGCAUUUUCGGCUAACAAGUCUAGGUACUCCAUUGCUUUAUUAGGGUCUUUAUCUUUAAAAGUUCCAUUGCACAUCAAUUCAACCAUUUGCUUAUCUCUAGGUGUUAAACCUUCAUAAAAAUGUGAAACCAAUCUCCAUGUUUCAAAACCAUGAUGAGGGCAAGUAUUAAGCAAAUCUCGAUACCUAUCCCAACAUUGGUAAAAUGUUUCUCCUGGCUUUUAAGUUAAAGUGAUGAUUUGUCUUUUGAAAGAGUUUGUUCUGUGAGACGGGAAAAACUUCUUUAAAAAUUUUUGUUGCAUUUCAUCCCAAGCACGAAUAGAUCCUGGUCUCAAAUUUUGUAGCCAUGUUUUAGCUUUAUCUUUUAAUGAAAAAGGAAAAAGCUUUAAUCUGAUAGUGUUCAUGCUACAAUUUGAGUCAUUAUAGGUAUUACAGACCUCCUCAAAUUCCCUUAAAUGCAAGUAUGGAUUUUCUAGGUCUAAACCAUGAUAAGAAGGUAAAAGUUGAAUAAUGCCUGGCUUAAAAUUAAAAUGAGAUGCAUCAGGAGGGAAAACUAUGCAUGAUGGUGCACUUGUUCUUGUGGGAUUCAUGUGGUCUCUAAGUGUUCUCAUACGAUUAUUCUCAUUAUUCUCAUUAUGAAGUGAUUGAUUAUCUUCUUCGGCCAUAUUUUCUGAAAAUGAUAAGGAUACCCUAUAAAGUUUACCACUUAAUGUACGUGACCAAACUCUUAUGCACGUGUAAGAAGAGAAUAAAAGGAAGAAAAUAAAAGAGAAGAAAAAGAAACAAAAGUUAGAUAAAAUGAAAAAUGAAAAGAGAAAAUAAAAUAAAUAUUAUAAUUUAUACAAGAAUUUACCUCCCUGGCAACGAUGCCAAAAACUUGACACGACCAAAAGAUUGAUGUCUUCUCCCAAGUGCAGGAGUGUCGAAGUAAUAAAUAACUCGGCAAGACCGGGGUCGAACCACGAAGAGGUUAAUUGUAUAAAUUAUAAAUAACAAUACAACAACAACAACAACAAUAAUAACAACAACAAUAACAAUAAUAGUAAUAAUAAUAUUAAUAGUAGUAAUAAUAAUAAUAAUACUUAGUAGUAAUACUAAUAAUAAUUAUAAUAGUAAUAAUAAUAGUAGUAAUAUUAAUAAUAAUAAUAGUAAUAAUAAAGAGAGCUUUGAGAUGUAAAAUUGAUGUAAGGAUUAAACAAUGAUAAAAACAAAUGUCAAGGUUAGAGGAUCCACUAAUGGUACUUCAAACAAGUAUAGUAUAAACUCUUAUUACUCAAUUGGAAACCACACAUAAAGGAGGAUCCAAUCAAAUUAUAAAUUGUUAACAUGAUUACAUUAGUUAUCUUAUUCGAAUAAAGCUAAUACUUGUAAAUGUUGGCAGGCAUUCAUGAUUAUAACUUAUGUUAACAACAAAUCAAGUUUCUUUCAUAGCUCAGGUGUCGGUUAUACCAUACAGUAUGGGCUAUGAAAGUGCCAAGUAUUUGUUGUACCAAGUGUUAUACAACAUAAAUCUAGAUUAACCAUUUAAUAAGCAAAGUACUAAAAGUGAACAAGAUAACAAAUAUAAAACAUGUUAGUAUCCAACGUUAAGGUCCAUGUUAAGUUUAUACUAUACUUAUUUUUACACUAUUAGAGUAUCAUUUUCACCUUGACAUAAUUAACUUAGCUAAACAUAAUGAAAGAAAGAAACAUAAAUGAACAAGAUAGGAACAUAAAUGAGAAAGAAGUUAACUAAGUAAAGGAAAGGAAAUGAAGUGUAUAAACUUGAUAUUAAUGAAAGCAAAACAUAAGAAAUACAAAGAGAGAAAGCAAGAGCAUGAUCUUGAUCUGGAAACCAAGAUGCCUCAAUACAUGGUAAGUGCCUCCUUUUAUAGGCUAAAAUUUGGAACUAUUGAUUUGUUGACUAAUUGAUGAGUGGGUGGCCACAUCUUGACUUGGUGACAAUCCUUAUCUUCUUGUCUGAACAAGACAUCAUUGCUAACAUCAUAAUUUUCCCAGAAUCCUCAGGAAUGUUCUAGGAAAUUGUCUCAGCUUUCCAACAACAAAAAAAGAUGAGGUCAUUUGGACUUCUAGAACUCAAGAUAUGGGCUGAACACUAAAUAGUGUCUGAGCUGCAAGACAGCUUCAGACUUCUUCGUUGUUUCUAUAAUUUGGACUUGAAAAAUGCCUUCUUAGAUCUUGGUGUCCAAAUGAAAGUUGUAGGCCUAUGUUUUACCUUUCCAUCCAUAUAAAAUGGACCUAAAUCCGAGAUCUAGAGCUCCAGAUAUGAUCCAAUUACCGAGCAAUGUUCCGGUUUGGAUUGCACCAGCAUCUCUUUUCUAGGUUUGGCCAUCUCUUUGUCCUUUCACUUUCAAUGCUUAAACUAAUCAAUCAAUCCUUUUAUUUAUGUGAUAGUCCUGCAUUUAAGAUGAGCAUUUACUAUAAAUUAAGGUAUCUUAUAGUAUUAAACUUGUUAUUAUAAAACAUGCUUUAGUUGAGUUAUUGAUACUUCAAGUGCAAAAUGAUGAUAUAAAACCUUGAUAAACAUGCACUUUUAAGUACUAAUCAGUCACCUUAUAGACUAGUUUAUGGAAAACCUUGUCACUUGCCUGUGGAAAUUGAAUAUAAAGCUUAUUGGGCUAUUAAAGCUUUCAAUUCAAACCUUGAUGAUGCUAGUCAGCUGCGAAAAUUACAAAUAAAUGAGCUUGAGGAAAUAAGAAAUGAUGCAUAUGACAAUUCAAGAAUUCAUAAAGCAAGAAUCAAAGACUUUCAUGACAAGAAAAUACUGAGAAAAACAUUCAAUGUUGGUCAAAAAGUCUUGCUUUAUAAUUCUCGACUCCAUUUAUUUCCUGGAAAACUAAGAUCAAGAUGGAGCGGUCCUUUCAUUGUGAAACAUGUGUAUCCAUAUGGGGCCUGUGAUAUUGAGAAUCCAAAGAAUGCAAUGUUUUCAAGGUAAAUGGGCAUCGUUUGAAAGUUUAUUUUGACAAUUUUUCAGUUGAAAAUGACUCUAUUGAAUUGAGUGAUCCUGUAUAUAAAGAUUGAUUCUUUUUCUCACAUUGUUUUGUGUUUUGUUUUGGUGUAUCUAUUGUUUUGCUAGUCUCUCUCUCACCCCGGUCAAAUGGCGGAUAACGGUACUCCGUGACAUAAGUCGGUUCUUUCAGUUUCCCAAAUAACUGAUAUCUGUAUAUAUUUGUACAAUUCUGUGCUCUUUCUCCCUUCUUUGAAUCUCGUCUCCAAUUCUCUUUUGAAAAUGGACACCACUCUUGAAAAGUUGAAAAGGUAUUUUCCGCUCUGCCUCCAAAUGCGAUUACAAAAUUUACCGUGCUAGGUGUGCAAGAUUGAGGUUGUUAAUGAAUCAUGGAAUUCCUGAAGAUAUUCGCUGGCUAAUUGAAGCAAAGGUCGAUUAUCAGGUGAGUCCUCAAAUUCUUUCAUUUCACACAUGCCUGGAACAGGUACAAGCACUUUUGCAAAGAAACGUCGUGCAAAACGACUGAAAGUCUGUCACAGAUGUGCCAGAUGGACUUGUAAUGCGACAUGUCGUUCUUUAGGAAUGGUAUCUGUAAACCGUGAAGAUAAGAUACAAUUCAUUAAGGAUGGCCUGAGUAAGGGGUCUUUAGAUAAUCUUUUGUUGACCCUUGAGACGCAUCCUAGUGGAGAUGUGCAUCGUGUAAUUCAUGAUUUAUGGCCACAAUUCCAUAAAGAACAUGAUCGACUUAGUCUUGGGAAUCUGACUAAAAAAGACCCUGUUUGCCAGUUUUUAAGAAAACUGGAUGGGAAGCCUAUCCCCGACCCAUAGAGGGCGUUUAAGCCGUUCUUGGACGUAAAACCAAGGGAAGAUGUGAGCCACAAUCACAACUACCUGUACAUACAUGAUUUGUCAAAAUAAAUAAAUAAAGGAAGAGAGAGUGUGAGACAACAGCUGGCCUACAUAUAGGUGGUAUGAUUGCAUUUUCAAAUUCUCAUCUAUAAAUUCUUCUUUUCCUUCCCUUCAUUUCUACUCAACCCAUACAUUCAUCAAAUAUAGAAGUGUGUAGAAAUGGCAGGUUCCUCAAGUCAUCACAUAAGAAAUAUUUGUGUUUUCGGUGGAUCCAGUCCUGGGAAAGAAAAAGAGUUUUUAGAAUCAGCAAAUCAUCUUGGUCGGGUACUAGCUGAGAGAAAGAUUCAUUUAGUGUAUGGGGGAGGUAGCCUUGGGUUAAUGGGAGGUGUGUCAAUGGCUGCAUUUUGGGAGGCAGUCAAGUUUUGGGGGUUGUCCCCAAAGCUUUAGCAAAUGGGGACAUCAUUGGAAAAACAAUUGGAGAGGAACUACAGGUCCCACAAUGUCUGAUCGACUAAACGCCAUGUUUAACCAUGUUGAUGCUUCAUUGCCUUACCAGGUGGUCUGGGCACAUUGGAAGAGAUCUUUCAUAUUUCCUCUUGGGCCCAACUGCACAUUCACCAUAAACCUAUAGGUUUGUUAAAUGUCAAUGGUUUUUAUGAUAAGUUACUGUCUUUCCUUGAUCAAGCUGUGGAACAGGAAUUUCUAACAUCUUCGGCACGACAAAUCAUAAUCUCUGCUGCUACUGCUGAACAAUUGAUUGACCAACUACAAUCUUUCAUCCCUGUCAUUGAUCCCUGCAUGAGUCGCCUAAAUUGGUCAACUAAGGAAAGCCGUAAAAAGCUUAGAUUAGAUUUGAGCCUUCAUUUGAAACCUUGUGUCUUUUGGUUUUAUUAAUAACAUAUUAUUUUGUUUUGUUACUUAUAUUUGUUUAAGCGUGUUUCAGGUUUGUCAUUGUUCGCUGUUUCAGGUGAUGUCUUCUAUACUCUAUCUUUCUACCUUAGGACAUUGAGGACAAUCUCUCGUUUUGGUUGGGGGGGGAGGGUAGUAGUUAAAAAAACAAAAAACCUAACUUACUAACUGUUUUUGCUAUUAUUAAAACCAUUUGACAAAAUUGUUGUUAGGAUGGCAGAGUAUGGAGUCGGUUUUAUUAACUCUUGAGAUGCAUCUUAGUAAGUAUCCUUAUUAGGAUGGCAGAGUAAGGAGGAAAUUUUAUUGACUCUAGAGACGCAUCUUAGUAAGUAUCAUUACCAAGGUCUAUCAUAAUACUUCUUGAAAUAUUCAGGUUUACAAACUCUCACAUUGUUAUCACUUGAUUCUGCUCAUAUACUCAUUUAACAAGUAUUCUUAAACCUUCAUUUUCACACACACACUUUAACAUAUGAUUGUGGGUUGCACAUUGGAUUAUUACAUUAAUUAUGUUCUUUUGUUGAAGGUAACAACUAAGGGAAAUGGAUAGUAUAUAAAUUGCAAGAAAAAAAAAUAAUACAAAAAAAAUUGAUAAUAUUGAUGAUAAUAAAAACGUAGAUAAGUUUGGUUUCGUAGCCUCCUUAACCUAAGCAAUUAAGCCUGAAAGGGUGUUUUAACACCUAAUACCCUAAAGUCAACUGACUUGGGAGCUAUUGGCCCAAAGCUUGUUACAUGGGUUAUGGAGAAAGGCUUAAGGGAAUCAAACAUUUCACUAUCUACGUAUCAGUAUCUGCAACUCGAGUUGCUAAGCUCGUAGGGUUGUCUCAACACCUAAUGCCCUAAGACCAACUGGUCUGGGAGUCAUUAGCCUAAAACUCGUUACAUGGGUUAAAGAUACAUUGUGUUUUAAGUUGUAUGUGUAUUCAAAAAAAAAAAAAAAUAAUAAUAAUAAUAAUAAUCCUAACCCAAGGAAGUUAACCUUAAACAUUCGAACAUAAUAUUGUUUUCUUCCAACAAAAGCCCCAUCGUCUAUGUUUUCAUACAUUGAGCACAUAAAAAGAAGGUUUAUUAAUAUCUUGUUUAAGAAGUAUGAAGCAGAAAUAUAAAUUUAAUGAGAGUUUGUUUAUCUGGAUAGAUUAAUGGAAGUUGAAUGAUGAAUGCCUUGCUUUAUGGAACUUGCAAAUUGUUUUUUCUAUUUUAACGCUUUGAUUAUUAGGGACUAGUAAUAAGCUGGUUGGGGGGUGAUUAAUACUUAAAAGUGCAUGUUUAUUAAGGUUUUAUAUCAUCAUUUUGCACUUGAAGUAUCAAUAACUCCUUAACUAAAGCAUGUUUUAUAAUAACAAGUGUGAUACUAUAAAAUGCCUUAAUAUAUGGUAAAUAUUCAUCUUGAAUGCAGGCUUAUCACAUAAAUCAAAGGAUUGAUUGAUGAAUUCAACUACUGAAAUUUUGAAGAUAAAGAAGGGUGAAGCUUAGAAAAGAGAUGUUGGUGCAGUCCAAACUGGAACACUAUUUGGUAUUUGGGUCAUAUCUUGAGUUCUAGAUGUCCAAAUGAUCUCAAAGUUUUACACAGAUUUGGUGAGAUAUAAGCCUACAACUUUCAUGUGAACAGAAAAAUCUAAGAAGGCCUUUUUCAUGUCCAAAUUAUAGCAACAAUUGGAGAAGUCUGAAUCUAUCUUGCAGCCCAGACACUGUUCAGUGUUCAGCCCAUAUCUUGAGUUCUAAAAGUCCAAAUGACCUCAACUUUUUUUUCCUGGAAAGCUAAGAGAAUUUCCUAGAACUUUGAUGAUUUCAUAUGGUUCCAGUUCUGAUGUUAGAAAUGACAUUUUAUUCAGACAAGAAGAUAAGGAUUUUCACUAAGUCAAGAUGUGGCCACCCACUCAACAAUUGUUCAUCAAAUCAAUAGUUCCAAAUUUUGGUCUAUAAAAGGAGGCAUUUGCCAUGCAUUUAGGCAUCUUGGUUUCCAGAUCAAGAUCAUGCUCUUGCUUUCUCUCUUUGUAUUGCUUAUGUUUUGCUUUCAUUAAUAUCAAGUUUAUGCACUUCAUUUCCUUUCCUUUACUUAGUUAACUUCUUUCUCAUUUAUGUUCUUAUCUUGUUCAUUUAUGUUUCUUUCUUUCAUUAUGUUUACCUAAGUUAAUUAUGUCAAGGUGAAAAGGGUACACUAAUGGUGUAAGAAUAAGUAUAAUAUAAACUUAACAUGGACCUUAAUGUUGGAUACUAACAUGUUUUAUAUUUGUUAUCUUGUUCACUUUUAAUACUUUGCUUGUUAAAUGGUUAAUCUAUAUUUAUGUUGUAUAACACUUGGUACAACAAAUACUUGGCACUUUCAUAGCCCAUACUAUAUGGUAUAAUCGACACCUGAGCUAUGAAAGGAACUUGAUUUGUUGUUAACAUAAGUUAUAAUCAUGAAUGCCUGACAAAAUUUACAAGUAUUAGCAUUAUUCAAAUAAGAUAACUAAUGUAAUCAUGUUAACAAUUUACAAUUCGAUUGGAACCUCCUUUGUGUGUGGUUUCCAGUUGAGUAAUAAAAAGAGUUUAUAUUAUACUUGUUUGAAGUACCAUUAGUGGAUCCUCUAACCUUGACAAUUAUUUUAUGCUUGUUUAAUCCUUACAUCAAUAUCACAUCCCAAAGCUCUCUUUAUCUUAUUAUUAUUGUUAUUGGUGUUGUUGUUGUUGUUGUUAUUGUUGUUCAUAAUUUAUAUAGUUAACCUCCUUGUGGUUUGACCCCGGUCUUGCCGGGUUAUUUAUUACUUCGACACUCUUGCACUUGGGAGAAGACAUCAAUCUUUUGGUCAUGUCAGUGGUGAUGAAACACCGAUCUAACAAUGUUGAAAAUAAUGCAUUAUGAUCAAUAUGCAUGUAUACUUACCUGAGAAAAAUAGGUCCCCAUUUCUUCAUGAUGUCUUUCUUUUCUCAAAAGUUGGAGUGUUAGCAAUGAACUUCGAUGGCUUUUUGGCUCUUGCUUACUCGAGUCAUCUAUUGUGAUCUUGACCUCUAGGAAGGACUUGUGAUCAUCAUACUUCUUUGUCCUCCACCCUUUAUCUCAAAGGUUGCCGAUUUUGCCCAGCAGUUUCUUAGAAAGGGAAUCGUGGAGCCAGCCUUACCAGAUAUAUAUAUUUUUUUUGCUCCCCAACUUGAUCAUGCCCCCAAGUGUUCAAUUCAGGUUUGGGGAUGAGGCUAUGUGAAGGAAGGUUUGACAAGGAGUUUUUUUCAUGCAAAAUUUUUGGAAUUCCAAAGCUAUUCCAGACACAGAAAUCAGUUUGACAUCGAUUCAAAGCAAACUCAUUAUGAAGAAAUUCAAGUGAUUCCUAUAGAGAGGUUAUUCGAAGUGAUGAAAACUUUUUGUUUUGCUUUUGGUGAAAAAUAUGAAGUGACAUUUGGCUGGUCGAAAUGGUUCAAUAUGAGACUUUCAAAGAACCAGUCUUGAAAGCAUUCAUUUUAUUUGCAUGAAUAAUGAUUUGGUUCACAUGAGAAAGCAUUGCCUACUGAUCCAGAUUGCUUGCCUUUGAUCAGAAAGGACUUAAUUAGGCACGUAAUGUAGGCUGGGGCUCUUGGUUAUGAAGAAAAUGAUAUUUGUAGGCUCAAAAGGUGUUUAAGGGAUUUCAAGACUAAGGAUCACCUGUGCUUGUUUCCUGACCUUUUAUCAUUUGAAUGUCUUUCCAAAACUAUCUAUUGUGCCCCCUAGUGUUGGGCUUGGACUUUUUCUCUUUGUUUUUGUUCUCUUCAUUUGGUUUUGAGCAUCAUCGUAUUGGUUUCUUUUUUUUUCUGCUCAAAAUCAUUGGAUCCUUUGGAUUUUUCUUCAUGCCCCCAAGCUUUGUUUGGGCACCUUUGAUGAUUAAGAAUUUUUGUUGAUGCCCCCUAGUGUUGCUCGGGCACUUUCAAUCAUUAAGGUUUUUUUUUUCUAUAUCAUCGCACUUGCCCCCAAUGUGGGGUGUAAUCCUAGCCAAGGUUAUUCAUCUCAAGAAAAGUAUUAGGCUCAAAAGGGGACUGCAAAUGAUAUAUUUUAGCCUCGUGAACGGAUUAUCAAAAAUGGCCUUUCCUCGUCUCAAACUUAUGCACUUAGGAUCGGUAAGCUUUGCUUUCAUGCGAGUAUGCAACGUAAUUUCUCAUUAUUCAUUCAAAUAAAACUCAACUUUUGGAGUCACAUCAUGAUGUGUGUUUGGUUUUUUUUUUUGUGUUUUGUGUUUUUUUUUUGUUUUGUUUUCUAGGUGUAUGGUUACCUUUCUAAGGAAUCACCUGAAUUUCUGGAACUCAUUUGUUUUUUGGACAAACAUCAAUAUGAUUUCUAUUUUUGUACUAAACUUUGAAUUCCUAAAAAUCCUGAUGUGCGAUCAUGCAUAAUUUUGGAUGAAAGGGGAAACAUACCCAAGGAUUCUUGGUGUAAUGGCUUCAUACUUAACAGUUACGCUCAAUAUGUUCUUUUUAUGAAACAACAAAAAAAUGAAGGUAUGUUAUGAAUACAGGAAAACACAUUAUCUUAUUAACAAGAAAGGCUCAUUUGACAGGGAAAGUUUUUUUUUUUUUAUGAAAUUUUGAGCCAAAUUACCAACUAGAACAGGUUGAAACAAAAAUCAAGAAGUUUUCUAGGCAUGAUCAAACUAAGGUUUUUCUUUUUUCAGAACAACAACAGGCUCCAUUCUGUACUGGCGGUGCAAUUCCCUUUUAGUCCGCCUUCCCACAAAAGAUUUUGUAGAAAUACAGGAUUGUGUUGAGGCUCUUGACUACGUUUGCCCUCAAUUUCUUCGAGCUGAGUCGUUGUUAGGUUUUGAACAAAGAUGAUAGGUCGAUUGAAAGGAAACUUUCCUAGAAUUAUGUUUCAGUAUUUGCUCGAGUAAGCUAGAGGCAAGUCAAACUUGUCUUCAGAAACUCCAACUCUUCUUAAAAAGGGACCUUUCAGCGAACACACUCUUCAUCUUUCGUGCUUUUUGCUCAAAGUCGGGUGUUGUAGACUCGUAGGGGACCUACUUUUCAUCCCGGUGCAUGCAUGGCAAAUGAAUGAACAUGUGAUCUAUAUGAUGAACUCGCCCUUCAAGGGGCGACAAUAUGGUCAUAACUCUUGUAUGAUGGAACAAGAAUUGUGAUUUUUGCCCAAACUCUACAAUGAAAAUUUUCGAAGUGACGGCCAAUGUGUCACCCACAAGUCUUGAGUUCAAGAUGCUUCAAGAAGGGUUUGCUCUAAUGCAAAUAACGAUAACACAUACAACCUAAGGACAAGUUCUAUUUAUUAUGUGAACAUGGGUAGGUUUUCUACCUGGUCUCAAGAGGGUCUCAUAUAUGCCCAGUGAUGUUCUUCAUAAAGACAGUAUGGGGGCGUUGCAAGGAAUAGUUAAGGCACGUAUACCCACCAUUACCAAGCAGGCACUCAGAUAUGAGUUGGGUGUUUCACGCAUCUGAACCCCGACCAAUAGUCUUAGGGCAGAUUGCUAGUUCCCCACCUAUCCUAAAAGCUUGUGUGUGCUUUCAAAAUUAAAACAAUGUGAUGCAUGAGACAAUUCUAUAAAAUGCAUGGAAAAAAAAUAUUAACAAAAAGAUAAAAAUGCAAAAACUUAAACACAUCAAAUACACAAAGCUUAGUCCAAUAAUGUCAGAAACAGUACCUUCCCUAGUGGAGUCGCCAUUCUGUCGCACGUCAGAAAAUCUGUGCGGCAUCGGCUUGGCCAUUUUUUCAUUGUGCAUUGUGCAUUGCUUUGCUUUGAUUCGUUGGAGUCGCCACCUAGUAAUUUAUUAAAGACUACUAGGAAACCGAAUGUACUGGUCUUGUCAGAGAUUCGCGGGUAAGGGACUAGUUGUGGUUAGGGAAGGUAUUAGCACCCCUAACGCACCCUACCUGAGGUAAGUUGCUUCGUGGCUUUGACAUGUUAAAGAAGUUUUAAAAUUUUGUUUUUUCAUCGGAUAUUAGAAAUACAACUUACGUAUAAGUUAAUAAUUCUGGACCGUGAGUCAAUCAAAAUAUUAAAUUCUUCUUUAAUCUUUGCAAUUUUAUCAUAAAUAAUAAAAAUAAUAAAAACAUCCAUAAAACAAAUACCAACACACACAUACACUUUCACUAUAUUUAUUUCUGUUCUUUUCUUUUUUUGGUUACAUCCACAUUUACAACAUAUAAAUAAAAAUUAAUACUAAACAAAAACAUUACAUCAACCAAUUUAAAAUUACAAAACAUCCCCUAAAACAUCCUAGGGAUUCUGGAACAAUGCACGGGAAUAGUGGUGCGCGUCUUCCCACGCGCCCCGGCCACUAGCGGCGUGUGGGUUCACGCGCCGCCGCGAACAAGGCCGGAAAACGGGUGGAUCUGGCUCAGCUUCCUUUCCUUUUCCCUUCUCUGCUGGUGGUGACACCCACCGUCACCUGCAAACGAAGAAAAGAACACAGGCAGUCGAUUUUAUAUUUUUUGUUUUUGUUUUGCAGAUCUGCUUCUCUGGUUUGGUUUUUUUUCUGCAGCCAGUGUCUUUUCGUAUCCCCUUGUUCUCCGUUUCAAAUGGCCGGCAGUGUCACCAUAGGGCUUGUCGCACCUCAAAAAAAAUCCCGCGCGGCGUUCGAUGGCGAUUUUUUCGUUUGUUGUUGCUUGAUUUGGUUCUUUGGAGUCGCCACCUAGUAUUUUGGUCACUAGGAACCCUAACUGGUCUUUCAGAGAUUCUAAGGCAAGGGACUGGUUGCGUAAAGGGAAGGUAUUAGCACCCCUAGUACGCCCUACCAAAGGUAAGCUGUUUGGUGUUUGGUUUUCUCUAUAAUUGCUAUGGUGUUGGUGUUUUCUAAUCCCAUCAAUUUUCCCAAGUUUGAUUCAAAUAAAAUUUGUUUAGAUAGAAAUCCAAGGAGAUUUCAUGUGUUUUGAAAGCUCAUUUUUCCCUUAGUAUUUCAAGAGUUUGCAACUCGUAAAUCGCAAGGAGGGACAAAAAAUUUAGAAAUCUAAGGAAAUUCAAAGCGCUUUAAAAGCCUCAUUUUGCCUUAGUAUUUCAUACUUUCACGGCUUGUAAACCGUGGAGUCAAAAAUUUGAAAUUUUGAAAUGUCCUCGAUUAUAAUCAAGGCUUCUUUCAAGGAUGUGUGCGGAUUUAUUACUCCCAAUAAUAUUUUGGAUAUUCGUCCUUUACGGAUUUCUUUAUCCAAACAUUAGCGGUGAAUAAUAGAUGAAUUCCCCCUACCCAAAAUAAGAUUUUUAUAGUUUUUAGAAUACUGGCCAAUACCCUUUGGAGUUUUACAAACAUGUUGUAAAAUCCAGAAAUGCAAGAAAAUAAUUUGUGUUUAAGAAAUCUAUGCGAAAACACAUUUUCAAAACUUCCAAUAUUUUUUUUUAUAUAAAAAGAACAUUCAAAACAUGUUAGAGUAUUGGACGUAUGCAUGAAAACAAAAACAUUUUUUUUAAUAAAUAUUUUUUUGUUGACGAAAACCGGGUAUUUUAAUACCGGAUUUGUAUCUUUGUAGUAUAAAAAUACAAACCGAUAUUAAUCAAAAUACGGUAAUAAAAUUGCAGAAAAAUCACAAAUUCUUUAAAAUAAUUUUUUAAGAAUUUUUAUUUUUUUAAUAAACAAUUUUUAGGUUUGGCCUCGUUUGGCCCAUAUGGCUGGGCUAGACCUAGCAGGCCUAACCGGGUCACUGGCCUGAGCCAGUGUCCUGGGUGGAAGCUCACGUGUGCAUGCUUAGUACCAUAUACAAAUGGUACUGUUUAAGUGAAUUAUAAUUCGCUAUGAACAGUCAAAAUGCAAAAGGAAACCACGCAUAGUAACAUGCAAAAGAAAACCACGCAUAGUAAUAUAUGGUACUGUUCAAGUGAAUUAUAAUUCACUUGAACAGUAACAUUUGCACUUCACUGUUCAACUGAAUUAUAAUUCACUUGCACAGUGAAAAUGCUAAAGGAAAUCACAUGCACAGAGAUGCAAAACGCUUACCUGGACGUGGAACCGAAAGGAACGAAGACGAUGUCGAACACUCACAGUGAUGCUGGUGGCGGUGGAGAGGAAGCCGACGAGGGCUCACGGUGGUGCUGACUGUGGUAGUGGCUGGUUUGGCAGUGGCGUUGCUGUGGCUCCUCUUCCUCUUCCUUACUGUUUUGGCGCUGCUUCUUCUCUUUAUUUCCUUUGCUCCCUCUGUCAACAAGGUUCUUCUCUUUCUUCAACAGCUUCGCGGAGAUGCUGGUGGUGGCAGCCUGGGAAGUGGCCUGGAUGGUGGCCAGCCCUUCUUCCUCUUCUUCUGUGCGUUUUUCUCUUCAGCUCUGUUCUCCUCUGUUUUCGUUUCUUCCUUCCGCUUUUCACAGGGCUGUUGUUGACUGAGAUGGCAAUGGCAGCUGGUGGUUGGCCUUCCUCUUCUCUGCUGCUUCUGCGUUAUUUCUUCUGUUUGUCUAGUCACCUUGCUUCUCUGCUUCUUCUUCCAAGCAGCGGUUCUAAGAGCAAGGUGGGCGGUGGCAGUAUUAUUUCAAAUGGUGGGAAUAGAGAGAAAGAGAGAGGUUAUAGUUCUUCUCUUCCCCUCUGUUUUCCUCCUCUCUUUUGUUCCCGGUGUUCUCCCUCUCUCGUCUCUCGUUCCAAAAAAGCCCCCCCUCCUGUUGCUGGUGUCAAGAGCAGUAUUUAUAGGCUAGAAGGGAGCGGGCUGUUGAUGCGCGUGGGGAGCAGGGGAGCGGCCAGUGUCUUCUGUCGGUGGCCCAACGGCGUGGGGCCUCGGUUGGUUGGUGGGCUAGAGGGACCGGCAAAAAUUAAAAAAAAACUUCUUUUUCCUUCUUCCCCGCUGCAUGUUCGGGGGGAAGAAGAAAGGGGAAUAGUGCCGUUCAAAACGGCAUCGUUCGGCCCUUCUCUCUCUUUGAGUUUUUUUUUAAAUGUAUGAAACGGCGCCGUUUUGGAGAAAACGCGUCGUUUCAUUUAAAUGUGGCACCAGAACGCGCCAAAUUUCAAAUCAGCCCUUAAUCAUCUUUUUUCCUUUCAAUUGCAUCCCUGCCAAUUUCUGUCCCCGUCCCUAUAGUUGGCCACGUUUUCCACCUUGGUCCUUGGCCUCUAAUUUAUGCAAUUUAGCCCUCAAUUGAUCAAAAAACUUCCAAUUUCUUCAAUUAGGCCCCUGGAUCAAUUCAAUACAGCCCCCCUAUUUACGCGCCUUUUCCAAAUUGGUCCCUGGUUUCGGAUUUUCUCAAUUAAGCCCCUAAUUGGCCAUUAAACUUCAAUAUUUAUGCAAUUAAGCCCCUGAUUUGACCCAAUAAAAUCCUAAAAAAUAUAUUUUGGCCCUAGAACUUAAAUUUCUUCUAAUUAAAGCCCAAAUUGACUUAAAAAUCAAUUUUCCUCGAAAUCAAAUCCUCUAUAAAUCCAAUUAAAAAUCCAAUUAAGUCUAUAAACAUCCAAAUUUGGGCUUUUCUCCUCAAAAUUUAAAUUUUCCUUCUAAAUAGGGCCCUCAUCCUUCAAGAAUAUACUGUCAAAAAUCCAAUCUUUGUAUUUUUAUACUCCUUGACCAAUUUUCUGACCAUCUUCUGAGUGCUUCUGCCUUCCGUUAUUUUUCUAACCUCCUUUGGCUAUUUAUUUUAUUUAUUUUUGUGGGGACUCGAAAAUGGGUUACAACAGGGCUGCUGGCCUUUGGGUUUUGUCUGAUCUGCAACUAUCGGUGGCCGGUGAAUCUGUGGACGGUGCUGCUAUGGCUGACAGAAGAAAGCGGACCAAUUUGGGAUCUGUGGGUGCCGCUGUCGGGCUGCUAUCGGGCGGUUGAAGGGGAGAAGGCCGGGUCGGCUGAGAGAGAUACGAACUCAUGGGGGAGAUGGAGGCAGGUUCAGGAGCUGCUAUGGGUGAAGAAGAGUUAGUGUGGGUUUGUGAGGGAGAGGGGGCUGUGAGCCGGGAAGAUUUGGUGCGGUGAGGGGCUGAGAAUUUGUGUAUCUGGUAAGGAGGACCGACUGAGAGGAGAAUGAGGUGACUGGUCUCUGGUAAUUUGUGUUCUUUUUUUGUAUUUUCCUGAUGUUUCAAAAUUGCCUCCAUUUUGUGUGAGUUGAAAACCAGUAUUUAUAGGCAAAAAUAUUGCUAGGUUUUCAAACUUGGUCCCUCAACUUCUUUCUUUUUGUAAAUUUGAUUUUUCUUGUAUUUUUUGAAAACGAGCAAUAUCAACGUCAACUCGAUGAGGAAAAUCAAUGAUUUAAAACAUAACACGUGAAAAGUCGAACGCGUUCGAACGACCCUUAAAAAUUUUAAUUCUUUUUAGACAACGCUAAAAAUGCUAAAAAUGACACAAAUAUAUUAAAAAGGUAUUUUUUUGGAUUUUCGAUGUUUUUCUUUAUUUUUGGAUUUUUCUGAAAAUUUAUCAAAACAUAGGUCAAAAAUUGGGUAGCAACAAGCAUCAUGCAAGUAAUUUCAAUAUUGAUUAAUAAGAAUAUCCUUGUUGAUUUAAAGGACUAUUUUCAUCAUUCAUAUCGAAAAUAAUUAUGUUUUGCACAUAAUAUUUAACAAAAAUGAUUGAAGGAAUGAUAUAUUAUUGAAUAUGAGCAAAUUUAAGGUUACAAUCUAUUAGUAUUCUUACAACGGAAGGAUUACCACUCAAACUUUACAAAGGGACGAACGACAUCCUUUGCGUUAGGAUGCUCCCACUCCACUACUGUCUCCCACAAUUCUUUUGGAUACACUAUGAUUUCUUUAAGAGAAGGGGAAGGAGAUGGCUGGCCAUUUUCAAGCAACGGAAGACAAAUUGGCAUCCUCUUCGGCUUCUAACAACGGAUUACAGUAAUUUCUUUAAGAGAAUUGCAAAUCAGUUUUGCACUGCAAAUGUGUAACAACCCUAAUUUUUUUAUUAGUUUAUUCGUUAAUCUCCCCCCUAUAAAGGGUAGAUGAAGCAAACUUUUUAUUUUUUUUUUACUCGCCGAAAUGUCUAACGAAAUUUCAGAAGGGUCCCCUCUAUACCGGGAGAUCCCAAGUUAUCGACAAUGUACCUGCACACAUUUUGAAUCACAUCACAUCCAUGUUUAGUACAAUCAACUGCAUAACUCAUUCUAGAUUAUGCUCAGGACCAUAUUCGUUCCCAAACUCCAUCUUACAUCACACAUAAGUUAAUAAUUAAAAGAGCCAAUUUCAGCAUGAAAUUUCAUAUAUAUAUAUAUAUAUAUAUAUAUAUAUAUAUAUAUAUAUAUAUAUACACAACACAGUUUAAUAUUCUAACAUAGUCUAGUACAUUCUAAUAUCCCAAGCAUAGGUUGAUACAUUUAAUAUUUCAGAAACAAAAUAUUACGAAUAGAAUAUUCCAUAUAGGUUACAUGUUUACUACAUGACAAAAUUAUACCACAAAUCCCUAAGUUCCUAACUUAUACAAAAAAGGAUCAAAGAACUUUAAAUCUAUUCCUGACGUGAAUGGGAGGGACCUGCAAAAAUAUAAAUUUUUCAUAUAAUUAAAAACAAAUGAUUAAAAUACAAGCAAUUUACAGAAUAAAAUUAAACAGCAUAUAUAUCUACUUAAAUCAUAUGAGAUUCUAAAUACAACCACAAACCUCUUUUAAUGGUUAUAUAAGAAUUCUUUAUUCUUCUUUCUUUCUUUUUUUUCUGUUGACUACUUCUCCCCCCCCCCUCCUCAUCAGAAAGACUAUUGCCGACUCCAAUGACCUCCAUUAGUGUCUUUAGUUGCCCGUCCAGGAACAACUAAUUAGUUUCAUGAAAAUAUGAGAUUCUAAACGUUUGUGUCAUUAACUAUUUUUAAAACUAAAAUAGUUAAUCAUUGUUUCAUAUUACCUUGGGUGAUUCUCAGGUAUGCCGAUGUCAAGAUUCUUGACAUCAUUAGCUUUCACCUCAGAAAGCUAAUCAAGUAUAUAAAUUUUGCCGAUAUCGACGUCACCCGCCGAUAUCAUUAACUAUUCUGAAACCGAAUAGUUAAUCAAGUUUGUAAAUUUUGCCGAUAUCGACAUCACGUGCCGAUAUCAUUAACUAUUCUGAAACUGAAUAGUUAAUCAAGUUUAUAAAUUUUGCCGAUAUCGACGUCACCCACCGAUAUCAUUAACUAUUCUGAAACCGAAUAGUUAAUCAAGUUUAUAUUUCUCCUCUCAUGUACCAGUAAUGCCGAUGUUAUCCAGCUUGGUUAACAUCAUUAGCCUCCCAUAUCAAGGACAAACAAAUCAAAUUCGAGAAACAAUCUUUACCAAAAUUCGUUGUUACGAUCUAUUUCCUCCAAAAGAACCCAUAAAUUAAAUCUAGUCCUCCGUUUCAUUUUAUUUCAUUUUUUUUCCUCGUCAAUAAGCAUCAAAUUUUUAUAGUUCAAAAGUUAGUUAAAAUGAUUAUUAACUAGAGGAGAUAUAGAUACCAAGUACCUACUUGUUGUGGACGCUCGACUUGCGUUCCCUUGUGGUUGAUGUACUCCUCCUGCGGUUCCUCCUGAAACCAAAAACACCCAUCAUUAUUCCAUAUUAGUCCACAUAUCACACGCAAUAGCAACAUUGGAAAUAAUAUUGAUUUCUCUUUUACCAAAUCUUUUCUUUCUCACUUACAUUUCCUCAUUAUUAUCCUUUAACUUUUCAGCUCAUUAGUAGUCCAAGUGGAUAUCAUAAAUUCAAUUUUGAUCACAGUUUAUUCUUUUUGAAGAUCAAGACACACUUUAUGAAGGGCAAGAAAACAAAUUCUACCCUUAAUAUGGCUAAAUUUUGCCAUUUCAUCAACUUGGCCGAAUCUGCCAAUAGGGGUGGCAGCUUGACCUCUCCUCAAUUUUUUAUUUGUAUCUGGAGUUCUAGAACUCCAAAUUAGGCGGGGUCAGAUUCGUUGGAAAGCUAACAUACAACUUCUAUGAGGGGACCCUCCCUGAAUUCUGUAGUUUUCAGGUGCAAAAUCCCCCCAGGAAACAGGGCAACGAACCUGCCCUGUUUUGUUAAUGGAGAAAGUAUCUCCAAUUCAUCUUAAAUCCCUGCUUCCUCAUCAGUCACAGCCAUGCCUUCCUUUUAUUCAUGGCAUUCCCGUCUCAUUUUAUGUCCUCUUAAGGUCACUUGUACCAAAUUAAUUAAUUAAGCACAUCAUAAGUUCUCAUUCCCUCUCUACAGUAUCCAGCAGAGAACGUGGCCAAGGGAACCAAGAGUUCCCUUCCUCUCUUUUAUGCACUCAUUUCUUCUUUUUCUUUAAGGCACUUAGAUUAUUCUAAUCCAUUUAACCUCACUCAUUUCUACAUUUUCCCAAUAUUUUAUGUUAAAGAACCCUAAUUCCCAAUUCAAGAAAGGCAUAAACUUCUAAUCAAAUUGAAGUUGAUUUCAUAGAAAUUGGAAUUGCAACUCCUUACUUGGAUGGAAAUCUAAACUUUACUUCACAAAUUUUAGAAGAAUCUUAGCCUUCUUCUCCUUGUAUGUAGUCAACCACUCUUCCCCCUCUUUUCUUCACCAAUUCUUCACUUUUCUUCUUGUUAAUUCUUCCACCCGAUUGUGUUCCUCCACUUAAUAAUUCCAAGGCUUAUUUGGGUUUACUAAUUUUAGGUGUUUACUCCAAGUUUUGAUGAAAGAAAAAUCUGAAAUUCUCCCCUCCUCCUUAUUCUUAUUAUCAUCCGGCCAUGGAUGAGAGAAGGGAUGGGUAUUUAUAGUCCCAUCUCUUCUUAAUUCCAUUUUGGCCCCAUCUUUCACCCCUUUUUUUAUUUCUUUAUUUUGUAUUUUUUUUUUUUUGCUUUAUUUUAUAUUAUAACAUUUUGAAUUAUUAUAAACCUCUCCCUCUUUAUAUACUUUAUUCUCGGGCUUCAUAAAAUGCUUUUCAAUUCUGGUAAACCAAACUAUUCCAAAGUUCUUAACUUUGGGAGAAUGAAUUCCGUGAUGGAAUUGGAGAUGCUGCUUUCUACAUCUGUGUUCCUAUUAUCUCCUCCAUUUUCUCACAAUCACUAACAAUAAUCACUUCCAGGUUUAUGAAGUUUGGCAGCAACACAAGUGGGAACAACUUCUUCAUACUGUUACAUCCACCACAAUAAAGCUUUUUAAGACCAGAAAACAUACCAUUAUAUGAUGGCAAUGGUGGUGGAGCAGAGCAGAACCAAGAAGAUGAAACCCUGCUCUCCAUGCUAUUGCAAUCCCAAAUGUUGAUUUCCUCCAGUUCAGUUGCAUUCUCUAAUGACAAAACAUCGCAUAAACUUCUUGCAUCGAUGCAUCCACAAACCAGUCCUUGAAUGCCAUUUAAGAACUUGACCUGAAAAUCUCUAUCUUUGUUGAUAAUCAAACUACCCAACCCAACUGUUUUACUUGGAAAAUCAUUAAAGUCUCCCCAAAAAUCUUUAUCCACCAUUCCUACAAAAAAUUUGUAUGCGCUUAAUGAUUGGAUCCCAUCCCGAGAUCUGAGAUACUCCAUGAAGUCAAAGAGACGUUUGAAAUGGCAUUCCAAAGUUUCCAAAUUUCUCAAGGAUCCUACUUCCUUGAGAAAUAGAGUGGAUAGAUUUGGACACAUUGGUGAAUGGCUGGAAGAAAUUUCUACGAUCUCGUUUUGCAUUAGUGAAACUCUCGUCAGAUUCUCAGUCCACUCCUCUGCAUCUGGCAACUUUUUUAAUUGUGCACCAGCUUUAACCAUGCCUGUAGAGUUCUCUAGCAGUAUUUGGAUGACCAUGUCCCUAAUCAAGUCAUGCAUCUUGACACAUCUACUAUCAUCUUCCAUGGAGGUAGCACCUUCCAAUAAGCAGACAUUUUCAAGCCUAUUAAGCAUCGUGUGGCCCUCACCAAAUGUAUCUCCCCUGCUCCUCUUUCCUUUAAUUAUUCCCUCAUCGAUCAAAUAACCUAUCAACUCCUCCCUUUCAAUCAUAUCAUCUUCAAGAAAUAAUGCACAGUACAAGAGACAUUGUUGAAGUGCUAAAUCACCUAACCGAUCAUAACUAAACCUCAAUAACUUGAAUACUUCUGUGUCCCUAAAUUCUAUUUCUUUCAAUUUAUUCAAUGUAUUCCUCCACUGAUGGAGGUCAUCCACUCCCCUCAAGCUUCUUGCCACUGUAAUAAUUCCCAAUAGCAAACCAGCACAUUCCCUAGCAAUAGCUUUAGCAAUUCCUUCCACUUCUGAAACUGUCAUGUCAUGUCCAAGAUUCUCCUUCAACAAAGUCCAAGCUUCUCCCUCAAAAAGUCGCUUCACUUGGAUUUUGUGAUUGCAAGCAAUUCCAUGACAAACUGUUUCUGAUCGAGUUGUCAAAAUCAGCUUGCAUCCUUUCAAUGAGACAGGAAUUCCCACUUCGUGUAGCUCAAAAUUAUUCCACAAAUCAUCUAAAAUGAGAAUCCAUUUUUGUUUCUUCCUUAGUUCUUCUGACAAUUUGGCAGGUCUGAGCUGAACAUCAUCUUCGCUUGAAAGGUCUCGAUGAAGAUGUUUAGCAAUAAGAUUCUGCAAUCUAUUAAUGCUGAAAUCUUGAGACAGAGUCACCCACCAAACAUGAUCACAAAUAUCUGGUCUUUGUAGAAGCUCAUUAUGGAUAUGUUGCAGUAUUGUUGUUUUACAAACUCCCCCCAUCCCAUAAAUGCCAAUGGUUGGGACUUCAUCAUCCAUUAACAAAGAACAUAUCACCUUCUUAUUCUCUUCAAAUGCUUGACCCACAUUUAUAGAGCUAGUAGGUAAUGGAACUCCUCUAGUCUUGUUGUUUUUCAGACUUUCAGAAGAUCUAGUAGGUAAUUGAUCUUCCAUUUCUGCCCUUCCCCUUGCAGUAACUCCUACUAUUGUUGUAAUUCCACAGUCAUUAACAUUGACUGCAGUUGCUGUGAUUUUUUGUCUUUUGUUGCCACCACACAGAGCUAGAAAGGCUGCUUCUUGAACUUCUUUAGCCACCCCACGACAAAUGGCAACACCACGCCUUUCUUCUCCUGCUAAAUGCCAUUUGAUCCUUGAAAUGGAGGUUUUAUUGGCAAAUGUAUGUGGACAAAACUUACACUUCAUGCUACCAUCAGUCGUAUAGUCAAUAUAAUUCCAAAAUGGAUCCUUUGAUCUAACCAUUUCAACCUAUAUAAAAAAAAGGUAGGUCAAAAUAAAGAAUAAAAAUUGAUGCAAGUUACACCAUAUCCAGAUGGAUGAGAAACUACUUCUUCAGUGUUGUUACCCUUAUUUUGCUAUUAAAAUUGAUAGUUAGUUUAUUGCACAAUCAUAGGAGGGAAAUAGACGAGGAUAAUUCAGUUAGACUUCUUACUUGUUGAGUAUUUAAACCCCUAUUUUGACUUUGCAGGGAAGUGCCAAGGCCAGUAUUUGAGGCAUUUGGCCUAGCUGUUUGAUUUUGCAAUCCUCGGACUUGGAGGUUAUCCAUCUGUGACCUAUAUACAAAUGAAGUGAACAUAUUAUAAAACCUUUCCAUAAUUGGUAGUGUCUCUUAAGCAGUAAAAGUUAAUGGUGUUAAAACACAACAGCUAGAAGUUCUCUUGUUGCACAUUGUCUAUAUUAGGAAUUACAGCAGCUUGAUCGACUUGUCCUUGAUUAGAAAAAUAUUGACUCCUGAGUCCAAAAUCAUUUGCAAACAAUAUGUUUAGCUUGUUGGGUUCAUGUUCAAGCUAUGAUGUUUCUUUCCUGAUUGAAAAACUAAUUUUUUUUUUUUAUAUAUAGAAAAUACUAAACAUGAAAAAUUGGAUACCGGGGAGCAGUAAAAGGAGGUCCAGGUUGAAUGAAGCCACCAUGUUCUGAAGUGGUUGCGUUCGGUGUCAUAUAGCCAUGUCCCGGCUGUGGUUGAUGAGUAUUGGAGUACUGAUGCCUGAAUAAUAUUCAAAUAGUUAAACUUAGUCCAGUUAGUAUCGCAGGCACUUGAUUGCUCAUAAUUGGUAACUGAUAAUUAGUCCCUUGUUGGUCCCUAAAUUAGCAACAUUUGUUAGUAAUUUCUUUAUACAUAUACGCAUAAUUCUUUGCUAUUAAUCCACUAAGCAUUUGAUAUCAUUUUAGCUUACCUCAAAGGCAUUGAUGGUCCAGGUAGCAUGGGAUUGGCACAUCGAGGAUCAGAUAAAUUAGGAUGAGGCAGAUACCUAUAUUCAAAUAUAAUGAAUUCAUUUAGUGUAAUAAAUUGGCAUCACUGAUAAGAAUAUUAGGCAGAUAAGUAGAACAACAAGAAGAAGAAGUUAAAUAAUGAUGAAUAUUAUGUACAGGAAGAAUUUAAAUAAUGAUUAUUCUCAAUUAGUUGAUUUUCUAGUUUCAUUAUGUGAUGCAAAUCACGAGACAGGGGAAACAUGGGGAAGGCAAGGACUCUUGAAAGCUGAUUAAAGCUUAUUAGCUGUAGUUAUUAUUUCCUAUUUAGCUGAUAGUUUCCUAGUCAGAUUAGUAUUAGAUUUCAAUUACAUAUUAGAUCGUAACUCCUUAGCUGUAGGGUAUUUAAGAGGAGAACAGAACAAAAUAUGGGACAUUAUUUGUAUUCUUGGCAAUUGCUUUCUUUAAAUACAAAUUGAAGUGAUUCCUCUACAUAGAGAUCAUGUAUUAAAUUAUUUAUUGUUCUUACUGGGAGCAACGAGAGGUUGUACCGGAGGGCAUUUACAUUAAUAUGUGCACAAAAAAAAAGAGAGAUAGGGAGAUAGAGAGAUAGAGAAAGAGAGAUAGAGAGCUCAAAAGAAGUUAAAUAAUGAUGAAUACCUUGAUGGAGGUUGAGGCCAAUUUGGUUCAUUUUGGUUGAUCCGUGAUGAUAAGGAGCUUUGGUUGUCUGGAACCUCCGGUGGCAGCCUGCUUCCAUGGACAGUGACAUUAUUAGGAUAAACGGAAGAAUAACUAAAUUGCAAGCAAUCAUCUUCUGAUAAAAUAUGCUUAAGAAUGACGUACGAGAGAAGCUCAAGGUCGGGAAAUAGUGAUCCUCGUCAAUUUUGGUCAAGUUUAUUGUUUUCAUGAUUAAAAAAGUGUAUAUGUAUUCGAGAUUAAUACCAUUGAUUCAUUGGAGGUUGAGGUCCAGGCACUUGAUUGCUCAUUGGUAACUGAUAAUUAGUCAAUUGUUGGUCCCUAAAUUAGCAACACUUGUUAGUAAUUUCUUUAUACAUAUGCAUAAUUAUUUGCUAUUAAUCCACUAAGUAUUUGAUAUCAUUUUAGCUUACCUCACAGGAUUGGCACAUUGAGGAUCAAAUAAAUUAGGAUUAGGCUGAUACCUAUAUUCAAACAUAAUGAAUUCACUGAUAAGUACAACAACAAGAGGAAGAAGAACAAGAAGUUAAAUAAUGAUUGAAAAACUUUUUUUUUUUCAGAAAAUACUAAACAUGAAAAAUUGGAUACCAGGGAGAAGGAGAAGAAGGUCCAGAUUGAUUGAAUUCACCAUGUUGUGAUGUGGUUGCGUUCGGUGUCAUAUAACCAUGUCCCGUCUGAGGCUGAUGAAUAAUGGAAUAAUGAUGCCUAAUUCAAUGGACAUUCAGGAAAUGAAGUUGGAAAUUGGAGUAAGCAUGAGUACUCACCAUGGUUUCAGGAAAUGAAGUUGGAAACUGAGUUGUUUGUUGAAUACUAUCGUUGAUCACAUUGUUAUGCCCACCUUGAUCAUUGCAUAAUAUGGAGCCUUGGUUGACUGGAACCUCCGAUGCCGGCCUGCUUCCAUGGAAUAAUACAUAGGAUAAACUGAAGAAUAACUAAAUUGCAAGCAAUCAUCUACUGAUAAAAUAUGCUUAAGAAUGACGUACGAGAGAAGUAGUGAUUCAGGAUCGAACUCUGUCAAGUCAUCCAUAGAAGAUGGGAGGAACCUUUCCAUCUGACCACAAGUAAAAGAUGAUUAGUACAUACUGAGGUGAAAAAAGAACAGAAAGCACAUAGCAAAUUAUAUAUAUAUAUAUGAGUGGAUUACUGGAUACACACGUUACGUAAGUCAGAAUAAAAGAAAAACAAAUAAAUGGUGAAAAGCAUAUUUUAAUGGCAGUCCCAUUAAUUGGAAAAGAAAAGAGUGAAUCUAAGAAAAGAACAUAUAUUUUUUUUAAUAUUAAUAUAUCAAAAUAUAUUAAUUUAAUUAUUUUUUUUCAAAAUAAACAGACUUUCAAAUGCCCUCAAACAUAAUUCUGAGUACGAAAACAAAUUAUGUUUUCAUUGCGGGCAUAAGAAUCUUGACAGUACUGUUGCCGUUUUUUAGUUUAAAUUGGUGUUUUAGUGUUUUUUUUAUUGUUUUGAUGUGUUGAUGUCAAAAAUAAAAAAUAAAUUUUAAAAAAUAUCAGUCUCAAGUCAAUGGUUUUAAAACUAUGAUAAUAAUUAUUUUUAUUUUUAAGUUGACUCGGUCAAUGAUCGACCUGACCUGUGACCUAGGUCUUCCCCGUAUCAACCUCGAGUCAGAUUUUAAAACUAUGAUAAUAAUUAUUUUUAUCUUUGCAUUGACUCAAGUCAAUGGUCAACCCGAUCCAUAGCCCGGGCUUUACUCCAAAUCAAUCCCUUAAUCGGGUUUUAAAAUUAUAAUAAUAUUCAUUUUUAGUUUUGUAUUGACUCGAGUCAAUGGUCAACUUGAUCCAUGACCCAGGCUUUACUCCAAAUCAAUCCCUUAAUCGGGUUUAAAAAUUAUAAUAAUAUUUAUUUUUAUCAUUAUGCUAACCUGAAUCAACUCAGAUUAACUUUUGUGCAAAGAAUUAAAUGAGCUUAUCCUACCUCUUUUAAUGGGACAGAGAAUUCUUAACUAGAAUAGCAUCAGAUAGGACAUAAAUUAAUUUUUGUAUUGUCUAAAGAUACAUCAAACAAUUCAUAAAAAAAUUAUCAUGUAUAUAUACAGAAUCCAUCAUUGUACUAUAUAUCAAAUACUACCUAAAUAUUGUUGUUAAUGAUUUAGCCAUUUUAUCCUUCCAGAAUUAGAACAACAUUAUUUUAAAACAUUGAACAAUUGAGGAAGUCCUACAAACAGUUUAAAAAUCAAACUCAAAUUCUUUUAAUGAGACAAGAUCCUAAAACUCUAGAAUUGAAAAAAGGAGAAUGAAUUGAGGAAGUCCUACAAACAGUUUAAAAAUCAAACUCAAAUUCUUUUAAUGAGACAAGAUCCUAAAACUCUAGAAUUGAAAAAAGGAGAAUGAAUUGAGGAAGUCCUACAAACAGUUUAAAAAUCAAACUCAAAUUCUUUUAAUGAGACAAGAUCCUAAAACUCUAGAAUUGAAAAAAGGAGAAUGAAUUGAGGAAGUCCUACAAACAGUUUAAAAAUCAAACUCAAAUUCUUUUAAUGAGACAAGAUCCUAAAACUCUAGAAUUGAAAAAAGGAGAAUGAAUUGAGGAAGUCCUACAAACAGUUUAAAAAUCAAACUCAAAUUCUUUUAAUGAGACAAGAUCCUUAAACUCUAGAAUUGAAAAAAGGAGAAUGAAUGUAGAAGAGUUGAUAGGGUGAACAACCCUUUUUCAACUCCUAACUAUACAUAAUUUGGGGGAUCAAAACGAAUGAAAAAUUAAUUCCCUUGAUUUUAACCCUUAGUUACUUAUCAUAAAACAUAAACAAAAAAUUUGAUAUUUUGCCUUUGGCCCUAGUUUCAAAACAAGAGUUUCCCUAGUGCUAUAAAAUUCUUUGGCUAUGCAAUUGAUCUCGAACUAGGUGUGCAGCGAGUGCAGCCUAGUGCACACUCUUUCCUCCUUAAUAUUGAGAUAAGACUUGUCAUUCACUCUCAGCGCUACUAAUCAAGGUGUAACAUUGCCUAAACACCUUGAGUGUAGGUUAUUCCUCCAGCAUUCUGAAGAAUUUAUCGAAUGCUGAUUGAAUAGUCCAUCCAUUGGAGUGAAGCUGAGCCAGACUCUGAUUGUAAUAUCUAAGCAUGUCCUUCACAAAACGUUGUAUAAUAAACGAGUAUUCAAACUCAUUCAUGCAUAUGGAGAUGUAAUUAAAAACUUACCCCCAUUGCAUUUAUUGGUGACCCUUGAGCCACGGACACCAAGUUCUUGCAACACAACCAGGUAAUCUUCUAGUUAUUAGAGAUUGGUCUCAUUUACUUUGCCAAGAGUAAUUGUGCUCAUGACAUUUGUAGAGGUCUAGGCACUCUUUCUUUCCCUUUGGGAUUUGAAACCUCUUAGGGACUCCUAUCUUCCCUGAUGGGGUCACCGAAUCGGAAAUAUUAUUUACGCAUACGAAUGAUCAUAGACGAUGGAGGAUAGCCCAGACAAUUGAGAGAUCGGGCUUUAACUUAUAUUUUGGGUUUAAUUUAUAUGAACUUUUAGAUGAGUUAUAUUAAUUUGUCUUUAUUUGUUGGGCUUGAUUUAAUUAUUGUUAAGUAUUUUAUUUAGUGGGCUAUAAGCCCAAUUGCUUAUUGUAGUUAGGGUUUUAGUAUAAAUACCCUACUUUUCUAAAUGUUAAGGGACUUUUGAUGAUUAAUGAAAAUUUACAAGUUUUGCAUAUUUCCAAUCCCCUCUCUUCCUCUUCUUUAGCUUCUUUCUUUCUCCAAAGCUUCUUUCUUUUCUUGCUUUAAUUCUUUUUAUUUGUUGUCCUGUGUCAAAUUUAGUAUCAGAGCACGACUUUUAAUUCUUCUUCUUCUUCUUUUCCAUAUGUAAAAAACAUCAAUAUCCAUUUCUUUCUCUUCUCUUCUCUCCUCAAUUCCUUCUUUUCUCCUCCAUGCUCAUGUAUGUAUUCUUCUCCUUUCUUCUUUUUUCUUCUCAUCUUUUUUAAUUAAUAUACUUAAUGAAAUUUUUUCUCUCUUCUUAGCUUCACUUGCAACCACAUUAAGGUAAGCUUCUAUUUUUUUUUUCAUGUUUUGUUUCACUAUAUUUGUUUUUUUAUUUUAUUUUUAAUUGUUUUUGUUCUUAAUAAUUGUAUGGAUAUUGUUGUGGGAUGUUUUUUUUCAUAUGAUUUUCUUCUUAUUUUUUCCAAGCGUUUUGAAUAUUAUAGAGUGUUGAUUUAUAUUAAUUUAAUUAUUUUAUAGUUUUGUAAAAUGGUUUUUUUUAUAAAAAAAAUUUAAAUAAUUACCGACGGAAUUGCAUAGGUAUGUUCUAAGGGAAAUAUUGACGGAAUGAAGCGGAUAAUUUUUUUUUUGCAUACCUUUUCCGUUAGUAAAUCCAUCGACAAUAAUAUUUUUUAUUAUCAACGGACUUACUGAUGGACAAAAAAGUAUCGACAAAAGAUUCACCGACGGAGCAUUUUCAUCGGUGAUUUUGUUGGUAAAUUAAUUACCAAAGGAAUGAUAGUAUAAAUACCAACAGAAAAUUCCAUCGGUAAAUCUAAAGAUAGUGUGGAUUUGUGCAAAUUUCAUGUCUAAAGAGCUUUAACUUGAUGAGGUGUAGAAGACAUACUUUUCCUAUUAAAUAUUCUAACAUGAAUUUCACUUCAUCGUGCAACAAUGACCGUUCUCAGUUAGAUUGUCAUCGAAGAUGACACUUCAUAAAAACCUAAAAUUAAAAGUGAUUUCUCAAAUAAUUCCUUACAGCCAUGAAAUAUUCAUACAUUCUCAUAGCAUUUCAAGUUCCCAUUCCAAAGGACCAUUAGCAUUUAUACUUUCUCAACAAACCUUCCAUUCAACAGAAAACAAAUACUUAAAAACUAAAUCAAAAUCGAAUUGUCAUGGCGCCAUCUUCAUUAAUUUGAAAUUACCUCAAAAUAUAUAUAUAAAAAAAAUUAAUUAAAUUUAGUACCUGUGUUUGCUUGAUCUUAAUGAGAAGUUCCUUUUGCAUGUUAAGAGCUUGUUCUAGAAUCUUCGUGACUUCUAAAGCUUGUUCUAGAAUCUUCGUGACUUCUAAAACUUGUCCUCCAAUCUUCUCUCCAGCGCUCGAAACCCUACCGAAGUAUGCCCCCAUGAAAUCUUCGAACGCUACAAUCGACGGAUCCGUCGCUGAAGCAUCAUCCCCGCCACUCCCCGCCACACUUCCCCCUCUCAACGAACGUGCUUCUAAUCGCGCCGCCGCCGAUUCUAGCCUAGCCAUUAGCCUCUCCUCCAUUAGCCUAAAGAUUCAAACAAUAGUUAAAUAUAAAAAACAAAAAUUAACACCAACAAGAUGAAGUACAAAUAAUUUACCUGGAUUCAAGAUGUUCUUCAAGUGCUGGUUUGCUUAAGCAGUAAUCAGAGAAAAAAAAAAGAGAGAGAAAUCACAGAUCAGAGAAGAAUAUAUGGUUUAGAAAAAUAAUAAAUUUGCAGUAUACAUAAAUCUAGUUCGUAUUGAUCAUGGGAUGUGGAAAGGAAAAUAGGGAAUUCUAUUGUGAGAUGAGAUGUGAUGUGGAAGAGAAUAACGUAUUGUUUGACAGGAAGCAACCCACCGCUUCCCUACCAAACAUUAUAUUAUAAGAUAUAGAAAGUUAAGUGUGGACCCACCCCAAUGUUUUGUUUUUUUUAUUAACAUGUAUGUCCGGGUUAGCUUGCACGUACCUCGACUAACUCCACGAGCCCUGAAGUUAACGAUCAUUUAAGCUUCCAGUAACUAUCAUAUUAGCCGUAAUGCUCGAACCUGAGACUAUAAAAAAAGUAAAUUUUUUAAUCUGAGGCUAUUAUCAUUAGAUCACAUACUAGAUAAUUAACCCACCCAAUGUUCAAACUUUGAAGGAACUGCCAUGAAAAUGUAAACAGAUGAAUAUGAGAAAGAACAACAUAGCAUACUCCUGCAUGUGUGAAGUUGUUUAUGAUAUUAUUUUUUAUUUAAAAAUAUAUUAAAAUAUUAUUUUAAUUUUUUUUAAUAUCAACAUAUUCAAAUAAUUAAAAAAAAUUAAAAAAAAUUAAAAAAUUAAAAAAAAAAUUACUGCGACUGUAAAGACAAACCAGCUGUGACAAUGCUAAUAAGUGUGAGAUUGAUAGCAAAGACGAAAGCAUACCAAUGCAACAACCACAUUCUCAAAUAUUCAGAUUUUAAAAACCACAUCGAAAUAUAGUUUUAAAGUUGUGUCAAAUGCAGAAUGCUUUAAUUAAUACGAGGAAACUCUUGUUAAUAAUAUAGUUAUAUACAGGCACCGCUAUAAAUAAUUUGGUAUUACAGUAAUAAUUAUUUUUUAAAGUAUUUUUUAUUUAAAAAUAUAUUAAAAUAAUAUUUUUUUUAUAUUUUAAAAUUUAUUUUUGAUAUUAACAUAUUAAAACAAUAUAAAAAUAUCUAAAAAAUUAACUGGUUCAAAGUGAAAUUACCCGACUGCUGUGCCUUGACUUGUCUGUUUAAUUUCUAUUAUUGUUUUUCACAUUUUAGCAUUUUAUUCCAAUGAUAGAAUGCACUUUCAUAGACUCAUCAAAACCACAGGAACGCAAUCAAGCUUUAGCUUCAAACAACCAGAGGGAGAUUCAGUGCAGUGGAAAACUUCAACAUCUACUAUGAAGCUUGAUUUGCUAUCCAAUCUUCACAUCAGUUUUCCAUUGAUACAAAGAUACUGUAUGUGUUUUUGUUGCCAGAAAGUUGUUCGAUCAAUAACUUUUUAUCUUUUUCCAAGUUUUUGUUGUGUGAUUUGUUUUUCCUUUCAUCUCAAACUCAUGAACUAAAAGUUAAACAAAAUAAAAAUUAAAAAAUAUAAGAUGCAAAAAAUUAUAAGGUAAACAAUAAACUAAAUUUUAGAAUAUGUCUCUUAGCUAUUCGUAAGCUUCCUAUUCCUUUUUAGUUUUUCUUGAAGUUAUUCUAUUUGAUGUCAUGAGUGUUCCAUUGAGAAAUAAAAAAGAAGACAAAUUGCCAUCCUCUUCACCUUCUUACAAUGCAUUACAGUAAUAUCUCUAAGAGAAUUGUAAAUCAAUUUUUCCACUGCAAAUACUUUUCAGUUCCGGUAAAUCAAACAAUUUCAGAAUUUUCCAAGAUAAACAGAUUUUUAAAUACACUCAAACAUAAUUUUAAAUAUAAAAACAAAUUAUGUUGUUUUGAUUGCGGCAUAACAGUGUUGGCAGUACCGUUGUUGUUUGGACUUUGAGCAGCAGUAGAUAUCUCCAGCGUACUGUUACCUGCCGGCUAGUGGAACCACUGCUGGGUUAGAAAAGGUAUGUUGCCGUUCUUAAGUUUACUAGAGAGAGGGCAGAAAGCCUUAAGAAAAUAAUUUCACAUUCUGUGUGGUAGAAACCUGAUUCCACCCAAAAAAAAAAAAAUUAACACGGUAAUUGAAGCAAAUUAAAAGAAUAAAAGAAAAUAUAAAAUGAUUUAAUAGAGAACAAAAAUUAAUUUUCAAUGCAGAUUAAAAUAGAGCAAAGUGACUAAUGAAAAAGGUACUUAAAUCCUACAAGCAGCAGAUAGAUAGUCGGAAUCCCUUGCGCACACAUUUGAUAUAUAGAUAAUUAAAUCAACAUUAAACCAAAUUAAUAAAACCCUUUUGAAAAAUCAUUCACUACUUUAAAAUAAUUAACCCUAUUAAGAAAAUCCAAUGACGACAAUGUGUUUAAGGAGCAAUAUUAAAGCAAAGAAAUUAAAUCAAUACAGGUAAAUAAAUGAUCCAAAGAUUAAUCCAUUCAAUAGAAAAAAACAUGACUGAAUCCAUAAACUGCAUAAAUUCGGAGAAGAAUACUUCUCAACAACAAAUUGAGAAUGAUAAAACAAAAGAGUUAGAAUAAUUAGAAAUCUGAACAAUUUAGUUACCCAUCACUGUAUUAGUCAUUCCUUUCCUCAUCUGUGCUCUUUUUUUUCCCCUCUCUCUAGUGCAAUUCCCUCACGUCUUCUUUAUGCCAAAUAGCCCUCUUUACAGAGGAGGCAACCCCCUUUCUCAAAAGCAGGCAGCCCUCCUUUUUCAUCAGAGACUAACUUGUAGCCCUUUACAAUACCUUUCCAACGCAUCAAGAAUCACAGCAAUCCAAUAUGUGAGUGAAAAGUUAUGAUUAAAAUACUUUAAGUGUAUCUAGGCUGUUUCUAAGAAAAAGAACAGUACUUUAAGUUUAUCCAGGCUGCUGUUUAAAAAGUCAAGAAAAUAAAGUUUUAGAUUAAAAUAAAAUAAAAUAAAAACUUUAAGGAAAAAAAAAAAGCACGCCUAUGAAGCUUGAUAGUAUAUCAAAUUAAAUAGAAGCUCGAUUAAAAAAUGCCCUUUAAUUUCUAUUAUUUCUAUUCACAUUUUAGCAUUUUAUUCCAAUGACAGAGCAUUUGGAAUGCACUUUCAUAGACUCAUCAAAACCCCAGGAACGCCAGAUCGGGAGCUUCAGUGCAGUAGAAAACUUUAACAUCUACUAUGAAGCUUGAUUUGCUAUCCAAUCCACACAUCAGUUUUCCAUUGAUACAAAGAUACUGUAUUUUUAACCAUCUAAUAAUAAGAGUUUGUGAUCAAGGGGUUUGCUCCCCAUAUGGUUUUAGGUUCGAGCCCUAUGGUUGUCAAUAUUGAUGGUCAUUAACUUUAAGAUCUGUGAGAACUGAAGGCUUACUUGAUUAUUAACUUCAAAAUCCGUGAGAAUUAGUUAAGGUGCGUUCAAGUUGGUCCGGAUACCCCCAAUUAAUAAAAAAAAAAAUGCUGUGUUUUUGUUGCCGGAAAAUUAUCCACCAAUAACUUUUUAUCUUUUUCCAAGUUUUCUAGGUGACUUUUUUCUUUCAUCUCAAAAUCAUGGAUUAAAAGUGAAUAAAAUAAAAAUUUGAAUCAAAACUAAAUAUAAAAAAAUAAAACAUGCAAAAAAUAUAGGGAGAUUUUAAAAAUCACGCCUAUUCUACUUUCUAGUUUAAAAUAUUCAAAACAAGGCUCCAUUAUCAUAUAUUCAUAGAGACAUACCAAUGUAGCUUUUGAUGUUAACCGGUUUGGGUAUGUCCAUAUGCUUUUAAAUAUUUUUUAAAAUUUAUAUUUGUUUUAAAAAAAUAUUAAAUUAAUAAUUUUUUAGUUAUUUUUAAUGAUUUUGAUGUAUUGAUAUUAAAAAAAAUCUAAAAAUAUAUUUUUAAAAAAUACUUUAUAUAACAGUAUCAAACACAUGAUAACCUUGUCCAAAAGCUUUCCUCAUUAUAAAUAUAAAAUAAAGUUCAAGUGAUGUAGGGUCCAAUCUUAAAUGGUUCAAACAUUAUUGUUAGAACGUGAGAGUGUCCCAGCAUUAGUAGUGUAGCACGUGCCAUGUCUUAAGCUUAUGUGAUCCAAAAACAAGGCAAUUGGUGUUUGAUGAAAUUAGCUGUCACUAAAAUAAAAUAAAAUAAAAUCCUCUGUGAACUAAUUAAUUACUCAAUUAAUUCCUAAAUUAGUUUUUUUAUUGUUUUUCACAAAAUUUAUAAAAAUAAAAAUAUUUUAUUAGAUAUUUUAGAUACUCCACUAUUAUAAUAUUUUAUUUAAAUUUAGAUUUUUAUUUCAAAAUUGAAUUUUGUUUAAUAUAACAAAUAUUACGAUGUUUUAUUUUAUCUGAUAAAUUUUGAAGUAUUAUUUGAUUUUAUUAAUUUAAAAAAAUAAUAUUUUAAAAGAGUACGAAAUGUUGUAUAAAAAUUUUAUGUAUUUAUUUUCUGAUAAACGUGUUCCAAGAAUUAGCAGGGAUACGAUGUUUUUACAAUAACGCAAAACACAACAAACAUUGAUGCGAUGCUGAAUCCUUGAAGUGCGUCUAACAAAAUCUCAAUAUCCGGAAUGCCUCUUCUUCCAUGGCAUCUUGCCUAACUCUUGAUUGUCUCAGGUCCUCCAAGGCAUUCCUCCACUCCUUGGUUAACUAUCUCAUGGAGGUUAACAAACAGAGGAUCUGUAAGUUUCAGAGAACGACAUCAAUUUAAUUACGCGAAGUUCAAUCUUUUUUCCUCUACAAAUUAAAUCAUGUACGUAAACCUGUUACCUACAUUUUGUAAUAUUUCUGGAUCUGCUCUUUGAUUCAUCAAGGACAGAGUUUUUUAACAUCCAAGCUCUUGUAAUCUCACAAACGCUUGAGACCCAAACCUUUAUUUGUCAAGGCUCCAUACACUUUCUCGACAAGAACCGGAGGAGGAGGCUGUGGGGUAUUCGAUGGUUGAAAAUGGAACGUGAAUUAUGCUGGAGAGCAUGCAGGUGGCGAUGUGUUUGGAGCUUAGCCUGUGUUCUCCAAAUCCUUACUAAAUUAUUAGAAAGUAACAUUAUAACAUUUUUAAAUCUGUUUAAAUUUUUUGGUUUAAGAUAAUUUUUUAAUAUUAUAAGUCAUUUAUUAUGUUUAUUCAAAUUAAUUAUUUUUAUUAAAAUAAUAUCAUUUCAUUAUUUUAAUUAAUCUGGUUAGAUAUAAACUAGGUUUGAUUGAAUCGAUCAAAUUUUACUAAAUCAAUAUCUUAUAUGGUUUAAUUAUAAACUCAAUCCAAGUUAAAUUUUAGAUUUUGUGUUUUUUAAAACAAAUCGUACGGGGUUUAACAAUUAUAUAUGCUCUUAUCUUUAACUUUACUUUGAAGUGUAUAAACUUUCACACUCGUGUGUGUGUGUGUGUGAAGCUUUGUGGUGGCUAAAGAAUACAUUUUGGAAAGUUGAAUCAAUAAUAUUGCCUGUGCUUGUCAAGGAAUUUAACAUCCCAAAUUUAAUGAACGAAUAUAACAUCCCAAAUUUUACCACUAAUAUUGCCUGUGCUUGUCAAGGAAAAAGAUUGACUGUAGAGAAAAAUUUAAUGAACGUCAUCCUCGUGGAUGCUAUAAUCUGUAAUUAGUGGCAAGGCUUUAAUAAUCACAGCAGCAGAAGAUGAUAUAUUGUACAAAUAGAUUGAAGAAACAGGAGGCCUACGCAUUUAAUUUGGGUGGAGAUUCAGUAAUCAAAAUAUCUUUUUAUUUUUAAUAUUAAUAUAUAAGAAAAUAUUAAUUUAAUAUUUUUUUUCAAAAUAAACAGAUUUUCAAAUGCAAUCAAACAUAAUUCUGAGUACAAAAACAAAUUACGUUUUGAUUGCGAGCAUAACAAUCUUGGCAGUAAGUACCAUGAUCCUUUCCAAUUGAGUUAAUUUUAGGAUUGUUUUUGGCAGCCACGUACAUGCUUUAGAGUUCUUUUUAUUAAAUCAAUAUUAAAGUAAAAAAAUUAAAUCAAUACAGAUAAAUAAAUGAACUAAAUAUAAUCAAACAAUUAAUCCAUUUAACAGAAAAAACAUUCAUGAAUCCAUAAAACUACAUUAAUCCCUUUUCUUUUCUUGUUUUUUUUUUCUCUGGUGGAAUUCCCACACGUCUUCUUUAUAGGCAGCCCCACUUUUAAACCCUCUUUUUCAUCACGUCCCCAUGGUCCCCGUGUCCCACACGUUUUCAUCAAAAACCUAAAUUUUAGGACUUCUUUGGCAGCCAUCUAAAAAUAUAUAAAAAUAAUAUUUUUAUUUUUAAAAAAUUAUUUUUAACAUUAAUAUAUUAAAAUAAUCUAAAAAUAUAAAAAAAUAUUUAAAAAAAAUCAAAAAUUUUAAAAACACAAGCAUUCCCAAACAAUGUAACGCGUCAAGAAUCACAACAAUCUGACAUGUGAGUGGAAAGUUGUGAUUAAAAAACAUUACUACUUUUUCGUUUGUUUGCUGGAAAGUAGAUUUCUUUUGGAAAGUGAAUUCCGGGGAAAGUGAAUUCCGGGGAACUAUUUUUCGAUGUUUGGUAGUGUAAUGGAAAAUGAGUUGGAAAACAUUUUCCAGUGUUUGGUUAUGUCAUGGAAUAUGAGCUGGAAAAUAACUUAUUAAUAUUUUAUUUUUUUCAAGUUUAUUAAAAUAAUAAGGAACAAAUCUUACAAAUUAAAACGUUGAAUGAAAAUGAAAUUGAAAAAAAAUAUAAUUUCAUAAAUUAUCUCAAAUAAAAUAAAAAAUAAUCAAAAUAAUAGAGAUCAAAUCUAAAAAAAAAAAAGAUGAAGAAAUUAAAAUAAUAAUAAUUAACAUUUCAUAAAUUAUUUCAAAUAAAAUAAGUAACAAUAAAAAAAUUGAAGACCAAAUUUGAUAGAUACAAAAUUUCAAUAAAAAAAUGAUAAGGAAAAAGCAAAUAGCAAUUAUAAAAAUAAGGACCAAAGUUAAUAUAAAAAUAAAAUUUUAAGAGAUGAAAUUAAAAAAUAAAUAUUCAAAACAAAAAAUAUAUAUAUAGCAAUCAAAAGUUUGAGGAUCAAAUUUGAUAUAAUCAGCAAAUAAUUAUAUUUUUAAAUUUUUUACAACUUCCGGAAAGUAUUUUCCCCUCAAAUUUUUCAAGAAAACACUUUCCUGAAAACCAAGGCAAACUUUUCUUUUACUGGAAAGUGUUUUCCAUUGACCAACUUUCCUACUGGCAAACAAACACAAGAAAGUUUGGAAAGUGAUUUCCCGGAAACCACUUUCCGGAAAACAAACACAACUAAAGGGAAAACACUUUCCUGAAAACCAAGUCAAAUUUUUCUUUGACUGAAAUUGACUGGAAAGUGUUUUCCGUUGACCGGAAUGUAUUUUCCGUUGACUAGAAAGUGUUUUCCGUUGACUAGAAAGUGGUUUCCGUUGACCAACUUUCCUAAUGACAAACAAACACAGGAAAGUUUGGAAAAUAGUUUCCCAUAAACUGCUUUCCGGGAAACAAACAUAGCCUUAGAGUGAUUUUGACAGCAUAGAGGAAAUGUCAUUAUUGUUAUUUUUAAAAUAUUUUUUUUAUUUAUAAAUAUAUUAAAAUGAAAGUUGUUAAUUUCGUUUCGUUUUAUUUGUAAUGAUUUCAUACCAUUUCAAAAAAUGAAAUAAAACAAAAUAAUUUUCAUCUCAUUUCAAAUCUCGGUCCCUUCCAAAUUUUUUGGCUAAAUUCCGUUCAGAAUGUUCCGGUUUCAUUAAACAUGUUCUGUUCCGGUCUUAAAAAGUCAUUGAAUCAAUUAAUUAAUUAAAUCAUCAAAGUAUAAAAAGCUAUUUUUCAUUGCUAUUUUCAUUAACUAUGAUAUUAAUUUUUUAAAAUUUAAUUUAUCACUAAUAUAUAUGGUUUAUAUUCAUGUUUUUUUUUUUCAAGUUUAUACUUUGUAGGAAUUUAAGCAAAAAAAUAGAUGUUUUAGAUCUCAUUAGCCUUGAUAACAUUGACCUAGCUUUAUAUUUAAAAUAUUAGUGUUAAAUUAUUUUAAUUUAAUAAUAUUUUGAUGUUUUAUUGAAGUUGAAUUGUUUUAAGUUAAAAAAUUAUUUAAUCUUAACUAUUUAAAAAUAUUUUAAAUUUUAAAAUUAUAUUUCAUCACGUCUCCAUGAUCCCCGUUGUGUCAAAAACAAAUUGCCUAAAUUUUAGGCUUUAGCAGUUCCUUUUUUUGAAAUCCUCAUUAGUGAAAUUUUAGACUUGUCUGUUUAAUUUCUAUUAUUUUUAUUUCAUUUUGGCAUUUUAGCAUUUCAUACUCAUCAAACCACUGGAACGCAAUCAAGCUUUAGCUUCAAACAACCAGAGGGAGAUUUUAUAGGGAUAAAAUUUUAAAAAUCACGCCUAUGCUACUUUCUAGUUUUAGUAUUAAAAUUAGUAUUUAAAAAAUGUGUUUAUAAAUAUGGCAGUUUCAGGUGUAGAAACCAAAACUGCCAUAUUCAUACUCUCUUAGACAUUUUAAAAAUGCGUGUAGAAGAAUACUUUCAUUGAUGAUUUAUAAUAUUAGGUUACUUUAAUGAUAAAUCAAUACAGUAUUUUUUUUCAUUUUUUGGAUUUUCAUUUUGGAGAAAUUCAAUAGGAUGAAAAUAUAAUAUUAAUCAAACUUCAAAUUAUAAUUGUUUAUCUAUCGAGUUAAAAAAAAUAUGACAAUUCAGUAGUCUUUAAUGAAAUAAAAAAAAUGAAAAAUGUUAUUUAUGUAAUUAUAAGCAUACCAUAUUAUAUUACUUUACAAAGGGACGAAGGACAUCCUUUGCAUUAGGAUGCUCCCACUCCACUACUGUCUCCCACCAUUCUUCUGGAUAUACAAAGAUUUCUUUAAGAGAAGGGGGAGGAGAUGGCUGGCCAUUUUCAAGCAACGGAAGACAAAUUGGCAUCCUCUUCAGCUUCUCACAACGCACUACACUAAUAUGUUCUAGAGAAUUGCAAAUCAGUUUUGCACUGCAAAUGCAUUUCAGUUCUGGUAAUUCAUACAAUUCCAGAGUUAUUAACUUUGGGAGAAUGACUUCCGUGAUGCAAUUGGAGGUGCUUCUUUCUUCAUCUGUUGUUCCUAUUAUCUCCUCCAUUUUCCUACAGCACCUCACAUCAAUCUUUUCCAGGUUUACGAGGUUUGGCAGCAACACAAGCGGGAACAACUUCUUUAUACUUUUACACUUGUAACAAUAAAACUCUUUAAGACCAGAAAACAUACCAUUAUAUGGUGGCAAUCGUGGUGGAGCAGAGCAGAACCAAGAAGAUGAAACCAGCUCCAUGUUAUGGCAUUCCCGAAUGUUGAUGCGCUCCAGUUCAGUUGCAUUCUCUAAUGACAAAACAUCACAUAAACUUCUUGCAUCGAUGCAUUCACAAAUCAGUCCUUGAAUGCCAUUUAAGAACUUGACCUGAAAAUCUCUAUCUCCGUUGAUACUCAAAUUACCCAACCCUACUGUUUUACUUGGAAACAUUUCAAUGCAUUGCUCGAAAUAUCUACGCACCUCUCCUACUAAAAUCUUGCAUGUGCUUAAUGAUAGGAUCCCAUCCCGAGAUCUGAGAUACUCCAUUAAGUCAGGGAGACCUUCGAAACGGCAUUCCAAAGUUUCCAAAUUUCUCAAGGAUCCUACUUCCUUUCCUUUAACUGUCAUCGCAUCAUCUUCGCGGCAAUAAAUCUUCUAGUACAAAGACUUGCAGGUGAGAGAGUUUUGGUAAUAUCCCACUAGGAAACUCCUUUUCACCACAUCCAUUCAUUCUAAGAUACAUCAGGUUGGUUAGGCAUUCCAUUCCUUGCGGCAUCGUUUCAAGUCGAGUACGAGAGAGAUCCAACCUCUUCAGUGCCCUGAGCUUCUUUAAUGAUGGAACAUAUCUUAAGUUGUCACACUUACGAAGCAAUAACGCAGUGAGACUCACCAAAUCAGAGACAGAGUCUGGCAAGUUUUCAAUACCUGUCGAAGACAGAUCGAGGACCUUGAGCCCAUGCAAUUGCUUGAAAAAUGAAUCCGCAACAAAUCUCAACCCUUUAUUAUCACAUAGAAAUAGAGUUGAUAGAUAGCGACACCUUGGUGAAUAGCUGGAAGGAAUUUCUUCGAUCUCGUUUCUCAUUAGCGAAACCAUCGUCAAAUUCUCCGUCCACUGCUCUGCAUCUGGCAACUCUUUUAAUUGCGCACCUGCUUUAACCAUGACUUGAUAUUCGUCUUGCAGUAUAUGGAUGGCCAUGUCCCUAAUCAAGUCAUGCAUCUUGACACGUCUAAUAUCAUUAUAACCCAUUUGAGCACUUUCCAAUAGGCAGACAUAUUCAAGUCUAUUAAGCAUUGUGUGGCCCUCGUCAAAUGCAUCUCCCCUGCUCCUCUUUACUUUAAUUAUCCCCUCUAAGAUCAAAUAACCUAUCAACUCCUCCCUUUCAAUCUUAUCAUCUUCAGGAAAUAAUGCACAGUACAACAGACAUUGUUGUAGUGUUACAUCACGUAACCGAUUAUAACUAACCCUUAACACUUGGAAUACCUUCUUAUCCCUAAAUUCUGAUUCGCUCAAUUUCUUCAAUGUAUUUCUCCACUCAUGUAGGUCAUCCACUCCCCUCAAGCUUCCUGCCACUGUAAUAAUUCCCAAUGGCAAACCAGCACAUUCCUUUGCAACAGCUUUCGCAAUUCGUUCCACUUCUGUGAAAGCACAUGCCACGUCCAAGUUUCUCCAUGAACAAAGUCCAAGCUUCUCCCUCAAAAGUGGCUUACCUUGAUUUUGCGGUGGCAAGCCAUCUAUGACAAACUUUCUGAUCGAGUUGUCAUAAUCAGCUUGCAUCCUUCCAACUUCUCAGGAAUUCCCACUUCAUGUAGCUCAAAAUUAUUCCACAAAUCAUCUAGAAUGAGAAUCCAUUUUUGUUUCUUCAUUAGUUCUUCUGACAAUUUGGCAGCUCUAUGCAGAUCAUCAUCUUCGCUUGAAAGGUCUAGACGAAGACGUUUAGCAAUAAUAUUCUGCAAUCUAUUAAUGCUGAAAUCUUGAGACACAGUCACCCACCAAACAUGAUCACAAAUAUCUGGUCUUUGUAGAAGCUCAUUAUGGAUAUGUUGCAGUAUUGUUGUUUUACCAACUCCCCCCAUCCCAUAAAUGCCAAUGGUUGGGACUUCAUCAUCCAUUAACAAAGACCAUAUCACCUUCUUAUUCUCUUCAAAUGCUCGACCCACUGGCUUUAUAGAGCUAGCAGGUAAUGGAACUCCUCUAGUCUCACUUGUGUUGUAUUUAAGGCUUAUAGAAGAUCUAGCUCCAGCGUCAGGCCGCACUGAUCUUCCACUAUUCUCCAUAUCCUCCUCCACUGGUUCUGUCCUCACUCUAACCAUGUUCUGCACAUCAUUCAUAAUGACAUCAUUGUUUACUGAUGGAGCAAAUAGGUGACACAAAGGAUCUGUUGGUUGGGAUGAAUCUCCUCGAGGCUCAUCAGCUUGAUUAAUUGAUGGCCUCUCACAAGAGCUACCUCUCUCCAGAUGCUGCACUUGUUCUGUUCUCGGUAUAGUUUCAGAUCCAUCAUGCAGACGCUCCACAUCCUCAUCUUCCUGCAUUAAAUACGUAGAGAUUUCAUUCAGCUGAACCCAAGUGCCAUCAACAAAUUGAUCCACUAAAUCUGUUCCUCUAUUCUCAUAAGCAUCAACUCUGAGUCUCCAAGGAGAGACACUUCUGUCAACAUGCUGAAACGAUCCUUCACCAGUGUAUUCCAUGCCUUGAACUCCCGCUUGCAUCCUUCCAGCAUUGUCUUGUUCUUGUGGACAGGUGGAAAUGGCAUAAUCAUUAACAUUGCUUGAACUUGCUAUGCUUUUAUGUCUUUUGUUGCCACCACGCAUAGCUAGAAAGGCUGCUCCUUGAACUUCUUUAGGCACCUCACCACAAAUGCCAACACCAUGCCCUCUCUCUCCUGAUAAAUGCCAUUUUAUCCUCGAAAUGGAAGUACCAUUGGCAAAUAAAUGCCCACAAAACUUACACUUCAUGCUUCCAUCAUUCAUAUCUUCAACUUCUUUCCAAAACGGAUCAUCUGAUCUACCCAUUUUGUCCUACAGAUGAAAAGGGUCAAAAUAUUGAAUAAAAAUUAAUGGAAGUACAUUAAUUGGAAAAGGAAGGUUGAAACUAAAAUAAUAGGUUACAAACAGCGAAGAAACUAAUAAGAAAAAACAAUGAAUUCAAGGUUAACUUGGGGUCAAUUUGGUAUGAACUGCAUAAGGCGUGGAUUGCUACAACUGAGAAAGAUCAAAUUAUUUAUUUUUGGAAACUGUUGAUGAUCCUAUCUCCAAAGUUUCUCAUUGAAAUUUCUACAACUUGUGUUUUCCUUGAAAGAUUCAAACCAGAGGUACAUGUGAAAAACAAAAUGAAGAAGAUGGAUUAUAAAUAAUUUACCUGGAUUCAAGUUGUUCUUCAAGUGCUGGUUCGCUGAAGUAGUAUUCAGGAAGAAAAACAAGAACAGAGAAGAAUAUACGGUUUAAAAAUAAGAAGGAAGUUGCAAGAUGUUGAGCUCCAGAUGAUUCGAUUCAAUCAGAAAAGGAAGCACUGAUCAUCAGAAAGUUUAAGAAAUUUGAUGAGGGAAAUCGGGAAAUCAAUGGUAUAAUGAGAUGAGAUUUGGAAGAGAGCGUUACAGUAGCUAAGAUUAUUGUAUUGUUUGAGAAGAAGGAAGUUGCUAGGAAGGAAGCCACAAACUUUACCUACCAGAGAUUAUAUUAUAAGAUAUGGCAAGUGGCUGUACACCUCAAAUUUGUUUUUCUUUUGUCUAGCGCUGCAUAUAAUUAAAAACUUCAACAAAAGAAUCAGAAGCUAAUUGCUGUCUGAGUUAACGUGUGGACCCACCCCAUUGUUGAAACUUUGGAAAAAGCUGGCCUGAAAAUGUAAGAGCCUGAAGCUUAGCUUCAAGAGCUGUAAAGCAUUGACCGUCAUUAUCUGAUCCACUCCAACUUCCAUUCCCUAAAAAUUUCACACCUUAGCACAAACAAAAGGCCGUUUUAUAGAUAACUUAAGAAAUUUUGCCCACGCUUAGUUUCGAGGUGUCAGCAACGUUCUUCUGAGCAUAAAUUCUUCUUUAAAACAAAAGGCGUAUAUGGUUAUUGUAAGGCAUAAUCCCGCAAAGUGUUCCAGUUUUUUUGCCUCUAUGACAUGGAUAUGACAUCUCAUUAGUGAAAAAGCUAAAUGCUGUUUAUUGCACGCUGCUAGUUGGGAUAUACAGAACUCAGUUCAACCCAGCAAGUCGCUGCAUCAGACUUAAAACUCCAUAGCAGUCAGCACAAUCUAUGAAGAUAAAAUUGAAAAAAAACAAUCAAUGUAAACACAUGAAAAUGAGAAAGAAUAGCAUAUUUCCGCUUUUGAAAAAUCAUUCAUCACUUUUAAACACGCAAAUGAUUAUCCCUAUUAAGAAAAUUCAACGACAACAAUAUACUCAAGAGCAGGGGCGGAACUAGGGGAGAUAGGCAGGCGCCCGGCCCCUGCAAAAUAUUUUGAAGGUUUGUAUUUUUAAUGUUUAAAUAUAAUAUAAUAUAUUUUUAAUUUAAAUAGAUAAGAUUUUUAAUAAUAAAUUAUAUUUUAAGUUUUGGCCUUCCUGUUAUAUCAUUUCAGCUCCGCACCUGUCCGAGAGCAAUAUUACAGUAAGGAAAUUAAAUUAAUACAGAUAAAUAUAUGAUCCAAAAAUAAUUAAAGAAUCAAUCCAUUUAAUCGAAAAAAACAUGACUGAAUCCAUAAACUACAUGCCCUUCUUUUUCUAAAGGAGGCAGCCCCACUUUUUCAUCACGUCGCCAUGGUCCCCGUGUCCCACAUGUUUUUAAGUGCGUUCAGGCUGGUUCAAAGGGAAUUUCACGACUUGUUUGCGAGAGCUUCAACUCUACAUUGAAAUGUUUUUUCUUAAUCUGUGAGAGCUUCAUAAUAAGCUUAUUAAAAUAAAUUAUUAUAAUGAAAUUAAAAACAAAAAUGCUUAAAAAAAAACAGAGAGACGCCGUGUUUUCUCUAUUGCUACAAGGUAAAAGUCUAAGCAUAUUUAUUUUUUUUAUUUUUUUAUUUUUUAAUAAUAUUACUGUUAUAUCUACCGCCUAGAAAUCAAGAACGCUAGUUUCAUUUAAAAGAUUCUGAAGUUCAUAUUUAGAUAAAUUAGCAGAAAGGACGGAAACACAACAAAUCAUACCCAGAGAAUCAAAAGCCAGAAACAAGCUACCUCAAUUCCUGCUCCACCUGGCUAAGAAAUGCAGCAUGCCCACUUGGAAUUACACAUCAUCCAAAUUCCAUGGCAAAUAAUUGGUUGGAAUUGUUUCCUGUGGAGUCAUUUCAAAAUUUGAAAAUAAAAACAGAAAAUAGAUCCAGCAAAUGAUUCCAAAUAUCUUAUAAAAUAACAAUGAAAUAUGUUUUUUUAUUUACUGUAAGGAAAGAUAUUAAUGGAAAAAAUAAAAAAAAAAUCAAUUUAAAAAAUUAUAAUAAGUCAAAAUCUAGAUUUAAAAUCUAACUAGUAUCAGAUUCCUAGUUGAAUUGAAUAAUUGAGAGCGAAACGUGUCAAGACUGACAAGAGUUCAGAAUAGACUCGUGAACGUGUCCUCUAAACCCUCCUGUCCCUCUUCCGAUCCUUGCUAAACCCCUUGUUCUGGUCGUAAUCAUCCAUUAGCGUAAACCUAUGCUUCUCUUGACUUUGAUCCCAAUAAACCAACCCAUAGAGUUGGUGGUAAUGUAAUUUAUAUAACUUUUUAAAUUAUUUUUAUUUAAAAAAUAUCAAAUUAAUUUUAAUGUGUUGGUAUUAAAAAAAAUUAAAAAACAUUAUAUUAAUAUAUUUUUAUUUAAAAAAUAUUUUUUAAAAAACCGUAUGUAGAAUUACUAAACACCCUUAAGCCAGUGGACAAAGACAAAAACGACAAAAUACAAAGGAAAAGGGAUAAAAGCAUAUAUUUGGAGAUGAUAAAAGGGCAUGAGAUCAAAGAGGAUAAGAUUUCCAGUGAUGGGACUGGAUGGUGAUGAAGGAUUUUUUGGACAAGAGCAUAGUAAUUAAUCCUUUACUAAAAUUUUUUAUUAUUUUAAUAUAUUUUUUAAUAAAAAUUAUUUUUAAAAAAUUAUUUCAAUGAUAAUUUUCUUUAUUGAUUAGUGAAUCUGGUUAGACUUAAGCCCUACGAGGAUCAAAUGUUGCGAGGCGAGCAACUCCAUUUUAUUUUCCAGUUCAGGAUAGUUUUCUGAAAUAAUAAUAAUAAAAAAAAGAGCUAUAACAUAAAAAUCAUCUGAGCAAAAAGCCAAGAAAAGUGGCCCAUGCUGCGUAAGGUUUAAGAAAGAAAAUAGUUUUGAUUGUUGACCGAGAAGAGGAGCACACGCUUAUGCUUUUUUAUGAACAGAGAGGUGGCUGCCCCAAUAUAUUCGGCCUGCCAACUCUUAUUUGUAUGGUCGUCUGUUUCUCCAUGUCUCAAUAUUUUUUUAUAAAAAAACCACCACUUCUCCAUAUUAUAUUAUAAGAUAUGAAAAGUUAACGUGUGAAACUUCGAAAAAGCUGUCAAGAAAAUGUAAACACAUGAAAAAUAUUUUUUAAAAAAAACCCAAAAAUCAUCUGAGCAAAAAGCCAAGAAAAGUGGCCCACGCUGCGUGAGUUUUUUAUUCAAGAACCUAGCUAGAGCUUAGCUUCAAGAGCGGCGAGGACUAAGCUAGGAAUGAUGCCUCUCACUCCUCCCCCGUCAAUGCUAAGGGUUGUUGCAAAGUAAAUAGGAAACUUCAUCCAUAGACCAAUCUUUUCUGAUCCAUAGACAAUGGAUCUGUUGGUUGAGAUGAGUCUCCAUCACAACCCAACAACAUUAGCUUAUCUGCUAUCCCCUUUAUGAGAAGAAGAUUUCGAAUCAGUCCAUUCAUUCCCAUCUGUAGGCAUCUUUCUCAAACAUCAAGGAGAAUUACUUCUGGAUUCUGAGUUGCCACUAAAAAACAAAAAACCCUUAAUGAACUAGUUCGUCUCCCAGUACUUAAAUUAGUUUCCUCAUUGUUUUUCACAAAUUUUUAAGAAAAAAAGAAAAACUAAUAUACUUGAGGUAUUAUAACAAACCUGUAAAUUACAUUAAUCUUAUAAAAAAACAUAAUAAAAAUAAAUAAAUUACAAAGUUGAAUUUUAAAUCAGCCCACUAAUAAAAAAAACAAAAAAAAAACAAAACACAUUGGAUUACUUAUUAUAAUUUACAAUGAAAUAGGUGUGAAUAAAUAGUACUUCUCCCAAGCCUCUUAGCUUUUCUUUUAAUGAAAAUUAAUAACCGUAUAAUAUCUUCCUUGUGGAUGCUCUAUCGUUGCUAAAUUAAAACAUCUUUCUUUUUUAUGUGAAACUUUUUUAAAAUAAAAAUAUUUUAAAAAAACAUUGUUAUUUUAAUUUUAUUUUUAAAAUAAAUACCAUCGUUUUAGUUUUUAUAAAUAAAUAAUAUGAUGUCGUUUUUUUUUACUCAGGUUAAUCAGUUAAUAUGUGAGUCAACCAGUACGUUUCUUAGCUAUUUAUUAGCAAUCUAAAUAUUUUUUUAUUUUUAAUAUUAAUAUAUCAAAAAAUAUUAAUUUAAUAUUUUUUUAAAUAAACAGAUUUUUAAAUGCACUCAAACAUAAUUAAGAGUACAAAAACAAAUUAUGUUUUGAUUGCGAACAGAAAAAUCUUGACAGUACCGUUGUUGUUUGGACUUUGAGAAAGAUAAAACAAAAGAGUUGGAAUAAUUGGAAAUCUGAACAAUUUGGGUACCCUUCACUGUAUUAGCCAUUCCUUUCCUUGCCUGCUCUCCUUUUUUUUUUUUUUUUUUUUUCUCUGGCGCAAUUGCCAACAAAUACCCUUUUUCAUUAUGUCUCCAUGAUACCCUUGCGUCAAAAACCUAAAUUUUAGGACUUUUUAGGCAGCCACGUCCAUGCUUUAGGAGUUUUUUUUUCGAAAUCCUUAUUAGUGGCUAGCCUUUUAAGAUACCUUUCCAACACGUCAAGAAUAACAGCAAAAUAUGAUACGUGAGUGGAAAGUUAUGAUUAAAAUAUUUAACUGCAUCCAAGCUAUUUCCAAAAAAAUAAAAUAUUAUUACUUUUAGUGUAUCCAAGCUAUUUAAGAAUAUAUCAAAGUAAAUAGAAUUUCAAUUCAAAAAUACACAUUAAUUUCUAUUAUUUGUAUUCACAUUUUAGCAUUUUAUUUCAAUAAUAGAGUAUUUAAGGGUGCUUAGAAGUUUAAUAUCAAUUAUUUUUCAAAAUAUUUUUUUUAUGAAUAUAUCAAAAUAAUAUUUCAUUAUUAUUUUUUUAAAAAUAUUUUUAAUAUCAACACAAUAAAAUAAUUUAAAAACACAAAAGAGUUAAAAAGAGACAUCUACCUUGUUUUAUCUGUUGGUACAUGGUAAGAGUCUAAGCAUAUUUAUUUAUUUAUUUAUUUUUAUUUUAAUAAUAGUCCUGUUAUUUCUACCGUCAAGAAAUCAAGAACGAUUCAAAAGAUUCUGGAGUCCAUGUUUAGAUAAAUUAGCAGAAAGGACAAAAAUCCUAUAAACUAAAAUCCUCAAUUCUUGCUCCACCUGGCUAAGAAAUGCAGCAUGCCCCCUUGGAAUUACACAUCAUCCAAAUUCUAGGGCAAAUAAUUGGUUGGAAUUGUUUUUUGAGAGUCAUCUCAAAAUUGAAAAAUAAAAUCAGAAAAUAGAUUUUCAACACAAUCAUGCUUUUUAUUUAUUAUAAAUAUAAAAUAAAGUUGAAGUGAAGUUGGGUCCAAUCCUUAAAUGGUCCAAACAUUAUUGUAAGAAUGCGACAGUCCAAUCUGAAAGGUUUUGGAUGCAAAACACAGGCUGCAACGCAGAUGGAGCAAGAAAUUCCACCCCAAGAAAAAUCCAAAUAUAAGUUAUUCCAACUUUCUUUCUAUCCCAAGAAAUCGAGAAUACUAGUUUCAUUCAUCAAAAUUAUAAAUCCUAUAUUUAGAUAACAAAAAUCCUAGUGCAAAAUACCUAUAAACUAUAUUAUAAGAUAUAAAAAACUAACGUGUGGAGUCUGUGGACCGACCCAAUGUUCAAACUUUGAAGAAGCUGCCAAGAAAAUAUAAACACAUGAUUAGAGAAAGAAUAGCAUAUGGUCGUCUGUUUCUCCAUGUCUCAAUAUUUUGUUAUAAAAAAACCACCACUUCUCCAUAUUAUAUUAUAAGAUAUGAAAAGUUAACGUGUGCACCCACCCCAAUGUUGAAACUUCGAAGAAGCUGCCAAGAAAAUGUAAACACAUGAAAAAUAUUUUUUAGAAAAAACCCAAAAAUCAUCUGAGCAAAAAGCCAAGAAAAGUGGCCCACGCUGCGUAAGUUUUUUAUUCAAGAACCUAGCUAGAGCUUAGCUUCAAGAGCGGCAAGGACUAAGCUAGGAAUGAUGCCUCUCACUCCUCCCCCGUCAAUGCUAAGGGUUGUUGCAAAGUAAAUAGGAAACUUCAUCCAUAGACAAAUCUUUUCUGAUCGGGUUGUAGGAAUCACUGAAUCAGCUUGCAUCCCUUAACUUGGACAGGAACUCCCAGCUUCUGUAUGCCAAAAGUCUCGCUCAUACCAUCUAAAAGCAGAACCCAUUUGAUAAUAGAUAUUGGAGAAAAAUUAGAGUACACAAAUAGAAUGUAAAAUUUAGAAAACUGUUUUGAAUUAUGCUGGAGAGCAUGCCGGCGGCGAUGAGUUUGGAGCUUAGCCUGGUGUUCUCCGACGGUUUCAACUCAUGCAUUCAAUUCCAAGCAAUAGCUGUGAUUUCGUAAUCUGUAUUUUGAGCGACUUUUUGGAGAGGGAGGGGCAGCGCGGGAACGAAAAGGUAGCAGUCUCAAGCCUCGCCAAUAGCCCAAGAGUAAAAAUAACAUGCUCCUAGCCCAAGCCCACCAACAUCACCCCCAACAGAUUGGUAAAAUGCUCACAAGUCACAACCAUUUUGAAAAAAAAAAAAUAAAAAAUCAUAUAUAUAUUUUUUUGCUUUAGGAUCAUUUGAUGUCAAAAAUAAAAAAAAUAUUAAAAAACUUAAAAGCUAGGUAUUAUCAAAAUGUGAAAGGGGCAAAAGCUAGCUUGGAAAUUCUGAGAUUAUCUUAGAAAUUGCUAUUAAAUAUUAUGGCAGAAGGUAUACUUCGACGCCACCAUUGAAGUAACACUGAUCUAAAAACAUUAUAUGCCACACCGCAAACUAAUAACAAUGGUAUACUAGAAAGUGAAAAUAAAUCGAUAUUAAUCAUGAAAUAAAUCGUUAGCAGAAACCAAAAAUAAAUGAAUAAAUUGUUCAUACUACUCCAUCUUAUUGAUGGGAAUGAAUUCUGACCUGCAGGACUCCUGCUAAAAUUAGCUGAUAAAUUAUCAUGAAAAAACUUAAUAAAGUCAGAAAAAAAAAAGAUCAUGAAAUGCUUCUUAAAUUAAAUAAAAUGGAGAAGAAAACCCAAGUAAUAAAUGUUCAAUUCACUUUCAAGUUAAAAAUAAAGAAUGAAAGCAUUUCUAUUCAAUAAUACUUCUUGCUCACAAAUAAGCUGGCAACAAUUAUAUGAGAAUCAAAUCUCUCCAAUUACAUGGUCGUAUAACUUCAAGAUUCCUAGGUCAACUCUAUUCAACUGUGCAGGUGGACAACAAAUUUACAAUCCAAGAAAAAAAAUUAGAAAGCAUCCCUCAAACAGGUUGGAAAAGAUACUAGAGGCAAAAGAUUAUAAGCAAUAGUAGCAGAGAAUAUAAAAAGCAUUAUUGUAGCAGAAAAAUGUGAUAUAAUUACCAGAAAAGCUCAUCCUAACUUCCCUGGCUAGUGCUUACGAUGGCAGUUUCAGGUUUAGAAACCAAAACUCAUCCAACAAAAAAAUGUAUGUUCAGUUCAUACUCUCUCAGAGGCAUUUAAUAUAGAAUCUUAUCCUUCCUCAUUUGAUCUUCUCAAUGCUGUGGUGGAAGAAUACUUCUGACAUGUUUACGAUGUUUGUUGUGAUUUGAAUUGACCAGAAUUCAAGAAUGUUCGAAGAGAUGAAUUCAUUGGCGAUGAAAUACCUUACUUUUAUUGAUUUAAUUUUCUAUUUCCUGUAUUCUGCUAUGGAAAUGAAUUAAUCUUCAUUGUGAAAAUGUUCCUAAAUUCUUACAUUUUUAUUAACAAUAAGAGAUGAAGAGGAGGCGAAGGUAUAAUGCAACCAACAAAUGAUACAGAAUAAGCUCAGACCAAGAGAACAAUCGACGCAAUUGUCCCUUCCACUUUUUGUCUCUCUUCCUUGAACUCAUAACUUAAGCAUCCAUCCCUUUUACUCAGACAAAACCACCGGUCACUAGUAAAAAACUUCAUUUUGAUAUAUAUAUUUUUAAAAUUGAUAGAAAAAACCACUUUAUAUUGUUCAUAAAGACGGAAAAAACUUAAAAAUACAAAUUAAAAAAUCUUGAGGAAUUCAUUAACCAAUCCUUUUAGUUUUUUUUAUGUUUUCUAUAAAGUCAGAAAAAAGUUAAAAAUACAGAUUAAAAAAUCCUGAAGAAUAUAGAAAAAUAGGAUGAAUUUUUUGUACGAGGAAAAUAGAUAGAGGUAUGGAAUUUUAUUCUAAAUAUAUCCUUAUAAAAAUUUCAAAAUUCCAAGUCAUGUAAUUCGAUUAUCAUUCAUUUUUUAAAUUGUAUUCUCUCUUUUGUUUUUCUUGUAUAUAGAUUUUAAAAGAAUAAUUUAUUGCUAGUUAAUGAUAUAAGAUGAUUUGUACUAAUGAAUAGAUCUAUUACUUUAUUUGGUUACUUCAAUGAUAAAUCAAUAUCAAUAUAGUGUUUGUUUUUGUAUUUUUUGGAUUUUUAUCUUGGAGAAACUCAAUAGGAUGAAAAUAUAGUAUUAAUCAAACUUCAAAUUAUAAUUAUUUAUCUAUCGAGUUAAAAAAAAUAUAUGACAAUUCAAUAGUCUUAAAAAGAUAAUGAAAUAAAUAAAUAAAUGAAAAAUGUUAUUUAUGUAAUUCUAAGAACACAAUAUAAAAAAGAAAUAUUUCAUAUUAAUAAACGCUCUUUCUAUGAAUUCAUGUUAGGCUUCGAUUUUUCUUUGAAAUAUGGAAUUGGCAAUACAAUUUCAAACCGACCCAAAUCCAACCAUUGAGCAUCUUUAAUCCAAAAGCAUCAUGCAAGUAAUUUUAAUAUUAAUUAAUAAAAAUAUCCUUGUUGAUUUAAAGGACUAUUUUCAUCAUUCAUAAAAAAAAAAAUUAAAAAGAAAAAUAUUCAAUUUUUUUGAAAAACGUGUGCUUUAACAAUGUUUUUAAAUAUUAAAUAUGUGAUUAAUUAAGAGCAGGUGAUUGCUUUUGUUUUUAGUUGUUUUUCAAAAAAAGAUAAAUAGAUUUUUUUAAUGUUUUUUUAUAAUUUAAAUAUAUUGAUAUUAAAGAUAAAAUAAAUAAAUUUAAAUAAAUAAAAAACAAUUAUUGAACAUGAAGCGAAUCUGAUUACGUAACAAUUACUAAUAGGGAAAAAAUUAGGAGACAAAUUAAAGGUUUUCAAUCGUUGCCGUUACCAAUUUGUUGCUGAUUAGAGGCACACGGAGUCAAAGACUCCAUCCUUGCUUUUAAUGAACAAAACCUAGUGCUAGUUUUGGUGGCUGGUGUUUUUCCGUGCUGGAUUAAUUUUUUAAAAAUAUUAAACCAGUAAAUUAAUAUACUUGAGUUAUUAUAAUAAACCUGUAAAUUACAUUAAUUUUAUAAAAAAAUAUAAUAAAAAUAAAUAAAUUACAAAGUUGCCCACAAAUGAAAUAAACAAAAAAAAAACACAUUGAGUUACUUAUUAUAAUUUACAAUGAAAUAAGUGUGAAUAAAUAGUAGUUCUCUCAAGUUUCUUAGCUAUUCUUUUAAUGAAAAUUAAUAACCGUAUAAUAACUUCUUGUGGAUGCUCUGCUAAAUUAAAACAUUUUUUAUUUAUUUACAACUAUGUGAAAAAAUUUUAAAAUAAAAAAUUUUAAAAGAUAAUAUUUUAAAAAACAUUAUUAUUUUAGUUUUUUUUUUUUAAAAAUACCAUCGUUUUAAUUUUUAUAAAUAAAUAAUAUGAUGUGGUUUUGUUUUUUACCCAGGUUAAUCAUUUAAUAUGUGAGUCAACCAAUGCGUCUCUUAGCUAUUCGUUAGUAAUUAAAAAAUAUAUAUAUUUUUUAAUAUUAAUAUAUCAAAAAAUAUUAAAUAAAUAUUUUUUUUAAAUAAAUAGAUUUUUAAAUGUACUCAAACAUAAUUCUAAGUACAAAAAUAAAUUAUAUUUUGAUUGCAAGCAUAACAAUCUUGGCUGUGCCGUUGUUGUUUGGACUUUGAGAAUGAUAAAACAAAAGAGUUGGAAUAAUUGGAAAUCUGAACAAUUUGGGUACCCUUCACUGUAUUAGCCAUUCCUUUCCUUGCCUGCUCUCCUUCUUUUCUUUUCUUUUUUCUUUUUUUUUUCUCUUAAUUUUCAAGAGAGCCUUAACCAUUCCUUCAUGCAAGUGUACGCUUUGCCAAACAAUCCUUUAGGAAAAUGGGUCGCCCUCCCUCCGACGACUUGCCAUAACAGAGAUUAAUUAUUUUAUUAAAAUAAUAUCAUUUUGUUUUUUUAGUAAUCCAAUUAGAUAUGAACUAGGUUAGUUUAAUUGAUCGAUUAAAUUCCACCCAAUCAAUAUCUUAUUUAGUUUAAUUACAAAUCCAGUCCAAGUUAAAUUUAAAAUUUAAAAUUUAAAAUUUUUAAAAUAAACACGGUUUAACAAUUAUUUUCUUAUCUUUAACUAAACUUUAAAGUAUGUAAACUUUCACACUCGGUGUGUGUAUAUUAUUCAACCAAAUAAUUGCUUGUGUCAUAUAUGUGUAGAGCUUUCUAGUAUUAAAAAUCUUAGAUUAUCAAAUAAUUAAACUUUUUAUCCAAACCAAUAAAUUUUAUGUGUCUAUUUUAAAUUUUGGUUUUAAAAAGAAAAUCAAAAUAAUAAAUCAAACAAUACCUGUAAAUCUUUUAUAUUACAGAUUAGCUAUAACCAGUGCACCCAUUUAUCAUUCUUAAGGUCAAUAUUUGGAAAUAAAUAAAUAAAUAAAUAAAAACUACGUACCAAUAUUUAAUUUAAGUAACCUCAAAGACUGCUAAUUUAGCUUUUUGAUAUUAAAAGGGCGUAUGUUGUUACUCUCUGCCUAGUGAUGAGACAAAUAUCAGGUCUUCUAUCUACACAAUAGUUAGAUGUGGAAAGGGUUAGAGGGAAUUUUUUUUUUUAAAAAAAGAAGAAGAAGCAAAACACCUUGAAUUACGUACUAUUUUUAUAUAGUGAUUCUCCAAGUCUCUUAGCUUUUCUUGUAAUGAAAAUUAAUAACCUUAUAAUAUCUUCCUUGUGGAUGCUUUAUCGUUGCUAAAUUAAAAUAUCUUUUUUCAUUUACAACUAUGUGAAACUUUUUAUUUAAAAAUAAAAAUAUCAAAAAAGAUAAUGUUUUUAAAAAAUAUUAAUUGUUAUUUUAGUUUUUUUAAAAUAAAUACCAUCAUUUUAGUUUUUAUAAAUAAAUAAUAUGAUGUGGUUUUGUUUUUUACUUUGGAAUACGUCUCUUAACUAUCUGUAAGCUUCCUAUUCGUUUUUAGUAAUUAAAAUAUAUAUAUAUUUUUUUUAAUAUUAAUAUAUCAAAAAAUAUUUUUUUAAUAUUUUUUUAAAACAAAAAGAUUUUUAAAUGCACUCAAAUAUAAUUCUGAGUACAAAAACAAAUAUAUAUUUUGAUUGCGGGCAUAGCAAUCUUGGCAGUGAUAAAACAAAAGAGUUAGAAUAAAUGGAAAUCUGAACAAUUUGGCUACCCAUCACUGUAUUAAUCAGCCAUUCCUUUCCUUGCAUGUUCUCCUUUUUCUUUCUUUCUAUCUUUUUUUUUUUUUUUUCUUUGGAGGCAGCCCUCCUUUUUCAUCACGUCUCCAUGAUCCCACACGUUUUCAUCAAAAACCUAAAUUAUAGGACUUCUUAGGCAGCCACGUACAUGCUUUAAGAGUUCUUUUUUCAAAAUCCUCAUUAGAGGCUAAAUUAAAACAAAUUAAAAUAAUUGUGAUUAAAAUAAUUAAAAUAAUUUAAAAAUAUAAAAAAUUAUUUAAAAAAAAUUAAAAUAUUUAAAAACACAACAUUAUGAAACAAGAUAUCAUGUCAAGAAUCACAACAAUCCAACAUAUGAGUGGAAAGCUAUGAUUAAAAUAAUAGAGUGCAUCUUCACUUUUAAAAUGAUUUUGACGAUGAUUUAUAAUAGUGAAUAGAUCUAUUAUUUUAUUAGGAUACUUUAAUGAUAAAUCAAUAUAGUUUUUUUUUUUUUGGAUUUUCAUCUUGGAGAAACUCAAUAGGAUGAAAAUAUAAUAUUAAUCAAACUUCAAAUUAUAAUUAUUUAUCUAUCGAAUAAGAAUAUCCUUGUUGAUUUAAAGGACUAUUUUCAUAUAAAAAAUAAUUAUGUUUUGCACCUGAUUUUUAACAAAAAUGAUUGAAAAAAUGAUAUAUUAUUGAAUAUGAGCAAAUUUAAGAUUACAAAAAUGAUUAGUAUUUUUACAGAUGCAUAGAAUUGAUAAAUGAUGCAACAAAGAAGGAUACGUAUUAUUACAUUUAACGGAGUAAUUAACCAUUCUACAUAUUAAUUAUUUCAAGAAAAAAAGGUCCUUUGGACAAUACCUUGGAAAUUCAAUUCAAAAAUUCCCUUUAAUUUCUAUUUUUUUUUAAUCAUUUUAGCAUUUUAUCCCAAUGAUAGAACAUUUAGAAUGCGCAUGGAACGCCAUCAAGCUUUAGCUUCAAACAACCAGAGGGAGCUUCAGUGCAGUAGAAAACUUCAACAUCUACUGUGAAGCUUGAUUUGCUAUCCAAUCUGCACACCAGUUUUUAUCCCACUGCAGUAGAACUUUUUAUCUUUUUCCAAGUUUUUUUUUGGGUGACUUUUUUUCUUUCAUCUCAAAUUAACUUGUGAAUAAAAAUAAAUAAAUAAAAUAUAAAAUACAAUUUUAAACCAAAAUAAAAAAUAUAAGAUGCAAAAAAUUAUAGAGAUCGAAAUUUUAAAAAUCACGCCUAUGUUUUUUUUCUAGUUUUAGUAUUAAAUUUGUUCGUAUAAGUUUUAUUUAUUUUUAAUCAAUUAAAUUGAACAAAAUCUUGUCAAGUCAAACAUAAACUCUUUAUUGAAUCGUCUUUUCUUUUUGGAUAAUAAGAGCUUCAUAGAAAGCUUAUUAAAAUAAAUUAUUAAAUGAAAUUAAAAAUAAAAAUGCUUUUAAAAAAAAAACAAAACAAAACAGAGAGACAUCUACGUGUUUUCUCUAUUGGUACAUGAUAAAAGUCUGAAAAGAUUUAUUAUUAUUAUUAUUAUUUUAAUUUUAAUAAUAGUACUGUUAUUUCUACCGCCAAGAAAUCAAGAAAGCUAGCUAAUUUUAAUACAAUGCUGGAGUUCUUAACUUCGGGAGAAUGAAUUCCGUGAUGGAAUUGGAGGUGCUGCUUUCUAUUAUGCACUGAUCAUGAGAUGUGGAAGAGAAUGUUACAGUUGCUAUCUCUUUUACAUAAUAUUAUUUAUUAGUAAGGUCGCCUCAAUAAUAAUUAAUUAACGUAUUGUUUGAUAUAUUAUAAGAUAUAUAAAGUUAACGUGUGGACCCGCCCCAAUGUUGAAACUUGGAAGAAGCUACCAAGAAAAUGUAAACAAAUGAAAUUUUCUAAAAAGAAUAGCAUAAUUAAAAAUAUAUUUUUUAUUUAAAAAUAUAUUAAAAUUAUUUUUUUUAUCAACACAUCAAAAUAAUUUUAAAAUAUUAAAAAAUUAUUUUUUAAAAAAUCAAAUUAAAAAAAAAACACAUUAUGACUGUAAAGAUAAACCAGUCAAUAUUCUCAAGGUAGCAAUUACUAAUUGGGAUAAAAAGAAAUUAAAAGACAAAUUAAAGGUUUUGAGUCAACGCCAUUACCAAUAUUCGCUUGCAGGGUGUAUGGUAGUUCCUAUGCUUCUGCCUUUGAGCGUGUAUAUUAGAGCAGAGUGAUUUUAUUUAACCAUGAAAAUUUUGUGAGACAAAUUAUAGUGAAUGUUUUUCUAUUUUACCAAUAUACCCAAGGUGUUUAUAACAGAGUGAUGCUACAUGCUGAGGUGGAUAUUAGCAACAGAGGAAAGCAUACAAAAGUAACAAAAAAAAAACAUCAAAUGAAAGAAAAAAAACAACCUUUAGAAACACGCGUCUUUGGAUUAACCAAUUCUUUUAGUUUAUUUUUUAUGUUGUUCAUAAAGACAGAAAAAACUUUAAAAUACAAAUUAAAAAAUCUUGAGGAAUUGAUUAACCAAUCCUGUUAGUUUUUUUUCUUUUCUAUGAAGACAGAAAAAACUUAAAAACACAGAUUAAAAUAAAGAUUUAAUAGAGAAUGAAAUUUAAUUUUAAAUGCAAAUUAAAAUAAAGCAGAGUGACUAAUGGAGAAAGUACUACUGGAAUUCUACAAAGAGUACAGCGUCGGGAAUCCUUGCACACGUUUGGUAUUUUAAUUAUUCUUAUUUCGUUUAAUAACUCAAUUGGAAGUUCAAUUCCCAGAAUUUCUGCUUUUGAAAAAUCAUUCAUCACUUUUAAAUAACGCAAAUGAUUAUUAAGAAAAUUCAACGACAACAAUAUACUCAAUAGCAAUAUUACAGUAAAGAAAUCAAAUCAAUACAGAUAAAUAAAUGAUCCAAAUAUAAUCAAAGAAUUAGUCCAUUUAAUAGAAAAAACAUUACUGAAUCCAUAAACUACAUAAUUCCCUUUUCUUUUUUCUUUUUUCUUCUUCUUCUCUGGUGCAUUUCCCACACGAAAUACUCAUUUCAAAUUAGGCACCCCCUUUUUCUAAAGGAGGCCCCCAAUUUUCAACCUCGUUUUCCAUCACGUCUCCAUGAUCCCCGUUGUGUCACAAACAAAUUUUCUAAAUUUUAGGCUUUAGGAGUUCCUUUUUUGAAAUCCUCAUUAGAUGCUAAUAUCUAGCCCUUCAAGAUACCUUUCCAACGCAUCAAGAAUCACAGCAAUCUUAUAUGUGAGUGGAAAGUUAUGAUUAAAAUACUAAAGUGUGUGGAGGCUGUUUCCAAAAAAAAAAAGAACAUUACUACUACUUUAAGUGUAUCUUUUGAUGUUUCCGGUUUAUAUUGAUAUAUUAUUCAUGUGAAUAAUAUAAGAAAAUUGCACUUAAAAAAUAAUGAACAAUUUUUUUUUUUAGUAUGUUAAUUUUUUCAAUAUUUUUUUUUAAAAAACACUAGUUUAGAGUGAAUUAAAUUCACUCGCAUUGUAACAUCAAUUUUAUACCUGAUAAUAUUUUAUCUAAUUUUAUUACAUGCUCAAAAAAUUAUGAAAACUGUAGUUCUUGUCGGAUGUAUUUCGUACAUAAUGGAAUUGUAGAUAGUUUCAUAGAAUAAUAAAAAAUAUUUUAUAUAAAGUAUGAUUUAUUUCAUGAUUUAAUAGCAAUAGUUAAAUCUACAAUAUUUAAAUUAAAAAUCAUCAAUAUUAAUAUAUAUUUUUUAAAAUUAUUUUAUAACCUCAAUUUCAAAAGCAUUCUUAACCAAACACAUUAAAUUACUUUUUUUUCAACUUCAAUUUCAAUCAUAUUUUUAACCAAACACCUAUUUUUUCAAACAAAUCUCAACUAAAAAUAUUUUUUUUCAAAUCACAACCAUAAUAUGUAUCGCAAUACUAAACACACUACAGGUAAUAAACUAGCCCAACAAAUCAUACCUAGGGAAGCAAAAGCCAGAAACAAGCUACCUCGAUUCUUGCUCCACCGGGGUAAGAAAUGCAGCAUGCCCACUUGGAAUUAUAGAGCGUCCAAAUUCCAUGGCAAAUAAUUGGUUGGAAUUGUUUUCUGAGGGGUCAUUUCAAAAUCUGAAAAUAAAAACAGAAAAUAGAUCCAGCAAAUGAUUCCAAAUAUCUUCUAAAAACAACGAUGAAAUAUGUUUUUUUAUUUACCGUAAGGAAAGAUAUUAAUGAAAUUUUUUUAUAAAAAAAAUCAAUUUAAAAAAUAUAUAACAAGUCAAAAUCUAUACUUAAAAUCUUUCUCGUAUUAAAUUCUUAAUUCAAUCAAAUAAAAUAUUAAUUUAAUAAAACAUAGUUAAGUUUUUGAUAGUUGAAUAUUUAGUAUAACGGUGACGUACUACUUAUUAUUUCUAUUUUAGCAUUUUAGCAUUUCAUACUCAUCAAAACCAUUGGAACACAAUCAAGCUUUAUCUUCAAACAACCAGGGAGAUUUUAUAGGGAUAAAAUUUUAAAAAUCACGUCUAUGCUACUUUCUAGUUUUAAUAUUAAAUUUAAUAUUUAAAAAAUGUGUUUAUGAAUAUGGCAGUUUCAGGUUUAGAAACCAAAACUGCCAUAUUCAUACUCUUUUAGACAUUUUAAAAAUAUGUAUAGAAGAAUACUUUCACUGAUGAGUUAUAAUAUUAGGUUACUUUAAUGAUAAAUCAAUAUAGUAUUUUUUUUUUUUUUUUUGGAUUUUCAUCUUGGAGAAAUUCAAUAGGAUGAAAAUAUAAUAUUAAUCAAACUUUAAAUUAUAAUUGUUUAUCUAUCGAGUUAAAAAAAAUAUGACAAUUCAGUAGUCUUUAAUGAAAAAGAAAAAAAAGAGGUUAUUUAUGUAAUUGUAAGCACGCUAUAUUAUAUUACUUUACAAAGGGACCAAGGACACCCUUUGCAUUAGGAUGCUCCCACUGCACUAUUGUCUCCCACUGCACUAUGGCUGGCCAUUUUCAAGCAACGAAAGACAAAUUGGCAUCCUCUUCAGCUUCUCACAACCCAUUACAGUAAUAUCUUCAAUAGAAUUGCAAAUCAGUUUUGCACUGCAAAUGCUUUUCAGUUCUGGUAAGUCUACCAAUUCCAGAGUUAUUAACUUUGGGAGAAUGACUUCCGUGAUGGUAUUGGAGGUGCUGCUUUCUUCAUCUGUUGUUCCUAUUAUCUCCUCCAUUUUCUCACAAUCUUCAACUUCAAUCCUUUCCAGGUUUACGAGGUUUGGCAGCAACACAAGCGGGAACAGCUUCUUCAUACUUUUACAGGUAUAACAAGAAAACUCUUUAAGACCAGAAAACGUACCGUUACAUGAUGGCAAUCGUGGUGGAGCAGAGCAGAACCAAGAAGAUGAAACCAAGCUCUCCAUGCUAUUGCAAUCCCCAAUGUUGAUGUGCUCCAGUUCAGUUGCAUUCUCUAAUGACAAAACAUCACAUAAACUUCUUGCAUCGAUGCAUUGACAAAUCAGUCCUUGAAUGCCAUUUAAGAACUUGACCUGAAAAUCUCUAUCUCCGUUGAUACUCAAAUUACCCAACCCAACUGUUUUACUUGGAUAAUCUUCAAUGCAUUCCUCUAAAAAUCUACCCACCUCUCCUACUAAAAUCUUGCAUGUGCUUAAUGAUAGGAUCCCAUCCCGAGAUCUGAGAUACUCCACGAAGUCAGAAAAACCUUCGAAAUGGCACUCCAAAGUUUCCAAAUUUCUCAAGGAUACUACUUCCUCUACUUUAACUGUUAUCGGAGCAUCAUCUUGCGGCAUAAAAUCUUCUAGUACAAAGACUUGCAGGUGAGAGAGUUUUGGUAAUAUCCCACUAGGAAACUCCUUUUCACCACAUCCAUUCAUUCUAAGAUACAUCAGGUUGGUUAGGCAUUCCAUUCCUUGCGGCAUCGUUUCAAGUCGAGUACCAGAGAGAUCCAACCUCUUCAGUGCCCUGAGCUUCUUUAAUGAUGGAACAUAUCUUAACUUGUCACACUCACGCGGAGCAAUAACGCAGUGAGACUCACCAAAUCAGAGACAGAGUCUGGCAAGUUUUCAAUACCUGUCCAAGACAGAUCGAGGACCUUGAGCCCAUGCAAUUGCUUGAAAAAUGAAUCCGCAACAAAUCCCAAGAACCGAUUUUCACAUAGCAAUAGAGUUGAUAGAUAGGGACACCUAGGUGAAUGGCUGGAAGGAAUUUCUUCGAUCUUGUUUGCAUUAGUGAAACUCUCGUCAGAUUCUCCGUCCACUCCUCUGCAUCUGGCAACUUUUAAUUGGCACCUGCUUUAACCAUGCCUUGAGAGUUCUCUGCAGUAUUGGAUGGCCAUGUCCCUAAUCAAGUCAUGCAUCUUGACACGUCUAUAUCAUACUCUAACUCUUUUAGCACUUUCCAAUAGGCAGACAUUUUCAAGUCUAUUAAGCAUCGUGUGGCCCUCAUCAAAUGCAUCUCCCCUGCUCCUCUUUCCUUUAAUUAUUCCCUCAUCGAUCAAAUAACCUAUCAACUCCUCCCUUUCAAUCAUCAUCUUCAGGAAAUAAUGCACAGUACAAGAGACAUUGUUGUAGUGCUAAAUCACCUAACCGAUCAUAACUAAACCUCAAUAACUUGAAUACUUCAUUGUCCCUAAAUUCUGAUUCUCUCAAUUUGUUCAAUGUAUUUCUCCACUCAUGUAGGUCAUCCACUCCCCUCAAGCUUCCUGCCACUGUAAUAAUUCCCAAUGGCAAACCAGCACAUUCCUUGCAACAGCUUUCGCAAUUCCUUCCACUUCUGGUGAAAGUGCUACAUCACGUGAAGUUUCUCCAUGAACAAAGUCCAAGCUUCUCCAUUAGAAAGUGGCUUCACUUUGAUUUUGUGCUGGCAAGCCAUCGAUGACAAACCGUUUCUGAUCGAGUUGUCAUAAUCAGCUUGCAUCCUUCCAACUUUCAGGAAUUCCCACUUUGUGUAGCUCAAAAUUGUUCCACAAAUCAUCUAAAAUGAGAAUCCAUUUUUGUUUCUUCCUUAGUUCUUCUGACAAUUUGGCAGCUCUAUGCAGAUCAUCAUCUUCGCUUGAAAGGUCUAGAUGAAGACGUUUAGCAAUAAGAUUCUGCAAUCUAUUAAUGCUGAAAUCUUGAGACACAGUCACCCACCAAACAUGAUCACAAAUAUCUGGUCUUUGUAGAAGCUCAUUAUGGAUAUGUUGCAGUAUUGUGUUUUACCAACUCCCCCCAUCCCAUAAAUGCCAAUGGUUGAGACUUCCAUCCAUUAACAAAGACCAUAUCACCUUCGUAUUCUCUUCGAAUGCUUGACCCACUGGCUUUGUAGAGCUAGUAGGUAAUGGAACUCCUCUAGUCUUGUUGUAUUUCAGACUUUCAGAAGAUCUAGCUCCAGCACUAACCUGCACUGAUCUUCGACUAUUCUCCACAUCCUCCUCCACUGGUUCUGUCCUCACUCUAACCCGAUUAAUUCUCUCUUCCCCGGCACCUUGUUCCAGCACCCCCUGAACUCCCACUUGUAUCCUUCCAGCAGCCCCUGCCAAAUUGCCAAGUACUGCAUUGUUUUGUUCCAACGAUCGAUCCACUGGUUCUGUCCUCGGUCUGCUCUCGAGUGCCCCUUCAGAAACUCCAUCUUCUUGUGCUCUCAUUCUGGUCAUGCUUACUACGUCGUUUCCUGCUAUUGCAUGUGAAGUAAUCCUCUCUUCCCCUACUCCGGGUUCUACAACCUGAACUUCUCUUGUACCCUUCCAAUUCCUCCUCCCAUAUUUUCAAUCUCAAUGUUUUGUUCUUGUGGACAAGUUGAAAUUCUAGAAUCAUUAACAUUGAUUGAACUUUCUGUGCUUUUAAGUCUUUUGUUGCCACGACACAUAGCUUUCCAGGCUGCUUCUUGAACUUCUUUAGCCACCCCACGACAAAUGGAAACACCAUGCCCUUCUUCUCUUGAUAAAUGCCAUUUGAUCCUUGAAAUGGAAGUUAGUGGCAUAUGUAUGUGGACAAAACUUACACUUCAUGCUACCAUCAGCCCUUUCUUCAACAUAAUUCCGAAAUGAAUCAUUUGAUCCACCCAUUUCAACCUAUAGAAAAAAAGGGGUGGGGUCAAAAUAUAGAAUAAAAAUCAGUCAAAAUAAAGAAUAAAAAUCCUAUCCGGAUGGAUGAAAAACUACUUCUUUAGUGUUGUUACCCUUAUUUUGCUAUUAAAAUUGAUAGUUAGUUUAUUGCACAAUCAUAGGAGGUAAAAAGACGACGAUAAUUUAAUUAGACUUCUUACUUGUUGAGUAUUUAAACCCCUAUUUUGACUUUGCAGGGAAGUGUCAAGGCCGGGAUUUGAGGCAUUUGGCAUAGCAGUUUGAUUUUGCAAUCCUCGGACUUGGAGGUUAUCCAUCUGUGACCUAUAUAUAUACAAAUGAAUUGAUCAUAUUAUAAAACCUUUCCAUAAUUGGUAGUCUCUCUUAAACAGUAAAAGUUAAUGGUGUUAAAACACAACAGAUAGAAGUCAGUCAGUACCCAGGCACGAAGUUCUCUUGCUGGACAUUGUCUAUGUUAGGAAUUACAGCAGCUGGAUCGACUUGUCCUUGAUUAGAAAAAUAUUGACUCCUGAAUCCAAAAUCAUUUGCAAACAAUAUGUUUAGCUUAUUGGGUUCAUGUUCAAGCUAUGAUGUUUCCUUCCUGGUUGAAAAACUAUUUUUUAUAUAUAUAUAGAAAAUACUAAACGUGAAAAAUUGGAUACCGGGGAGCAGGAAAAGAAGGUCCAGGUUGAAUGAAGCCACCAUGUUCUGAAGUGGUUGCGUUCGGUGUCAUAUAGGCAUGUCCCGGCUGAGGUUGAUGAAUAUUGGAGUACUGAUGCCUGAAUAAUAUUCAAAUAGUUAAACUUAGAACUGUUAUUCUAACUUGGUUGAUUUUCUAGUUCCAUUAUGUGCACAAGACAAAAACAAAAAAUAGAGAUAGAGAGCUCAGAAAGACUCGAAAGAUCCUCGUCAAUUCUGGUCAAGUUUAUUGUUUUCAUGAUUAAAUAAGUGUAUAUUCAAAGUUAAUACCAUUGAUUCAAUGGAGGUUGAGGUCCAGGUAGCAUCGCAGGCACUUGAUUCCUCAUUGGUAACUGAUAAUUAGUCCAUUGUUGGUCCCUAAAUUAGCAACAUUUGUUAGUAAUUUCUUUAUACAUAUACGCGUAAUUCUUUACUAUUACUCCACUAAGCAUUUGAUAUCAUUUUAGCUUACCUCAAAGGCAUUGACGGUCCAGGUAGCAUGGGAUUGGCACAUCGAGGAUCAGAUAAAUUAGGAUGAGGCAGAUACCUAUAUUCAAAUAUAAUGAAUUCAUUUAGUGUAAUAAAUUGGCAUCACUGAUAAGAAAAUUAGGCAGAUAAGUAGAACAACAACAAGAAGUUAAAUAAUUAUGAAUAUUAUGUACAAGAAGAAUUUAAAUAAUGAUUAUUCUCACUUAGUUGAUUUUCUAGUUUCAUUAUGUGAUGCAAAUCAGGAGACAGGGGAAACAGGGGACUCUUGAAAGCUGAUUAUUAACUGUAGUUAUUAUUUUUCAAGUUUAUUGUUUUCAUGAUUAAAAAAGUGUGUAUUCAAAGUUAAUACCAUUGAUUUAUUGGAGGUUGAGGUCCAGGUAACAUCGCAGGCACUUGAUUGCUCAUUGGUAACGGAUAAUUAGUCCAUUGUUGGUCCCUAAAUUAGCAACAUUUGUUAGUGAUUUCUUUAUACAUAUGCAUAAUUGUUAGCUAUUAAUCCACUAAGCAUUUGAUAUCAUUUUAGCUUACCUCAAAGGCAUUGAUGGUCCAGGUAGCAUGGGAUUGACACAUUGAGCAUCAAAUAAAUUAGGAUUAAGCUGAUACGGUGAUACCUAUAUUCAAACAUAAUGAAUUCACUGAUAAGUACAACAACAAGAGGAAGAAAAGAAGAAGUUAAAUAAUGAUUGAAAAACUUUUUUUUUUAACAGAAAAUACUAAAAAUGAAAAAUUGGAUACCGGGGAGCAGGAAAAAGAAGGUCCAGGUUGAUUGAAACCACCAUGUUCUGAAGUGGUUGCGUUCGGUGUCAAAUAGCCAUUUCCCGGCUGAGGUUGAUGAAUAAAGGAAUUAUGAUGCCUUGAUGGAGUUUGAGGCCAAUUUUAUAUAAAACUUAACGAUAAAAAAAUAUCAUAAAAAAAGUCUAAAUCUCCCAAUUGUUGUCUGUUUGUUUAACAAUAAACAUUUUGAAGAUGCUCGAGAUAAAUUGAUACACGAAAACAUAAAACUUUUUGAUCCAAUGGGUGAUACAAACACUUGCUAAUUCAAUGGACAUUGUAGCAAAUUGGAGUAGGCAUGAGCACUCACCAUGGUUUGACGAAAUGAAGGUGGAAACAGAGUUGUUUGUUGAAGACUAUCGUUGAUCACAUUGUUAUCCACCACCAUGUUCUGUCCAUCUUGAUCAUUGCAUAAUAUGGAGCUUUGGUUGCCUGAAACCUCCGGUGGCGACCUGCUUAAUUUGUUAUUAGGAACAUUAUUCUUUUUGGGGAAUAAUAAGAAAAACUGUAGAAUAACUAAAUUGCAAGUAAUCAUCUUCUGAUAAAAUAUGCUUAAGAAUGACGUACGAGAGAAACUCAGAAAUAUUGAAUGAAUCUUCUGGUGAUUGAAAAUCGAACUGAUUCGAUGUCAAGUUGACAUCAUCCUCAUUACAAGACGGUGGGACUCCUUCCAUCUGAGGUUUAAAAAAGAACAGAAAGCACAGAUUAGAUAAGAAUAUAUAUAUAUAGAUUAGAUAAGAAUAUAUAUAUAUAUAUAUAUAGACACACACACAUGACUUAUUUAUUUGUUAAAGAAAUUCGGAUGAAAAAUAGGAAAUAUAAAUGUUGCUGUUAAUUAUUUAAUUCUUUGUUUUAAUGCUAAAUUAUUUGUCACUUGUUGUGAACAAGUUUAAUGAAAGGUAAUUAAUACUGAUCAAGUUAAUUCAUGAAUCAGUAAAAAACAACUUCAUUGAAUCAUUAUGUCAGAAAAAUAUUGGAUAAAAAUAAUUAAUGGCAGUCCCACAGGGCAUGGAUUACAAAAUCCCAUAUAUAAGGAGUUAAAAACAGCAAAGAAUCUUCAAAAGACAAAAACACUGAAUUCAAGGUUUAGGGUUAAUUUAAUCAGUAUGAACACCACAGGGCAUGGAUUACAAAAUCUGAGAAAAAGAUCGAUUUAUUUAUCAUGGAUUACUUUAAAGAUUCAGACAAGAUGAAGUACAAAUAAUUUACCUGGAUUCAAGAUAUUCUUCAAGUGCUCGCUUGUUUGCUUAAGCAGUGAUCAGCCAAAAGAAAAGGAAGAGAAAUCACAGAUCAGAGAAGAAUAAAUGGCUUGGAAAAAUAAUAAAGUUGCAGCAUACAUAAAUCUAGUUCGCACUGAUCAUGAGAUGGGGAAAGGAAAAUAGGGAAUUCUACAAUGAGAUGAGAUGUGACGUGGAAGAGAAUGUUACAGCAGCAAGGUCGCCUCAAUAAUAAUAAUUAAUUAACGUAUUGUUUGAUAGGAAGGAAAUUGCCAGGAAGCAACCCAAACAUAUUACAUUAUCAGUUAUAGAAAAAUAACGUGUGGACCCGCCCCAUGUUCACACUUCGAAGAAGCUGCCAAGAAAAUGUAAACACAUGAAAAUGAGAAUGAAUAGCAUAUUUGUGCAUUGAGUGAAGUUUUUUUUUUAAUUAUUUUUUAUUUAAAAAUAUAUUUAAAUUUUUUAUAAAAAUUUUUUAUAUUGCCACAUAAAAACAAUUCAAAAAUAUUAAUUACAAACAGUCACUUGAUAUAAUUUUACAGACUUUUAAUUAGCCUCACUCAUUUGAGCCAUGUCAUGGAUUAAUGGUUCACAGCAACUCUUCAUUCUGUGAUCUUUCCUGCCCUACCUAGAACAACCACCGCCCCGACAUAAAUAAUAAUAAUUUCACAGUUGAAUCAUGUUUUUUUUAAAAACUUAAUAUUUUUUUAUUUUAAAUUAAUUUUUUAAAUAUUUUUAGAUUGUUUUAACAUUUUAAUGUUAAAAAUAAAUUUUAAAAAAUAAUAAAAAUAUUAUUUUAUUAUAUUUUUUAAUAAAAAAAUAAUUUAAAAAACAAUUAUUAUCUCAAUAUCAAACAUUAUCUUAUUAUAUGAUACUAUACUUGAACUUUUCCACACCAAUGGAAAUUUGUUUUUCCCAACACCCUUCUACACAUUUAUAUUUUUAGCCCUCAGACCUAUAAAGUAUGAUUUGCUAGCCAAUCUGCACACUAGUUUCCCAUUAAUACAAAGAUGAUCGUGUUUUUUUGGUGCCAAAAUUGUCGGCCAAUAAUUUUCCAUUUUUAUCCGAGUUUUUAAUGAUUUUUUUUUAUCUCAAAUUUAUAAAUUAAAAAAUUAAUAAAAUAAAAUUUUAAAUCAAAAUUAAAAAUCAAAAUUAAAAUGCAAAAUGCAAAAACUUAGGGAACAGAAUUUUGAAAAACACGCCAGGCUACUUUUUGAUUUCAGUAUCAUAUUUGGUGUUCACAGUUUCAAUUAUUUAUAAUGAAUUAAAUUGAAUACAAUUUUAUCACAUCAAAUGCCAACUUAAAUUAAUCUUCCUUUUUUUUUUACCUUGAGAACUUUAUAAUUAAUUAAAAUAAAUUAUCAACCUCAAAUUUCCAUGAAUAUAAAAUUAAAAAUAAAAUAAUCAGCUCAAAUAAUAAUUAAUUAACGUAUUGCCUGAUAGCAAGGAAGUUGUCAGGAAGCAACCUACCGCUCACCUACCAAACAUGAGAGUGUUUGGAGAUUAUUUUGGUUUUUUUUUUUUAUGGUCAUAUAAAAAAUAUUUCUUUUAAAUUUUAAAAAAUAUAAUGUAUAUUUUAAAAAAUUAUUUUUUUAAUAAAAAAAUUAUCACAUCUCCAUACCAAACACACAUAUUAUAUUAUAAGAUAUAAAAGUUAACAUGUGGACCCCACCAAUGUUGAAACUUCGAAGAAGCUGCCAAGAAAAUGUAAACACAUGAAAUUUUCAAAAAAGAAUAGUAUAUUUAUGCAUGCUGUAAAUGUUUUUUAAAAAUAUUUUUUAUUUAGAAAUAUAUUAAAAUAAUAUUUUUAAAUUUUUUACUUUUUAUAUCAUAAUAUCAAAAUAAUUAAAAAAUAUUAAAAAUAUAUUUUUAAAAAAUACAUUAGGAUUGUAAAGAUAAACCAGUUCUAACAUUUAAAUUGUUUUAAAAGUAUUUUUAAAAUGUAAAAAUAAACAGUAUUUAAGGUGUAUUUGGUAGUUUUUAUCCUUCUGCCUUUGAGUGUGUCUAUCAGAGCAGAGUGAUUUUACUUAACCAUGAAAUUUUUGUGAGAUAAAUUAUAAUGAAUUUUUUUCUAUUUUACUAAUAUACCCAAGGUGUUUAUAACUAGAUGCUACUUGCUGAGGUGGAUAUUAGCAACAGAGGAAAGCAUACAAAAGUAACAAAAAAAAAAAUGGAUAGCAAAGACGAAAGCAUAUGAAGCUAACAAAAUCAACCCCACCAUUUCUCAAAUAUUCAGAUUUUAAAAAACACAUGGAAAUAAUAAUUUAAGAAGAAACAUGUUUUCAAGCUGUGUCAAAUGCAGAAUGCUUUAAUUAAUACGAGGAAAAUCUUGUUGAUAAUAUAGUUCGGUAUAGCGCACUGCCAGUUUAAAAUUACAAUCAUUAUUGAUUUUUAAAGUAUUUUUUAUUUAAAAAUAUAUAAUAAUUUCAGAAUCAUGUUUUUUUAAAAACUUAAUACUUUUUAUUUUAAAUUAAUUUUUUAAAUAUUUUUAGAUUAUUUUGACAUUUUAAUGUUAAAAAUAAAUUUUAAAAAAUAAAAAAUUAUUAUUUUAAUAUAUUUUAAAUAAAAAAAAUAAUUAAAAAAAAAUAUUAUCACACCAUCAAACCUUAUCUUAUUCUAUGAUAGUAUACCUGAACUUUUCCACACAAAUGGAAUUUUUUUUUUUCCAACACUCUUCUACAGAUUUUAUAUUCCUAGCCCUCGACCUAUAAAGUAUGAUUUGCUUCCAAUCUGCACACUAGUUUUCCAUUAAUACAAAGAUGAUCGUGUUUUUUUGUUGCUAAAAUUGCCGGCCAAUAAUUUAAGAGGUGCGUUUAUUUAAGAGGUACAUCAGUCAAUGAGUUUGGAGUACAAAUUUAUAUUUUCCAUUUCUAUAAAGUAUGAUUUGCUAUCCAAUCUGCACACCAGUUUUUCAUUAACACAAAGAUGAUAGUGUUUUUUUUUUUUUUCUGCCAAAAAUUAUCAACCAAUAAUUUUCCAUCAUUUUCCGAGUUUUUUCAGUGACUUUUUGUCAGUUAAAAAUAUAAAGAUUUUUGCGGUGAUUUUAGCCCAACUUUGGGGUAUCGAGUCUCCACUGAGAAAUUAAAAGAAUAGAAAAAAAUAUUACAUGGAGACAAAUUAAGAGAAUAGAAGAAAAUAUUAAAUGAUUUAAUAGAGAAAAAAAUUUAAUUUUAAAUGCAAAUUAAAAUAAAGCAAGGUGACUAAUGGAGAAAGUAGUGGAAUUCUACAAAGAGUAGAACGUCGAAAAUCCUUGCACACAUUUGAUAUUUUAAUUAUUCUUAUUUCGUUUAAUAACUCAAUUGAAAAUUCAAUUCCCAGAAUAUCCGCUUUCGAAAAAUCAUUCAUCACUUUUAAAUACGCAAAUGAUUAUUAAGAAAAUUCAACGACAACAAUAUACUCAAGAGCAAUAUUACAGUAAAGAAAUCAAAUCAAUACAGAUAAAUAUAUGAUCCAAAUAUAAUAAAGAAUUAAUCCAUUUAAUUGAAAAAAAACAUGACUGAAUCCAUAAACUACGUCGCCGUGGUCCCACAUGUUUUUAAAUACAUGCAGGCUGGUUCAAAGUGAAUUUCACGACUUUGGGCCUUGACUUGUCUGUGAGAGCUUCAACUCUACAUUGAAAUGUUUUUUCUUAAACUGUGAGAGCCUCAUAAUAAGCUUAUUGAAAUAAAUUAUUAUAAUGAAAUUAAAAACAAAAAUGCUUAAAAAAAAACAGAGAGACGCCGUGUUUUCUCUGUUGCUACAAGGUAAAAGUCUGAGCAUAUUUAUUUUUUUAUUUUUAUUUUUAUUUUAAUAAUAUUACUGUUAUAUCUACCGCCUAGAAAUCAAGAACGCUAGUUUCAUUUAAAAGAUUCUAAAGUUCAUAUUUAGAUAAAUUAGCAGAAAGGACGAAAACACAACAAAUCAUACCCAGAGAAGAAAUGCAGCGUGCCCACUUGGAAUUACACAUCAUCCAAAUUCCAGGGCAAAUAAUUGGUUGGAAUUGUUUUUUGAGGAGUCAUCUCAAAUUUGAAAAUAAAAACAGAAAAUAGAUCCAGCAAAUGAUUCCAAAUAUCUUCUAAAAAGAACAAUGAAAUAUGUUUUUUAUUUACUGUAAGGAAAUAUAUUAAUGGAAAAAAUAAAAAAAAUCAAUUUAAAAAAUAUAUAAUAAGUCAAAAUCUAGACUUAAAAUCUAACUCGUAUCAGGUUCCUAGUUGAAUUGAAUAAUUGAAUAAAAAGGUGGGAAAGGGAGACAUCGAAAGGUGUCAAAUAGAAAAAAAAGAAGAAAAAAAGAUGGUGGCUGGUUCAAAGGACGAGCUUAAUCUCAUGAAUCAUUUUUUAACCUUUAUGGUAAGACUUGACACGUGUGCUCUAAACCCUCCUGUCCCUCUUCCAUUAGCGUAAACCUAUGCUUCUCUGGACUUAAUUUGAUCCCAAUAAACCAAUCCAUGGAGUUGGUGCUAAUGUAAUUGAUAUAACUUUUUAAAUUAUUUUUAUUUAAAAAAAUAUCAAACUAAUUUUAAUGUGUUGGUAUUAAAAAAAUUUAAAAAUAUUCUAAAAAUAUAUUUUUAUUUGAAAAAUAUUUUUUUAAAAAACCGUAUGUAGAAUUAUUAAACACCCUUAAGCCAGUGGACAAAGACACAAACGACAAAAUACAAAGGAAAAGGGAUAAAAGCAUAUAUUUGGAGAUGAUAAAAGGGCAUGAGAUCAAAGAGGAUAAGUUUUCCAGUGAUGGGAUUGGAUGGUGAUGAAGGAUUGUGUGGAUAAGAGCAUAGUAAUUAAUCCUUUACUAAAAAGUUCUUCAAUGACCUAAUUCUGUGGCCCAACAAAAUUAUCAUUAUCCAAUAAACUAUUUGAUUAAUUCAGUGUUGCUUAAUCCCAGUUUGCUAUUGCGUUUUAAAUGGGUAUUGGUUAAAAUCAGAACCCAUUUAUGUUUCUCCAUUAUUUCUUUUUUCAAUUCGACCACUCUAUGCAGCUCCUCAUUUUCAUUAGAAAUAUUCAGACCAAUACGUCUUUCAUUUCCACCAUGUUCUGCACAUCACACAUAAUGACAUCUUUGUUUAGCGAUGGAGCACAGAGUUGAUCAUAAUAAAUAUCUUCCAUGGUCAAGACACAAUGAAUCUCCAUCACAACCCAACAUCAUUAGCUUAUCUGCUAUCCCUUUCAAGAGAAGAAGAUUUCGAAUCAGUCCAUUCAUUCCCAUCUGUAGGCAUCUUUCUCAAACAUUAAGAAAAAAAAUGAAAAAUAAAUAAAAAAGGAAAUUUUUUUAUCUUAAGCUAUAUAUCCAACACUCACUUGAAAGAUAUUGAUAACCAUGCAAGCAGUUUACAUGUCAGUAUUUGACAAGGGGUGGGAGAUAUUGGAAACAAAUUAGAGUACACAAAUAGAAUGUACUUGGUGAAUUGCCCGCGCGGUGCCGGGGUCAACAUGAACUGAGAAAAACCUAAAAGCACUGAGAUCGAACUGAGCAACCAUGUGCAGUAAGCUAUUUGGCUGCCAGAACAAUUCAAAAAGGGCCUCCGAUUAAACAUCCCGAGGGCAAAUGUAAACACAUGAAAUUUUCAAAAAAGAAUAGUAUAUAUAUUUAUGCAUGCUGUAAAUUUUUUAAAAUAUAUUUUUUAUUUAGAAAUAUAUUAAAAUAAUAUUUUUAAAUUUUUUAUUUUUUAUAUCAUAAUAUCAAAAUAAUUAAAAAAUAUUUUUAAAAAACACGUUGUGAAUAAGUUCUAUCAUUUAAAUUUUUUUAAAAGUAUUUUUAAAAUAUAAACAUAAUUUAAAGUAUGUUUGGUAGUUCUUGUGCUUCUGCCUUUGAGUGUGUAUAUUAGAGCAGAGUGAUUUUACUUAACCACGAAAUUUUUGGGAGACAAAUUAUAGUGAAUAUUUUUCUAUUUUACCAAUAUACCCAUGGUGUUUAUAACAGAGUGAUGCUACAUGCUGAGGUGGAUAUUAGCAACAGAGUAAAGCGUACAAAAGUAACCAAAAAAAAAUAUUGUGUUUUUUAAAAUCUGAAUAUUUGAGAAUUGGUGGGGUUGAUUUUGUUAGCUUGAUAUGCUUUCCUCUUUCCUCUUUGCUUUUCAUUUUUUUUUGUUACUUUUGUAUAAAUUAGUGAAUUUUAUCUUAGUCCAUUAGAAAUUUGCCUUUCCAAUUUUUUUUAAAAACAAAGAAAAGUAAAAUUCAAGACUUAUGUCUGUUUGACAACACCAGUCUAAUGGACUCGUGUUGUUGAAAUAACUUAAUAUUCUAAUAAAGUUUGUUACUGAAUAUAUAUUCUCCAAAUCCUUACUAAAUUAUUAGAAAGUAACAUUAUAAUAUUUUUAGGUCUGCUUAAUUUAUUUGGUUUAAAAUAAUUUUUUAAUAUAGUAUCAGAUAUUUAAUAACUUAUGAGUUAUUUGUUAAGUUAAUUUAAAUUAAUUAUUUUUAUUAAAAUAAUAUUAUUUCAUUAUUUUUUAUUAAUCUAGUCAAAUAUGAACUAGAUUGGUUUUAUUAAAUUUAUCAAAUUUCAUCAAAUUAAUAUUUUAUUUGAUACAAUUACAAAUUCAAUUUUUUUAAGGUCAAUAUUUAGAAAUAAAUGAAUAAAUAAAUAAAAGCUACAUACCAAUAUUUAAUUUAAGUAACCUCAAAGACUACUAAUUUAGCUUUUGAUAUUAAAAGGGUGUAUGUCUUUAUUCUCUGUCUAGUUGAUGAGGCAAAUAUCAGGCUAAUAGCUUUUUAAGUGAGUUUAGAUAAUAACUAAUAAUAUAUCCCUAGUGAUUCCCCUAAUGAUUAUAAAAUAUUGCGUGGGAAAUGCAGGUGAAGAAUUAGAAACAAGGAAAAAUGUCGACACAAUGAAAAUUAAUUGUUAUAUAAUUGUACAUGGCAUACACUUUAAAGCUCUGAACUUCAGUAAAUGAUUUAAUAGAGAAUAAAAUUUAAUUUUAAAUGCAAAUUAAAAUAAAGCAGAGUGACUCAUGGAGAAAUUAAGCACAACUGGAAUUCUACAAACAGUAGAGCGUCGGGAAUCCUUGCACACCUUUGGUAAUUUAAUUAUUCUUAUUUCGUUUAAUAACUCAAAUAUAAUAAAGAAUGAAUCCAUUUAAUAGAGAAAACAUGACUGAAUCCAUAAACCACAUAAAUCCCUUUUUGUUAUCUGGUGCAAUUCCCACGCGUCUUCUUUAUUCCAAAUGCCCCUCUUUUCAAAUUAGGCAUCUUCAAUCUCCUUUUUCAUCACGUCUCCAUGAUCCCCGUUGUGUCACAAACAAAUUGCCUAAAGUUUAGGAUUUUUUUUUGGCAGCCACAUACAUGCUUUAGGAGUUCCUUUUUUGAAAUCCUCAUCAUAGAGUAAUUUGUAGCCCUUCAAGAUACCUUUCCAACGCGUCAAGAAUCACAGCAAUCCGAUAUGUGAGUGGAAAGUUAUGAUUAAAAUACUUUAGUUCAAAGUGAAAUUUCACGACUGCUGGCCUUGACUUGUCUGUUUAAUUUCUAUUAUUUUUAUUCACAUUUUAGCAUUUUAUUCCAAUGAUAGAACGCACUUUCAUAGACUCAUCAAAACCCCACGAACGUCAUCAAGCUUUAGCUUCAAACAACCAGAUCGGGAGAUUUAGUGCAGUGGAGAACUUCAACAUCUACUAUGAAGCUUGAUUUGCUAUCCAAUCCACACACAAGUUUUCCAUUGAUACAAAGAUACUGUAUUUUUUAUACAAAGAUACUGUAUUUUUAACCGUCUAGUAAAUAAUUUAAUGGUAAAAAUUUAAGAUCAAGAGAUUUACUAUCUACUGUGGUCUCAAGUUCGAGUCAUGUGAUUGUCAAUAUUAAUGGUUACUGGAAGCUUACUUGCUCAUUAAUUUUAAAAUUUGUAAAAAUUAGUUAAUGUGCGUGUAAGUUGAUCUAGAUACCCCCAAUUAAUAAAUAAAUAAAAAUGGUGUAUUUUUGUUGCCGGAAAAUUGUCCACCAAUAACUUUUUAUCUUUUUCCAAGUUUUCUAGGUGACUUUUUUCUUUCAUCUCAAAAUCAUGGAUCAAAAGUGAAUAAAAUAAAAUUUUGAAUCAACACUAAAAAUAAAAAAAUAAAAAAUGCAAAAAGUCUAGUGAUCAAGAUUUUUAAAAUCACGCCUAUGCUACUUUCUAGUUUUAAAUAUUCAAAACAAGGCUCAUUAUCAUAUAUUCAUAGAGACAUACCAAUGUAGCUUUUGAUGUUUACCGGUUUGGGUAUGUCCAUAUACUUUUAAAUAUUUUUUAAAAUUUAUAUUUGUUUAUAAAAAAUAUUAAAUUAAUAAUUUUUUAGUUGUUUUUAAUGAUUUUGAUGUAUUGAUAUUAAAAAUAAAAUCUAAAAAAAUUAUUUUUAAAAAAUAUUCUAUAUAACAGUAUCAAACACAUGAUAACCUGGUCCAAAAGCUUUCGACCGAGCAUAAAAUGGUUUUCAACCCAAUCAUACUUUUUCCUCAUUAUAAAUAUAAAAUAAAGUUCAACUAUUCAAGUUAAGUAGGGUCCAAUCAAGGUUGUUAAAAUCACGAUUUUAACAUGAAACAGAAAGUCUUUCACAAAUUCGGAUCGUAAAAUCAUAAAAAAAUCGUAAGGAAUUUUAAAAUAUAUUAAAAAAAAUUCAUAUUUCAAAAUAAUAAUAAAAUAUUAAUUAAAUUUUAAAAAAAAUAAAAAGAACAGGAGAAUUGCAAUGCCAAAAGAUGUCGUCGAAAGGGAUUGGAGAACAUUUUAUUGUUAUUUUUUUAGGUUUUAAAUGAUAACAAUCAGUAUUAUGGAAAUUCCAUCCUGUCACAGUAAUUGAUAACAAGCAGCACUAUUUUGUGGCCCACACUUUUGCCAUUUGUCCAGGAGACUUCAAGCCUUCAAGGCCGAAGCAGAGAAGCGAAGACUGUGCCAUUUGUCCAGGAGACUUCAAGCCUUCAAGGCCGAAGCAGAGAAGCGAAGACCGAAGAUGAAGAAUUGAAGACCAAAGACAGGUGGACAUGGGGCGGGGGACUUUCAGUGCAGGUUUUAGAAAUUAUAUUGAAAUCGUAAAAUCGGUCCUGAUAUCGCGAUUUUGCAUGAUAUCAUCUAAUUUUUGCGAUUUUACCUGAUUUCAACCCGAUUUUACUCAUUUUCAAUUUUUUCAACCGAUUCAACCCGUAAUGCAUGUUUUGACUCGUAAAAUCAUACGAUUUUACAAGUCAAAACGCGAUUUUGACAACCUUAAGUCCAAUCUUAAAUGGUUCAAACAUUAUUGUUAGAACGUGACAGUGUCCCAGCAUUAGUAGUGUAGCACGUGCCAUGUCUUAAGCUUAUGUGAUCCGAAAACAAGGCAAUUGAUAAAAAACUGAUGUAUAUUACUCUUUCACACAGGAUGCUUAGAAUAAUACAAUGAAUUGAUCAAAUGAGACUAAGGCUUAAAUAGCCAGAACAAGAAACAACAGAAACAGCUAAAAAUAAGUUCACGUCUUCAACACCCUGAAGAUGUGGAUCCUUGCUUAAAAAUAGGUAAAACUAAAACAGAAUAUCAAAUGCUAACAACACUGUCCUAAUAGCUAGGACACUUAUUAAAAUUAUUAAGACUAAGUCUAACAAUUGCUCCCCUAAACUGAACAUGCUUGAAGCAGUUUAGUUUAUUUCUUCAGCUGAAUUCACCCCAAGUGCAGCUCUGAAUUUCUCGAACAGUUCCAGCCUUAGAGGCUUGGUCAUAAUAUCAGCCAGCUGCUCAUUUGUACCACAAUGCUCUAUGUCAAUUACUUCAUCCUUUGUAAGAUUCCUCAGAAAAUGGAAUCUUACGUCAAUAUGCUUACUCCUACCAUGAAGAACUGGAUUCUUGGCAAGUUUUAUUGUAGAAGAAUUAUCACACAGAACUUUGACACACUUCCUUUCAGUACCUCCAAUUUGUUUAAGUAUCUGUUGCAACCAAAUACAUUGACAUGCACAAGACGCAGCUGCCACAAACUCUGCUUCUGUAGUUGAGAGUGUCACCACCGGCUGUUUCUUUGAUGACCAAGCCACUGCUCCUCCACUUAGCAUGAAAACAUAUCUAGAAGUGCUUUUUCGAUCAUCCAAGUCCCCUGCAUAGUCACUAUCUGUAUAAGCUAGCAUCUCAUCUUACAUCCCUUUCUGUAGAAUACACCAAGAUCAGUAGUGGCUCUAAUAUAUCUGAGAAUUCUUUUGGCUGCCAUCAUGUGAGAUUCCAUAGGAUUGGCCAUGAAACGGCUUAUCAGACACACACUAUAAGCCAAGUCAGGCCUUAUGACUGUUAUAUACAUUAAACUCCCCACUAUUUGUUUGAACAAGGUUGCAUCUGCCUUCUUGCCAUCUUCUUGUUUUGUCAGUCUAUUGCUUCCUGGAACCAUGGGAUUCUUAACACCAUUACAAUUUUCCAGCCCAAAUCUUUUCAAGAUUUCUUCUGCAUACUUUUUCUGACCAAUAUGAAUGCCUUUGGAACUUUGCCGAAUUUCAACUCCCAGAAAAUACUUCAUUUCACCGAGAUCAGUCAUUUCGAAUUCCUUUUUCAUUGACUCUUUGAACUUGCUCACCAUAAUUGAAUCAUUGCUAGUAAAAAUGAGAUCAUCGACAUAUAAACUUACAAUUAGAAUUCUGUUCUUCUCUUCCUUCUUUAUGAACAAUGUGUGUUCAUAGCUACUUCUCUCAAAUCCCUCCUUAGCAAAAUAACCUUCAAUUCUGUUAAACCAUGCUCUUGGUGCCUGUUUUAAGCCAUAAAGUGCUUUCUUCAAUUUAUAAACUUUCUUCUCUUCCCCGUUAAUCUCAUAGCCUGGAGGUUGUGCAAUGUAUACAUCUUCAUUCAACUCGCCAUAAAGAAAAGCACUUUUGACAUCAAGUUGAAAAAGUGUCCAUCCAUUCCUUGCUGCCAAAGCUAUCACUGUGCGAAUUGUGUCCCACCUAGCAACUGGGGCAAAAACUUCAUUGUAGUCUACCCCCUUCUCUUGUGCAUAUCCUUUUGCCACAAGCCGAGCCUUGCAUUUGUCCACCUCUCCAUUUUCAUUUAACUUGGUUUUAUAAACCCACUUUACUCCAAUUAUUUUUGCUUGCUUUGGUGCAUCAACAAGCUCCCAGGUCUCAUUCUUUAAGAUUGCACCAAUCUCCAUAUCCAUUGCAUCCCUCCAUUGUUUCAUUUUUGCAGCUUCUUCAUAAUAAAUAGGAUCAGCAGAAACCAUAAACAAUGAAAAACUUUGUACCUCUUCUUCUGCUUCAAAGUUUCCCCUCUUAUGUAGUCUUGAAGAUAGGCUGGAGCUCGAGUGACUCUUCUCUCGGGCAGAGCAGGUGCUGCAGCAUUACUGGGGAUGCUACCGUGAGAUAUUGCAGCAUCAUUGGAUUGACUGGAUUCUCCUUCUUCUAGUGAUUCUUCAGUUUCAUUUUCUUCAUCACUGGAGGCAUAUAUGUCUGCAUCAACUUCUCCCCAAUCAAGCAUAUCAUUCUUGUCUUCUUCUGUUCUUCUCCAAUCCCAGCUUUGCUCUUCUUCGAACACAACAUCUUUACUAACUAUCACUUUUUUUGUUAUGGGAUCAACCAUCUUGUAUCCUUUGGACUCUUCACUAUACCCCAGCAUCACACACUUUUGACUCCUGGCAUCCAAUUUCAGCUUCUGUGGAUUUGAUACAUGCACAUUUCCUAUGCAUCCGAACACUCGGAAAUAAUCAACAUUAGGCUUGACUCCACUCCAGCAUUCUUCUGGUGUUUUAUUCUUUACAGCAGAGGUUGGGCUUCGGUUGAGGAUAUGGCAUGUCCAUUUCACAGCAUCUGGCCAAAAACGAGCAGGCAUCUGUUUCUCUUCUAGCAGACAUCGUACCAUGUUUAGAAUGGUACGAUUUUUGCGCUCCGCAACUCCGUUUUGUUGAGGAGUGUAAGUUGUUGUCAACUGUCUUUUAAUGCCUUCAAUUCUGCAAAAUUCUGUGAAUUCUUUGGAGGUGAACUCCCCUCCUCUAUCUGUUCUUAACCCAGCAAUAGAUAGACCAGAUUCUUUUUCCACAGCAUUUUUAAAACUUUUGAAUGUCAUGAAAGUUUCACUUUUCUCAUGCAGGAAAUACACCCAAAGUUUUCUACUCAUGUCAUCAAUGAAGGUCAACACAUACCUUUUGUUGCCAUGUGAUUCCGGAGUGAUAGGUCCGCAAAGGUCUGAGUGUAUGAGCUGCAGCUGCUGUGUUGCUCUCCAAUUGCUUUUCUUUGGAAUAAUUUCUCGGUGCUGUUUUCCUUUCAUGCAGCUUGUACACACAGAGGUUGGCACUUGAAACUUUGGAAGUCCUUGGACAAGUUCCUUUUGUUGCAGUAAAUUCAGACUUGUGAAGCUUAGGUGGCCAUAUCUUUUAUGCCAUAAAUCACCGAGAUGAUUGCUGCUCACAUUUAAACAAGUAGAUGAUGCAUGCAGCACAAUAUUUGCCAAUACUACGAACAUCCUAUUUGAUGUCAUCUGUGUAUGCAUAAUUAAACCCCUUCUAGGAUGAUAAACUCUACACUCUCCAUUUUGCAUCAAAAUAGCCAAAUUUUUCUCUUGCAACUGGCCAAUGCUCAACAGAUUAUUUUUUAAUUCAGGAACAUAGUAAACUUCUGAUAUUACUUGAGUUAUACCUUCUAUUUCAAGUCUGAUGUUGCCCUUCCCUUCCACUGGCAUUCUGAGGUUGUUUCCAAGUUUCACCGAGUGACUGAAUUCUUCAUCUAGUUCCACAAACCAUUGUUUGUUUCCUGUCAUAUGGUUAGAGCAACCAGAAUCAAGAAACCAUACGACCUCUCUCUUCGAAUUGUGAAGUUCAACGUAAGACAUCAAAAGGAGUUCUUCUUCUUCAUCCAACUCAGCGUAAUUAGCCCUUUUUUCCCAAUCAGGACACUCAUAUUGAAAGUGUCCCAAUUUAUGGCAUUUGAAACAUUCAACCAGAGCCUUGUUGGAUGUUUGUCUGCCUCGUCCUCUACCUCGUCCUCCUCUAUACAUGCUUCUGCCUCUUCCUCUGGUUGAUCUCUCAUCAUAUGCGACUUUCAACACCUGUUCCUCUAUUUGUUGUCCUUGCAUCCUUUGUUCAUGGACAAGCAGGCUUCCAUGUAAUUCAUCAAUACUCAGGACACUUAGAUCAUUUGACUCCUCUAUUGAACAAACAACAUAGUUAAAUUUUGGAGUCAAUGAUCUAAGUAUCUUACCCACCACUGUGCUUUGUUCCAUCGCCUCACCAUUUGUUUUCAUUUUGUUAACCAAGGCUAGAGUUCGACCCAAGAAGCUGUCAAUUUUCUCUCCUUCUUUCAUGGCUAGUAACUCGAAUUCCUUCCUCAAAGCUUGAAGUUGUGCUCUUCUAACCUUUGUGGACCCUUGAUAUUUCUGCUUCAUUGAGUCCCAAAUAGCUUUUGAUGUUCUCUUGUCGAGAAUUGUCUCCAAAAAUCUCCCUUGUCAAUUGCUUGAAACAAGAAAUUUUUAACUUUCAAGUCUUUGAGUUUGAUCUCCUCUACACUCUUCCUCUGUGCCUCACUUGCUGCUGCAUUUCCAACAGCCAGUGUUGGAAUCCCUUCGUCCACAAGAUUCCACAUCUCCUUGCUCCUAAGGAAAUUCUCCAUUGUCAUUGCCCAGAAAUCGUAAUGGCCAUCAAAUCUCGGAAUGGAAGGCUGCACGAAUUUGUCUGCGGUUGACAUCUCGAUUUUCUCCUCCUUUUUUUUUUUUUUUCUCACACACUCUGUGUUGAUUUUCACUCUCACCCUUUUGUUUUGUCUCACACACUGUGUUUGAUUUUCACUCUCACACACUUUCACUCACACUCGUGUUUGCUCUUACUGUCACACACUCUAUACUUGCUCACACCCCCACACAAUCAGGUCCCCUUUUAGGCUCUGAUACCAAAUGAUAAAAAACUGAUGUAUAUUACUCUUUCACACAGGAUGCUUAGAAUAAUACAAUGAAUUGAUCAAAUGAGACUAAGGCUUAAAUAGCCAGAACAAGAAACAACAGAAACAGCUAAAAAUAAGUUCACGUCUUCAACACCCUGAAGAUGUGGAUCCUUGCUUAAGAAUAGGUAAAACUAAAACAGAAUAUCAAAUGCUAACAACACUGUCCUAAUAGCUAGGACACUUAUUAAAAUUAUUAAGACUAAGUCUAACAGCAAUUGGUGUUUGAUGGAAUUAGCUGUCACUAAAAAUAAAAUAAAUAAAAUCCUCUGUGAACUAAUUAAUUCCUAAAUUAUUUUUUUUAUUGUUUUUCACAAAAUUUAUAAAAAUAAAAAUAUUUUAUUAGAUAUUUUAGAUACUCCACUAUUAUAAUAUUUUAUUUAAGUUUAGAUUUUUAUUUCAAAAUUGAAUUUUAUUUAAGUUUAGAUUUUUAUUUCAAAAUUGAAUUUUAUUUAAUAUAACAAAUAUUACGAUGUUUUAUUUUAUCUGAAAUUUUUUGAAAUGUUAUUUGAUUUUAUUAAUUUAACUCUUGAUUGUCUCAGGUCCUCCAAGGCAUUCCUCCACUCCUUGGUUAACUAUCUCAUGGAGGUUAACUCCCUCCACCUCUCUUACGGAUAAAGUAAAGAAGCCAUUUACACUUCAUAAGAAACCGUAAUAUAACAAACAGAGGAUCUGUAAGUUUCAGAGAACGACAUCAAUUUAAUUAUGCGAAGUUCAAUCUUUUUUCCUCUACAAAUUAAAUCAUGUACGUAAACCUGUUACCUACAUUUUGUAAUAUUUCUGGAUCUGCUCUUUGAUUCAUCAAGGACAGAGUUGAUUGCAGCUUCGUCAUAGAAAAGUUCGUCUUCUUCAUCUUCUUGGUUGGCGAGGAAAUAUAAGUGGACUCUUCUCCAGUUUAAGGAUUCCAACCUAGCACAUGAAUGAUAAAGGACAGAGUCAUCAUUUAAAUAAUAAAGGGACGAAGGACAUCCUUAGCAUUAGGAUGCUCCCAUUCCACCACUGACUCUCACCAUUCUUUUGGAUGUACUCCAUCACUCUAAGAGAAGGGGGAUGAGAUAGCUGGCCAUUUUCAAGCAACGGAAGAUGAAUUGCCAGCCUUUUCAGCAUCUGACAAUUUGAUAUCCCAAUUUGUUGGAGAGAAUCGCAGAUCAAACUCUUUAAAAAUAGAAAUAUACCAUGAUAAGAUGGAGAUGAUGGUGGAGCGGAGCGGAGCAGAGCCAAGAAGACGAAACCAAGCUCUCCAUGUUAUAGCGCUUCCAAAUGUUGGUACUGGCAUUUUAUUGAAAUGAAACUUAGAAUCAACUGUUUUGAAAGCCAUUUGAUAGCUAAGAACUCAGAAUCCAUGAGAUUAAGUAUUUGGCAAAGCCUUCCCCGUGAUUGGAGCAAUCUCACUAAUUUAUCGACGGAAUGGCUAGAAUUGUCUUCCUCUUAACUAAUCUUUAGCAAACCAAGCUUCAAACAAUAAGAGGGAGCUUCAGUUCAGUAGGAAACUUCAACAUCUAUUAUAAAAAUCGUGUUUGGUUACGCUGUGUAAAUUAUGUAUUUAUAAAUUUUAAUUUUUUUUUAUUAAAAAUUAUUAUUAUUAUAUUUUCAGAUUAUUUUGACGUGUUAUAUCAAUAAAAAAUUAAAAAAUAUUAUUUUGAUGUAUUUCUAAAUAAAAAAUACUUUGAACAAUAAUCACUACCACAAUCUCAAACAAACUCUUGUGAUUUGCUAUCCAUUAAUACAAAGAUCGUGUUUUUUUGUUGUUGAAAAAUUAUCAACCAGCAACUUUUUAUCUUUUUCCAAGCUUUUUGGUGAUUUUUAGGUAGCAGCGUGAAGCCUCGCCAAAAGCCCAAGAUUAAAAAUAACCAUGCUCCUAGCCCAAGCCCACCAACAUCACCCCCAGCAGAUUGGAAAAAUGCUCAUAAGUCAUAACCAUUCCGGAAAAAACACACCUAGGCUAGUAUGGUAUACUAGAAAGUGGAAAUAAAUCGAUAUUAAUCAUCAAAUAAAUCGUUAGCAGAAACCAAAAAUAAAUAAAUAAAUUGUUCAUGCUACUCCAUCUUAUUGAUGGGAAUGACUUUUGACCAACAUACAUACGACUUUGCUAAAAUUAUCUGACAAAUUAUUAGGCUUAUAAAAACACUUAAUAAAAUCAGAAAAAAAAAAUCAUUUUUAUUCAAUAAAAUAAAAAAGAAAACUCAGGUAAUAAAUAUUCAAUUCACUUUCCAGCCGCCAAUAAAAAAUAAAAGUAUUUUUAUUCAAUAAUACUUCUUGGUAACAAAUAAGCUGCCAAGAAUUAUAUGAGAAUCAAAUCUCUCCGAUCACAUGGUCGUUUAAAAUGCUCAACACUCAGAAAACAAAUUUACAGAAUAAUAAGUCUAGUAAACUUCUUGAUAUAUAUAUAUAUUAUUCAACCAAAUAAUUGCUUGUGACAUAUACAUGGAGAGCUUCCUAGUAUUAAAAAUUUAAGAUUAUCAAAUAAUUAAACUUUUUAUUCAAACCAAUAAAUUUUAUGUGUCCAUGCUACUCCAUCUUAUUGAUGGGAGUGACUUUUGACCAGCAUACAUACGACUCUGCUAAAAUUAUCUGACAAAUUAUCAGGCUUAUAAAAAAACUUAAUAAAAUCAGAAAAAAAAAUCAUUUUUAUUCAAUAAAAUGGAAAAGAAAACUCAGGUAAUAAAUGUUCAAUUCACUUUCCAGCCGACAAUAAAAAAUGAAAGUAUUUUUAUUCAAUAAUACUUCUUGGCUCAUAAAUAAACUGCCAAUAAUUAUAUGAGAAUCAAAUCUCUUCGAUCACAUAGUCGUUUAAAAUACUCAACACUCAAAAAGUAAAUUUACAGAAUAAUAAAUCUAGUAAACUUUUUGAUUUAUAUAUAUAUUAUUCAACCAAAUAAUUGCUUGUGACAUAUAUGUGGCGAGCUUUCUAGUAUUAAAAGUUUAAGAUUAUCAAAUAAGUAAAAUUUUUAUCUAAACCAAUAAAUUUUAUGUGUCUAUUUUAAAAUUUGGUUUUAGAAAGAAAAUCAAAAUGAAAUAUCAAACAUUACCUAUAAAUCUUUAUAUUACAGAUUAACUAUAUCACCCAUUUAUCAUUCUUAAGGUCAAUAUUUAGGAAUAAAUAAAUAAAAGCUACGUAUCAAUAUUUAAUUUAAAUAACCUCAAAGAUUACUAAUUUAGCUUUUGAUAUUAAAAGGGCGUAUGUCGUUACUCUCUGCCUAGUUGAUAAGGCAAAUAUCAGGUCUUCUAUCUCCACCACUCCCUGCUAACUCUUUGCCUCAUAUCUUACGUUAUAUCUAUUAAGUUUGCUUAAUUAAGAUGGAAUAUUUAUGACUUUUAUAUGUAUUAAAUCAAUUUAAUUGUUUUGACUUAUCAUGAUCAACAUGAAGUCAUCAUAUUAUAAAACCAAAAAUCAAUGGUGUAUCUAAUUAUCAAAAAGGUAUAAAUAUUGCUAUGAAGUUAACGUGUGGACCACCCCAAUUAUGAAGCUCGGAAGAUGCCUAGAAAAUGUAAACACGUGAAUAUUGAAAACAAUAACAUACUUUCCUUUUUAAAUUUUUUAUUUUAUUUUAAAUAAUAAUUUUUUAUUUUGAAAAAAAAUUUAAUAAAAAAAUUAAUAAUUUAAAAAGUAAAAAAAAAUCAAUUUUGUUGAAAAACGUGUGCUUUAACAAUGACAUAUUAAAUAUGUGAUUAAUUAAGAGCAUGUGAUUGCUUUUGUUUUUAGUUGUUUUUUCAAAAAAGAUAUAUAGAUAUUUUUAAUGUUUUUUUAUAAUUUUAAUGUAUUAAUAUUAAAAAUAAAAUAAAUAAAUAAAUAAAUCAUGUAGUCUAUUUCCAAAACAAUCUAAUAUUGGAGGUUGAAAUUAAAAAAAAAAAAAUUAAAAAAAUAUAUAUUCGAUCAGUGAAUAAAUCUAUCAAACCAGUGAAUCAGGUAACUUGAGCUAACACAUCAAACUAAUUAACAAGGUUAUGGACUCCAGUAGGAUUAUUUUUUUUUAAUUUUUUUAUUUAACAAUAUGAUAAUAAAAAUGGAUAAUUAUGAAACUAAAUUUUAAACCAACUCAAAUAUGAAAUAGAAAAAAAAAAUUAAAAAAAUUGAUAACCAAAAAAAGAAAAGGGAAAGAAAAAAGAAGAAGCAAAACAAUAUAGAUUAUUAUUGUAAUUCAUAAUGAAAUGGGUGUGAGUGAAUAUUGGUUCUCCCACACCUUUUAGCUUUUUUUUUAAUUAAUAAACAAAAAAAUACUUCAUUAAACCAAUAAACUAGUAUAAAUCACGUUAACUUUAUAAAAAGAUAGAAUAAAAAUAAAUAAAUUAUAAAGUUGAAUUUUAAACCACCCAAUAUGAAAUAAACAAAAACAAAUUUUAAAAAAUAAUAAUAAAAAAAAAAACACAUUAGAUUACUUAUAAUAAUUUAUAAUGAAAUAGGUGUGAAUACGUCUCUUAACUAUUCGUGAGCUUCUUAUUCAUUCUUAGUUUUUCUUGAAGUUAUUCUAUUGAGGAAAAAGAGAAGAAGAAACCCUACCUUUUUUUCCCUCUUCAUAAUGCAUGGAUUUAAGUUGGGUGGAGAUUCAGUAAUCAAAAUAUUUUUUUAUUUUUAAUAUUAAUAUAUAAAAAAUAUUAAAAAUAUUAAUUUAAUAUUUUUUGCAAAAUAAACAGAUUUUUAAAUACAAUCAAACAUAAUUCUGAGUACAAAAACAAAUUACGUUUUGAUUACGAGCAUAACAAUCUUGGCAGUAAGUACCAUGAUCCUUUCCAAUUAAGUUAAUUUUAGGAUUUUUUUUUGGCAACCACAUACAUGUUUUAGGAGUUCUUUUAAUUUAUUAAAUCAAUAUUAAAGUAAAAAAAUUAAAUCAAUAUAGAUAAAUAAAUGAACUAAAUGUAAUCAAACAAUUAAUCCAUUUAAUAGAAAAAACCUUACUGAAUCCAUAAACUACAUUAAUCCCUUUUCUUUUCUUGUUUUUUUUUUUUUCUCUGGUGGAAUUCCCACUAGUCUUCUUUAUGGGCAGCCCCACUUUUAAACCCUCUUUUUCAUCACGUCCCCAUGGUCCCCGUGUCCCACACGUUUUCAUCAAAAACCUAAAUUUUAGGACUUCUUUGGCAGCCAUCUAACAAUAUAUAAAAAUAAUAUUUUUAUUUUUAAAAAAUUAUUUUUAACAUCAAUAUAUUAAAAUAAUCUAAAAAUAUAAAAACAUUAUUUAAAAAAAUCAAAAUUUUUAAAAACACAAGCAUUCCCAAAGAAGGUAACGCGUCAAGAAUCAUAGCAAUCAGACAUGUGAGUGGAAAGUUGUGAUUAAAAAACAUUACUAUUUUUAGAGUGAUUUUGACAGCAUAGCAGGAAACGUCAUUAUUGUUAUUUUUAAAAAAAAAAUUUAUUUAUAAAUAUAUUAAAAUGAAAGUUGUCAAUUUCGUUUCGUUUUAUUUGUAAUGAUUUCAUACCAAUUCAAAAAAUAAAAUAAAACAAAAUAAUUUUCAUCUUAUUUCAAAUCUCAGUCCCUUCCAAAUGUUUCAGCUAAAUUCCAUUCAGAAUGUUCCGGUUUCAUUCUACAUGUUCUGUUCUGGUCUUAAAAAGCCAUUGUAUCAAAUUGAACCUGGUUCAAUUAAUUAAUUAAACCAUCAAAGUAUAAAAAGCUCUUUUUCAUUACUAUUUUCAUUAACUAUGAUAUUAAUUUUUUAAAAUUUGAUUUAUCACUAAUAUAUAUGAUUUAUUUUCAUGUACUUUGUAGGAGUUUAAGCAAAAAAAUAGAUGUUUUAGAUCUCAUUAGCCUUAAUAACAUUGACCUAGCUUUAUAUUUAAAAUAUUAGUGUUAAAAUAUUUUAAUUUCAUAAUAUUUUGAUAUUUUAUUAAAGUUGAAUUGUUUUAAGUUAAAAAUUAUUUAAUUUAAACUAUUUAAAAAUAUUUUAAAUUUUAAAAUUAUAUUUCAUCACGUCUCUAUGAUCCCCGUUGUGUCAAAAACAAAUUGCCUAAAUUUUAGGCUUUAGCAGUUCCUUUUUUAAAAUCCUCAUUAGUGAAAUUUCACGACUCAUUAUUUCUAUUAUUUUUAUUCCAUUUAAGCAUUUCAUACUCAUCAAAACCACUGGAACACAAUCAAGCUUUAGCUUCAAACAACCAGAGGGAGAUUUUAUAGGGAUAAAAUUUUAAAAAUCACGCUUAUGCUACUUUCUAGUUUUAGUAUUAAAUUUAGUAUUUAAAAAAUAUGUUUAUGAAUAUGGCAGUUUCAGGUUUAGAAACCAAAACUGCCAUAUUCAUUCUCUUAGACAUUUUAAAAAUGUGUGUAGAAGAAUACUUUCAAUGUUGAUUUAUAAUAUUAGGUUACUUUAAUGAUAAAUCAAUAUAGUAUUUUUUUUUUUUUUUGGAUUUUCAUCUUGGAGAAAUUCAAUAGGAUGAAAAUAUAAUAUUAAUCAAACUUCAAAUUAUAAUUGUUUAUCUAUCGAGUUAAAAAAAAUAUGACAAUUCAAUAGUCUUUAAAGAAAUAAAAAAAAUGAAAAAUGUUAUUUAUGUAAUUGUAAGCAUACUAUAUUAUAUUACUUUACAAAGGGACGAAGAACAUCCUUUGCAUUAGGAUGCUCCCACUCCACUACUGUCUCCCACCAUUCUUCUGGACGUGCUUGGAUAUUUUGAAGAGAAGGGGGAGGAGAUGGCUGGCCAUUUUCAAGCAAUGGAAGACAAAUUGGCAACCUCUUCAGCUCCUCACAAUAUAUUACAUUAAUAUCUUCAAGAGAAUUGCAAAUCAGUUUUGCACUACAAAUGCUUUUCAAUUUUGGUAAAUCAAACAAUUCCAGAAUUCUUAACUUUGGGAGAAUGACUUCCGUGAUGGAAUUGGAGGUGCUGCUUUCUUCAUCUGCUGUUCCUAUUAUCUCCUCCAUUUUCUCACAAUCAUGAACAAUCCUUUCCAGGUUUACGAGGUUUGGUAGCAACACAAGCGGGAACAGCUUCUUCAUACUUUCACAAUGAUAACAAAAAAACUCUUUAAGACCAGAAAACGUACCGUUACAUGAUGGCAAUCGUGGUGGAGCAGAGCAGAACCAAGAAGAUGAAACCAAGCUCUCCAUGUUAUAGCAUUCCCGAAUGCUGAUGCGCUCCAGUUCAGUUGCAUUCUCUAAUGACAAAACAUCACAUAAACUUCUUGCAUCGAUGCAUUCACAAAUCAGUCCUUGAAUGCCAUUUAAGAACUUGACCUGAAAAUCUCUAUCUCCGUUGAUACUCAAAUUACCCAACCCAACUGUUUUACUUGGAAAAUAUUCAAUGCAUUGCUCUAAAUAUCUACCCACCUCUCCUACUAAAAUCUUGCAUGUGCUUAAUGAUUGGAUCCCAUCCCGAGAUCUGAGAUACUCCACAAAGUCAGAAAAACCUUUGAAAUGGCACUUCAAAGUUUCCAAAUUUCUCAAGGAUCCUACUUCCUUUCCUUUAACUGAUAUCGGAGCACUCGUAAACUUUUGUAGUACAAAGACUUGCAGGUGAGAGAGUUUUGGUAAUAUCCCACUAGGAAACUCCUUUUCACCACAUCCAUUCAUUAUAAGAUACCUCAGGUUGUUUAGGCAUUCCAUUCCUUGCGGCAUCUUUUCAAGCGCAGUACAAGAGAGGGCCAACCUCUUCAGUUCCCUUAGCUUCUUUAAUGAUGGAACACGUCUUAAUUUCUUACAAUAAUUGAGCAAUAAUGCUGUAAGACUCACCAAAUCAGAGACAGAGUCUGGCAAGUUUUCAAUACCUGUGCAAGACAGAUCGAGGACCUUGAGCCUAUGCAAUUGCUUGAAAAAUGAAUCCGCAACAAAUCUCAACCCUUUAUUAUCACAUAGAAAUAGAGUUGAUAGAUAGGGACACCUUGGUGAAUAGCUGGAAGGAAUUUCUUCUAUCUCGUUUCUCAUUAGUGAAACCAUCGUCAGAUUCUCCGUCCACUCCUCUGCAUCUGGCAACUCUUUUAAUUGCGCACCUGCUUUAACCAUGACUUCAUAUUUGUCUUGCAGUAUUUUGAUGGCCAUGUCCCUAAUCAAGUCAUGCAUCUUGACACAUAUAGUAUCAUGGUACUCCAUUUUAGCAUUUUCCAAUAGGCAGACAUUUACAAGUCUAUUAAGCAUCGUGUGGCCCUCAUCAAAUGCAUCUCCCCUGCUCCUCUUUCCUUUAAUUAUUCCCUCAUCGAUCAAAUAACCUAUCAACUCCUGCCUUGCAAUCAUAUCAUCUUCAGCAAAUAAUGCACAGUACAAGAGACAUCGUUGUAGUGCAAAAUCACCUAACUGAUUAUAACUAAACCUCAAUAACCUGAAUACUUUCUUAUCUAUGUCCCUAAAUUCUGAUUCUCUCAAUUUGUUCAAUGUAUUUCUCCACUCAUGUGGGUCAUCCACUCCCCUCAAGCUUCCUGCCACUGCAAUAAUUCCCAAUGGCAAACCAGCACAUUCCCCAGCAAUAUCUUUGGCAAUUCCUUCCACUUCUGGUAAAAGUGCUAUGUCACGUCCAAGUUUUUCCAUGAACAAAGUCCAAGCUUCUCCCUCCGAAAGUAGCUUCACUUUGAUUUUGUGGUGGCAAGCCAUCCGAAGACAAACCGUUUCUGAUCUAGUUGUCAUAAUCAGCUUGCAUCCUUUCAACAGCACAGGAAUUCCCACUUCAUCAAGCUCAAAAUUGUGCCACAAAUCAUCUAAAAUGAGAAUCCAUUUUUGUUUCGUCCUUAAUUCUUCUGACAAUUUGACAGCUCUAUGCACAUCAUCAUCUUCGUUUGCAAGGUUUAGAUCAAGACAUUUAGCAAUAAGAUUCUGCAAUCUAUUAAUGCUGAAAUCUUGAGAUACAAUCACCCACCAAACAUGAUUACAAAUAUCUUUUCUUUGUAGAAGCUCAUUAUGGACAUGUUUUAGUAUUGUUGUUUUACCAACUCCUUCCCAUUCCAUAAAUGCCAAUGGUUGAGACUUCAUCAUCCAUUAACAAAGACCAUAUCACCUUCUUAUUCUCUUCAAAUGCUCGACCCACUGGCUUUAUAGAGCUAGUAGGUAAUGGAACUCCUCUAGUCUCACUUGUGUUGUAUUUAAGGCUUAUAGAAGAUCUAGCUCCAGCGUCAGGCCGCACUGAUCUUCCACUAUUCUCCAUAUCCUCCUCCACUGGUUCUGUCCUCACUCUAACCAUGUUCUGCACAUCAUACAUAACGACAUCAUUGUUUACUGAUGGAGCAAAUAGUUGGUCAUAAUAUCUUCCAUGAUCAAGACACAAUGGAUCUGUUGGUUGGGAUGAAUCUCCUCGAGGCUCAUCAGCUUGAUUAAUUGAUGGCCUCUCACAAGAGCUACCUCUCUCCAGAUGCUGCACUUGUUCUGUUCUCGCUACAGUUUCAAAUCCAUCAUGCAUUAAAUAUUGAUCCACUACAUCCUCAUCUUCCUGCAUUAAAUAGGUAGAGAUUUCAUUCAGCUGCUGCUCCUUUGAAAGGGCAGAGUGUAUCUGAACCCAAGUACCAUCAGCAAAUUGAUCCACUAAAUCUGUUCCUGGUGUUGCUUCUCCUCUAUUCUCAUGAGCAUCAACUCUGAGUCUCCAAGGAGAGAGACUUCUGUCAACAUGCUGAAACGAUCCUUCACCAGUGUAUUCCAUGCCACUUGCCGCUUCUAAACGCCAAUGAAUUCUCUCAGGCCCAACACCUUGUGCCAAAUUAAUAAGUACUGCAUUGUCUUGUUCUUGUGGACAGGUGGAAAUGUCAACAUUGCUUGAACUUGCUAUGCUUUUAUGUCUUUUGUUGCCAACAUGCAUAGCUAGAAAGGCUGCUUCUUGAACUUCUUGAGGCACCUGACCACAAAUGCCAACACCACGCCCUCUCUCUCCUGAUAAAUGCCAUUUGAUCCUCGAAAUGGAAGUACCAUUGGCAAAUAAAUGACCACAAAACUUACACUUCAUGCUUCCAUCAUUCAUAUCUUCAACUUCCUUCCAAAACGGAUCAUCUGAUCUAACCAUUUUGUCCUAUAGAUAAAAAGGGUCAAAAUAUUGAAUAAAAAUUAAUGGAAGUACAUUAAUUGGAAAAGGAAGGUUGAAACUAAAAUAAUAAGUUACAAACAGCAAAGAAACUAAGAAGAAAAAACAAUGAAUUCAAGGUUAACUUGGGGUCAAUUUAUUAUGAACUCCUUAAGGCAUGGAUUGUUACAACUGAGAAAGAUCAAAUUAUUUAUUUUUGGAAACUGUUGAUGAUCCUAACUCCAAAGUUUCUCAUUAGAAUUUCUACAACUUGUGUUUUCCUUGAAAGAUUCAAACCAGAGUUACAUGUGAAAAACAAAAUGAAGAAGAUGGAUUAUAAAUAAUUUACCUGGAUUCAAGUUGUCUUCAAGUGCUGGUUUGCUUAAGUAGUAUUCAGGAAAAAAACAAGAACAGAGAAGAAUAUAUGGUUAAAAAUAACAAGGAAGUUGCAAGAUGUUUAGCUCCGGAUGAUUCGAUUCAAUCGGAAAAGGAAGCACUGAUCAUCAGAAAGGUUUAAGAAAUUUGAUGAGGGAAAUUGGGAAAUCAAUGGUAUAAUGAGAUGAGAUUUGGAAGAGAAUGUUACAGUAGCAAAGAUUAUUGUAUUGUUUGAGAAGAAGGAAGUUGCUAGAAAGAAAGCCACAAACUUUAUCUAAUUUGCUUUUCUUUUGUCUAGCGCUGCAUAUAAUAAAAAUCUUCAACAUAAGAAUUAGAAGCUAAUUGCUGACUGAGUUAACGUGUGGCCCACCCCAUUGUUGAAACUUUGAAAAAGCUAUGCCUCUCACUUCAUUAUCUGAUCCACUCCAACUUCCAUUCCCUACAGAUUCAAUAUUUUUUUAAGGUCAGUAUUUAAAAAUAAAUGAACAAAUAAAUAAAAGCUACGCACCAAUAUUUAAUUUAAGUAACCUCAAAGACUACUAAUUUAUAUUUUUAUAUUUUGAUAUUAAAAGGGUCUCUAUCUCCACUCGCUGGCAACUCUUCUUUAAAACAAAAGGCGGAUGACAUGGAUAUGGCUUAGAAAUUAUAGAGAAUCUGUGAGUUCCAGUUUUGUAUAUAUCUUGGUGUGCUUCUCAUUAGUGAAAAAGGCUAAAUGCUGUUUAUUGCUUUUCUUUUGUCUAGCGCUGCAUAUAAUUAAAAACUUCAACAAAAGAAUCAGAAGCUAAUUGCUGGCUGAGUCAACGUGUCGACCCACCCCAUUGUUGAAACUUAGCUUCAAGAGCUGUAAGUACUAUGCUAUGAAUGAUGCCUCUCAUCAAUUUUAUCUAAAUGUUGUUUAUUGCAUUAGUGAAAAAGCUAAAUGCUGUUUAUUGCACGCUGCUAAUUGAGAAAUACAGAACUCAGUUCAACCCAGCAAGUUGCUGCAUCAGAGUUAAAACUCCAUAGCAGUCAGCACAAUCUAUGAAGAUAAAAUUGAAAACAAAACAAUCAAUGACUAAAAUUAAAAAAAUGCAUCUAAGGCUUAGAAAAAACUGAGAUAAAACACUAUUUUUCUCUCUUGAUACAUGGUAGAAGCCUGAGCAUAUUUAUUUAUUUUUAAUUUUAAUUUUAAUAAUAUUUGUGUUCUUUCUACCCCGAGAAAUCAAGAACGCUAAUUUCAUUAAACAAGAUUCUAAAGCCCGUAUUUAGAUAAAUUAGAAGAAAGGACUCCAACCCUAGCGCAAAAGACCUAUAAACUAGCCUAACAAAUCAUACCCAGAGAAGCAAUAUGUUUAUUGACAUAAAUAAUUCUAAAUUUAAUAAGUCUAUUUAAUAAAAAAAAAAAUUUGAGCUAGCUUGUUUCUGGCUUUUGCUUCUCUGGGUAUGAUUUGUUAGGCUAGUUUAUACUUUAUAGGUCUUUUGCGCUAGGGUACGUGGUUAAAAUCAAGGUUGUCAAUUUCGUUCCGUUUUGUUCUACUCGGAAAGGCCGAAACAUUCCAUACCAAUUCAAAAAACAGAACAAAACGGAACAAAUUUCACAUCAUUUUAAAUCUCGAUCCAUUCCGGAUUUUUUGGCUAAAUUCCACCCGAAACGUUCCGGUUUCAUUCCACAUGUUCCGUUCCGCUCUUGAAAAGUCAUUGAAUGAAAUUGAACCUUACUCAAUUUUAUUAAUUAAACCACCCAAUUAUAAAAAGCUCUUUUUCAUUAUUAUUUUCAAUAGCAAUGAUAUUAAUAAUAAUAUUGAAAUUUAUUAUUACUAUUUUCAUUAACAAUGAUAUUAAUUUUUUAAAAUUAGAUUUAUCACUAAUAUAUAUGGUUUAUAUUCAUGUUUUUUUUUUUUUUUAUGUUUAUACUUUGUAGGAAUUUGAGUAAAACAAUGGAUGUUUUAGAUUCCAUUAGCUACUUGAUAACAUUGACCUAACUUUACAUUUAAAAUAUUUUUGUUAAAACAUUUUACUUUCAUAAUAUUUUGAUAUUUUGUUUAAGUUGAAUUACUUUAAGUUAAAGAUCUAUUUAAUCUUGACUAUUUAGAAAUAUUUUAAAUUUUAAAAUUAUAUUUGUUUGGCAUUGUAUUUGUAUUGCAUAAUUUAUAAUUAAUUUAUCUUGAAUUUGAAUUAUGUUUGUUGAAUAUAUAUAUAUAUAUAUAUAUGAACAGUACAACCCCGAAACGGCACGCCGAAACACUCUGAAACUGAAACAUUUCAUUCCAAUUGAAAAAACAAGAUACCUACCGAAACAGAAUUGACAACCUUGGUUAAAAUAACUAAACACAUUGACUUUUAGCUACCCAACUAGCUUUUGUGAGAUUUAUUUAUUUUUUUAAAAAAAUAUAAAAUAUAAAAUAUAAAAUUUUUUUAUUUAAAAUUAAUAUUUUUUUUAUAUUUUCAGAUCAUUUUAAUGUACUGAUAUCAAAAAUAAUUUUUAAAAAUUCAAAAAAUAUUUUUUUAAUAUUUUUUCAAAUAAAAAAUACUUUAAAAAACAAUCAUAACUACACUUCCAAACAACUCUUUUUAACCCAAAAGGUCAAGUACAUGUCCCAAAUGCCAACAACCGAGCAUAGAAAGGUUUCAAACCCAUGGUGCCUUUUCCUUAUUAUAAAUAUAGAAUAAAAAUUAAGUCAAGGAGGUCUAGUCUUAAAUGCUCCAAACAUUAUCCAUGUCUCAAGCUUAUGUAUGAUCCAAGAAUUCAUAUUUAUUACAAAAUUAUAAUUUUAUAUGAGUUUUUAUCUUUAUGAUCCAAGAAGUUUAUAUUGUAAAUUCAAGAGUUUUAAGUUAGUAGUCAAUUUUAUAAUUCAUAAAAAUAUUUGAUCCCUGAAUUAGUUUUCUAAUUGUGUUCUUAAUCCCUGAAUUAAUUAGUUUUCUAAUUGUUUUGCAUAAAUUCUUAAGAAUAAAAAUAUUUUAACAAUAGUUUUAGUGCUAAAAAUGCUACUCUAUUCGACUUUUAAUUCAAAUUGUAUUUAUAUAGUUAAAUGUUUUUCUCUUUAAUAAAUCCAUUAUUGGAUAUGAAAUUUAUAACUUAUUUUAUAAUUCAAAAUGGAGAUUUGGUUUGUGUUUUAAGUUUUUUAUUUUUGUAAAACUGAUUGAAAAAAUAAAAAUUUACAUCAAGCCAUGUUGGCUUAACUCGAAUAGGCAAGAUCAAAGACACAAGUGAAUAAUAAAUUUUAAUAUUCAUAGUUGAUGACUGGUGGAGCAAAAUCCAACUCGGAGCUAUAGCGUUGCACUGCAUUCUUUUAAAAUUUGAUAUUGUUUUUGCUAAAAUUAAUUUUUUUAUAUAUUUUUAAAUAAUUUGAUGUUUUAAUAUCAAAAAUAAUUUUAAAAAAAUAAAAAAAAUAUUAUUUUAAUAUAUUUUUAAACAAAAAUUAUUUUAAACUAUAACUGUUAUUAUAUUACCAAAGACACCCUCAUCCCGUUACUUUGUAUAGACCUCGUAAUUUCCAAGAGAACCUUAGCCAUUCCUUUAUGCAUGUGCACGCUUUGCCAAACAAUCCUUUAGGACUAAUUUCGACUCUUCGUUGGCGAUAGCAGUGAUGGGAAUGAUGACACUUCUCUCCAUCCUUGACCAUUUCAAUUCCGAGAAACUCCCCCACCAUCCCAUAAAAAAGUAGUCCUCUUUCUUUGAAGAAUUUUCCUAAUUAGUCCUUAUAUUUUAGAUAUGGUCUUCAACAUAUUACUCUUAAAUUGCCCUUAAGACAUUUUCUAAUCUAUCCUUUUAAUAAGUAUCUUUCUUUAAGCUAAUAAAGAUAAAAUUAUUAAUUACUUUAAAAAACUCAAUCCUACCUAAUUUAUUAAAAUUAAUAAUAAUUAAAAUUUGUUUUUAUGUUAAUUUUUUCUCAUGGUUUUCUGUAAAGAAGAAACUGUAUCUAACUAUUAACAUUUUAUUUAAUAAUUAAUUAAAUUUCAAAUCUUUUGUUUUAUUAAUUUUGACUUAAACUAAUAAAAUCAACCCAUGACACUAUCAAUUUUAUUAUUAAUUAAUUUUUCCUAAAUAAUAUUAUUUUAAUUUUAAAAAAAUUAAUUCAAAAUUCUUGAAAGGAAACUAUAUUGAAUUGAUUUAUAUCAACUUGGAUUAAUUCAAACUCAAACUCAUAAUGUCAGUCAUUAUUUUUAUAAAUUUAAUCCAUGUAAAUAAAGUUUAAUAAAUCUAGAGACACUAUUGAGUAAUUUGGGACCAAAGUCUAGGACUUCGAUAAUACUUAAAUAAUAGUAAUGUUCCUACAAUAACAAUGACGUUACAUAACUUAAAGAAUUGUUUUUUUUUUUGGGAUGUACAAAGCACAAAUAAUAAUAAUUCUGGAUGCAAAACACAGGCUGCAACGCAGAUGGAGCAAGAAAUUUCGCCCCAAGAAAAAUCCAAAUCAAUGAGAGGCGAAGAGUUCUUGGUGUUUCUGCCAUUAUCAAUUUUAUUUUUAUUUUUUACUCUCUUCAUGUGAGUAUAUAAACUAUCUUAACAUUUACAAUUCAAGCCAAAAUUGAUAAUGGCAGAAACACCAAGAACUCUCUUCGCCUCUCAUUGAAGACCAGGUUCCUCCUCGCCGCCCACUCCUUUGGGAUUCGCGCCGCCAGCCGUUCCGACCACACCGUAAACCGCAGCGUAUUGAACAUCUUCGACCCCAAGGCCGCUGCUUCCGCCAAACCAAUCAAUGGGGUCUCCUCUUUCGACAACACUAUUGACCCUACCCGCAACCUGUGGUUCCGCUCUACGCCCCCACAUCCACCGCCACUACCGAUGCUCUGCCUGUGAUCAUAUUCUUUCAUGGUGGGGGCUUCGCAUUCAUGGCGGCUAACUCAAAAUCUUUUGACGUACUCUGCCGGCGACUUGCCCGUGAAAUUAAUGCAGUUGUUAUCUCUAUAAACUAUCGGCUUGCUCCUGAGUACAAGUACCCAUGCCAGUACGAAGAUGGCUUUGAUGCAUUGAAUUACAUCGAUGAAAUGACCUUUGAGAAUUUCCCAGCAAAUUUGGAUCUUGGAAGGUGUUUUAUUGCCGGUGAUAGUGCAGGAGGUAACGUGGCUCAUCAUGUCGUGCUCAAAGCUUGUGAACACACAUUUUCUAACAUAAAGAUCAAGGGACUCAUAGCAAUGCAGCCAUUUUUCGGAGGGGAAGAAAGAACAGAAUCAGAAAUCAAGCUUGUUGGGGUUCCUUUAAUAUCAGUGGAAGGUACAGACUGGAUGUGGAAGGCGUUUCUGCCUGAGGGAUCGGACCGAAACCACUCGGUGGUUAAUGUUUUCGGACCAAAUGCGGUGGAUAUUUCAGGCGUGAAGUUCCCUGCGACGUUACUCUUUGUCGGAGGGUUCGAUCCCUUGCAAGAUUGGCAGAAGAGGUACCAUGAGGGGCUGAAGAAAUCUGGGAAAGAAGUACAUUUGGUAGAGUAUCCAAAUGCUUUUCAUGGGUUUUAUUGCCUGCCUGAAUCGCCUGAAUGUUCUUUGUUGAUCGGUGAGGUGAAGAGUUUUGUGCAAAAGCAGUCAUCUCUUACAUAGGGUGAGGAGACGACGAUCUCUAUUUUAUUAUUAUAUCUUAUUUUAUUCACAUUCAAUAAUUAAAUCGUAUUUAAAUUGCAAUGAUUUUAUUUACUAUUGAAGAUAGAUUAUUAUAUGUGUAUUGAAUUGUUCAAUUAUUUGAUGUAUUAGAUUUAACAUUAAAAAAAAUAUUUUGCUUUCUAUUACCAAUCACACUAAAAUAAUGCUGCGUCCUUUGAGCCAUUUGGUGAGGAAUGGUGAUGGUGGUUUUUUUUUUUUUUUAUACUAAUUCAUAAGUUGUGGGGUUGGCAUGUUAAAUUUUUAUUUUUAAUUGAAUAAUAUUAUUUUAAAGAAAAAACUUACACAACAUUCUUUUAAAUAAAUAAAAACUCUUUGGACUUCAUACUAGUAGAUUUCACAAUAGUUUACUUGGAUUAAUCGAGUCAUAAAUUAAUCUGUUAAGUUUUUUGAGUGCUAAUUGAUUUGUUAAGUUAUUUAAAUUAAAUUAAAUUAAUUUUUUAUUUAGAUAAAAAGCAAACUCAGUUUGAAUCAGAUUUCAAAUCAGUAACUGGGUUGAUCCUUCUAAAUAAUGUAUAAUGAAAUGUGCAUGACAACUGGGUUGAUGGUUGAUAGUUUGACACAGUUCAUUUUUCAUUGUAUGUGGGAGAAAGCAAUGAAGAAGAGAAGAGGAAAAGAUGCCAAGAAAUAAAACGAAGACUUAUUGGAUGUUUGGUCUUAUUAGCAUAGCCAGUUGGAAGUGUACUGUUUCAUGGGGCUUAUUUUCACCUAUCAAAACUUUGGGUUUGUUUGGAAUUAUAGUAAUUAUAGUAGUUUAAAGUGUUUUUUUAGAAAUACAUCAAAAUGAUAUAUUUUUUAUUUUUUUAAAUUGUUUUUUAAAUCAACACAUCAAAACAAUUUAAAAUAUAAAAAAAUAAUUUUUAACAAAAAUAAAAUUAAAAUUUAAAAAAUACGAUUUCAACCACGUUUUCAAAAACUAUUUUUCUCUCUUGAUUUCUACCCCAAGAAAUCAAGAACGCUGAUUUCAUUAAACCAGAUUCCAAAGGCCAUAUUUAGAUAAAUUAGAAGAAAGGCCUAUAAACUAGCCUAACAGAUCAUACCCAGAGAAGCAAAAGCCAGAAACAAUCUAGCUCAAUUUUUUUUAUUAAAUAGACUUGUUAACAUUUUUUUAUUUAUUAGCAUAAAUAAUUUUAAAUUUAUUUAAUUAAAUAUAUAUAAGACAAGUUUAAAAAAACUAAACACACUGAUUUUUGGCUACCAAACUAGGUUUUGAUAUUAGAGCGUGUUUGAAAAUGUAGUAAUAAUUAUUUUUAAAAAUACUUUUCAUUCCAAGACACAUUAAUUUAAUAUUUUAUUAUGUUUUAAAAAUUAUUUUUGAUAUCAAUACAUCAAAAUAAUAAAAAAAACAUCUUCAUUUAAAACAAAAAAAAAAUAAUUUUAAAUUUUUUAAAAAAUACUUUCCAAAACAUAAAUGACUAACACACCUUAAGUGGCUUGACCCAUAACCUAGUCGCAAAUGCCAUCAUUUGAGCAUAAAAAGGUUUCAAUCCCAUGGUGCCUUUUCCUUAUUAUAAAUAUAAAAUAAAAUAAAAUUUAAGUCAAGGAGGUCCAGUCUUAAAUGCUCCAAACAUUAUCCAUGUCUCAAGCUUAUGUGAUCCAAGAAUUCAUAUUUAUUAUAAAAUUAUAAUUUUAUAUGAGUUUUUAUCUUAUGAUUCAAGAAGUUUAUAUUGUAUAUUCAAGAAUUUUAAGUUUAUAGUCAAUUUUAUAAUUCAUAAAAAUAUUUGAUCCCUGAAUUAGUUUUCUAAUUGUUUUGCAUAAAUUCUUAGAAAAAAAAAAUAUUUUAACAAUAGUUUUCGUGCUAAAAAUGCUAUUCUAUUCGACUUUUAAUUCAAAUUGUAUUUAUAUAGUUAAUUUUUUUUCUCUUUAAUAAAUCCAUUAUUGGAUUUGAAAUUUAUAACUUAUUUUAUAAUUCAAAUUAGAGAUUUGGUUUAUUUAUUAAGUUUUUUUAUUUUUGUAAGAUUGAUUGAAAAACAAUAGAUCGGGUCACGUCGGUUUAACUCGAAUCAGCAAAAUAAAAGACAUAAGUGAAUAAUAAAUUUCAAUAUUCAAAGUUCAAGACCGGUGGAGCAAAAUCCAACUCUGACCUAGACUUGUUUGGGAUUGUGGUAGUGGUUGCGGUUCAAAGUGUUUUUCGCUUAGAAAUGCAUCAAAAUAAUAUUUUUUUUAAUUUUUUAAAAAUUAUCUUUGAUAUCAGCAUAUCAAAACAAUCUAAAAUUAUAUAAAAAAUAAUAAAAAUAAAAUAAAAUUUUAAAAAAAUAUAAUUUACACGGAGUUACCGCACACUUGUCCAAUCAACACACAUCCAAUCUCGUUACUUUUUAUACACCUCUUAAUUUUCAAUAGAGCCUUAACCAUUCCUUUAUGCAAGUGCACGCAUUGCCAAACAAUCCUUUAGGAAAAUGAGUUGCCCUCCGACGACUUUCCAUAACUGGCCAGGAUUAAUUUGGACUCUUCGCUGGCGAUAACAGCGAUGGGAAUGAAGACACUUCUCUGCAUCCUUGACCAUUUCAAUUCCGAGAACUCCCCCACCAUCCCAUAAAAAAGUAGUCCUUCUUCUUUGAAGACUUUUCCCAAUUAGUCCUUAUAUUGUUUUUAGGUUUUUUUAAUAUAUUAAUAUAAAAAUAUAAAAAAUAUAUUAUUUUAAUUAAAUAAAAACAUUAAAAAUAUAUAUUUUGCUUUCCAUUACCAAUCACACUAAAAUAAUGUUGUGUCCUUUGAGCCAUUUGGUGAGGAAUGGUGAUGGUGGUUUUUUGUUUUUUUUGUUUAUCCUAUUUGUCUGUCUAAAGAUAAGUUGCCAUGGUGAUGGGUUGCCAUGUUAAAUUUCUAUUUUUAAUUGAAUAAUGUUGUUUGAAAGAAAAACUUAGAUAAAAAAUAAAUAAAAAAUCCUUCGAGUUGGUAUUAUAUUUUAUAAUAAUUUAUUUUUUAAAGUGUUUUUUAUUUGAAAAUAUAUCAAAAUAAUAUAUUUUUUAUUUUUUAAAAAUUAUUUUUGACAUUUACACGUCAAAAUAAUCUAAAAAUAUCAAAAAACAAUUAAUUUAAAAUAAAAAAUUAAAUCUUUUUAAAAAUACUUUUAAAACCCAAAAACAAAUAUAUCUUAACAAAUCACUAAUUAAUUUGUUAAAUUACUUGAGUACCGAUUAAUCUAUCGGAUUAUUUAAAUUUGAACGGAUCAAUCUUUUACUUGGAUGAAAAGCAAACUCGGUUUGAAUCACAUUUCAAAUCAGUAACGUCACCAGGUGACCCAGCUAGCUGGUUUUUGCUGGCUGUGUUUUUGUACAUGUCUAGGGGCAGGGAAAUGUAUAAUGAAAUGUCCAUUUUUCAUUGUAUGUGGGAGAGAAGCAAUGAAGAAGAGAAAGAGGACAAGAUGCCAAGAAAUAAAACGAAGACUUAUUGGAUGUUUGGGGGCAUAUCAAAAUUUCAGGCCUAUUUGGAUUUAUAUUACUAUAGUUUGAAGUAUUUUUUAUUUAAAAAUGUAUUAAAAUGAUAUUGUAUUAUUUUUUAAAAAUUAUUUUUUAGAUCAAAAUAUUAAAACCAUCUGAAAACAUUAAAAAAAAAUUAGCAAAAAAAAUUGAAAUUUGAGGGAACGCUAUUUCAACCGCGUUCCCAAACGCUUUCUUCAUGUUUUUUCAAUCAUAAAGUUACUAUAAAAACACAUGUGUGUUUGGUAUUAUCGUAUAAGAUAUUUUUCGUUUAAAAAUAUAUUAUUUUUUUUAACAUCAACGUAUCAAAAUCAUUGAAAAAUAUGAAAAACCCAUCAAUUUAAUGUUAUUUCGAAUCAAACACAUUUUUAAAACAUACUUAAAUGCAUUUUCAAACCCAAAAAUAAAUGAUAUCUUUAUAAUUAUAGUUCAGAAAACAAUCUCCUACAUCUAAGCACAAAAAGGUUUCGAAGUUAAAAAUAAUCUUAUAGAAGCAUGUGUAUCGUCUUAACUCUAGAUGUAGGGAUCAAGAUUUUAUAAAUCACGUCUAUGCUACUCUCUAGUUUUAAAUAUUCAAAACAAGGCUCCAUUAUCAUAUAUUCAUAGAGACAUACCAAUGUAGCUUUUGAUGUUUACCGGUUUGGGUAUGUCCAUAUGCUUUUAAAUAUAUUUUAAAAUUUAUAUUUUUCUUAAAAAAAUAUUAAAUUAAUAAUUUUUUAGUUGUUUUUAAUAAUUUUGAUGUUUUGAUAUUAAAAACAAAAUCUAAAAAACUUAUUUUUAAAAAAUUCUCUAUAUAACAGUAUCAAACACAUGAUAACCUGGUCCAAAAGCUUUCCACCGAGCAUAAAAUGGUUUUCAACCCAAUCAUACUUUUUCCUCAUUAUAAAUAUAAAAUAAAGUUCAUGUGAAGUAGGGUCCAAUCUUAAAUGGUUCAAACAUUUUUUUUUUUUUAUUAACGUGGGUGUCCGGGCCAGCUUGCACGCACCUCGACUAAUCCCACGGGCCCUAAAGUUAACGACCAUAUAAGCCUCCAGUUGCCAUCAUAUGAGCAAUCUAAGGAUUGAACCUGAGAUCAUAGAGGAAGCAAAGCUUUUGGUCCCAAGCUUUUACCGUUGGGCCACCACCUAGAUAGUUAAUGGUUCAAACAUUAUUGUUAGAACGUGACAGUGUCCCAGCAUUAGUAGUGUAGCACGUGCCAUCUCUUAAGCUUAUGUGAUCCGAAAACAAGGCAAUUGGUGUUUGAUGAAAUUAGUUGUCACUAAAAAUAAAAUAAAAUAAAAUCCUCUUUGAACUAAUUAAUUACUCAAUUAAUUCCUAAAUUAGUUUUUUAUUGUUUCUCACAAAAUUUAUAAGAAUAAAAAUAUUUUAUUAGAUGUUUUAGAUACUCUACUAUUAUAAUAUUUUAUUUAAGUUUAGAUUUUUAUUUCAAAAUUGAAUUUUAUUUAAUAUAACAAAUAUUACAUGUUUUAUUUUAUCUGAUAAAUUUUGAAGUAUUAUUGGAUUUUAUUAAUUUUUUAAAAAUAAUAUUUUAAAAGAGUACGAAAUGUUGGAUACGAUGUUUUUACAAUAACGCAAAACACAACAAACAUUGAUGCUAUGCUGAAUCCUUGAAACCGUAAUAUACACUUCAUAAGAAACUGUAAUAUAACAAACAGAGGAUCUGUAAGUUUCAGAGAACGACAUCAAUUUAAUUACGCGAAGUUCAAUCCUUUUUCCUCUACAAAUUAAAUCAUGUACGUAAACCUGUUACCUACAUUUUGUAAUAUUUCUGGAUCUGCUCUUUGAUUCAUCAAGGACAGAGUUGAUUGCAGCUUCGUCAUAGAAAAGUUCGUCUUCUUCAUCUUCUUGGUUGGCGAGGAAAUAUAAGUGGAAGUAUUUGAUAGCUAAGAACUCAGAAUCCAUGAGAUGAAGUAUUUGGCAAAGCCUUCCCCGUGAUUGGAGCAAUCUCACUAAGUUAUCGACGUAAUGGCUAGAAUUGUCUUCCUCUUAACUAAUCUUUAGCAAAUUAUCUUAAUAUGGUUUUACCAAAAAGAAAAUAAUAAAUUUCAGGAACGUCAUCCUCGUGGAUGCUAUAAUCUGUAAUUAUUGGCAAGGCUUUAAUAUAUUGUACAAAUAGAUUGAAGAAACAGGAGGCCUACGCAUUUAAUUUGGACUUCCUCGUGGAUGCUAUUCCUUCAAAUAUGGACUAAAAUUGUUUUAUAUCACAGAAAGCCUUAAUUAGAAAAUAACUUCAUAUUCUGGCGGUAGAAACCCCACGAACGCAAUCAAGUAUUUGCUUCAAACAAUAAGAGGGAGCUUCAGUGCAGCAGGAAACUUCAACAUCUAUUAUUAAAAUUGUGUUUGGUAAACGCUAGGUAAAUUAUGUGUUUAUAAAUUUUAAUUUUUUUUAUAAAAAAUUAUUAUUAUUAUUAUGUUUUCAGAUCAUUUUGAUGUGUUAUAUCAAUAAAAAAAAUAAAAAAAUAUUAAAAAAAUUAUUUUGAUGUAUUAUUAAAUAAAAAACACUAGUUUAUCUUUUGAUGUUUUUCGGUUUAUAAAAUGAACAGUGAACAGUUUACAUUGAUAUACUAUUCUUGUGAGCAAGAGAAUUGUACUGUUCACUUAAAAAAUAAUGAACAGUGCAAUUCACUUGUACUAUUCACGGAUGAAUUGCACUGCGAGUACUUUUUUUUUUUAGUGUUAAUUUUUUCAAUAUAUUUUUCUAAAAAAACACUAGUUUAGAGUGAAUUAAAUUCACUUGCAAUGUGAUGUGAAUAAUAUUUGUUUUCCCUGAAAAAGUAGUCUAGAUUGAAUUAAAUUCACCCGCAUUGUAAUAUCAAUUUUAUACCCGAUAAUAUUUUAUUUAAUUUGAUUAUAUGCUCAAAACAUUAUAGAAAUUGUAGUUCUUGUCGGAUGUAUUUUGUACAUAAUGGAAUUGUAGAUGGUUUCAUGGAAUAAUAAAAAAUAUUUUAUAUAAAGUAUGAUUUAUUUCAUGAUGUAAUAGCAAUAGUUAAAUCUACAAUAUUUAAAUUAAAAAUCAUCAAUAUUAAUAUAUAUUUUUUAAAAUUAUUUUAUAACCUCAAUUUCAAAAGCAUUCUUACCCAAACAUAUUAAAUUACUUUUUUUUUCAACUUCAAUUUCAACUAUAUUUUUAACCAAACACCUAUUUUUUCAAACCAAUCUCAACUAAAAAUAUUUUUUAUAAAAAUAAUUUUUUUCAAAUCACAACCACAACAUCUAUCGCAAUACUAAACACACUGAAAGACCUAUAUACCAGCCCAACAAAUCAUACCCAGGGAAGCAAAAGCCAGAAACAAGCUACCUCGAUUCUUGCUCCACCUGGGUAAGAAAUGCAGCAUGCCCACUUGGAAUUAUACAGCGUCCAAAUUCCAUGGCAAAUAAUUGGUUGGAAUUGUUUUCUGAGGGGUCAUUUCAAAAUCUGAAAAUAAAAACAGAAAAUAGAUCCAGCAAAUGAUUCCAAAUAUCUUCUAAAAAAACGAUGAAAUAUGUUUUUUUAUUUACCGUAAGGAAAGAUAUUAACGAAAUUUUUUUUAAAAAAAAUCAAUUUAAAAAAUAUAUAACAAGUCAAAAUCUAUACUUAAAAUCUUUCUCGUUUUAAAUUUAUAAUUGAAUCAAAUAAAAUAUUAAUUUAAUAAAACAUAGUUAAGUUUUUGAUAGUUGAAUAUUUAGUAUAACGGUGACGUACUAAACUAUUAAAUCUUAACAUAAAAAGGAAUUUUUAUUAUAUACCCACGAAUCGGUACAAAAUCUAUAGGUUUUUAUAAAAUGAAUUCCUGAACCUAGUCGAAGAACUGUGGCAAAAACAGUUUCAGGAUUCCAACCUAACACAUGAAUGGGGUGGUUAUAUUUUGUGUUGUACACUUGAGAUUAUUUUUUCUCGGUAUCAUUUUUACAAAAAACUAUUAUUAUUAUAUGAAAUCAACAAAAAUUCACUCACCAAUCAUUCAUGGAAAAUUCAACUUUUUUAUAUAUAAAAAGGAUUUUUAUCAAAGAGGUUGAAUUUUUAAGUUGGUGGUGGAUUGACUUCUAAUAAUUCCAGGGUAAAUAAUAAUUCCAGCAUUAGAUUGAUUAAUUAAUUACACUUUAUUAGUUAUUUUUUAGAUCUUAUUAGCUUUGAUAACAUUGAACUAGUUUUAUAUUUAAAAUAUUAGUGUUAAAAUAUUUUAAUUUUAUAAUAUUUUGAUAUUUUAUUGAAAUUGAAUUGUUUUAAGUUAAAAAAUUAUUUAAUCUUAACUAUUUAAAAAUAUUUUAAAUUUUAAAAUUAUAUUUCAUCACGUCUCCAUGAUCCCCGUUGUGUCAAAAACAAAUUGCCUAGAUUUUAGGCUUUAGCAGUUCCUUUUUUGAAAUCCUUAUUAGUAAUAUUUCACGACUCAUUAUUUCUAUUAUUUUUAUUCCAUUUUAGCAUUUCAUACUCAUCAAAACCACUAGAACACAAUCAAGCUCUAUCUUCAAACAACCAGGGAGAUUUUAUAGGGAUAAAAUUUUAAAAAUCACGCCUAUACUACUUUCUAGUUUUAGUAUUAAAUUUAGUAUUUAAAAAAUAUGUUUAUGAAUAUGGCAGUUUCAGGUUUAGAAACCAAAACUGCCAUAUUCAUACUCUCUUAGACAUUUUAAAAAUGUGUGUAGAAGAAUAUUUUCACUGAUGAUUUAUAAUAUUAGGUUACUUUAAUGAUAAAUCAAUAUAGUAUUUUUUUUAUUUUUUGGAUUUUCAUCUUGGAGAAAUUCAAUAGGAUGAAAAUAUAAUAUUAAUCAAACUUCAAAUUAUAAUUGUUUAUCUAUCGAGUUAAAAAAAUAUAUGACAAUUCAGUAGUCUUUAAUGAAAUAAAAAAAAUGAAAAAUGUUAUUUAUGUAAUUGUAAGCAUACUAUAUUAUAUUACUUUACAAAGGAACGAAGGACAUCCUUUGCGUUAGGAUGCUAGGAUUUCUUUAAGAGAAGGGGGAGGAGAUGGCUGGCCAUUUUCAAGCAACGGAAGACAAAUUGGCAUCCUCUUCAGCUUCUCACAAAACUCUACAUAAAUAUCUUCAAGAGAAUUGCAAAUCAGUUUUGCACUGCAAAUGCUUUUCAGUUCUGGUAAUUUAUACAAUCGCAGAGUUGUUAACUUUGGGAGAAUGACUUCCGUGAUGGAAUUGGAGGUGCUGCUUUCUUCAUCUGUUGUUCCUAUUAUCUCCUCCAUUUUCUCACAAUCAUUAACUUCAAUCCUUUCCAGGUUUACGAGGUUUGGCAGCAACACAAGUGGGAACAGCUUCUUCAUAUUGUUACAUCCAUAACAAAAAAACCUUUUAAGACUAGAAAAGAUACCAUUAUAUGGUGGCAAUGGUGGUGGAGCAGAGCAGAACCAAGAAGAUGAAACCAAGCUCUCCAUGUUAUUGCAAUACCGAAUGCUGAUGCGCUCCAGUUCAGUUGCAUUCUCUAAUGACAAAACAUCACAUAAACUUCUUGCAUCGAUAAAUUGACAAAUCAGUCCUUGAAUGCAAUUUAAGAACUUGACCUGAAAAUCUCUAUCUCCGUUGAUACUCAAAUUACCCAACCCAACUGUUUUACUUGGAAAAUCUUCAAGGUAUUGCUGUAAAUAUCUACCCACCUCUCCUACUAAAAUCUUGCAUGUGCUUAAUGAUAGGAUCCCAUCCCGAGAUCUGAGAUACUCCACGAAGUCAGAAAAACCUUCGAAAUGGCAUUCCAAAGUUUCCAAAUUUCUCAAGGAUCCUACUUCCUUUCCUUUAACUGUUAUAGGAGCAUCAUCUUGCAUCAUAAACUUUUCUAGUACAAAGACUUGCAGGUGGGAGAGUUUUGGUAAUAUACCACUAGGAAACUCCUUUUCACCACAUUCAUUCAUUAUAAGAUACCUCAGGUUGGUUAGGCAUUCCAUUCCUUGCGGUAUCUUUUCAAGUGCAGUAUGAGAGAGUCUUAAUUUCUCACAAUUAUUGAGCAAUAAUGUUGUGAGGCUCACCAAAUCAGAGACAGAGUCUGGCAAUUGCUUGAAAAAUGAAUCCGCAAUAAAUCCCAACAACCGAUUUUCACAUAGCAAUAGAGUUGAUAGAUAGGGACACCUAGGUGAAUGGUUGGAAGGAAUUUCUUCGAUCAUGUUUUCCAUUAGUGAAACUCUCGUCAGAUUCUCCGUCCACUCCUCUGCAUCUGGCAACUCUUUUAAUUGUGCACCUGCUUUGACCAUGCCUUGAGAGUUCUCUAGCAGUAUUCGGAUGGCCAUGUCCCUAAUCAAGUCAUGCAUCUUGACACGUCUAAUAUCAUCAUACUUUAUUUUAGCACUUUCCAAUAGGCAGACAUUUUCAAGUCGAUUAAGCAUCGUGUGGCCCUCAUCAAAUGCAUCUCCCCUGCUCCUCUUUCCUUUAAUUAUUCCCUCAUCGAUCAAAUAACCUAUCAACUCCUCCCUUUCAAUCUCAUCAUCUUCAGGAAAUAAUGCACAGUACAAGAGACAUUGUUGUAGUGCUAAAUCACCUAACCGAUCAUAACUAAACCUCAAUAACUUGAAUACUUAAUUGUCCCUAAAUUCUGAUUCUCUCAAUUUGUUCAAUGCAUUUCUCCACUCAUAUAGGUCAUCCACUCCCCUCAAGCUUCCUGCCACUGUAAUAAUUCCUAAUGGCAAACCAGCACAUUCCCUUGCAACAGCUUUCGCAAUUCCUUCCACUUCUGGUGAAAGUGCUACAUCACGUUGAAGCUUCUCCAUAAACAAAGUCCAAGCUUCUCCAUUAGAAAGUGGCUUCACUUUGAUUUUGUGUUGGCAAGCCAUCCGAUGACAAACCGUUUCUGAUCGAGUUGUCAUAAUCAGCUUGCAUCCUUCCAACUUUUCAGGAAUUCCCACUUUGUGUAGCUCAAAAUUGUUCCACAAAUCAUCUAAAAUGAGAAUCCAUUUUUGUUUCUUCCUUAGUUCUUCUGACAAUUUGGCAGCUCUAUGCAGUUCAUCAUUUUUUCUUGAAAGAUCUAGAUCAAGAUGUUCAGCAAUAAGAUUCUGCAAUCUAUUAAUGCUGAAAUCUUGAGACACAGUCACCCACCAAACAUUAUCACAAAUAUCUGGUCUUUGUAGAAGCUCAUUAUGGAUAUGUUGCAGUAUUGUGGAUUUACCAACUCCCCCCAUCCCAUAAAUGCCAAUGGUUGAGACAUCCCCAUCCAUUAACAAAUACCAUAUCAUCUCCGUAUUCUCUUCGAAUGCUUGACCCACUGGCUUUGUAGAGCUAGUAGGUAAUGGAACUCCUCUAGUCUUGUUGUAUUUCAGACUUUCAGAAGAUCUAGCUCCAGCACCAACUGAUCUUCGACUAUUCUCCACAUCCUCCUCCACUGGUUCUGUC
rnacentral:lncRNA from 1 species